UUUUCUCAAAAAUAGAAGAUAUGUUCGAGUUGGAUUCAUGGCUGUGAAACUGGAUAUGUCUAAAGCGUACGACAGGAUGAAAUGGAAAUUCUUGAAAGCCAUAAUGAAAAAAAUGAGAUUUUGCUCCACUUGAUAGGCCGGAUAUUAUUAGGGAUGACAAUGGAGCGGGACGGGGGACCAUUGUCAAAUAUCUCCCCCCGUCCCGCCCCCGUCCCGUUUCCCCACGGUCCCCUGUUGCCUCAAGUUUCUGCUUUCCUCCAUGUCAAACUCAAGACCUCGCUCCUCUUCUUCUUCUUCGAGUUCCCAUCUUCAGAAGGAUCUCAAUUUCAAGCUCAGAAAUAAACCCCUCCUUGCCAAGUCCGCCCCAAAAUCAGCUCCUAAUUCCUCCAAGCCUAGAUCUAAUAAAUCAAUUGCUAACGAAAAUGAUGUGCCCAAAAAAUCGUCUUCACAAAGUUUUAGAAAGAACCCUUCUUUCCUUUCCCAGUGGCAAUCCGCUAGAAGGCCCGCUUCAAAAACUUCUUCCCAAAGGUCGAAACUUUCUUCUGAUUUGAGGGCAAAUCUGAAGAGCCCAACAUCUGGAUGUUCUGGAAGAUUUGGUGCUGGUAAUCAACAACGAUUGAAGCAGAAAUAUCAACAAAGUUGCGGUGAGCCUAGUUUGCAUUUCAAUGUUGCUGAUGAUUUGGUAGACGCUGACAAUUUUACUCCUGUUGGCAAAGUAGCUAGUGGGCCUAGUUUAAAUUAUGCACUAGUUGUUGAUGAUGAUGAGAAGUCUGCGGGGAAGACUCAAACUCUGGUCAUGGUUUGUUAUUAUGUGCAGAGAGGGUGUGAGAAGUAUGGAGGUUCGUUUCUUCGUUUGUUCUUUUGUUACUUUUGUGUGUGUGUAUAUAUAUGUAUAUUUUUUGGCGGGGGACGGGAACCGGGGGGGUGGGGGCGGGGGAAUGUAUCCCCGUCCCCCACCCCGUUUCUAGACGGGGGAAUAAAAUUACCCCCGCCCCCACCCCUACCCUAAUCUCCGCCCCGACAGUCCCCCCGUGGGGCGGGUACCCGCCGGUCACCCGUCCCAUUGCCAUCCCUAGAUAUUAUCUUAAAUUAGUUCUGUUACAUACUCUUUCAACAUCAAUGGUGAACACAAGGAGUAUAUUACCCCUACCAGAGGCAUAAGACAAGGUGAUCCCCUCUCUCCCUAUCUAUUCAUAUUGUGUUCAGAGGGAUUCUCAAAUCUCCUAUAGAAAGCAAAGCAGGGAAAGGAGCUGACAGGGAUAAAAAUUAGUAGAGGGGCUCCAGCAAUUACACACUUGUUCUUUGUAGACAAUUCUCUAGUGUUUUGCAGAGCAUGUACUUAGGAAGUUGAUAAACUUAAAAAGAUCCUAAAGGUGUAUGAAGAGGCAACAGGACAGCUCAUUAACAUGGACAAAUCAGCAGUCUUCUUUAGCAAGAACAUGAGCCAAACAGUGAGGGAAGAAAUCUGUCAGGUCAUGGGAUCAAUGCAGCAAGUUAGCCAGGGUAAAUACCUAGGUCUGCCUAUGAUCAUAACCAGAUCAAAAGAGCAAGUGUUUGGAUUUAUCAGGAAUUCUAUUGACAAGAAACUGCAAGGGUGAAAGAACAAAUUAUUGAGUCAAGCAGGAAAGGAAAUAAUGCUCAAAGCAGUGGCAAUGGCUAUGCCUAUAUAUACCAUGUCUUGCUUUAGACUGAACUCCAAGCUAUGUAGAGAGAUUAGUUCCAAAAUGGUUAAUUAUUGGUGGGGGAAGCAGAGGGAAAGGAAAAGAUGCACUGCAUUGGGUGGAAGAAGAUGACAAAGGAUAAAGAGGCUGGGGGAUUGGGAUUCAAAGACCUGCAAAUGUUCAAUAAAGCCUUAUUGGCAAAACAAGUUUGGAAGCUGAUUACCCAACCAAACUUGCUUGUCAGUAAGGUGUUGAAGGAGAAAUACUAUCCCAAGCAGUCUCUUUUCAAUUGUAAGGUCCCCAAUAAUGCCUCUUGGAUCUGGAAAAGUAUUUCACCUGUAAGAAUGGAAGUACUAGAAGGAAUAAGGAGAAGGAUUGGUAAUGGCAGAGGAACAAGAAUCUGGGAAGAUAUUUGGAUCCCAAACAGGCCAGAUGAAAAACCAACAACUGCUAAGCCACAAGAAUGCCAACUGAAACAGGUCUCAGAAUUGAUCACAAAUAGCAGGUGGAAUAGAGUUCUCAUCUUUAAGACAUUCUGCCUUCAAGAUGCUGAAAGUAUUAUGAGCAUACCAAUAAGUGUGACAGGAAGAAAAGAUAGCUACUACUGGAUACAUGCUCAGAAUGGUUAGUAUACUGUACAAUCUGGAUACAAGAGAUGGAUGAAGGAAAGGGAACAGGAAGAUGUAAAUGCAGGAGAGGACGCUGGUCCAAGCUACAAAGGUACCUCCACUAUUGUCUGGAAAGCACUGUGGAAACAGAAUGUGAAGCAAAAACUGAAGGUAUUCAUCUGGAAAUGUCUCCAUGAUGCUCUCCCAGUCAGAGACCUAAUAUUCAGUAGAACAAACAAAGGAAAUCCCAUGUGUGGAGGCUGUGGAGAAAGUGUGGAAACCUUAGAACAUAUGUUGCUACAAUGUACGAAAGCUAAGGAAAUAUGGGAGAUGGCUCCAGAUCAGUGGGAUGGUUUAGUGCACCUAACAGAUAACUUCCAAAAGUGGUGGUCUGCUGUGAUAAAAGCUCAAAUGAUCAGAGGGAAUGAUGAGCAUAUCAACUCACAGUCAACAUUCUCUGGCAAAUAUGGAAAGGCAGAAACGAUAGGGAGUUCAAUCAGAAGGAUAAGGAACCUCACGGGAUAAUUGAAAAGGCUUCUAUGGAGUGGAUGGAAUUUGAAGAGGCUAACAGAGGGAGGAAUGAGAGAAGGAUCAUGUAGGAAACAGGAGUACAACAACGGGCUGAACAAAAUCACGAAGCUGGGUGCAUGAGAAUGCUACUAAAGAUCCAUACCCAAAUAGAUAAAAGUCAGUCUACAGUGGGAAUUGGAAUUACGGCUACAGACUACUCAGGCCAACUACAUGCAGCUUGGGCACUUAGAGAAAGAAUGUCAGGAGAUUCACUGCAAGAUCAAGCGGAAGCUGUUAAACUAGCUCUAAUGAAUGCCGCCAAUCAAGGUUGGAGAAACAUAGAGGUGGAGCUGGACAACAGCAAACUGAAGGGAUACAUUGUGGACUCAAGACAUAGUAGCUGACGGUUGGCAACACUAAUAGAGGAUAUUCAGUCCAUUAGCAGCCUGUUUCAUCUGUGCUCCUUUUCAUUAGCUAAUACAGGGAAAUUAGAUAGUAUUAAACUGAGCUUGCAUGCUCUUAAUAGCUGGUUUGAUGAAGAAUGGGUCAAUCCAAUCUUAGAUGCUAACGCAUCAAUGAUCAUCAUGGGACAGUUGUCUCUUUUGUUUGGACCUUUGUCCAAUUAUUGUAAAGCUUUUGUGAUAAAAUAUAAAACUAAUGUUUCGACAAAAAAAAAAAAAAAAAAAGAAGACAAAAGUAAGGGUUUUUAAUAUUUUUUCCAAAUGCCAAUUUUUCCCACAAUCAUGGAACGUUAAAAUGAAAAGGACCAAAUGAUCAUAGGAAAGAACAAUUUCUUUUGUCAACUGCCACGCGUGUGGCAUAAACAUAUGUCUAGCAAUCAUAAGAUGAACAAGCAUAUCAACAACUCUUUAAGUUUUCUCCUCUCUUUCUUCUCCUACUUCUUUGCUUCCCUAUAUUUUUCAGCUUGUAAGAGACGUACAGUUUUUCAAAAGUUGUUGAACUUCUGUUGCUAUUUGGAAUGUAACUAGCUUCAUUGCUGUUGUAUCUAACCGUUCUGUCCAAUGAUGCUUGAAAAUAUGUUUUUUUGGCAAUUUAAAGAAACAAAUAUCAUUUUAUUCAGGAGCAAAUUGAGCAGAAUAAGUCAUAAAAUAGGAGAUCUUGGGACAGUUGUUUGCAUGUCAACAUGCGCUAAGCCAGGGAAAUUCCAGGCUAACCGACUAAAGAUGUUUGUUUCCUUUGGUUGGUUGGUUGUGAAUUUGUGUUCUCUGUUUCUUUGUAUCUAGCGAAUCUGUGGAAAAAAAAAGUUCCCCUUGGAAUUUUCUUCCCAUUCUCAUUGAUUGUCUUGUAAUUAGAAAGGUGCAGUAACGAAAAGCUAUUUUCUAGAAAGAAUUUGCAGGAACUUUGAUUCUUGUGAGUUCAUGGCUUCCUGCCGUUCCUAGUGAACUGAUUAAGCUUAGCUCACUUUAUAUAUUUUUUUUCAUAAUGAUUUUGUCAAACAGCAAUUGCACUAAUUUACUCUCUCUAAUUAAAUACCAUAAGCGUUGCUGGAGAGUGGAGGGCAAAAAUCCACCUCUAAACCAGACAGGUGCACUACUACACGAGCUAAUAUUGGACAUAAAUCCCAACCAGACAGGUGGCCAACUCGCAUUAUUCAAGCUGGUUAGCUUUGCUCAUUCCGGUUUCUGCAUAUUAUAAGCUCUAUGGAUGCUGUGUCUCAACUGGGAGCAUUUUUUUUUUUGGGGUCCUUAAAACUGCAUAUACUUGAAUCUUUGAGAUAAAAUGAAAAGAGUUCUUGCUUAAUCCUGUCUAUUACUUGAGCUGUUUACAUCAGUUCAUUUAUGACCUUGCAAAGAAAGAUGACAAGAAGUAUGUAAUCAACUCUUCAUUAAGCACUUAUUCUUCCAUCAUGAAACAGAUCUAUUUGCAGAAAGAACUGUGUCAGCAUAAAAUUUACAUCUCAGUUCCACCAUGUCAUUGAUAGGAUUUUCACAUUGACAACUAAGAUACCUUAUUGUCAAGUUUAUUUAUAAUGUACAUUUUCUUCUUUCAUAAUGAGACUCUUCUGGUUGCUCAGAUCUAGAGUUAACAUGAUCACCUCCCAGGUUGCAAUACUUUGUUGAGGUAUAUUCCUAGUGCCCAUAUGGGAAAGAUGUUUCUGUAGGCUGAGUAGCUUAUCAUGCAGUUUCUAUUGAACACACCUAUAAUUUCCUGUCAAAAAUCGUAAAUGAGCAAAUUAUACUUCUGUAGAUUUAUAGUAGUCAAAUUAUUGUGCUUUGGAGCACUCCAAUGAGCGUGUGUUCUUUCCUUUAUCCUUGCAAAUGUAAACUCUGAUGCAUUAUACCUGUUGUGGAAAGUCUCCAGUUUCCAAUUGUGAGUUAAUCAACACUUUUGCAGCACGGUGCAGAGGUAUUGGAUCUCUUUUGGCCUAGUCCAUCGCAUGUUAAUGACAGAAAAACCGGUGACUUAGAAUUAGAUUGUGAAAUCAAUGUACUGUAAAUUCUUCAAAAUUUGAUUCACAAAUGAAUGAGAUAGGUACCUGCUCAGCUUCAAUAAGACCCAACAUGCCCAUGAUGUGCUUACGAUGUGUGAUUUAUUCCCUUCAAUUUCUGUAUAUACCUAAUCAGAGAUAUGAAACACAUUAUAACAAGAUCCUUUCCGUCAAUUCUUCCUACAUAUUCGAAACAUCAAAGGUUUGAUGAAGAAAGAUCUAGCAGAAAUGAAUCGAACUCACGUCCAUGACAUCCCUACUAACUUCACAACGAUGCUUGUUUCGAGCUAUUAACUGGUGUAUUAGCAGAAAUACAAAAACCUUUUCUCCCAUGUUAUGUUCUUAAUGUGUAAAGCUAUGGCUUAAUCCAAAGCCUAGCAGAAAUACCCCUAUUGCUGCGGUAGAAGGUAAAAAUAAGUAGUGAGUUUUUAGCACCUUCUGUCAGUAUUCAAAGACACUGAUAUAUAUUCUUUUUACAUAGAGGGAUUCCUUCAAUUUUGCUUUUGUACCACUUGUACUGUAAUAAACUUAUAGAUAUGUUAAAGCGAAAAUUACUGUUAAUCAUUUACCUUGUUUUGACUAGAAAGAUAGCUCUCUCCCCAACCACCAAGCGAAGUUGCUUGGAUAGUAAAAAAUCACAAGCUUUUCUAAUACUCUCAGAAUUCUCAUAGGUCCUUCCUCCUGCCAAUAAGCCUGUUAUGCCAAACCAUGUACCGUAGGUGAAGCAGAUUCCCCAAGAUCCAUACCUGCAUUUAAAUUUGAGUCAUGCACUUAAAGAAUGUUAAAAAUCAAACAAUGUGCUUUGCGGAUUCAACAUAGGCUAACAAUAAUUGCAUGCAGUAGCAGAGUUCAAUUAUCCAUAUUGCCAGCAUGUUGAUUUUCCCUCGUCUGGUUUUCACAGUUUUACUUGGAGCUUGCUGCAUAUAUUACUAGGCAUUGAACUGUCAACCUUUCAAAGAAGUUGCGACAUCUGAAUGGAAGAAAAGAAUUACCAUGAGCCAUCAGAAAGUUGUAUGCUUUCGAUGAAAUUCAAUGCCUUCUGAAUACAUGCUUCUAUUUCUUUACUACGAUAUCCUGGAUAUAUUUUCGUGAAAAACUUGAGAGCCUGAAUUGCUGCUGAAGUGCACUCUACAUACCUAUAUCAAGAAACUUUCAGCUCAGAAGUGAAGAAAAGUUUCUGCUUCAUAACAAAUGAAUAUGCUUUGUUUGUAACAUGGUCCUGUUUAAGCAUCUGCUCUAUCACAGAUUUCAUUAAUUUUGUUCUCUUUGACGCAUCAAGACAGUAAUUUCUUCAGUUUAGAAAAGUUAUGUCAUGAAAGAUCAUGAAUACCAAGUAUAUGUGGCUAAUCUUACUGGUAAUCAAUGACGAUAUCUCCGAAUGUUUCUGCUGGGUUGACCAUCUACAAGGCAAACAUGGUAAAAGCAGCACUUGAAUCAAAUGCAAAUCCAUUAUUAAGUAACAAGCACUAAAAGUUGCAUCUUAAGUACCUCCAACCAAGCAUAGGAUCUUGUGAGCUCAUAGGAAGCAAAACCUCCACUAGUAUUCUGCCAUUCAGAAGUGUCUGUGAGACAGAUUAGUCACAUUUUUUCUAGGUAAGAACUAAUACUAUAUCAUCUUGCUUCAUUCUUAAUAGGAUGAAUAGCAGUCGUGAAAGAGAUUGUAAAAUUAAUAUUCAGGGGCAAAUGACGGAAAUGGAGUUUGAAUCACAUUGAAUCGAAUUCAUAGUCCUCAUACAUUUUAAGAAUGCACUUCAAUAUGUGCACUGACUAUGAAUAGGUGAGAGAGCUUUUUGAACAAUUGUCUUGAGACUUGUACACUCUUAUCGCACUCCUGCAGUUAUAACAUCUAGAUUUGCUUGUAUAUUUCCAAAAAUCAUAUUCUAUCUUACACCUAGCACAGAAUUAACUGGCCAUUUCACGUUCCAAGUGUUUUUGAGUUUUCCUCCUAUCAAACAAAAGAAUGCGCAUUAAAGCUCAAUGGACUGUAAUAGAUGACUGAAGAGAGACAUAAUACCUGGUAGGAGAGAAGCACAUUAACAGCAUCAUACAGCUUUUCUUGUUCAAUUGCUUCUCCAGCAACAUCAUAUGACAUACGCGACAGCAAUAGAGCAGCCUGCAUGUGAGUUGGAGAUUAUACUCUUGUAACAAAAGGUAUAUAAGUUUGAGAAAAGAUGACAUAUCAAACAUGCAUGUUAGCUCUCCAUCCCUCAGUAUUGAGUUUCAUCUUCUUUCAAUGUGCUAAAAAAUUGGAUAACCAGCCUCUGAAAUUCUAGACUUGGUAAGCCAAGGUUACAAUUUGUUUUGUAUUUUGAUAACAGCAAACUUUCAAUAGAAUCAAAAUAAGCAGAAAACGUUUUAGUUAUGGACAUGCUUCAGCUGCAGGUGAAACUCAUGUAGAGGAAAGAGUUAUAAUUCCCAGUUGUUCGGUCAUUACUAAAUGGUCUUACUGCAAGUAACGUCAGUGGAAGUAGAACCACUCAAAUAAGCAUGCCUCCUUUUGCAGUUGAAAUCAAAUAGAAUAUCUUGCAAGAUAAAAAUGGGAUUCUGAGAAUAAACAGAAUCUAACCUUCAGGCCUUCUGCAGUGGUAUCUGAUACCGGCCAGCCAUUGUCUGGAGUGGAGAAGGGCCAUGCACCUUUUGAAAUGUGGCGGUACACGAAACAGGAUUUCCAGAACUGUCUUUCCCAAUCUUGAACAAAUUUUGAGGCCAAACUAAUUUAGCGAACAAAUACAUAGCAAAAGAAAUCGUAUAGAUGUCUUAUAUUUUCACCCAAGUGACGUACCUGAGAAGCUGUAAUAAAUUUGUGUGCCUUUUUAAGCAUUAACCCAUAUUCGUCCUGAAGGUUGGUUGCAAUUAUUGCAUGAACUGCCAAAGCUGCAUCCCACAACUGAGAUCCAUUAUAUCCCUGUCAUUCAAUUGUUUGCACAGCAUUAGAAGCUGGUAGUAUGCUUGGAAACAAAAUGCCUGAAAUUUUCUGGAAAGAAAAGCCGUCACAGUUUUAUAUACAGAUUAUCUGCAAUAAGAACAGAAAACUUGGAAAUUUCAAAUAGUAAAAAAAUAAUGUGUCAAAACCUUCAUUUUCAUGCCAUCUUCUGCCACCCAGAGGUAAUCCUUUAUUCUUGCAAGGUGGGAGUUUGAUUGCAUUGGAGUUUGGAUCCUCUACCCAACAGCAGACCAUGUUUAGCACCUGUUAAAACUUAAAGGAGAUAUAUAAGACCUUCCCAUUGUAUAAGUACAUCUUGAAGCUUAUCAAUAAUGAUAUCUUGCUUCCAAGAAGAAUUUAGUUCAAACUAAGUAUCAUUUGCCCAUGACCAGCCCAACAAAGCCAAGUUCUGGCAUAUGCAAUGUAAGCGAUGCUCAGCAGUUCCCUAAAGUUGUCGAUGCUAAUGAAAACCAUGUUGGGAAUUAGCUCAAGCUGUUUUCUUAGCUAAGCCUGAUUAUAGUCAUAUAUUGAAAGCCAAGUACGAUCUUUGUCUCCUAUUUGAAUUAAUUUACACUAACUAGAUAGUUGACUUAUGAGACAAUCCAUGGAUUGAAUGAACUCAAAAUGCAAAUUGAUGAUUAAACAGAAGUAAAUACCUUGUUAACAGGUCCAAUGCAAACAUAGUGAGUGUUUUCAUCCUCAUAAUGAAUAUGUUGCAUUACAAUACUUAAAGCUCUAUGCCUCAGCUUAGAGAGAGGCCAAUUCAUCAGAAGAGGUUCUGCAACCUUGUGUAGACCACCCCAGAGAAUGUCCUGAAUUAAUGGAUGUGGGUAGUACAGAUCUUCCUGCAAUUUUCAUUUAGUAUGAUAUCAAGAUGGUUGGACUUCACCCAAAUAAGCUUCUUGUUCAAUAGAAGUGUAAGGACAACUGGAUAAUUGCAAGACUCAACUCGAUCACACAUACAAAUGUGAUAGCUGACUUCUUUGUUUAAAAGAUUCAAGAGUUCAUUUGGAUAGAUUUCUUCUUGAAAUGGAUGUAACCUAACAGGAGUUGGUAAGGCAUUUCUGACUGCUUUUCUAGUUAACUAAUGGGAAGCCCUUUUUCCUUCUUUUCUACAGCAAGAUCAUUCCUUCUUAGCCAAUGGGGCAAAGUGCAGCUUUGCGGCAUGAUAACUUGGACCAGUAUCACUCUUGUCCCAUGCUCCCACGUGUUUCGAGCUGCAAUAAUUUCAUGCCUCAUGAUCCCCACGCAUCUCAAUUAACUUAGUUUCUUAUGCUUUAAAUUCAACCAUCUGAUCUCUUAACUUUCAAACUCUCACAACAUGAUUAAGCAAGCCAAAUGAACUCAGGAUUCAGUACAAAGUUAUACUAUGACUAUGAGGGGCUAAUGGGGAUUGGCCAACAACAAACUGAAACAGGAAACUAGACAGACUGGUCCAUAACAUAGCUAUCCAACAUAUGGCAUCUAAGUUAUCUGAGUGAAAUCUGAUACUGAAACUAGUUUAAAGAUUUAUCCAGUUAUCAGGUUCAAGAAGGGCUCGAUGGCAAGCAUUCGAUGAAUGUAUAUGGACACUAUAUCAUUGCCAACAUCCAAUUCCUCUCCUUUGGUUUUUAAAAGUUCUAUCAAUUGAUAAAGUAGCAUGAUAUCAUGUCAUACCUUUGCACAUUGAUUUCUGGCCAAAUUCCAGUCAAUCUGAUGGUAAGGUUGCGCAUAGAGCUCUCUUCUGAGUGAUAGAACAGUGCCAUCAACCCUUCCAACAUACCUCCUCCCAUAUAAAUAUGACAUAGGCAGGUACACCAUGCGACAAUGGCACCACAUACGACCUGCAAGAGCAGUACAUUCAGGUUUCUUGUGGAUUCCAAUUGCUGAAAUACUUGAUUGGCAGGAAUUUUGCCUUUUCCACAAAUGACCUCUCUUGGAAAACAUAUCUUAUCAAGAUUAUUAGGAUUUAGAACUCAUCAGAAAAUGAUAAAGUUAAACAAAAGACAUGUUAAAUCAAUAAUUGGUUGAAGUAUUCAUUUUCACAAAGAAAACAAAGUACUUUGAUAAUUAAGAAUGAGUGGGAGAGGCAAGAACAACGUCAGAUGAAAGCACAUAAAAUGACUGAAAAAAAAAGGCAAUACAUCCAUCUGUAAUAUAAAUUAUUUACCAGUUGAUAUAUUACCAAUUCGCAAAUAUAUCUAAAAAUGUUAAAGAACAAAGCUGGUAUAAUUGCAAUUCAUCUCAGCUUUGGAUGUAACAUUCCUGAUAAUGAGUUUUAAACUGUGAAAUAUUGGUUGCCAAAGAAUUUCAUGACUUGUUUGCUUGUUUGGAAUAUUAACUAAAUGAAAAUGCACGUACAGAACAAGAAGACCAUGAGGAGAACAGCAAGCAGACCUGGAUGUAUCGGAAGAAAGUAAGGAAGAAGCCACAGUUCUGGGGGUAAAGGAUUGUUGCCACUCCAGUCAUAAGCCCCAAGUACCUAAAUUAGAAAGAUAAAAACACCUUACCACCAAACACUUCAACUAACUAUUUUUAGUAAUUCAAUAUACUUGUCUCGUUGUUCAAUUAGCUAAUUGGUGAAAACAUAUAAGUAAUUCUAGUGAAUUUUGUCCAAAAAGUGAGGUUACUUCGAAAUUGAUCUUUUUCAUAUUAUUCCUAAAAAAUUCAUUUUAAUAAACUUUUUAUCUUUUUAAACAAAUAUCGUGUCACAAAAACUGUGCUAGUGCAAGAGUACAAAAUGCGCAAAAAAAAAAAUAAAAAACCCCAAAAAUUUCCAAUUCAAACACACUUAAAACACUUCUUAUUAGUGACUUGUGAUAGCAUUGCAACAUUCACACUUGUAAAUGUUGAAAACUUGGAAAACAGUUAAGGAUUCUUACACUAAGCCAUAAUUUUCCCCAUGAUGGGAUGAAAGUGACUCCACCAUGAUCGAUAAUCCAGUUUCGUGCUUUCUCCAUGGAUCCAUCUCCACCAUCUUCUGCUUGUCCAAGCAGCCUCAAAGAGACAUAAUUUAAGGCAGUAGCAAACAUGGUGCUAUGACCUUCUAUAUGUAUACCCCACCCCCCAUCUUCAUUCUGCACAUACAGAUGAACACUUGUUCAUAAUAAACUACAAAAUAGAAAAAAAAAAUUAAUUACUUUUGUCAACCACCUUUUGAUAUCAUAUAUCAUAUAUCACGUCGAAAAACAUAAUGCGAUAAAUAAUAUCUAAGAGAAAAAUGAUUAAUAAUAUGUGCACCGUCAUCCUGAUGCAUGAUAACUAAUCAAAAUUUAUAUUUAAAAUUUAAAUUCUGUAUAUCUAUCAUGCAUUCAACCGUGAUUGUAUAUAUUUACUCAAAGAAAAUAUUGAAAUAUUUUUCAAUCGAAACGAAUUAGUUUGUUGGUUUUUGUUUCAUCCACUUAAUUAAUUAAAUAAGUAUGUCCCUGAUAAUCAUAGCAAGAGGUUGAAAGGAGAAUCCACGAGGGAGCAAAACUGAUUACCAAGGGUACAAAAUCAAAUGUUGUGAAAUACUUGAUCAAUCAAUCAGUUCGAACAAAAAAAAAAGUAACUGUAAAGUGGGGAUUGAGCAUCUCUUCAGUGUGUUCUUUGCAAAUGGUUCUUUUCAGUAAUAAGCAGUCUGACGAAAAAUAUGCUUAGUUUAAUUAUUUACUCUUCCUUCUUUGUCAUUUGGCCUAAAAAACCUCCAGGACAUGUAAAUAUUAUUACGCUAUUAUUAAUUAUAGUGCUUAAAAACGCUAUUUUCUACCUCGUACACCACCUGCCAGUGGUGAUGUUGUGUGUUUAUGAUGUGUGAAGAGGUAUUCUAAGAUACCUUUAUUUUGUCUAUCUUAUCUUUCUUUUCAAAAAAAAAAAAAAAAAAUAUAAAUCAAGAAAUAAAGAGGCUUUACUAAAUUGUACAAAAAAUUUUUUAUUAAAGAAUGCGAUAAUAAAAAAUUGAAGAAAUAAUAUAAGGUUUAAAGAUGCUUUAUCGAUAUUAUACCCAAAAAAAAAGAUUUAUAAAGGAAUGUGAUAAUAAAUGAAUUUAAAAAAAAAAAAAAGAAUACUACAAGAGAAUGCAAUCCAUUAAGGCUAGAAGAAUGAGUAAUGAGCUCUUCGGUGUAAACUUUUAGGUUUACAAUAAAACUCUGCGAAAGGCAUUCUCUUUCAAUUCUUUUUUCCAUUCCCAAUCAUGCACUAUUAUAUCAAUUUAGUAUUUUUUUUUUAUUUGAUGACUUGUUUUAUUCGGUUUAAUAAUCAAAUGAUUGGAUGUCUAGUGCCCACGUAAAAAGAUAAGAUACCUUGUAAUCCAAUAUUCCACAUUUUGCGUAUCCUUUUGUAUAUUAAUUAAGAUCGAUGUGAAAGAAAUGUUGCACCAACCUAAGUGAAAAAAAAAAUAAUUGUUAAUAAAAAGAAUAUUUUACCAACCUGAUGAUUGUACAGAUAUCGACGUAUUUCCUUUUGGUGUUCUUCUGAUAAAACUGUAUUUAUGGCUCCCAUGAUGUACAAACCUAUAAUCUGCAAAUCAAGAUGAUUUUGUCAAGCAAUUGGUCAUAUAAUUGAUGGGAAAUUGUUGUUUAGGGACAGGAAGAUAAUAGAUUCCUUAGAAGCCUAAUAGAUAAUUAUAACAGGUGAUCGAAGCGAAGGUCAUUAACGUUAUGUUUAUUAGUCCAAUUCAGCAUUUAAAUUUAAUAGAUUUAGAUCUUAACGCAUUCAAACGUAUACAUCUUUAUACAAAAAUCCAAAAGAAACCCAAAUAAUAUUUUGAACCAUUGACCAAUAAUUAUCAUUUGGCUCAUAAGAAAACUCGAUAACUAGCUCAUUUAGCUCUUAAUUAUGGUUCAAAAAAAAAGAAAAUUAAAAAAAAAAUGCCUCACCAAGCCUGGCAAGAGAAAUAAAGGACCACCAUAAUCACCAGGCCAGUGCCCAUCCUCUGCCUGGAGAUUUGAGUAAAACCUUAGUGCCCUUCUCAAGGUAGUUACCACUGCUUCCUCGGUAAUUUCUUCUUCACUUGCUAUAUUUACUUGUGGUAAAUUCAUUUCACACGGAUUCUCCUUGGCAAACUGCAAAACAAACUCUUAAAUAGUAUGCUAAGAUAACAGUAAUCUUACAAACAGACAUUCCUCUUGAAUUUCGAAGUAUAAUUUUUGGUAAUUUGCCAUUUUACCUAGUUACAAUGUCCUCCUGUCUCUUAAUUAAGAUUUUAUUAUUGUACUUCGAAUUACAAAUUCGAUUUCUUUUAUUGCUGAUUAGUAUGAGCAUGAUCUAGGAGUACAAGUAAGCAUCGUUUCUCAUAUAUGUUAAGAUAGUUUCUUUCCUUUUUUAAGUAUGCAUAAUAAAAAAUCUACCAAACUUUGAAAAUAACAAACAAUUUGAACUCUGUAUGGAAGAAUCUCUUCAAGAAUGUAAUUGGAAGUAUCAUACAUCGUCAAGAUCAAUUCUUGCUAUCAAGAAAGAAAAUACUCAAGUAAACAUGAUCUAGGAGAAUAAGUAUCGUUGUCCUGUAUAUCAAAAUAGUUUCUUUCUUUUUUUUGAAGUAUACAAUUAUAAAAGAAUCUGCUGAACUUUAAAAACAGCAAACAACUUGAACUCUAUAAGGGAAAAUCUCUUCAAGAUUUUGAGAGCCAGAGUCGAAAAGAAAGAGUACAUGAAAUAAAAUACCUUCCAGCUGGUUAAGUUACAAAGUACAAAUCAUUGACUGGUUCUUUUACCUGGAUUCUCAUUAGGAGAUCAGAGCUGUGUUUGAUCUCAAAACGCUUCCUGCGAAAUUCUUCUCUGACCUUUUCAAUUUCAGCUCGUUCUUGAAGGGUUCCAAGAUUUGGAUCGAACUUCCAAAAUUCUCUACCAACAUGAUUGUUUGAGCUUGUAAGCCAAACUGGAUCAUCUUCAUCUGCUUCAGACAAUUUAAGCUUCCACAUUGCCUUCCUUCGCCUUACUUUCUCGAUCGGCUAGUUUUCUAAUGCUUAGUUUCACAGCAAAACGUUACAUUUGACAACAUUAGAUUUUCUCAUUGGCUAAUUUACAGAUUUUUCUUUUUGAAGUACGUCCUGGAUAAUGAAAAUCUCCUCACAAAUUCAUAGAUUGAUCCAUGUUGCAUUCUGGAAUUUAUCUUAAGUCAUGAUUUGAACUCUCAAAAGUACAUAAUUCUGCAUGAAGAUAUGAUUUAUUUUCAAAAUUAUAGCCCGGUAGAUAUGAGAUCAUCCUCGAGUUUUUCAACAUUUAUAAACGAAUGUUGAACCUAGUCUUAAAUUUCAGGUCAUAGACAAAUUGCUGAAUAAGAAAUCUAAUUGACAAGAAAAGGUGGAUAUGUAAUCCAGUAGCUCAAUUGAAAUUUCUUUCUUUCUUUCCCCACUCACACAACUAAGGUGAUAUGUGGUAGUCAGCUUGAGACGUCAUAAUAAGCUCUGGGUUUUACCAAAUUUUGCAUGGAUAUAUUAAAGAUGGAAAUUAAAGGAAGAAAUGGCGUGGCGAAGAGAAAGAUAAUUACGCUUCUUAUAAACUAAUUACUAGCAAAAAUCAGGAAUACAUAUAUAUAUAUGUAUAGAUGUAUGUGGGUCAAAUGCAACUUUUCGAUAGAAAUUACCUCGGUUUGACAGAAACCCAAAAAUCAUGUGGCACCAGAAGGAUUUUGGGAAAAUUAUGGAAAUUUAAUUUCAUGGUUAAAAUUGUCAAAGUUAUGCUUUAUUAGUGGACUAAAAUCAAGAAAAAUAAACUCAAAUUACCAUCAUUUACAUCCAGCUAUAUAAUCACACAGGCCAAAUAUAUGUCUUUGUAUGGCUAUAAUUUAAAGUACAAAAAACUGUUUUAUGGCUAAGAAACAAUAAAUAAUGCUCUUAGCAAUAAAAGAAGACUACUAGACAAGAAAGGGAAAGAGAGACAGAGAGACUUACAGAAUAGGAUGCCUGCAUGAAAUCCCUAUGAGAACCAAAUGAACUCUUAUAUGUUCCUAAUAUAUAGUUGCUAUGGAGUCCCCCUCUUCCUUCUCUUGUCCAAAACUAAAUACACAUAUCAAUAAUUAAAUAGUCGAAGAUGUAAAAAUUAAGAUGCUUAAUUAACCUGUAGUUAUGAGCAGAAUAUUACGAAUUUUAGUUAAGUUAUCAUUUGCUUUCAUUGGUAGACAUGUUCUGGACCUCGACAUGCAUGUUUGAGUUGUUAUGUUCGAAAUGACAUAUAUAUAUAUAUAUAUAUAUAUAUAUAUAUAUAUAUAUAUAACGACAUUUUGAAAGCAAAAGUAAGUAUAUUUUACAAUAAUCCGGGUUAAAGUAUAUUUAGACAAGUGGUUUAUCGACAAGUCCUUUUAGCUCCUGACUAUGAUUGAAAACAAUUUUCUUUCUAUUUAAAAGAUUGACAAAGAAACGACUGAUGUGAGAUAGUUAAUUUCUUGAGGCUUUUCUUUCCUUCUGCCAUAAAAUGAGACAAAGUAAUCACAGGGUCCAUUCAAUGUGUAGUGAUCUGUUUCUUUCUUUUCUAUAUUAGAUGUAAUCUGGGAAUAUGAUUGAGGGAGAAUUAGUGGUUUUGCUGAACAACCUUUCAUUUGGUAGAUAAUGAAACUUAGAAAUAGUGAGCAAUUAGAAAAAAAAAAUUACUUUAAGUUGGGAUUCAAAAGUGAAAAAAAUCAUUCAUCCAAAUUAUUGUCAAACAAGUGUAACUUCAGGAUCUAGUGGCUAAGAUUAAAACUCCAAGAAUUAAAAAUUUUGAGUUCAAAUCUUCCGUUUUUUAAAUCCAACCUCUUCGCUACUUGAAAAGAUAUUUUAAAAAAAAUGGAACUUCAGAGCAACUUGCUUUGAAUUGACUAAUUAAGACUAAUGUCAAUUCCAAAUAAAGUAUUCAAUCAUUAAUCUUGAGUUCAAAUUCUCUCAUUCCUUCCCCACUUCUUAAAUCUUAUCCCUUCCCUGGUGAAAAGAUAAAACUUAAAAAGAAUUAUAAAAAAAAAUGUCCGAAUUUAUUAUGCAUUGUUUGCCAAAAUUCAUUUAUAUUCUAUCUGUAUUUGUACAAAUAUUUAACAUCAAAUUGGUGCAAAAGAUUAAUCCAACAUAUUACAAUCUUUUUUUUUCUAGAAACGUUAGAUAAAUAUUAUAAUCCAACUACUACAAUACGAAUUUAUUAUGCAUUGUUUGCCAAAAUUCAUUUAUAUUCUAUAUGUAUUUGUACAAAUAUUUAACAUCAAAUUGGUGCAAAAGAUUAAUCCAACGCAUUACAAUCUUUUUUUUUCCAGAAACGUUAGAUAAGUAUUACAAUAUCCAAGUACUACAAUACAUAUCAAACAAAGCUAGGAAUACUCAUUGAUAGGGGCACUGCUGUUGGGAUAAAUUAAACUAAGCUUAAUCAAUUAAUUUAUCAGCCCCCUCGAGGUAGCUCGGGCGGUGCGGUUGUUCCUCUUUAUGCAUGCCCACUAGGUUUUAAGUCCCGGGGUCUAUCGUGAUCUGCAUCCUUGGGCGGGUUCUGCAGGUUCGCAGUGGGAUUAGUCGGGCCAAAGGUUCGGAUACCCACUGUGUUAGUAAAAAUAUAUAUAUAUCAAUUAAUUUAUCUUGCUUGUAUGUCGAAGUGUUUUCUCUUUAGGUUUAGGUAUAGGUAUUCCAAAUUAAGUUAGCUGUGAGUGUGUCACAUGGGAUUUUCUUGGCAGAUUGCUUGCCUCAGUCGGUUGAGGAUUUUCGUUAAAUUUUUUUCUAGUUCUUUGUCUGUUGAAAAACUAGUUGAAAUUCGUCUGUAGAUUUAGCCUCUCCCCAACAUUAUUGGAGUCCCACUUACAUUAUCAUUGUAGGUUUCAUUGAUUCUUUUGGUGCUUUUGUCCUACAAAUUGUUGGUGUUUUAGCUUUUGUGUGUCUUCCAGGAUUUGCAAAGAUUAUCGGGUUUCAUUCUUAGAAUAGAUACAAUAAGGUGACAUAUAUAUAUAUAUAUAUAUAUAUAUAUAUAUAUAUAUAAUAUAUAUAUAUAUAUAUAUGUCAACCUAAAAAGAUUCCACCAUGUUGAUCCAGCCAAAAAUAAAUAAGCGAAUAACAACACCACCAACAAUUAACAAACAAUAAAGUCGAUGAUCACUUGAGGAAACACUGUAUAGUGGACCUAUUAAGAGGAAAGAGUUCAUUCGAGAAUUAUGUCCAGAGGAAUCAGAUCAGAUUUUCUCAGUGUAAACUAGGUGUGAAGAGACCCAACUGAAAUUAUUAGUCCUUUUCCAGGCCAAUACCGAAUGGGAUGAUUUUGUUUUCAUUUGUGAUUGAUGAGAUGUAGUUUAGUCAAUUGAGACAAAAGGUUUUGGAGGUUUGCCUGUUGGUUGGAGAUGCCUUGCCAAGAUUCCCAAACCAAAGAAUUGGGGGGAAAAAAAAAAAGGACAGAUAGGAGUACGAGGAAAGUGAUGAUAUAUAUCCAUGCCAAAAUCGUUAAACUAACUUGAUGCAUGGAAUUGUUAUAUAUAAGUGCUUUAAUUUAGGGUUUUAUUUAGUUAUGCAACCUUGUUAAUGUAAUUCUCAAAUCCUGCUAACCAACAUGUACAUCCCGUUUAUUUUUUGAGGGCGGAGUAUUUCAUUUUCCCCCUCCCGCCCCCCAACCACCCCAAAUUAACAGCUGCAGUAGCAACUAUUCCUAAACAUUUCACGGCCUUGAUUAAUCAAAAAAAAAUUGUACGACUCAAAUUACAAGUUGUGCAUCAAUUUUAACAUUGUGCGUGGGGUUCAUAAAAAAUAACUAAAUUUAUAUUAUGUUUAAAUUGAUUUGCAUCAUGAACAAAUGCUUUUACAUUUUGUUCAUAUGCAUGACACACUUCUAGACGAUUUCAUCGGUAAUUGUUCUAGCCCCGAAUCCUUGUCCCUCUUCCUCUUCAAAAAAAAAUAUUUUGUUCUGAUUCAAGCUUUGAAGGCUCCCCAAGAAAAAUGUUGACCUAUCUUUUUGUCUGCUACAAGAUAAUCUUGUAGAAAUGAGGAGAUCAGACCCCCCCCCAACAAAAACAAAGCCCCAAAAAAAGUCUCAUUUUCAUUAUCAACAGAGCAAAAGGUUGUCAAGAAAAAAUUGAAGUGUAAUCGAGAAAAUUCUGAUUACUAUGACCUUGUAAACCACAACUAGAGGUACUAGAAAUUUAGUCGAACACAUAACAUCAAAUUAUUUUGGCAGAAAAUAUGGGAGAAAAAUUGAGUAUCAAAACAAUUAAAAUAGACAAAUGUUAUUUGAACUCUCAUUUUUGUUAAUCACACUUCCACUAUUAUUUUUAUCAUAUAGUUUUUAUUUAUUGUAGGAAUACAAUUAACAAAAUAUGGAGUAUAAAUAUAAUUUUCCUCAAAAUUUGUUGUGAAGAGAAAUUCCAUCUAUGAAUUCAACCCCUCUAUUUACUGUGAUUUGAAUAAAGAUUUUUGAACCACUAUUAUGAUGAUAUCCAAAAAGGAGAGAGAAUUAAUACACUAUACGCGCAUUGCUGUAUUAAUAGCAGCAUAGUUUUAGUUGUAACUAAACCAAAAGUAAUCAUAAUGCUUCUAGUACUUUAAUAAUGAGAAAAAGUUUAGAAACCUACUAAGACAUGGCACAGUCUUCAAUAUCAAUAUAGCUUACUAUAAACUUUCAAAUUUUUCUUUUUUUAAACCCCGCCUGAAGGUGAUAGCAUUAUCUUGCAACUCCAACAGAUAAAUAGUAAGGUUAGAUAAAAAUAUGAAUUGCUACAUUUCCAGAUCUACCUAUACAAAUUAGAACUGAACCAUUUUUUUUUGGCAAAAACAUCUUCCUAAUCAAAAUUGAAUUUUCUAAUAAUUUUUUUAUCGAGUCACACUCUAGGCUGAAAGCCUCAACUGUGAUGCCAACCCAAUUGAUACUACAGCACUUGAGGAAUUGAAAAACAAACAAAAAUUAGCAUUAGUUUAAAUAUAUACAAAAUCUUAUUGGAUCCUUCAAUUUGAAUAGACCAGUAAUUGCAAAAUGCGAGGGGGGAGAGAGAAAGAAACAGAGAAAACAGAGGUAGAAGAAUGCCUAACUAGAUUUAUUUUGGUGGAAGCAUCACAUGAUAUAUCUUUUCUCCUAAAAAAAUUCACAAAAUUUUAGAUAAUUACAAAAUUUAACAAAAAAACAAGGAAAAGGAAAAAAAUUGUGAAGAAAUCAAAUCUUGGAAGGAGGAAAAAAAGAAUAAUUUUUUUUUAUUCUUCAUAGAAAACGAUCACCGAUAUAAAAUGAAUUCUAAGAUCUUUUUACAUAUUUUAAUAUUUCAUAUUUUUAUCCAUGAAGAAAUACCAAAUAACAACAUCAUUCUUUAAAUUUAACAAACAAAUGCCAGUUGGUUAUAACAUUCUGAUCGAAGAAUAUAGCAAACAUGAGAGAUUAGAGAUGAAGAAAAAAGGAAGAAAAGAAUAUGUAAAAUGGGAUCAAAAAAUAAUAAAAACUUCUCUUUGUUAAGUAACUAAUCAUCUCGAAGAAAAAAAAACAUGGCAACAAUCUUAGUUACAUUAGUUUUAAAAAAUAAAAAAAAAGGUGAGGGAUAACAGCAGUUGCCGCAAGAAGAAAUGAAGGAGAAAGAAUAUUUUAAUCCUUUUGACCCAAUUGAAUCAAAAAAGGGAAGGAAAAAUUUAACUAAAAUGACCAAGAUUCCACUUGUCAAAAAUAUAUGCAUUACAUGUGUCAAAAAAAUGGACUGCUACAAUAUUACCUCUAAAAGAAUAAUGCAUGAUGUGCAACAAACCAAAGCGAAUCAUUGAACUUUAUUAGCUUACGAUUUAUUGAGGGGGCACAUGACGAAUUGAAUACUGAAUUUAUAUCUUUGGUGCACCUUCAUUAAAUUGUUUACUUCACUUAAUAGCAUCUUUUGGUGCAACUGCGGGAAUCAGUCAAGAAACACAAUACCUAUGCUACUAAGUAAACUUGAUUUACAUAGUUUAAGUUUUUUUAUAUGGUUUAGAGGAUAUACUAGGCAACGCAUUGUGUGUUUGGCAGUAUAUUUCAUUUUGGCAAAUUGCUGUUGCUUUCCUAGUCCGCUGAAAAUACAUCUUUACUUGGGCGAAUAUGAUGUGCGGCCAAAAGAGAAAUAUGUCUUGAGAUUCAACGAGAAAUUCCAACUCUUACAAAAGACGAAAGUAAUAGGAGAAGAUUUAAGAAUUGAAUUCAGGAUCUCUUGAUUAUCAGAUUUAUAUCCCUAUCAGCUAAAUUGGGUCUUAGAAACGAGAUAACGAGAAAUAUACUCUUGCUUAAAUUAAUAUUCGUAUGAGCUAAAUUCGACUAUAGAGACGAGCUAAAGAGGAAUAUACCCUUGCUUGAUUGUAGAGGUGGCAAUUGAUCACAAGUCCGAAUGGGCUACCCAUGCCCAAAAGGAUUUUGGACGGGAUGAGUAUUGUAAUUUGAUAUUGGGUUUAAAAUGGGAUGCAUACCAAUUGUACCCAUUAUUGAUAGGAAAUGUUGGGAAAUAGUUGGGUACCCAUUGGGCCCAAAUAUCUUCUCAAAAAAUUUCAUUUAUCCAAAAAUUCAUCUCUAAUUUUUUUUUUUUUUGCAAAAAUCUGAUUUUUUUUUCUCACUUCCAUUUUCUUUCUUUUCCUUUCUUCACUUUCCUACAAAAGAAGACCAAUUAAGUAAAAAUGAUUUCAUUUAAACAAUUUAAAAAAAUAAAGAUAACAAUAAAAAUAAAAUGAAUUGGUAAAAUUUUGGUGUUUACAAGAAUCAAUGCUUUACUAACAACGGUUGGCACCCUUUAUGUUGAUUUUAUGCUAAUUAUUGAGCUAUCUACAUAGAUUUCUAUAUGCAACCCUGUUAUCAAUUUUUAAUCAGCUUCUUCGUUUCUGUGCUAGCUUUAUUCAGCAUUUAAUGUGAAUUUCUUUUGUGUCAAAUUUUGGAAAUUUUAAGAAUGUCAGUAAGAAUGAAUUUAGUGUUAAAAAAUCUUGUUUCUAGUCCUUGUGUCAGACAACAUUACGGGUAAGGUUGGAAUAUGGUUGUAUAUCUGUCUUUUCCUUUAUUCAUUAAUCCAAUUUUUGGUUUAAUCCAGGGAGAAGAUAUGUUCAUUCUUACCAAAAUGCUAUGUCUUUUUAAAGUAACUGUUGAUUGUUCUAGAGUGUAAAUGAAUUCAGGAAAAUAUAAAUUCACAAUAAGAUCAAAAGAAAUUUAAUAAAUAAAAAUAUUAAAGUUCUAUAAAAAAAUAAAAAAAAAUUAAAGGAAAAAAAUAUAGAAAAUAGAUUUGGGUAAUGAACGAGAUCAAUCUAAACCCAUCCCAAAGUGAUCCCGCCCAAGCUAAUCCCAAAACACAUAUGGGUAAGGUUAGGCCCAAACCCAUAUGAUUCGAUUCCACUUCGAAUCCAAGCAAAUUCCGCCCAUCCCGCUCAUUUUGCCACCUCUAAUGUUUAUUAUGUUAAACACAUGAUUUUCAUCUUAAAUAUUCAUUUGUCAUCGUAAAUUCUUUUCAAUCAUUAGUGCUGGCUCUAUUUCUUUUCAACAUUUAUAGGUUUACCAUCUUGGCAUCCAUGCUAGUGUUGGUAUAGAAGUUUGCCAACAACUUAAAGAAUUUCUCAACAAAAAAAUUUAUGUAUGUAAGUGAUUAUCAUAAUUAAUUUAUCCAAAAAAAUUAAUUUAUCUCAAAAAAAAAAUGAGUGAUUAAAAUGGAAUAUCAAAUCUUCACUAGUCCACUUGAAUUGGACACUGACAAAAAGCAGCCUCCCAAAUAGACCUGAAGCAACCAAACCAAAGAUAGACAAGCUUUGCUUGGAUAAUGGACCAAUCUGGCCCAAUUCCACCCUUAUCAUAAGGCUUCCGUGUUGUGAAUUCACGUUUCCACUUUUGAGCCGUGAAAAUCUAUUUUUUCCAUCUCUGUUUUUUUUAGCAGGUAAUUUAUUUUAUUUUAUUAACUCGAAAAAGAAAAUAAAAGUAGAAGGGGGACUAAACCUGACCUCCAAUGCUUUUUAUCUUUUUCCAGUCUCUGUUUGUGUUUAUACAAAUAAUGUAACCUAUACUAACCUUUACUGAUGAAAAGGGGAACUUAAUAUAUAAGAUCUAUUGAGUUUGACAAAAAAAUAAAAAAAAAUUGAGUUAUAUAAGAGGUAGUAGGGAAAGAUCUAUUUAGACCAAAAUGGUGUACUGGAAUUUGGGGUAAAAAUGUUGCAACGAAGAGUUAAUUUGAGGUAAAAAUGUAAAAGUGUUACAAUAAGGCGUAAUUUAUUAAGAAUAACUAGUACAACUUUGUAACAACAAUAUUAUAAAUGGUGUACUGGAAUUUGGGGUAAAAAUGUAGCAAGGAAGAGUUAAUUUGCGGUAAAAAUGUAAAAGUUUUACAAUAAGGUGUAAUUUAUUAAGAACAACUAGUACAACUUUGUAACAGCAAUAUUAUAAACCAACACUAUUCACAAUAAAAAUUCCUUUGCUUCUUGGAACUGUACAUUUUUUAAACUUUGUCUUGAAAAAAUCUUAACCAUAAAAAGGUACCGACAGUUUUCUUUUCUUUCUUCUUUUUAAUGCUCAAAACCGCUCACUUAUAACCCUUCUCAUCUCACCGUCCAAUCCAACUCAAUUUUGUCCCUCAGCUACGGAUAAUUGUUCUACCCUUAGUUUGUGCUAACACACCCUCUGAAUCUUUUUACCAAUUUCAUGAGGGACCCCAAGAACACAAUGCUCUUAAAUAGUUUUUAUGAUCAACUAGCUUAAUUAACAAUGUGUCUUAAAUUAAGUGUUAAGUGGUAUUGGAAGUUCCAGCUACGUUGGAGACAUGUAUGGGCUACCAAAUGUUGUUGAUAAUAUAUUUUAGAGAAUAAGAGGUACUAGAAUGUGUUGUUAAGACAGAAAUAAUAGGUAUAAUUUCAGAUUUUUCUGUUGAAAAUGAAAGCUUAUGCUUUAAUUUGAUGGUGGUAAAUGUUGUUUAACUUCUAGAAUGAGGAGAGAAAAGGAAAAAUUAAGUAAAAAUAACCAAUUUUAAUUUGAAUUGUAUCAAAUCUCGAAUUACUCCAACAUAUUUUUGAGGUAGGUUAAUAUAUCAUUAUAUUUACUAACUGCAAGCAGCAGAGUUGAAAAUAUUUUUAGUGGGGAACAAUUAAAGCUACUAAAUUUUUUUUUUUUAAUUUAGUUUUGCAAACAGUAUGGAACAACAACACUGCAUAUAGUAAGUAGUGACACAUAUUAAUUCAUGAAUAAUAUAAGAGGAUGCAAACAAACAAAAAAAAAUCACUAAUACCCUAUAACUUAUUAAAGUACAAAAUUUCAGUUCAUAAAAAAAAAAAAAAAACUCUUCAAUAAACUAAACUCCAUAAAGCAUUCGGUUUGUACUUUAAUCGUCAUUAAAAUGAUUCAUUACGUUUGCCAAAUGUUUUUCAUUAAAUGUUGUUAUCAAAAACUUAAAGCCACAUAUUUAUACUGAUUUCCUACCAAUUAUCAUGGUAACCACAAAAAUUUUCUACAACACAAUACCUUAAAUGUGCAUUUUUCUUUGGUCAGUUGGGGUGCAUUAAUAAAUUAAUGAAAUAAAAGAAAGUCUAAAAAGUUAUAAACUUUAACAUUGAAAAUAUCCUUUGGUCACUGGGGCAACCAAAAUAAACUCACAAUAUGUGCCCAAACUAACCAAAAGGUAGACCUACCACUCUUACACUUUUUUUCAAAGAUUACAAGAAACUCAUAACGAUGGAUAAGAGUGGAGGAAAAAAAAAAAAAAACUGUUGAUCUGCUGACAUGCGAAACUAAACAAAAUUGCACCCAAAUUACAACUUAACAAUACUAACUUCUGGGAAGAUAGAAUAUUCCAACUUUUGGUGGGCUGGAGGAGGAGGUGGAUUAUUUUUUUUUUUUUUGUCAACAGAGUGGGUGUCCGGAUCAAGUCCGUAAAGGCGGCCCGACUAAUCCACUCCGGCCCAGCCCGGCGCAAUUUGUGUUAAGACAAUUUUCUAAGCCAUGUUCAUGUUUCGCCAUGCAAUUUGCAAUUUGUGUGGUUGUUCUAAUAGUUAAAGUUGACAUAAAUAAAUUAAAGGUUUUUGGGUUUAACUCUUUCUUUCUACUUCCCACUUUUUAAAUUCCACCCUUCUUGUACUAAAAAUAAACAGAAAGAAAGAAAGGAAAAAAAAUUUGCUUUUCGCCUAGCCUCAAGGAUGUACAAUAGUUGUAAAACUGCUCUUCUAUUCUUAAAGUAUUACUUAGGUUUAGUUUAAUAAUUCAAUUCAAUGUUUAAAUUUAAUGAGUUUAAAUCUUAAUAUAUUCAGACAUGUUUGAUAACAAAAAAUAGAACAUCUAAAUUAAUUAAGUGUACUAAAUUUUUUAGACAAAAUUUGCUCCAAAAAAUAAGUGAUAAACUAUUUACUUAUUAUUUAAUGUGAUAUUUAUUUAAAUAUAUCAAAUUUAGAUUUUAUUUGAUAAUACAAUUCAGCACUUAAACUUAACGUACUCAGAAAUUUAAAUUGUCUAUCUUGGACUAGUGCAUCACGCAUGCCUUUUAUAGAUAUGAAAUUUCUUGUUGUUAAACAACCUUCGUUCGUUUAUUUGCAGUAAGUUGAAAUUUUGAUGUACCUCCUAUAAAGGUUUGGGCAAACGACAAUUAACUGGCGGCCUAAGUGCCUGUUUGAUAACAUAAAAAAUGCUGAAACUGAAUUCAUUCAGACAUUCAGAUGUUGUGGGUGUUUGAUAAAUAAAAAUUCACCUGCUGAACUUAUUAAGUGGUGCUAAAUUUGUGUGUAUUUUUUUCACCACAAGAAUCGUAACUGAAUGCUUAAUUUGAUAAGAAUCAAGAUAUUUACUUCAAUUACUUUAUCUUAUCUACCAAAUAUAUCCCUGUUUGUUAAUUACAUUCAAAAUCCUUAUCUAAUUAAACAACCUAAUAUUCCCUAUUCAAAAUCCUUAUCUAAUUAAACAAAACAACCUGAUAUUCUCUAUUCAAAAAUUUUUUUAACAAUAGUAUUUUUUUUGUGGUAAUUUUCAUCCACAAACAUUUAUAUUUUGAUAUAUUUUUUUUUGUGCAGAUAAAUAUUAUUUAUGUGAGGUAACUUAUCCACACACACGUGGCUUUAUGACACCAUAUCGAAAUAUUAGAUAUUGGUUGUUUGAUUUUCGAAAUGCUUCUCGUCCAAGAUCAAAAGGAGAACGCUUUAACCAAGCACAUGCAAAAUUGAGAAAUGUAAUUGAACGUGCUUUUGGAGUAUUAAAAGCUCAUUUUCCCAUUCUCAAAACGAUGAAACCAUACCCUUUUCCCACACAAAAAAACAUUGUCAUUGUAUGCAUUGCUCUUCACAAUCAUUGUCAUUUUCAUAUCUAUCAAUUUUAAGUUAAUUAAAUCAUAGGUUCUAUUUCCUUUUUGGAUUAAAAGAUAGAAGGGAAAAAUUGUACAAUUUAGUUUAUUAAGCAUUAAGUUAUGAAUAUUUAUCAAAUAGUAUAAAUAGAUUCAGCAUUAAGAUUCAGACAUUCAUAUAUCUCUUUUCAGUGCUUAAAAUUCAGCAAAUUAAUUAUUUCAGUAUUCAGAAUUCAGAUUCAGUAUUAUCAAACGGAGCCUAAAUUUGGCAAACUCAGCUACCUACUAAAAUUUUCAACCAAAUGUUAGGAUACUAUUAAACAACAAGAGCAAACGAAAUUUCCCGAACUCACCUGAUGAGUUAGAUGGCACAAUACUUGUGUGUUUUUUUUUUUUAAGUACAAAAAGUUUGGACGGAUUCAACUUUGAUUAUUACCACAAGACAAAAUAUGUCUGCAGAAUCAUAAGUUGUUUAUAAGCAUUCUUAUAAAUUUUGCACAAACAUAACUCUCGUAUCGACAAUAGAAUUCGAACACACGAAAUGAUAUAAUACUUUUACCAUUUAGUACUUCAAUAUAUUAUGUACGUUUAUUCUUGAAAAAUCCAUACAAUAAUAGCCUUUGUAAGUCCAUCCCAAGUUAGAGCUCCUAAGAAAAAAGCCUUUCUUUAGAAGUUAUUUGUACUAAUUUUCAAGGCAAACACUAAUAUGUGUGCAGCUAAUAGAAAAAAUAUUAUAUUAUUUAAUGUUUUGAAUAUAUAGUUAGAGUUCCUAAGGAAAAGGAUUUCUUUAGAAGGUUUAUUUGCACUAGCGUUCAAGGCACAUACUAGUAUAUGUGCAACUAAUAGGAAAAAAAUUAUUUAAUGUUGUGAAUAUAUUUGAUGAAUCCUUUUCAGCAGAAUUGGUUUUAUAUAUUUUGACAAUAUAAAUAGGAAAAAAUCCGCCAAAAUAAUGUAUAAAUUGAUAGUUAAUUGAUAGUAAUAUAUAAGACUAUAAUUAUAAUUGGUAGCUAACAAUAUAAAUUAUGAUUUUUUUAAAUAAGUUCAAAAUUAAAAUAACAAAAAAAAUAUGGUACUUGGAAAGAGGAAAUAUAAUAGUGGGUGGUUACUAAAAGCAAUUUAGGAUGAACAUAAAAUGACACAAAAUUGUUUACACCAAAAUCCCUCUCCCCGCUUUAUAUCGUGACAAAUUAUAGUAAAACAUGGUCGCCCAAAAUCUCCCUUUAGAUGUGUUCUCUCCACAUCUUUAUGCAAAUUGUUGUAAAAAGUUUAGGCACAAACUUAGAUAGACCUGAUCAUGUAGAUCUAGUGGUCCAAAUUUUGUUACAUUUUCAAUAUUUGAAUGGUGAGAUGAUGUGGCAAAUUUUGAAUCACUAGAUCUAUAUAGAUCGAAUCUAUUCAAGUCUUUGCAAAAAGUUUAUUGCUGAAACAAACUUUAAUCUUUUAAAAAUUUUUAAAUAAUUUUAUAUUAAUAAUUAAAUAUUUAGGAGUAAUAAUGUUGAAAACACAUGCUUAAUAGUUAAAAGUAAAAAUUGAUCAUGCAUUUUUUUUUGAAAUAGGCCAUGGGUAGUUAUCUUUUACAACAUGUGUGUAGGUCUGAAACAAACUUUAAUCUUUUAAAUUUUUUUCAUAAAAUAAUUUUAUAUUGGUAGUUAUAAUAUUUAGGAGUGGUUAUGCUGAAAACAUGUGUACCUUUAAAACAGGUGUAUAGGUAGUUAAAAUAAAAGUAGUUUUCAUGAAGACAAAAAUGAAGUUUAUAAAGUGACAAGUAAUAACAAACGUUUACUCCAAACUCCACCCUCUUCCUUUAUGUGUAGUAUAGAUAGAUAUCUAAUUCUGUACUAUAUGUUAAAGGAAAGGGAGGGAUUGGUGUAAACAAUUUUGUACUCCGUCACAUUCUUUCUAAACUACCAUUGAUAACUAUCCAGUUCCAGCUUCCAUUAUAUCCUUCUUCCAACUAAUAUUUAUUUUUUAUUAUUUUGUUUUUCAACUUAUUUAGUAAACCUUAAUUUUUAUUAGCAACUAUCAAUUAUGAUUAUGAAUUAUUACCAAAUAAUUUUUUGUUUAUAAUUUUAUUUACUGAAUUUUCUACAUAUCUACUAUUACAACAUAAAACUAAUUCUCUUGAAAAUGAUUUCAAAUAUACUCAAAAAAUUUGGCACAAAUUUCUUUUAUCGGCUGCAUAUUUCUAUAUAUAUAUAUAUAUAUAUAUAUAUAUAUAUGUAUUAUAUUCAUAUGCACUUUGAACACCACCACUAAAUAUAAAGGGAUAGAGGAGGGGUUGGUGUAAACUUUUUAUGUCAUUUUUUAUAAUUUCUAUUUUACUUUUCAAAUAAAUGGCAAAAUGAUACUGUUAUCUCCCAAACAAAAAAAAAAAACACAUACACGCAACCCCAUUUUUCUAGCCUAAUAUAACUACCAAUAGAGCAAUGACCACUAACAACUUUCCAUCCAAACAAAAAAAAUGGAAAAAGAAAAACACAAUUCUUCCAUCCAUAUUUCUAAAAAAAAUUCCUUUUAAAAUUUUUUCCUUCUAGAUUUGCACAUACAUAGGGUGUGCCAUUCUCACUAGUAUAGUAUAGACAUAGAUGCUAUCCCAAUCACCAUCUGAACCAAUCUAUCUCUUUCACACCCUCCCAACUUGUCUAGUCUUAUCCAUCUGGAUAUCUAUAACUUGCAACUUCCCACUUCUAUUUGGGUUUUGGAUUCUAUAUACGAUUGUUAGUGCACUUUUUUUUUUUGUGUUACAUCCAUAUUACAUAAUGUUAAGGCAGAAAUUCGUGUUGAUCAUGAAUCCACUAAAUUUAGUAAAAGAAUACGAGUGUUAACCUAGAAUAUGGUAUAACAUAAGUGUAACAUCAAAAAGUAUAACGGGAUUUCAAAAACUCUUCAACAGUUUGAAACUUGGAUGCAACCAGAUUGGCAUGUAUAACAGGGAAGGUAUAAUAAACAGAGUGGGGACAAUGGCAACCAUUAGAUUGGUGUCACACUUAAAUUGCUCUCUUUCUGCCUAAAAUUUGUGAUCAUCCAAAGUCCAAGUAAAUUUAUUGCAUCAUUCUAUCUUAACCACUAAAUUUGUGUCGGCACUAGAGGUGGCAAAUCAACCCACUUAAUUAAAUUUACCCAUACCCGCCCAUAAAUAGAUGGGUAUGGGUAUCUUAAAUUUUUGUAUAUGGGUAUAAAUGGGUUACCCAAUAAUACCCAUUUAUUAAAUGGGUAUUAUUGGGUAACCCAUCAAACCCAAUUAACCCAUUUAAAAUUCUCUUCCCCCCAAGUCUCUUCUUUUCUCCCACCCAUUUUUUUUCAAAAUUUUCAUUUUGUCAUGUUGUUAACUACUUUUGUUUCAUUAUUAUUAUUAUUAUUAUUAUUGUUUGUUGGUAUUAUCUUAUUAUUUUAUUUUCUCUUAGUUUGUUAACUUGCUUAUUUUUCAGCAUUACUGAUUUAUGAUAAAUUUUAGCCUAUUUUCUUAUCUUUCUAAAAUGAAAUUUUAAAUUUAUAUAUGAAAAAAAUGUUAAGGGUUCAAAAUUUUUGGAUUAAGUUUUUAUAUUAAUUUUUAUAGUACUUAGUUCAAAUUUUUAUAUUCUUAUUAUUCAAUUAUUAAAUAAUAGGUAAUUUUGUGACAUAGAGUAUAAAUGAAAAAAAUUGGUAAUUAAGUUUAUUGAACAUUAUAAAUAAAUAUUUAAAACUAAUGAUGGAUACAAAGAGUGGUAUAAAUUGAUAACUUAGUUUGCAAAAAUGAAUUUAAAUGAGUUUACAAAAAGUUAAAAUAAAUGGGUUAUAAAUGGGUAAUUGGGUUAUCCAAUUCACUUUUUGACUUACCCAUUUAUACCCAUCUAAUUAAAUGGGUAUAAAUGAGUUGACUCACUUAUACCCAUUACCCAUUUUACCCAACUCAAACCCGCCCAAGUCACCCAUUUUGACACCUCUAGUCGGCACUAUCAGUCAACCACUUUGUGUUAAGCGUGUUCAAUCUGCAGUUGUUAGGAUAAGUAUGUUUGAGGUUCUUGUACUUUUGAACAUGAGAAAUUGAAUUGGUUUAGCAUCUCAAAUAUGCGUUUAGAUUGUUAGUUUAAGUGUUAAAAAUUAGGCAUACCAACAAGAAGUGUCCAUUGAGUAUCCAUUAAAAGAUCAUCCUUCACAGUAUUCUCCUCGACUCUAGUAUCAUAGUCAAUUAAUUUUUGUAGAUAUUUGUUAUAUAGGUUUGAAAACCUUGCCCGGCAAUUACUACAUUUUUUUCUGAUGACUAAUUUCGCCAUCAGAAAAGGGACCAUGCAAAAUUGGAAUGAGUAAUGCUCGCGGGAUGUAUGGACAUUGGCAAAAGAGGCACCCUUUGGUCCUAGAAUCUAGUACAUACAUAGUCAAGAUUGGAGUCUAGGAGGGACUGGCGGACUAAAGAGUCACCCUUUGGUCCUAAAAUCUAGGGUAAAAAAUAAAAAAGUCCUUUGUGAUAAAUCUAAUACAUAGAAAAUCUCUCCAUGAUUUCAAAAUAUACUACACGAUCUCUCAUGUUUUGAAUUAAACUGUAAAGGUGACGGAAUCCGUUAAACUUAACGGAAAUGGACGAAAUGAUCAAAAUGCUCUGAUAUAAUUAAGCAAAAGGUAACUCAAAAAAUCAUUUGUUUUAUUCUCUAAAUAGAGAAAAUUGAGGGUUAAGGGAUAGAAUAGAUAUAUUUGAUAAAAAUUAGGUAUAAAAUUUUUUUUUUAGAUUCCAAUAAGUCACGUCCGUUAAGUUUAACGGAUUCCGUCACUUUUACAAUUUAAUUCAAAGUAUGAAGUAUCAUAUUAUAUAUUUUGAAAUCAUAUGAAACUUUUCUGUAUAUUAGACUUACCACAUGAGAUUUUUUUGUUUUUUACCCUAAAAUCUAGUACAUAUAGGUUGACGUUGGCUUUUGAAGGCCAGGCCUACCCAAUUUUGGCCGUACAUAUAUAGUCAAGAUUGGAGUCUAGGAGGGGACUACGGAGGAAAAUGGAUUAGCACUUAGCAGAUAUUAGACAGGGAUAGAUGAAAAUGAGAAGAUUCAAUGCACACUACGAAUAUUAUAUGCAUGUUUCGGAGCUUUGGACCCGACCAGUGGCUAGGCUAAACUGUCUUUCUUUUCUUGUGUCUGUUCAGAUGAUCUGAGAAGUACCCCUCAAAUCAGCUGGCGCUGCCACUUGGGAUCUUGUUUAAAUAAUGACGAAAACCUGGCAUUUGAACAUCACGUUCUGCAUUUGCUGCCUAUUAAUGUCUCAGAUUACAAAUCUGAAACUUACAGGUAUAUUUGUCAUCAGAAGCUAAUUCUUUUUUUUUUUUUACCAACAUAUUGUCCAUCUCACCUACCAUGCUUGUACAGGCCCGUCAUGCGGACGGUAUUGCUCUCUUAAUAUAUUUCCCUUUAAGGGCUUAGGGAGGACAGAAGGGGAAUCACAAUUUGUUGAACUUCUGUUCUGAAAAAACAAAAAAUACUUUCAUAGGGAUUUGAAGGGCACUCUCAUAUUCGCAUGUUCAUGGGAUGGAUUUGUUUUGGAACAAUUGUAAAUUAAUCAAUGGUUAUGAUAACUCAUGAUCUUGCCCCGGAAGCAAGUCUUUUUCUGAGGAAGUUCAUACCUGUUCUAGUAGUGCUCAAACAUAAACAAUUUUUUAUUUUUUUUUGUCGAUGCGAUAGCUUUUCUUAUUCUAUAUUAAGAGGGAGUCGAUAGACUCAAAUGAGUCAAAAGAGAAAAUUCGAAAGGAAUUGAAUAACUUUCGGAUCAAAUGAAUACUUUUACACUUAUUGAUAAAAUUUUUAAAAAAUUCUGAAAAUAAAUACAAAUAAAAAAAUUGGAUCCCUUGACCCGCACUUUAAGGAGAGCCUUUCUCUCAACCACUCUUAAGGUGGUAAACUUGUCUUGUUUUCUUGUAUGGUGUGCAAGAAAUGCAUUGUUUUAGUACUACACUCCACUACUUGACGGCAUCUUGUUCCCAAAAUAUGUUUUCUAUUCCUUAGUGCCAGUCUUUCAGUUCAAUCAAAUGAACUGACUUGAUGAUGCGUGUACGACAUUUGUUUGACCGCAAUGAAAAAGUUGUUCUAAUUUUUUUUUUUUUUUUGUUGAAACGAUAGGUUUCCUAUAACCUAAACUAGCCUAUUCUAGGGGAAGGGGACUUAACGUGAGUAGAAACUCCAUCGAAGAAGGCCAAAGAAGACCGUCACACAUUGUGACAAAUUUUUUAGGGAGGCAGAGUUCAAACCUAUAACCUCUUUGCAUCACCAAACCUUAGAAGAUUUGGGAUGAUCACUGGACCAAAGGCCCAAUCGCAGAAAAAGUUGUUCUAAUCUGAUUGGUAAGUUUCAAACAUUUUGAAAAAGAGUGGACAGGGUAACAAAUCUACCACACAUGGAUUGCGUAACUCUAUGUCGUGGCAAAAUGUGGAAGGUAAUGGAUGCAAGAGGUACAUAGGAAUUUAGUACUGCCUCAAAUUCUUGAAUUCAAAAUUCUAUUCUACAUGUUCCUCGUAAAUUCAAAAAAUCCGUUUAUACGUGAUCCUCAAGUCUCACAAACAUUUCAUGCAUUUGGUAACUACAAAUAAGUCUUUUUUUAAUUCCUUGGUUACCUGUUGAAAAAAAUUCGAAAUGUACAUAGGAAAAUGAUGACCUUGUUACUUGAGCCAACCAUCUGUUUCAGUAUCAGAAUUCUAAAUUAAAUUUAUUUCUAUUUCAUAGGGACUAAGGACUGACGAGUGCGAACUCGAAAACUUCAAACGGGUACAGUUGGAAAAUCUUUAAUUUAAGGGCAAAUUGCAUUUUACCCUCCAAUGAUUUAGUAUUUUUGUACAUAACUCUCCUAUGGUUUUAAAAGUCAUACAUAACUCUCUCAUGAUUUGGAUUAAAGCGUCAAAAUGAAAAAAAUGAUCAUUCGUAAUGGAACCUUUAAAAAUGUCGAAAUUACACUUAUUUAAAAAUUAAAAUGGUUGAAAUGACUAAAAUAUAUAACUAUAAUAUACAUGACGCACUAAUCCCGUAUGAUUUUAUGUUUUACCAUAUAAUCCCCUUAUAAUUUAAUAUUUUACCAUAUAACCCCCUUAUAAUUUUUAAAAUAUACACAUAACCCUCUGUAGUUAAUAAAUAAUUUUCAACUUUACAGAAGGGUAUUUUUGAUAUUUUAGGUGACUCCAUUAUGGAUUGCAAAUUUUGUUAUUUUGACACUUUAAUUUAAAUCAUGAGGAGGUUAUAUAUAGUUUUUAGAAUCAUAAGGGAGUUAAGUACAAACAUAUGAAACCACGAGGGGUAAAGUGUAAUUUGCCCUAAAUGUAAGUACUAGUGUUAAAGGUACACUCAAUGUGUUACAAUGAGUAAAUAAUUAAAAUGAAUCAAUUUUGUAUGUAUUUUGUUUGUUACAUGCAAAAAAUUUAUACUCCUGUCGUCCCAUUCAUUUGGUUAUGUUUGGAGAGUCCAACUUUUUAAAAACAGUGGUUUGAUUGUGAUGUUUGUGCUUCUCUUUCCAGUUUUACCCCUCAAAUUCAAAUUUUAAAUUUGAAUGUAUGAUUAAAAAUAAUGGUUAUAUUGGAAAGAGAGUGUAAAAGUUGUUUUGACUUUUCUAACAUGACAAUUGUUUUUGGACAUCCCAAAAUGGAAAGUAUAACCAAAUGAAUGAGACGGAGGGAGUAUAAAAUUUUCAUAAAAGAACUUUAGUUGAUAUGAUUAUACUAAUUUGAUAGUUGCAGUACUUAGUGUGGUUAUGUAUAGCUAUAUUGGCAAAAUGAGUUGAUUAAGGAAAAAAUUAAUUUUUAUAAGGGCAAAACUACAAGUUCAAAAAUGACAAAAAAUGUUUAUACCAACUGGCAUUAUUCAGACAUUAUACAUUGUAUACAUAGCACGAAGAUCUUAAAAUUAGUGUGUAACUUGUGAGUUUUAAACCAAUAGAAUUGACAUUCAUAGUUGGUAUUUUUGUUGAAAAUUAAUGACUCAUCCUUGAUUUAAACUUAAAGGGCCUGUUUGGCAAGUAAAUUUUUUGCCAAUUUUGUCUGCUAUCAGUUUUUUAAUAAUUUUAACUAUAGUAAUCUCAAAAAAAUUUUCAAAAAUUUUAAACCAUACACUUCAAAAUAUCCAAAAAUUUACACACUUUAAAAAUUUUUCUUACAACUUUUACAAUAAAUUACAGUAAAAUUUUAGACAAUCAUUCAAAAAAUUCAUUACCAAACGGGCCUUUGUUAGCCAAGUUAAUUAGUUUGAAGAGCCCUGUAGCUGUUUCCAAGAUUCAACUUAGCUAAGUAAGAAUAGUCGGGUGAUGACCAUGAGAUUUUUGGUUCGAUUUUUAAGUCCUCCCCUUUUCUCCUUUCCUCUUUGUUUUCAUCACCUCCAAUUUUCAUAGUAUAUUUGUUAUUUCCAUACUCUAUUUCAUAAUAUGAACAGAGGUUUAAGCUUAAUUUUUAUUUAUUUAUUUAUUUAUUUAUUAUUAUUAAUUUUUUUUUUUAGUGUAAGCAGGAGGACACUCCCUCCCCCCGUAUCACUCAACCCAUCCCUCCCCCGAGAUUUACACUUAAUGUAUUAGUCAAAUUUAUUAUUAGUUAUUGCACUUAAUAUAUGUCAUGACCUUUGGAUUUAUAUCUAAUUUGUCCUUUGGUUUAUAAAGGUCCAAAUAAAUGCUUUUGAGCCUUUCGGAAUUACUUUUAUAUCUUUUUUUUUCACACUUACAUUUUAUAUUUUAAUACUACAUUUUGUAUCCUUAUUUGUUGACAUUUACAUUUUAUAUUUUAAUACUAAUAACAUUUUGUCUAAAUACAAUGAGUUUAUCUUUAUAAAAGACAUAUUCUUUUUAUUCAUUUAUUUCUUGUUAAAUAUCAGUCUUUAAUAGUUGAUUAAUUAAUUUUUAUAUCAUUCUGAUUAAAUAUAUUGUUUUUAUAAUUAAUAUAGUAAAUUUUUACUAAUUUAACCUUUGAGAGAACUACUACUGGUAUUAAUUAUUUUUUAAAAAUAAUAAUGCCUUCGCUAUUUAAUUAUUCGGUCCAAAAAAAAGACAUUCCAAAUUUAUUUCAAAGCAUUACCACUGCUGCGCUCGUAUAUCAUCUACAACAACUAUACUAAGUAUUGAUACUUAUAUGUUUCCUCCAUGCGCUCGUACAUCAUCUGCAAUAUUGGCUAUUAAAGAUACUUUCAUGCGCGGUUACCACUUCCAUACGUCUUGCAAUUAUCCGAAGGAAAGGUAAAUUCCUAGGUCGGUUACCACUUCCAUACGUCUUGCAAUUAUCCGAAGGAAAGGUAAAUUCCUAGGUUCUCUUGAAAGGGAAUCAAGCAUAGAAGCCCUCCAUAGGCCUGUCAACGGGUCGGGUCUAGACCCGGAUCCGGACCGAAUCCGUGAAAUUAUUGCGGGUAUGGAUAGGGAUUUAAUUCCGUUUUCCGGAUCCAGAUCCGGAUCCGUUUUGUCAAACAAAAAAACGGGUCGGAUACGGAAUAUAGUAUUCUGACCCGUAUUAGACCCGGAUCCGGAUAUAAAUGAAUUAAUAAUUUUAAAAAUAUAUAUUUAUCAAUAUAAUUUGAUUAGAGUGAUGUAUUUUAAUAAAGUUAAUUUGAUUUCUUUUCUUAUUUGGUUUUUUCUUUGCAUUAGUUAAAAAUUAGUUUACAAAUAUACUUUUUUUUCAUUUUUAUUAUAAAUUUUGCUAAAUUUGUUCGGGUAGACCCGGAUCCGGAUCCGGGACCCGCAGGAUCCGGAUCCGGAACAUAGAAUAAAAGACCCGUCGGAUAAACGGGUCGGGUCCAGGUCCGGCAUAGUAAUUCGGGUCCGGAAUAAUGAAUUCCGGCCCGGACCCGACCCGUUGACAGCCCUAGCCCUCCAACACCAGUAAGUGAAACACGAUUAAUUAACCCUAAAAGGAUUCUCUUAUUAUUUAAUAAUCAUGGGCACUAUAAUAUAUAUGCAAUAAAAUCGUGCGUAGUUUACAGCCUCCUAGUAUAUAUAUAGUACUCGCUUUGUCUAAUUUUGAUAGUCUUGUUUUUUUUUUUUUACACAGUUUAAGAAAAAAUAGUUAACUUUGUUGGAAAAAUAAAUUUAAAUUGCUAUUUUUCUAAAAUACCCUUACAUUAAAUAAAGUUGGCUUUUCAUAUAUCAAUAUGUUUUGGAAAAUCUAAAUGCAUUAAAUGGAGUGAGUUAUAUUCAAUACUAACGAUCUAUAUUACAUAAGGUAGUUUAUAGGAAUAACAACUUACAUUGAAUAAGGGUAUUAUAGAGAAAUUAAAAGACAACUACAUUUUUCAAUUGAAAAGUGGACUACGAUUUGGGACAGAUAAAAAAUGAAAACAUGACUAUCAAAAUGGAACGGUGAGGGUACAUGGCUAGGGAUAAAACAAAAAUAAAAAUGCAAGAAAAACGUUUAGCACAAACGGCUUGCGUGGUGUUUGUCUUGCCAUAGACUGUAUAGUACAGAGAUCUAACGGCGGAGAGGGCAUUGGUUUGAAAAAUGAAGUAAAAUGGAAGUUCCAAAUUUGUCGUGUUUGAAGCAUGCAAUCGCGAAACGCAUUUUCUACCACAAUAAUGACUAUUUAUAGCAAUCAAGCGACAGGAUUUGCAUCCAAGACAUUAAUGACACUUGACCUAAAGAAGAACAGUUAGCCUAAAAUUACUACAAAUCUGUUAGUUCAAAGUCUGAUUUUAACUCAAAACUGUUAGAUCUGUUGCUACCAACUUCACUGGAUAAUGGAUUGAAACACAACGGAAAUUGCUUAAAAGAGGGAGGAAAAAAAAAAGGAUUAAUUUUUACUAUGCGAUAACUAUGUAAAAUUUGAAUUUGAAAUUUAAUAUUUACACAUAUGUCAUGAAUUAAACGGUGGUGAUAGUGUAUAUACUGUCAGUGUAUAUAAGAUUUACUAAAAAAAAAAAGGCCAAAUAUCGAAGAAGAUUAACGGUGGAGUAAUUUUUAAUUGAUACGUUUAUUUUUUUAUGUUUUAUUUGUUUUAAUCUUGAGCUAUAAAAAUGUGACAUCAUUAGUUAUCUUUAGGACUAAACCGACCAAAUAGAAAGCCUCGGAUUUUCCGAAUAAACAAACAAAAAUGUUCAUUUUCUUCAAACUGAGUACGAAAAGGUUGUAAACCACUAACUUUUCUAAGAAUCUUGAUUAACCAUUAUUUUAUGUUGAAUCUUAAUUUUUUUUGGGGGGGGGUGAAUUUCUAUUACUUGACGGGUUAGACUGAAUUUUGUUGGUAAUAUUUUGCCCAAUUUGGUCCCAUCUUUAUUCCGGCAAACCUAUAUAGUUAGCUAGUUAAUUGUUUAAACGAAGCAGCCAAUGCAAGAGAAUUCACAGAAAAUUAGUACAAGAUAAAGGGAAAUAUCUUGCUAUAAAUGGACAUGACCUAUUAAAAUUUUUUAAAAAUUCUAAUAUAUCCUCCCCUAACUUGGAAGUUCUUUGUUCUUCGGUUCUCUUUUAUUCAACUCGUGCUCAGUGCACACUCGAUGUGUGUGCAAUCCAAAAAUACAUAAUAUUUAUAAUUAUAUAUUUUAAAUAAAAUUUUUGUUACUGAAGCAAACUUUAAUCUUUUAAAUAUUUUUCAUAAAAUAAUUUUAUAUUGGUAAUUAUAAUGUUUAGAGGCAGUUAUGUUGAAAACAGAUACUUAAAUAGUUAAAAAUAAAAUUAAUCAUGAAUAAUUACAAGUAGUUAAAGUAAAAGAAGUUUUCAUUUUGAAAUUAAUGAGAGUUCUUAAAGUUGAUCUCAUGUAGCCCAAUUGGAGCUGUUGAUUGCGUGGUGCUUUUAGAGAGACACACUGAAUUUUUUGACUGCAAACUAAUGCCCAGUCCGUCCGGUAAGAUUAUUAGAUUUUGUGACAAUAGUAUUGGGAGGAAAAAAAAUCAUCAACAACCAUUUUAGACCAAUGCUUGUAUCAGAUUGCACAUUAUAUGUUCAUAAUCGCAAAUCAUCCAUACAAUAUAUAAAGCUAGAAGAGUGACACUUGGUACAAAUAAAUUUCCGUCAUUUUUUGAACUUUCAGCUUCAUCUUUAUAAAAAAAAAAUUUAAUUUUUAUCUUUAUCACCUAAUCAUAUUUUGCAAUUAUGACCAUUCAUAACCACCCUGUUCAUAACUAUCAAAUUACUAUAACAUCAUAAAUUAAAGCUGAUUACUGAAUUAUAUCAGUUUAAUUUAUGUGUAAAACAAAAUUUGUAUAAAAUUUAAUCCAUUUUAAUUAUUUUUGAAUUGCAUAUAUAUAUAUAUAUAUAUAUAUAUUCGGUGUGCCCUUAACACUAGUAUUCCAUUAUUUACAUAGUAAUAUUUUAUCAAAACCUAUUAAUAAUGCAAUCAAUAUUGUCCCUCUUUAGCUUGUGGAGUAGCAUUUGUCACUAGAGAAUAUUUAGCAUUUGAAUUUUUUUAAUCAGCCAUUUGAGCUAAAGUUUGUGAAAAAUUUUUUCUAUUACUUAUCAUGGUGUUUUUGUAAUGUAUGAGAGUAAUUGGAAAAUGAGGUUAGGAAUAUUUGAAUGUGUUUGAAUAAGAGAUUUUUUGAAAUACUACUCUACUUCUUAAAUCGUUAAUUGAACGGACCCGCACAUAAUUUGUUGAAAGAUUUUUUUAAAAAAGGAAACCAAUAAGUUGAUCGAGAAAAAAAGAUUCAAUAGGGUACAACUAACACCAACAUAUAUGAUGCAAAAAUUAAUAAAUUAAUUGAAAGCUAUUACAAAUAAGGAAGUGAAAAAGAAAGUAAAUUAAUUGUUACAAAAAAAGGCAAAAAAAUUUUAAAAAAUAAAAAAAAACACCAAACAUAAGAUAGAUAGUCCAUUUGACAUAGAUAUGUCAAAUUUAACAACCUAUUAUGUAUGGAACUGAAUAUCUAUAUCUAUAUGUAUUGCACAGAGUGGUUUUAGGAGAGAGUCUUUCAAUGGCUUCCAAACUUCUCAUUCUUUUUUUUUUUCUGGAUUUUUGUAUUUAUUUUAAUACAUAAAAAGUAGUGGGUUAUAACCAACCCUAUCACCAGUCAAAUUUAAAAUUUAAAACUUUCCCAUUAUCUAUUUCAUAAACCAUUUAUAGUUUGUUAUUUAUACUUUAAAUUCUUUUUACUCCUUAAUUAAAGACAAAUGCUCAUUCGUAUGCUAUUUUAAUACAAUUUUACAUUUUUAUAAUUAAGACAUAUUUAUCACUAAACUAAUCCUAUAACCACUCCUACAAAUAAGCUUUGCAAAUUACAAUCACGUUUCAAAACAAUCACAAAUAUGCAACUAAAUGUAAAGUUGAGGGGGUAAAGUGCAACUAAAUGUAAACUUAAGGGGUUUACUAUAUUUAACCCUAAAAAAAAUAGCAAGAACAGAACAAUUGUUUUUUUUUUUUCCUUUAGGAUGGUCGGACAUCCAUGUGCAGUGACUAAAAAAUUUUCCUUUUUUUAAUGAACGUAAGAUGGCCAAUUUAUUAUUUUUUAAAAAAAUGAAUAGAGCUGUUUCAGAUCCAAAAAAAAAAAAAAAAAAAAAAAAGAAACAAACCCAGGUUCCUCUAUUGUUAUGAUUUUUUUCACCAUUAUUCUAAAAAAUUUGCUAAAUUGAGUUCUUUAGGGCAAAGAAUGAGAUGUGUGAUCAAUCCUUUUUUUUUUAUUUGCGUAACCAGCCUAUUGUUGACAAAAGUUUUAAAUUUUUAAAAAAGUAUACAAAAUUAUGGGAAAUAAUAUUAGGACUUUAUAAUAAAUUUAUCACACUUCUGGUGUAGUUUUCGCCUGUCCAAUACCAUGAAAGAAUAGAAUGAGCCAUUAUCAAUUAUUACACGUUAAGUAGAAUUUGGAAGCAUACAACAUGAUCAAAAAACAGUAGAACCAAUUAGGACUAAAUUUUGAUCAUAAAAAAAAUUAGGAUUAGAUGCCACUGGCACGUUGUCGUAAAUUGCAAUGGCAAUUAGGACUAUUUAGCGUUUUUUUUUUUUUUUUGCAAGGAAAUAGGACACUGUAAAACUUAUUUAGGCAAACUUUAUCUCAUCGGUGAUUUGAGUAUACUAUCAAGUUAUUAACUACAUUACAAAUCCUAUAAUCGUGCUCACAUUUCCCCACGUUUUCCCACUCCAAUUAAGAGUCCUCCAAUUUAAGAAAUGUUUAUCUAUUAACUAAUCUUAUAACCGCUUCUAAAAAUCUUAUAAUCAUGCUCAUGUUUUCCCUACAUUUCUCCCACUCUCUCACUCCAAUUAAAAGUCCUUCAAUUUAAGAAUUCCACUCCAAUUAAAAGUUCUCUAAAACAUAACAUGCUCAUUCAACUUUCUUGCAUGCUCACUCAAAUUAAGAGAUUUUUUUUUAAUAUUUUUUCCAAGAACUUAUUAUCUCCUUCAACAUUUUUAUGAUAUCCAUCUUAACCCUUAACCUAAUUUUACUAUGGAACUUGCCCGCCUACAAGCAUUUCAACAACAGCUAAAUUUCAAACUCGCGAGAUUGCAAAGGAGGAAACAUUUGUUUAGAAAACGAAACGUACACCGCAACGAUUCUACACAACAGUUCGAAAAGUUUCAGUAACUUUACGUUGACGAAAGAGAAAUUUCACAUCAAAUUCGAAGGACAAAAUCCCAACUACACCGAUUAAAACGUCGUUCGCAUCAAAUUAGAAAUUUUGGUACUGUUUAUUCUUUAAACAUUUGCAUUUUCAUUGUUUUUUUAAUAUUAUUCCCAAUAAUGUAAUAUUUUCGAUUGAUUAUUGCUGUUAUUGCCUUUCGUCUUUAAAAAGAAGUGAAAUGUUAGGUAAUAGGUCAUCAUUUUAGACUCAUUUUCUCAUGAUUCAAUAACAACUUAUUACGCAACAGUAAGUAUAAAAAUUUAUUUUAUGGUCAGAGCAAUAGAUGUCCAUCACUGUUUUUAUGUCAUCUUUUUCCCUAUGACACAAGUAUUGGUAUUUGACUUUUGAUGGAACCAAGUUCCCUCCAGAUACAAAAAUGAUGGAAUUUGAUAUGAGAAAUUUCUUACGAUAGAAAAUUUACAUUUUCAGAUUGUUUGCGAUUUAGUUUGGAUUCUUGGAAUUCGAUAACUAUAUAUAGUAUUUGAUAUUGUCAUGAUGACAAUUUCCGUACCUUUAGGCCAAAAGAGUUAAUGUUUCUUAUCACAAAAAGAUUGUCAUUAUCUAAUUCUUUAUCACUUUGGUCUGCAUUAUAAUAACGUGGUCAACACUGUUGUUAGAUAAUUAAUUUCAUGUACUUUUAAUUUUAACAUAUUUUUCUGUAUUGUGUAUAACAUUUUAUUUGUUAAACAGGUACAAUAUUAACAUACAAAUCAGAGAUUCCAGUGGUAACAUGCAUCUUAAUCUACAAGACAGACAUGCACGAUUCGUAUUUGGUUGUGAUGCUUUUUAUCUCAGAGAAUUACAAAGGAAGGUAAAAUUUCUUGAUAUAUAUAUUUUUUUUAUAAUGCUAUUUAUAAAUUAUGUAAAAAAUACACUAAUUUUAAAUUUCGUAUGUACUUAAUUCUCAAGAAAAUGGUGAUAGGUUGUUCAACCAAUAAAUUAAUUCAUGCAAAGAUCGUGUAUUUUCAUUUGUAGUACGCACUACACAAAAUUCAACAGAAUUAAUUAAAUCACCAAUUUUGCCUUUCGUACUAAAAGUUGAUCGGUGUGAAGAGUGUUCGCACCUUCAUGCAAGAUUAUCAAAUCGAAUACAAGAUAUUUGUAAGUAUUUCAUUUUAACAACAUUCAAUUACAUUCAUUUUUAUUCAUAUAUCAUUCAUUUUCUAAAUAAAUUUCUAUUAUUUUUUCAAGAUCUAUCUUCCGAAAAAAAGCAGUUCUUGAAUGAUAUACACAUUUUAUCGUAUUUCAAACUAUUGUUAGACAGAUAUUACAUAUUAAUUGUGUUGGUACAAUUUUUUAUUCACCAUUUUAUUUUCAUUUUUUAAAUAAUGUCAGCACCAUGCGUAGCACGGGUAUUCACACUAGUUAUAUAUAUAUAUAUAUAUAUAUGUGUGUGUGUGUGUGAUAUAUAUAUAUAUAUAUAUAUAUAUAUAUAUAUAUAUAUAUGAUUAUUUAAAAGUGAUUGGGUAAACAAAAAAGUUAAUUGAAAUUGUAUUUGUAAUGCAAGCAAUAUAUUAAUUGGAAUAAGUUUGCUGUCGAAACACACUCAAAAUUUGUUCCCAAAUAUAUCAUUCCUUUCCAAAUACCAAGUGGCAUACGAUUAUUUAAAAAUGCACACAGAAAAGUAAGUACAAAUAAAACCAAACUACUACAGACACAACACAAGUCCCCUGCUCUCUUGCCCUGGCAUAAUCUCAUCAGACUCUACCCAUAAACAAAAACUUAAUAGUAAAAAAAAGGGAUAAUUUCAGAAACCUCCCCUAAGGUUUCUAAAAAUUUCACUAACCACUUCUGAAAUUUAAAAAAUUACACCUAUCUCUCUUGAUUUGAUAGUUUUAGUAUCAAAACCUUAAACUAAUAUUGAUUUGGUCAACUUUUUUAAUAAAUACCGAAAAAUACCCUUGUGUAAUGAGUUUUAAUUUAUUUUCCUACACAAUUAUAGGAUUAUCUAAUAUAAUUAUAAGAAAAAGGUACCAAAAUUUUCAUGUCCAUACCUACUAUUUGAUAAACAACUAUAAUAAUAAUUUUAUCACUAUAAUAGGAUACUUUUGAUGAUAUUUUAUCAUGGAUUUAGAUUUGUAAGAUAGAAAAGAAAAUGUUGAAAUAAUUCAUUUAAAAUUUAUGAAUUUUUUGAGUAGUAGGAUUAUCACAAUUUAGUAGUGGUUUUGAGCCAUUUCUUUUUUAUUUAUUAUUAAUUUUAAUAGCAAAAAAUAGAAAAUAAAGAACAGCAAAAACAUUGAAUUACAUAUAAGUUAACUCAUAAAAAAAUCACUAGUUCGAUAUUUGGUUAUAAUAGAAAUUAGAGGUAAUAGUACUAGUUACACAGUUUUAUUGGUAAAAAAUUAUAAAAAAAGGAGUAAUAAGGAAAAAGAAUGAAAAAAUAAUUUUAAAAGUCAUUCUAAUUAUAAGCAUAUCAAAUAAGGGAAUUUCGUUAAAAUAUUUAAGGGUAGUAUUGUCACUUUAAAUUAUAAGGGAGGUAUAUAUAAUUUUUAGGAUUAAUCACAUUUUAUCCCCUUAAAGAAUACCUCAUUUCUCAGUUUACCCUCUAACCUUUAAUUUUGCUCAAUUAACCCCCUUUAGGACAAAAUUACUCUUGCAUUAUUUUGACUUUCAUUUGCCUUAUUUUCCUUUCUUUUAUUUUUUUUCUCUUCCUUCUUUAUUUAAUUCUUCCUCUUUCCCACAAAAAUUUUCACCUUAAUGAUUGAAAUUAAAAAAGAUGAAUUGCAGAGAUAUAUCUUCUCCUUAAAUGAUUAAAAAAAUAUUCAAAUCACUUUCCUAAAAUAUAAUUUUUUUAGCCUUUCAAUUCUUUUAAUUUUGAGUUUUUCACUUUCCUUUCUAGUUUCUCGUUUUAUUCGCAAGAAAAUAUUUUAAGAUGAAAUUGUGACCUGAUUAAUAAUCAUCAAUUGAAAUUUGUGACACGUGGCAUCAUACAAAAAAUCAAAAUUAGUUUUUGAUGCCUUUUAAACCUUUACCCAAAAAUAUGCAAUUACAAAGUCAAAACAAAAAUUUUCGUUGAAAUGGAAUUUCUAUUAGGAAGGAUGAAAGAGAGAAGAAAGAGAAAAAGAAAUAAAAGAAAGGAAAACAAUUUCAUCUUAUGAUAUUUUCUUGAGAAUAAAAUGAGAAACUAGAAAAGGAAAAGGAAAACCCAAAAUUAAAAGAAUUGAAAGGCUAAAAAAAUUGUAUUUUAGGAAAAUGAUUUGAAUAUUUUUUUAAUCAUUUAAGAAGAAGAUAGAUAUCUGCAAUUCCUCUUUUUUAAUUUCAACCAUUAAGGUGAAAAUUUUUGUGGGAAAGAGGAAGAAUUAAAUAAAGAAAAAAGAGAAAAAGAAAUAAAAGAAAGGAAAACAAGGUAAAUGAAAAGUCAAAAUAAUGCAAGGGCAAUUUUGUUCUAAAGGGAGUUAAGUGAGCAAAAUUAAAGGUUAGGGGGUAAACUGAUAAAUAAGGUAUUCUUUAAGGGGAUAAAAUGUGAUUAACCCUAAUUUUUAAAACUUUGAGGGAGCUAAAUGAAGUUGUUAAAAACCUCAAGGGAGGUUUCUGAAAUUAUCCCUAAGAAAAAUCCAACACAAAAAUUUUAAAAAGCCAAAUCCACUUUCUCCAUUUUCUUUCCUUUUCAGUUUCCAUCUCUCUCCCGAGUCACUAUUUCUCUCUCUCUCUCUCUCCGUUCUUCUUGGCCGUUUCCGGUAAAGCUCCUUCUACUUCACUACUGCAACUUUCCAUCUUCAUCUUCUCCACAAGAUCUCGCUCAAAUCACCAAAACUGCAUCGCGCACUUCACACACUGCUUUUCUACGCGCGUAUCUGCAUUUCCGUAUAAGUACUUGUAACUGCAUGUGAGUUGUCCUUUUUCUUUUUUGCUGGGUAAUUUUGGUGUGUUUUGUGGUGAAUCUGCUGAAUUUUAGUGGAAGAGGAGAUUUGUAAAGGAAAAGGAGGAAAAUGUGGAAGCUGAAGAUCGCGGAGGGAGGAAGUCCGUGGCUGCGGACGACUAACGGCCACGUCGGCAGGCAGUUUUGGGAGUUUGAUCCAAACGCCGCCGUUUCGGAGGGAGAACUAGCCGCGAUCGAGGAGGCUCGCGAGAAUUUCCGCAUUAAUCGGUUCGAGAAAAAGCACAGCGCCGAUCUUCUCAUGCGUCUUCAGGUUUGUUUCUGUCUGUUUUUUUUAAUGUUUAUGAUAUUUGGUGGAAAAUGUGGUGCUGAUUUUUGUUGACUCACUUGUGCAUGAUGGAUUAGUGAUGUGUUACAGCAGCAGAAUGUACUAUUACAGCUGUGCAAAAGUCAGUAUUAGGCCUUAUGUUUUUCUUUUUCUUCGUUUUUUUAAUGUUGGUUAAAAAAAUUAUAUUCUAGUUGUAUUUUUCUUUAAACGACUGGUUGAUAUCAUUAAUUUAUUUUGUCCGAUUUUAUUAGUGGUACUCCUAGUAUUUUUGUAUUUCUUUUGUUUUGAAGAUUUAAGUUCGUAAUUUCAUGGUUCAUGGAGUCUUCAACUAAUUACUGGGUCAUAAUGACAUCUAAUUUGCAAAAAAGUAACAAAUUUAGCAAGGGGAAUAUGGUGGAGGCAUGAUUGAAGAGUCGGAGGGGUUGGGAAGGAUAGUGGCUUUGUAAUGGUGUUUCAUGAAAUAUGGUCCUUAUUGUAGAUUUAUUUCAUUUGUGAAGUUAGUUGAAAAUUAAUGGUUUUGUUGAUUGUUUAUUAAGGUGCGAAGCUGGUUAAGUUAAUUUCAGAUACCUAGAAAAGUUGGGGGAGGGGGGUUGGAGGGAUGGGUUGGGUGGUAUGGGGGAGGGAGUGUAAGUGAGAGAUCCUUGUUUGAGAUCUCCCACCUACACUUCAAAAAAAAAAAAAGAAAAAAAGAAGAUAUUUAGAAAAGUAUUUGUACUUGCGAUGUACAAGUAGGAGAAAAGUGUAAUCCCGUUUUGGUGAACUUUUUUUCCCUUUUGUUUGUUUAUGAAUUACCUCUGUCCAUUCUGACGAUGUUAUUGUUUUAAACUUGUAAGAGAGAUGUUGUUCAAUAGUGCAAGGCAAAAUAUAGGGUGCCUUUGAAUCCUUUGAUGGGAAUGGAAAAGGUCAGGUGCACAUGAUUAUGCUAUCACGUUAUGUCACAUUAUGAUACGAGUUAUAGAUAAGUAUGUAAGCAUAUGCAUGUAUGAUGUGCAGUAUUGCCAGUAUACAACAUGGGGUUUGCUGGAGCUUAUAUGACCGUGACAACAACAAAAUUAUUCUUGAGAAGUAGAAAGCGUACAAAUAAGUUAAAAGGAAAAGUUCAUGAUAGUGAUCUUUGGGUUGGAUCUAAUUUUUCUUCAUUUGGAAAAUGAAUAGCUUCAUGUAUGGUUCUGGUAGAAAUUAGAGUUUAAUUUGAACUUGAUCGGGAACUGGAACAAGUGAAGUCAGAACACAGAUAGUUGUUUCGAAAAGUUAGAAGUAGUUGAUAAUGACAGUGGCUGUGGGUACAACAAAGUUGAAAUUACACUUAAUUAUUCGCUGCAUGAGGCAGUGUCCAAAUAAUUUAUGUUUCUUAUAGCUCUUUCUGAUGAUUACUCAUGUGCUAUUAGUUUCUUCCUGAGUUAGUUUGUAAAUCAGAAUAAGUUGAUUAAUAGGAUGUAAAACAGAUGGUCAAUACUCAUUCUUGUCUGGACAGGUAAUUCCAAUACUAUUUCUCGGUUAAUGGCUUCUCAACUUUUUGGCUCAUUUAUUGACCUUUAUUGAAGCUGUCCAUGUAAUGAACUGAAAGGACAGAGGCAUAGGAAAAAAGUUCUGUAGCUUUUCUAGAAGUGUGAGACUCUUGAAAUUUGUAUCAGCUGACUCAGACGUGAAUUCCAAUGUUAGGAGAACAGCUCAUUUUUUAUUUUGUCUGUCCAGGUUGGCCUCAUCUUAGAAGCCAUGAAUUUUUUUUCCUCUGAAUUUUAAAGGUCCUUUAUUCUUCAGAAAAAGGUUGAAACCAUAUGAAUGUUAAUGAAAAAUUAAUUUCUGUAUUCCAAAGAAACAGAAGGAGACAAAUGCAAAAACUCUGAUGAAAGCUUAUUUCUCACUUUAAAAAUAGUGUGAGAAAAAGAGUGGCAUGAUGCAGGGCAUUGCUUUUUGCUUUCUGACAACAGAAGUAAAAUGUGAACUGUUUGUUUCUAGUUACAAAAUUAGGGAAGUAUGAAUAGUCCAACUUUCUUAAAUUAUGUCCCUGCUACUGGUAAAAGUUAGAAAUGCGCUUGAAAAUUGAGAAGACCCUUAUGCAGCAAAAAGAAUGCUGCUAUCACUUGGACAAAAGAAGACUCGUCAUGGUGUGGCAACAUUUUAAGUAAUUUCUUUAGCACUGUGGCUAUGGGUGGUUACCUUCUGCUUGAAUUCUUUAGAGAUUUUUUCACUUACCUUACAGAUGACUGGACCUGUUUUUACAUCAUUCUUUGAAUCAACUUCUUAAAUGUAGUUGGCAGUGAAGUUUGUGCAUCUUUUUUCUAGGUCAUAAGCUGGAAAUGUAGAAAAUAAUACAAAAGUAGUAUCUAUAUUGUUUGAAAAAGUAAUCAAGUUUCAGACUUGAUUGAUAUUUUGACCUUCUGAGCUUAUAGUGUUCAAGAAGGUAAACUACAUUUGCGUAAUCCAAAUUAGGUUCCUUUAAAGCCAUGAUAUUGUCAACAAAGUAAGGGUUAUUAUUUUUCCCUGUCUGAUAAUGACUGUGACAUAUAGAAUGAACAGCAGUAACUGAAAUGUAGAAAUGACACUGAGAAAAUGACAACUAGUGGGAGACUCUUUUGGUUAAUUUAACUCUCUAGAUUCCCUGUUAGUACCAUUUUGAGUAGCCAGUAUGGCUGUGCUAUAAUUGAGUUGUCAUCGUAAGAAAAUUUAACUGCUUAAAGAAAGUGAUCUUUUUCCUCAGAAGAGUAAUAUCCCACAAUUUGAGUUUAGUGCUUUCAAUUUCUUUUCUUUUACUAGAUAACUACUCUUUUUGCUGUUGGGGAAGCAAAGUUUGUUUCCCACCUGCUUUUCGUUCAUGAGUAUGUUAAUUUGUGAUUUUGCAUAAAAUUAAACUUUGUUUUGUAACUUUGAAUGUAUCAAAAGCCAUACAGAACAUAAGCAUCAGCCAUUAGUUCUAAUAAUUAAAGUGUGCAAUUUCUUUCCAGAUAUGUUUGAAUUUUUUCUUUUCUGGUGAAGUACUGUGGUGGGGUUGAAUUUAGGAUAAAUCUGUUACUCGUGUCAGUGUGGAAUGUUCUGCAAAGUUCGUUGUAAAAUAUUUCUUAAGGCAUGAUUAAGUAUAAUUAACAUCUGUAAUGUAACAAAUAGGUUUCAGGAGAAACUGAUAUUGAUGAUGAAAGAGUGAUAUUUAAUGUUAAUUAGAUUUUUUCUCUUUUGGCAUUUAUCCACCUUUAUCUCCUUGUGAAUUUUAGUUUGCAAAGGAGAACACAAGUAAUGCAGUUUUGCCCAAAAUCAAAGUAAAGGAGAUAGAAGAUCUCACAGAAGAUAAUGUUGCCCAAACAUUAAGAAGAGCCAUCAGUUUCUAUUCAACUCUACAAACUCAUGAUGGGCACUGGGCUGGAGAUUAUGGAGGUCCAAUGUUUCUUAUGCCAGGCCUGGUGAGUUGAUUUUUCCGUUGUGCUUCCUGUAGGCUUAUAUACUUUGCUCAAAAUUUGGAUUAUUGAAAACAAUGUUGAAAUUUCAUUUUUGAAAUUUAUGACGUUAUUGGGUUUUUCUGACGACUUUAGACUCGUGUCUUUUGAUUUUGAUUUUUUGUUUUGAAUCUUUGUUCAUUUUGUUUUACAGAUCAUUACUCUAUCUAUCACUGGUGCAUUGAAUGCAGUAUUAUCCAAGGAACAUAAGCUUGAGAUGUGUCGUUACAUUUACAACCACCAAGUAAGGACAGCAUAACUUUGACAUGCAACACUAGAAUGUGACUUAUGCCUGGACUAUGCAUCUCUCUCAUUUCAUUUUCUUGCGUAAUCUUCAAUCUUAAAUUCUUCCAAAUUAGGAGCUUCUCCAUUUUGAAUUCUCUGGUGGUUGGAUGAGUGAUUCUAUGCUAUAACAUUAAUGCAGAACCCAGAUGGUGGGUGGGGAUUGCAUAUUGAGGGACCAAGUACCAUGUUUGGCUCAGCGUUGAAUUAUGUUACCUUGAGAUUGCUUGGUGAAGGGCCUAAUGAUGGAGAUGGCGCAAUGGAGAAAGGGCGAAAGUGGAUUUUGGAUCAUGGUGGUGCCACUGCAAUAACUUCUUGGGGAAAAUGUGGCUUUCGGUUUGACAAUUCCCUGUCUUUUCUGGAUUAGGGCUUUCUGCCAAUUUUUAAAAUGUGCUUGCUUGGUUUUAACCUUUUAUUUCUGGUUUCUUUAUGUUACCUAGGUACUUGGGGCAUAUGAGUGGUCUGGAAAUAAUCCUCUGCCACCUGAGAUAUGGCUUUUGCCUUAUGCUCUUCCAUUCCAUCCAGGUAGCUGCCUUUUUGUGCUUCCCUUGUGGACUGCUGCUUGAUCAUUUGUCUUUGCAUUUUGGUCAGGUGUAGAGAUAGCAAUAUAUUCUUUUACACAGAAUCUUGCGUUCUCUAUUAAAUGCAACUAACCUUCAGUUUGGCAAAUGCUUGAUUGAUGUAUUUAUACAUUUAAAUGGGUACACUCUUAUUCUCUUGAUUGAGGGAUCAAUUUUGUGAAUCCUUCUUACGUGAAUAGAUCAGAUUUAAAACUUCAGUGCUCGAAGGUGCAUAGGGUUUUUAAAGGAUAUACUUCAAAUGAAAUUGCUCUUGUUCUAUUAUUGUAUGUUCUCAUGUGUUUGAUUUAGUAUAGAGGUACUGAUACAUACAUAAUCCUUCACAAGAGAAACGUAGCCUUAUGGAGGAAGAUUUAUCAUUAUGAAAUGUCUUAAGUUGACUUCCUUGAAAUGUCUAAGUUGAAGUAGGGCUGCAUUUCGUAAUUGAUGUCUAGAGUUUUGUCCUGGCCUUGAAUAAAAUGUUUGUUGGUUUAAUCAGAAAAUGAUGUUCUGAUUGGUGACAAGCACUGGUUGUUUGUUCUUUUUCAGUAAGACUUGUGUUUGCAAUAUCUUUUCUUCUCAUAGAAAAAAUGAACAUUGAUGCAGGAAGAAUGUGGUGCCACUGUCGGAUGGUUUAUCUACCAAUGUCUUAUUUGUAUGGAAAGAGGUUUGUGGGUCCAAUUACACCAACAGUUCUAUCUUUGAGAAAGGAAAUCUAUGCAGUUCCUUACCAUGAAAUUGAUUGGAAUCUAGCUCGUAACCAAUGUGCAAAGGUUGGUAAGGGUUGUAGAACAGAUAUUGUAUUUCGUAAAAUGUUCAAAUUUCUAUCUGCAGUGUUGAUUUAUUCUUGAAGUUUAAAUAGGAAGAUUGACACAUUUAUUAAAUAGUUAUCUUCAUUUAGUUUUGAAGAGUUCAUAGUUAAAUAUGUUGUGGGAUGUAAGGCCAUAGCAUUUCAUCCUUAGUAUGUUUAGCUUUUGGUUUUCUCAAACAGAUUUCUGGAAAAAUCGCAAUGCACCAUAUAUUUUGCUAAUGUCAUGCAUGAUGCUUUAUUGUGUGCGGUUAAUUAGACAAGGAGGCAUGCCUUUUGUACCUUCGCAUGCCUUUGUAAGAACUGAUUGGUUUAUUUUUGAUCAUACUAAAAAAAAUGUUUGUGGAAGUCGACUUGUCUCUGUAUGCAAAUUACUGUGCUAAUUAUCGAAGCUCGUUUGGUUAAAAAUCAAGUCAUUUCUUUUGUGCUUGUUGAUCUGCGCAUUAUGUAAGGCAAUCCAUCAAGUUGUCAAUGGAAAGGCAACUAGGAACUGUGUUUGAGUGACUGAAAUAUCAAUUUGACUGCUGUAAUGCUGCCGAUCCUAGCAUUUGGUGAUGACACCCUUAGUUGCAAAUUCAAUUGACUUUUCUUUCCUCGAAUUUCUACAUGGUAUCCAGUUGCCAUAGAUAAGUGGUUUUCUUAAUAUUAGUGCCCUCUAUCUGUGUGUGCAUGGAUGAAAUUUCAACUGACUUUAAUAGAUGAACUUGGACUUGAAAGGAUACCUUUUCGCAUUGUGGAACAUUUAUCAGUCUCCUCUCUAGUUGCGGUUGUGCUCACAUGUAAAAGAUAAAGUUCAAGUAAGAAGGAUGUAAUCAAUGCUCAAAUAUCAUCAUUUGUUGAACCAAUAGAUAAAGCCAGAAUUAUGGUCCAAGAAAGAUUCCACUACUGGGAAUUACCAUUUGGGUAAUUAUGAGCUUAUAGAACUUCCUUUGAGGUGGAAGUUAAGUUUUCCCUCUGUCAUUCCUCCGAGAUCCAUUUUUAACUUCCUACUGGGAUUUUCAUUCCAUGGCGGAUGCAAGUACGACUGUUUCAAUAGCUAGAAAUAAAACUUGGUCUUCCAUUUUAUUUGGAACUAUUGAUUUUGUGGUUAGAUAUUCUUUGUUUCCUUGAUAUUGAUAUUGAAUUGUUUGUCAGAAAUCACCUCACUUUUCCUAUUAUUUAUUUACCUUUGUUUUACUCUUUCACUUGCUUUUAAGUCUAGAAGUUUAGAUGAUAAAAAUAACAGUUCAGUAGCCUAUAUACUCUUCUAUCUUGCAUUUCCACCUUGAGUGAAAACGAUAAUAUUUGUCUUUAAUUCAUGUCUAUCCAUUUGGCUUUUUUGCAGGAAGAUCUAUACUAUCCACACCCUCUAGUGCAGGAUAUACUUUGGGCAUCUCUUCAUAAAGUUUUGGAACCAAUUUUGAUGCAUUGGCCUGGGAAAAAGCUAAGAGAGAAAGCUGUUAGUGUUGCAAUGGAACACGUACAUUAUGAAGAUGAAAAUACUCGCUAUCUGUGCAUAGGUCCUGUGAACAAGGUGUGCAAAAUUAUUUAAUUAUUAACAUAAUGUGAGAAAAGUUGACAAUGUCCAGACUUGUUCCUCUUAACUUGUGCAAAGAAACAUCUUUUGCAUAGUAUAGAUAUGUGAAAAGGUACUCUGUUACACAUUGGGGUGAAGUCUGACUUCUGAGAAUUUCGAAGACUUCUGUCCAACUCUUAUUUAUUGGUUUAUUGUCUAGGAUUAUUGUGUUUUUUUCAUAUUAUUCUAAGAUUCUUCUUCAAUAAUAUAAGUUGAAUUUGGUUGUAUAAUAAAGUAAGAAGAGUUUUGAAUCUUCAAAAAAUGUUUGACUCCUGUAUUCCUAUUCUUUUCGAGACUGACCUUUGUUUCUAGGUCUUGAACAUGCUUUGCUGUUGGGUGGAAGAUCCAAACUCUGAAGCUUUCAAGUUGCAUCUACCAAGAAUCUUUGACUACCUCUGGCUUGCUGAAGAUGGCAUGAAAAUGCAGGUCUGAGAAAAUUUAUUACCUACACUUGAUGUUUCUUUUUCUUCAUCUUUAAUUUUUUACUCGUGGCAAAUAUGCAUAUUGUAAUGUGCAUUUCCAUUAGUAUUGAUUACACACACAAUGCUUCUAGGUUGCUUUGUAGUCAUAGUCCCUCCUACCCAUUCUGGAAAUAUUGUUCUCUUUUCUUUGAAACAAGAAUGACCUAUUUGGACUUCUUAUACUUAAGGGAUAUAAUGGAAGUCAAUUAUGGGACACUGCAUUUGCUGUUCAAGCAAUCAUUUCCACAAACCUUGCUGAAGAAUAUGGUCCAACUUUAAGAAAAGCAUAUACAUUCCUUAAAAAUUCGCAGGUGAGAUAUUUUUUUCUUUAUUUGGUUUUGGCUGUGAUUUUAUUUCUGUUUGUUUACUCUCUGCUAUCCAUACCCAUUUUCCUUUGAUUAGUUUCUCCUUUAAUAUUUUUUAUCUUUAAAGGUUCUGGAUGAUUGCCCAGGAGAUCUUGAUUCGUGGUAUCGUCACAUUUCAAAAGGUGCUUGGCCCUUCUCAACUGCAGACCAUGGUUGGCCAAUUUCAGAUUGCACUGCAGAGGGAUUAAAAGUAAUAAUCACUUUGAGAAUAGACAUCCCUCAAGUGUGAUUUUCUAUUUGCAGACUUAUUUCAUUUUUCCUGCAUCAGGCAUAUCUCUCUUUGUCAAAAUUACCAUCAGAGCUUGUUGGUGAAACAAUAGAUGUCAAGAGAUUAUAUGAUUCAGUUAAUGUUAUCCUUUCAUUACAGGUAUUUGCUCACAUUAAUUAUGUUGGACCUUUUUGUAUCUAUGUUUGCAUGUUAAUACACAGCCACUACAUGAUUAACUAAAUCACUUUGCUUUGUCUAAAAUUGGAACUUGUUGGAGAAGAUGCAUACAUAGAACUAGGCUUACCUCUCAGUUUUCCAAUAAUUUUAAUAAUUUUUUAUGUCUCGCUUUAUUUGCUUUUGAAGUAACUACUACUAAGGUUCUCAAUUAUGAAGCAUGUGGAAAAACCUAACUAAAGAAACAGAGGUUUCUGACUGGUAAAGUUGCUAAGGUUAAGUUAGAUCAAGUGUACUGCAGUAUAGGUCAUCCCAUAUCUUUGUAUUUUCUAUUGCCCUUGAAUGCUUGAACAUCAGGGCAGAUACAUAUGCAAAUGGCAACCAAUAAGGGGGUCCCUUCAAUUAGCUUUAGCUGAGCAUGACUGUUAUUGAGUUGGACAUGAGGGCACCGAUUUGAUCAGAAUAUAAAUCGUUUUAUCCUUUGUGGAUUUAUAGUUUGAGUGACAGUAUGCCAGGUAGGAAUUCUGUUUCACCUGUAAAUCAGGGUUUCAAGUCUGCCAAUAUCCAAAUAUGACUGUAAUUCUAGCAAAUUCAUGAAUGAGGUGAAUUAUUUGAAUAAAUGAGUAUUAAAAUUGGAUAAUUCCGAUCUUUGCGGUUCACCCAUUACUAGUUCUUUGUGUUCAAAUCUGAUGCUAAUGUCUGUGUAGUUUCCAGUAUAUUUGCUUUUCUGAUUCUCUGUCUUGAUUUCAUUUAUUCCCUUCAGUAAUGCCCAAUGUCCCAAAACUCCUCCAGACAUCCCCAGAAAGUUUUUGGGGGGGGGGGGAGAACACGAAAAUUGAAUGUCUGGAAGAUUAUGGAGUCUCUAGGGUUUUUCUAUUCUAAUAGGUUAAAAGUGUGUUGAUGUCUGAAUGAGAGGAGAUGGGUGUAUUUCAGCAUAUGCAUAGGAUGUUUGGCAUUCAGAACCAAUGGAAAUGGGUGAAAGGGAGGAUAAAAAGCUCAAUUAGUAUUGGACAUCCAUAUGGGUCUUGAGUUAGGUCUUUGGAAGUUUUUGAGUACAAGGGAUGAGACUCUGCUAUUGAAAGAUAAAGUUGCCUUGUGAUUUGAAAAGGUUUCUGCACCAAUAAAAUGGAAAUGCUAGGGUACAGAGGUGUUAGGGAACACGAGUUGCUUCUGAUUACAGGAAGGAUAAUGUUUAUGGUUUUUUUUUUCGAAGUUGUAAUCCUAGAUUAAUGCUGCUCUUGUUUGUAAGGAAUUGAAUCCCUUAUUUGGUUGAGUUGGAUGACAAGGAGUUAAUAUUGUUGUGCAAAGUUAGUUGGCUAAAUAGAUAAGGACUUGUGAUUCUUAACUUGCUUGAUCCUUGCUUCAAAUUCUGGUUUGGUUUGGAUCUGUAAUCAAUUAAGCUUCUAAGAAUAUAACACUGUUUAUGGUUAGAGAUGUUUGAGUUGAGUAAAUUUAGAAAAAAUGCAAUUACUCUUGAACUCUUUGAAGAAUGCGUAGUUGUCUGGAAUUGGAAGUGCAUCUUGUAACCAAGAAAUCCUUGGAAGUCAUAAGAAUUUCUUGUCGAUGGUUCCAUGGGACCUGACAAAUACUGAACUUGUUAGCCUUUUCUAUUAGUGCCUACAGGAAAUUAGAUGCAUAAGUUUUAAGAGCUUGAUACACCCUGAAGGCAACAAGAGAUUAUAGAAGAGAAAUUCUGGGGGUGGCGAUCAUUUUUUAAUGUUGUGGUACAUUAACAUAAUUAAUUCAAAAUCCAUUAAAGUUUUGGAAGUUCUUGAGUUGAGACUUAUUUGGAAAGUUACCUCUCAUAGAAGGAAUGUACUUUAUAUCAUAUUGACAUACAUUAUCAAGAGAUAUUUUUUCUGAAAUACGUAUAUGUUCUUAAUGCAAUUAUGGACCUUUGCUUAGUAUAGUGAGAUGAUCUCACAGCAUCUAAGAAAACAAUUUUCCUUGUCUCAGAACAGUGAUGGUGGCUUUGCAACAUAUGAACUCACAAGAUCCUAUGCUUGGCUGGAGGUACACUUCUUUUUUAAAUGUGUUACCAGCAAGUCCAUGUGAAGCAGUAAUCACAACAAGCAAUUUUAAGUGUGUGAGACAUUUUGGAUAUGUAAUCCUAUCAUUAGUGUUUUCAUAUGAUUUUCUCUCUUCUGGUACACAAAUAUUUAGUUACCAUAAUUGCGUUCAUUUUCAUUACUUCAUUUCUGUGUACUUGUAGUAUUAGUUGUUAUUUGAAAGACACUAUUAUUUGCAAAUAUGUUGUAGAAAUUACAACACAUUGUAUCUCUCAACUCUGUUGGCCAUCUUAUAACAGAAAUAGACACUGUGCUAAAUAAUGUAUUAAGUCAGAUUUUUUUGGACUUGCUGAUGGCAUUCAAGAAUACUGUUGUUCUCUUUCAUUGGUGCAUUUUUCUUGUUAUAGCAUUCAUUCUGAUGCUUCUUAAGGUUUCCCUUUGCAUGGUACUCAAAUAUGACCUUCAGAUUCUGAUUAUCUGCUUAGAUUGCCUCAUAAUGAAAAAAAAUCAAACCUUUCCCUUGGGAGUUUACUUGUUCAACCGUAGCUCUCUUAAACAUGCUAUAAGGUGAUGCAGAUUUUUUUUUCUUAAUUGGUUCUCCACCUGGUUUCGUUCACUACAGCUGAUUUUCUACUCACUUGGACUAAUCUUGAUAGAUAUAUUUUGCGGUCAAUAUCAUUGUCUAAGUGUUUUUCCCCUAUAAUCACUCGUAUAGUCAUAUCAUCAUCUAAGUUGUGGUAAAUGGGUUCAGAAACUGACAGCUUGACCAAAAUUGGUACACUGUCUCACAGUUAGAAUUAGUAGCACUACUUUUCCCUUUAAGUUUAGGAAUCUCUUGGAAGUAAGAUUUAGCUAUAGCUAACCCAUAAGCACUACAUAAUGGUUGCAAUUAGGCCUCUUAUGAAGAACUUUAGGGUAACAUUAAGCAUUUGAGACUUCCACAACUAUUUUUGGGACAACUGCAUUGAAUUGGCUCCAAUUUCUUCGUUGCAUGCACUUCAAUGUCAUUUCUCUACCUUUGUCAUGUUUGCUACUGCAAAGACUUGUGCUAGAAUUCUGCCUCUCCGUACUUUAUUCUUCAUUUUUUUCCUUUGGGCAGACGAUCAACCCUGCUGAAACUUUUGGUGACAUAGUCAUUGACUAUCCGUAAGAUUUCUGCACCCUGCUUUAAUUGUGUAACUUGACGUAUUUUUAUUUCUGUUAAUAAUAUGUGGAUAAAAGACUAAGUUAUCCAUAGAUUAGAUGAUUGCUAUGCAAGAGUUUGCUUAUAAAGUUCAUUGCUUGUAUUUGCCAUGGUGGUGAUUGAUUCUGAUUUAUGAUUAUUUAUGAACUAUGGUGGAUAUCUAGUUAUGUUGAAUGUACCUCAGCAGCAAUUCAAGCCCUGACUGCAUUUAAGAAAUUAUACCCUGGGCAUAGAAGAGAAGAAGUACAGCGUUGUAUUGAGAGAGCUGCUUUGUUUAUCGAAAGAUACAAGCACAGAUGGCUCUUGGUGAGUAUUGCUGCAAAUGCCUCUCUUCAUACUUUUUGAAGGAAAGACUUGAUAUUCUUUUUUCCUUUUCAUUUUAGCCCUAUCACUGCCUCGCCCUUGGCGUGCUAGGUUGAAAGCCUAAGCAAGCCACUUGAUGCUCUAAUCGAGCUAGGCUCAGAAGAGCUUGUUUGAGAUUGGUUCAUCAAUCAUUCAAAUUAGACCUGAAAAAGAGUUCAUGUUCCUUAUCGUUUUAAGCUUGGCUUAGUAAAUAUAAACUUGAGUUCUAUGCAUAAAUAAAGAAGGGUGUUAAAAAGAAGUUACUCGAGGUUCUUUUGGGCUUGUAUUAUAAGAUUUUAUCUGAGCUUGCUAGAUUAAUAAUCAAGCCAAGGUUGACCAAAAUUUGAAGGGUGUUAAAAGUAAAAAAUCGAAGUGUAAUACUGGAGGUGGAGUGUUUAGCUUGAUUUGGCCUGUUUGCAUCCUUAGGCCCUGCAUAUGUCUGUGGGUUGUGUGAAUCCUGGAAAUUGUAACGCAGCAAUGCAUAUCUUGUCUGUGUUUCUGAUUUCUAAUAAUAUUCUUGCUACAUUAACUUUCAGAUUCAAAAUUUUCAUUUGGCUAUAUCUUUAUAGAAUUGAUAUCAUGUCCUUCUUUCUUUGUCUCAGGUAUGGCUCUUGGGGAGUUUGCUUUACUUAUGGCUUAUGGUUUGGUGUAAAAGGUUUGGUGGCGUCUGGAAGGAACUUCAACAAUUGUUCUGCCAUCCGCAAGGCCUGUGACUUCCUUUUGUCCAAACAGCUCCCUUCUGGUGGUUGGGGGAGAGUUAUCUAUCUUGUCAAAACAAGGUUAGUGUUUAUUAGAUACUUAUUUUUUUCUGUUGGUUGGUGGUUUUGAUUCCAUUUUACACUUAAACUGAGGAAAAUGACAUAGUAAAUAUAAUUUAACCUACUAAUCACAAAAUGUCCACAUACUUUGGUUAAGUGAAGGAAGAAGCUCUUCAUUUAUUCAUUCAAAAAGAGAAAUAACACUAUCAAUCAUUUUGAAAGGAGAAAGGAAAAAAAUAAAAAAAUAAAAAAUGACAACCUUGACAUCCGGUUCAGUAAUUCUUUCAACAUUCCUUCUCCUAUGAUGCGUAAAGGAGUACUGAACGUUCAAUUUUUGGUUCACUAAUUCGAGUACUGAACGUUCAAUUUUUGGUUCACUAAUUCAACAUUCCUUCUCUUAUAAUGUGUAACGAAGUAUUGCUAUUAAUACUGUAAUUCCUUCGUGACUAUAUUAACUAGGUAACCAACGUUAUCAGCUAUUAGACUGAGGCAUGUUUUUGUUUUUUGUGUAUUUAAAGACAUUAUAAAUUACCCAGAAUUGCACCUGCAAAAAGUUAGUUGCAAGCUCGACUAUUUCACCUUUUGUUCUUUCACCCAAAAAAAAAAAAAGGAGCCAGAUAACAUUCAAAAAACUUGUCAUGCUGCUCAGGAAUUCAAUCAAACUUCCAAGAUUAAGCAAGUUACUGGAUAAAUAUUUAUCAAUAGUAGUACAUCCAUCUUUACAUGUUGAGUCCUCUGUCUUUUGAACGCUUUGCUUUGUUCUAAAUACUAUUCAAUUUGUUGUGAAAGUGGGACUAAACCUCUAAACAACUCUUGUAAAAUACUUGACAAAUGCUUUUGGUCUAGGUAUAUUCGAAUUUAGAAGGUAACAGGUCCACAUGGUAAACACGCAUGGGCAAUGCUGGUCUUAUCGAUGCCGGACAGGUAACGUCAGUUUCCCGUAAGACCCAAAUUGAUCAUAGCACUGAGUCAGUAUGGUUAUUUUCGUUAAAGCACGAAAUUGAUUGAUGUGAUAGCUUAGUUUCUUGGCUGGUUCUUGUCGCUUCCUGAACGCUCAGACGAAUCUAUCCAAGCAAAAGAGGAUCCAAUUACGAAACAAAUUCAACCUCACAUAGCCUUUUCUUUAUGUCAUUUUAACUUGAAGGGUUUCUAUUCAGUAAUGUUUCUUCAUGAGGUUUAAGUAACAUGGAAAACUCCAGAUUGUACUGCUAUUUAAUUAGUGUUGUAAAACUACAAUUUUGGCACAACUACUCCUUUCAGAAACAUACAUAGGAUGGGUUUGGGUUUUUUGGCACCUUAAAAUUUGCCUCACUCUCCUAUGUUUAUGUGAUCAAAAGGCAGGUUAAGCCCUAUAUGACCAUUCAAAAGGUUGGACUGACAGUGGCAUUUAGGAAUCUGCGGCAAAAACAGUGGGUUGAUCUGUAUCAAGUGCUCAUGGUAUUUUAGGAGUGCACUAUAAGAGAAGAAAUAUAUCCAAAACAUUCUUGUUAAUACUGAACACGUUGAUCACUUGAUGGUGCAUUAGAGGGUAUUUACCUUGUAUUUAGAACUAUUCUCAACAAAAUCUUGCUAACAAUGAAAUGUUUCCAAUCACUUAAUGGUUGCCAUUUGAAAGUUUGUGCCUUCAUCCUGCUAUAAGUCAUCUGUUUUCCGGGCUUCUGGUCAUACUGCUUAUUUUGGAGCUUGAUUUUUUUCAUUUCUUUCUUUUUUUUUUCGAAAAAAUUAAAGUUUCUCCAUUGUAUUCUCUAAUAUAGUUCAUUUGUGAUUCCCAAAUAACAAUAAGUGAAUGUUUAAGUUUUGAUAGAAAAUUGCUUGACCGAACAGAGUUAAAGAUGAGAAGUUUGUUGGACUGAGAGAGCACUUGUUGAAAAAUCCAUUUCGAAUUUGUAAAGACAAAUCUAUUGAGUACAUUUUGGAUCAAGUUGCUACAGAUUUGACUUAGAUCACCUGGUUGUAAAUUACUGAAGUUUUAAACUUGUACUUCUUUGCCUAAUGCCUUGAUUUUCAGACUCAGAGAGAUCCAACACCGUUGCAUAUUGCAGCAAAGGUAUUGAUAAAUGCUCAAUUUGAGAAUGGAGAUUUUCCGCAAGAGGUAUGUCUGUUGCUCUGUUGCCUGUAGCCUAUCGUAUUUAGCUGGAGAAAAGUUAGCCUAUCGUAUUUAGCUGGAGAAAAGUUUAUCUCUUUCCUAAAAUUCUUUGUUAUUAGAUUGAUGGUUUGGCAAAUUCAUAGUCAAAAAGUAGUUGUGUCUGAAUUUCAUAUGCAUUUUAGGUUUUCUGCAUCGAAAUUUUUUAAACCAUUAAAAAAAAUUAGAUCUGAUUAAUGGUUCCUACCAUAUAAACUGUUUCAGAAGGCACCAUUCUCAGUUCAUCCAGUGGGAAUAUAUUUGACCAACCUUGACCUUUUACAUCUAUCACAUAGAUAACUGUUGACAGAUACAUGGUUUUGUUGUAUGCUGUUAAUAUUGCAUCACUUCCUAGUUUUGUCAAAUUGACUUCUACAAAGUAGUUUCAAAAUGAUAGUUUGGCAAUCCUGCAGCUUUCUGUUUUAGUUGCCUUUUCAGGAGAGAGCAAUCACAUCUAUUUCCAUUUGGCCAAUCUUCCUUAAUAUCUGUAGGCAUAAAACUUUGCAAGGAUAGACAUAUUUAUUCAUAUUUUGACAUCAAAAUACCAGUAUAUUAGAAUAGAGGUGUAAAUGUCUAUGGACACAAACCAAAGGACCAGCAUGCUGAAAUACCUAUGAUUGUAUGCUUUGAGGUGUUUGGUAGUUUGAUAAUCUCAUGUGAUUGUUUAGCUGCAAAAUCAACUUGUUUUACUGCUGCUUCAAUGCAUCUUAGUACUGUUGAGGAACAGUGAUACUAUUGUCAGUUGGCAUACUUACCAACCAGGUUGAUUGAAUGCAAUUUGAAGGUUAGAAACCAAAGUGGAUUGUUUGGACUAGUCUAGAUUUGGUCUUUGCUUGACCUAAUCUUUUGUCGUUAACUUUUGAAUCUGUAUGCUUAUUUUUCUUAUGUUAUUACACACUGAAGGCAACUGUUUAGUGUAUUAUAUUUAACUAUUGAAGGCAAGUGCAUUAAAACAUCUACUGAUUUUUUAUCCAACUAUAAAGACAAUCAAGAGCUGAACAAAAAUUUGUUCCGAGUAAAAUUUAUUCUGAACUGAACUAGCAAGGUUAGGUUAAUGCGAAGCUGAACUGGCCCAAUUUUUAGAGUCCCAAAUCCUUAGGGUGUACAUGUUGAGGAUGAGGAGAAAUCUGUUCAUUUUCAUUCUUAUUUUGGUGUGAUGAUUAGCUCCAGAGCUUAAGCUCUGGCCUUUCAGUUUCUUUUGAUAUUUCUACACCAAAUACGACACUUCCCAGCAUGAUAGUAACAAAUGAAUCAAUGUGGUUCUCAUCUGUUUCAUCUGUAGAGUGAAGAAAUGUCAAUCUGUAGUCAGCUUAAUGUUAAUUGCUCAAUUAGAGCUUUUGUUUUUUUCCGCCAAUCAAACGACAACAUUGGCGGGAGGGAGAGGAACCCAUUUCCAGUCAAGCUAUGUGCACUACUACCCCUGAUGGAUUUAACUGCAGGAUUUUUUUUUUUGGGGGGGGGGGGUUCUGAAACCCCAACCUCAGCUGAAGGAGAGACUUGUGAAAGCUGGUGUGAUUAUGUUAGCAGGUAGAGUAUCAAUGUUGAGUGGCUAAAUGUAUUUAGGUGAUGGCAUAGUGUAAUCAAGUCGAAUUACAUGUUCAGAUAGGUAGAAAUAUUUAAGAUGGUAAGAUGAUGAAUAGACCAAUCUUUCUCUGGCAGGAAAUGUCUAGUGAUUAUUAUAACAUUACGGCGUUACGGCCUAAGAGAAACUAGGGAAUGACGAGGAUGAGCAGGUGAUGGACAAUGCAUGGUAACUAUAGUUGCUUUGAACGUAGACAUAAUAAGUUUCCUUUAAAGUAUGAAAAUGGAAAGGAGCAUUGGUGAAUUUUUCUGAAUAUGCUACUAGUGUUUUUAGCAAUCAUGAGUUUGAUUGCAUUUCAAUCAGGAGAUAUGGAGGUUUGGCUUUGUGUUUCUUGGGUUGGAUGUUGAACAGUGGGAGCAGCUAUUAUGACAAUUUUGGGUGGAAUCCUUGCUAAAAUCUUAUUGGCUUGUUUUUCUAGAUGUGAAUGUCUUUUUAAACUUGUUAUUAAUCUCGACUACAAAGUUUCUACCGAGUUUCAGUUAAGCAUAUAUUAGUAGUAAAUGAUGUUACGUUAUAUGACCAAAAUGGCUUCUUGAUUCUUAAGUUAAAAUUAAGAGUCAUGUAAGAUGGUUUUCAAUAGACUAUAUGCCAACGUGCCAAACUUUAUGGUAGUCAAGUUUAUGGUGAAGAUGGCUGUGGACUCUUGAGGUUUUUCAUUAUGUUUGACACAACUUUUUGUCUUGUAAAAUUGAAGGAAUGUUUCAGUUUUCUGUUUGUCAGCAAUUCUAUUUUUUUUUAAGCAUGUAUUUUUUUGGUCUUAUUUUGACUUCCAGGAAAUAAUGGGGGUUUUCAACAAGAACUGCAUGAUCACCUUAUGCUGCAUAUAGGAACAUUUUCCCCAUUUGGGCUUUGGAGAAUAUCGAACUCGGGUGCUGAAAUCCACUUGAAUUACUACUACUCCCUUCGCAAGAAUCUGGAAGUCAGUUUUCUCCAACUUCUUGAUUUGUAGUUUCUCUUCAUUGAGGGUUUCCCUUUUUGUAUAAAUCACGUCUGCAGUUAUGGAUUCAACUUUCGAAAACUAUAACAACCAGUGAUAUUAUUAGCUAAUGAAUUGCUCCUCUUGUCGUUUGACCUUUGUAAUCUUUUUCAUUAUUUCUUUCCUUUAAUCAGUUAUAGAAAGUCUACCAUCACCAAGCUGUCAUCUGGGUUUCACUCUUAAUAAAUGGUCUUUUUGGGGGGAGGUUGAGUGCAAUUAAUUGGCUAAUUUCAAGUGCAUGUUUAUAUUUGUACUCGGGAACUUUCUUGUAGAACUAAUGCUAAGUGGUUAAUUUGAGCAGCACUUAAACGAAAAGGAGAGAAUCAAUAAACCAAAGCUGCAAGAAGUGUUGAACAAAAAAAAUCAGUUUGGAGGAAAAUGAAAAUAGUAUCUAGACAUUCAUUGAAAGUGUAAUGUGUGGCAAAUCAAUUGCUAACCUUCCUUGAUGGUGCAACAUGUAGCAAAUCAAUUGUUAACAGUUGAGAUGUCAAUUAAGGGAUUUUUGUAUCGAUGCUCGAUCGGCACUUGUUAAAACACCCAAAUCAAACAUAAUUUACUCUUUGAAUGCACAUUUUAAUAAUUAUUAUCAUGCCUUGCAUUUAGUGGCAGAAGCAGUGACUUCAAAGAGAUGCUUUCACUUUGGCAAAGGCCUUGAUGAUUUCAGAUUUUAUACUUGAAGGUGAUGCAUCUAGGAUUUGUCCAAUUUAUCGAUAGUAAAGAUGACGAUCUCUCUGCCAUCGGCCUAAUCAUUGAAAAUUUGUGGGAAGCUUUGCAUGAUCCUUGUUUGAUUAAUGUAAAUUGGGUUCCUAGUGUCACAGGCUAUUUAAAUUCUUAUAAGUCAACAUGCCGUGCACCAUUAGCGAUUGUUCGAGACUUAAACUAUAAAUGGUUUGCUAGUUCAGCCUAAACACUAAGUGCGCAGAAUUGUGUGGAAGCUAAAGUAGUGAGCAAAGAAGGAAAAGUUGGAGACUAAAGAAAUCUUGUAUUGUACUUAUGAACCCUUGUAUAAAAUUGGUUACACAUGAGGGGGAUUGGCCUAUUUAUAGGCAAGUUAAGAAGUUAUACAAGUCUCUAAAGAAUUUUACACUAAGCCCUCUCUUUGGAACUUUCUAUACAAGACAAAUCUUAUGUACAAAACUCUAAACUAUUCCAUAAGACUCGAGAACAAUUUAGAACAUUUUGGAGGCCUCUCGGGUUUACUACAUACUUCUACCAACAUUUGGCGUAGCUUCCGCUUUAGACAAGCCUCCAAGCUUUGGUGCUUUUUUGGGUGAAUGGAGUGCGGGUCUAUUAACUGUCAUGAUUUUUCUGUUAGAACAUUACGUAUAGUAGCGCAUGACGUGGACGGGCACAAUUGCGCGUAGACACAGCCCGAUCCAUGUCACUAGGAAAGCCAACAAAGUAGCUCAUAAAUUAGCGUAUUUUGUUAAAAUAUCUCACUCUGUUGAAUCUAGUGAAACUCUCCUCCUACCUUUGUUGAGCAAUUUGUGUUGGACGAUUUCUAGUAAAUUUAAUGAUAAAAUCUUCAAAAAAAAAACUUUUAUUUAAUUUUAUAUCUUUCAAAUAUUAACGCUCGAACUAUAUCUUCGCAAGUGGGCACUUGUUAGAUAGACCUGUAAAUUGUUGUCAAUUUUGGCAUUCAUCUACUGAUCACCAAUUUCCAUUUCCUAGUAAGUUCGCAGUUGAAGAGUUGAUUUCAAAAUAAAUGAAACAAAAAAAAUCAUUAUUUGAUUUAGGUUCCUAAACACACCCUAGUAAAGUACAAAAUUAAAUAUAACUAUGAAGAUUGGAUGACAACUUACAGACUGAGUGAAUUCCUACAUGCUUGUGAUCAAAGAGCCCCAUAUGGCCAUAUCCCAUUUUGUUUUGGUCUGUAUUUCACAUAACCUUUGCUUGCGCCAUCAAGCAAAGCCCCAUAUGCAAUGCAAGUGAUUCAAAAGCUAUUACAAGGUCAUCAAGAAAUGAUGUACCUUGGGAUGCUUUUUAUUAAAUUGAUGUUUACGUCUAGGGAUGGCAACGGGGUGGGCAGGUGGGGGACCCUUACCCCGCCCCCAUCCCGCUGCCUAUUAAUUUCCCCUACCCUGUCCCCUGCCUGCCCCGCUCCCCUGCUUCCCCCGCUUCACCUCGCUUCCCUGGCAGGGGCUAGUAAAAAUUUGUUAUAUGAUUUUAUUAUAGUUAAAAUUUAGCAAAUUAUCAAGUACUAAAAUAUCAAUACAUCAUUAAGUUAUUAUUCAUUAUAAUUUCACAAUUGAAACUCCUAAAAAAUAAUCAAACAAAAGUUAUUUGAAUACAAUUCAAUACGAUGAAAUAAAUACAACUAAAAUAGUCAAGUUUUUACUUUUGGCACAAAUACAAUCACUAAUUCAUUAUUGUGCUUGUGUUUUUUUUUUUUUGGAGAAAAAAAUGUAUUACUGUAUUAAGUGUAAUUAGGAAUUUAGUAUAAAUGUAUUAGUAAAUUUAGUAUAACUAAUUAAUAAAUUUUAUUAGUAGACAUAUAUAAUUAUUAGUAUAAUCGAUAAUAUCAAUUAUAUUAUAUAUACUAAUAUACAUUAUAUAAUACAGAUAACUAAUAAUAUCAUUAUCAUAAGUUUGUAACUAAUUAAAUUAAAUAUUAUAUAUAAUUAUAUACAUAUAUAUUUAUAUAUUUAUUUUUUUAGUGGGUGGCGAGGUGGGGGUAUACUCCCCCGCCCCCCACCCCAUUUCUAAACAGGGGAAAAAAAUCCCCCGCCGCACCCCAACCCCUACUCUAUUAAUCCCCCCGUGAGGCGGGUGGCUGCGCAUUGUCAUCCCUCUUUACGUCACUGGUUAAGAACUAAAAAAGGCAAUGGCAUGACUACUACAAUAAUACUAACGAAACAAACUUUGUGCUCUAAAUUGUAGGUGUCAAUCACAAUUAAAUUAUGUUUCAUCCACCCAAACCUUUCCACUAAUAACUUGUUCAAAUUCACCCAUUAACUUUAAAUGGGUCUAAAUGGGUAUUCAAUUAAAUCCAUUUAAUUAGUGGAUAGUGGGUUGAUUCGACUCACUCAUUUAUAUCAAUUUAAAAAUAAUUAUACAUUUUAACUUAAUUUUUAGUGUGUGUUAAGGAGAUAAAAUUGAAUUUUCUACCAAUCUAAUAACAGUAAAAUGUUGUUAUUUCUUGUCAAACAACAUAUGAAUUUUUUUUAAAUUAGAAUUUCAAAUGAGUCAUAAAUGGGUAUAAUUAGAUGUACCAUUAAAUGAUAUAAAUGAGUAUCCAUUUACACCCAUUUAUAUAAAUUGGUAUGAAUGGAUUGACCAAAUUAUACCUAUUAUCCAAUUACGAUCCGUCCAAGUCGUCCAUUUUGACACCUCUCCUUCAAAGCAUUAUUCGAGAAAUGGAAAAUUCACACCGUUCCCUUCUCUAUGCACACACCCAAGCGACAUAUUGCCUCGAUAUAGUGUGGUUUUUACAAUUCUGUAUUAAUUUGCUUUUUACAUUUUUCCGACGGACUGUACUUUUCUGCUUCUCGUCAUCGAAGUGUAUUUCCUACUCUUUUGGCUGACAUAUUAAUACUUCUAACAAGGAACUGUAUUUAAUAAGCAAACCUAUUAAAUUAGUUGUUUUUGGAAUGCGAAAUAAAACAACUUGAGACUUGGUAUUAGAAACCAAAUUUGAUUUUCUGUGCAAUGAAAUUUUACUUAAGCAAAUUUAGUUAAAUUUCAAUCAAAUUUAGUUGCACAAUAAAAUCAAAUUCGAUUAAAACAGGGAAUAGAACAAAUUGAGACUUUAUCUUACAAAUUAUAUUUUUUUGCAUAUAAUAUUAAGUCUCAAGUUUUUUUUUAAAUCUUCCCCACUAUUAGGUUCGGGGUUCCAAUCGGCAUUUGGGGAUGGGAAGUGUAUAGGGAGGGGUGCGAGGAUACAAAAAAAAAGUCUCAAGUUUUAGUUGACAUUGAUAGCCUUAAUUAGCAAUCAUAAAAACGCAUUCAACUUAAUAUGGUAGCAAUCCAUAUACGCUGUAUUGUUGUACAGUUGCUUGAUAUACGCUAUAUGUAUAGUGGACUGGAAAACAAGACAUUCACAGUCCAAUGUUGUUAAACUCGAAUCAGAUAGCAACUUGGCUAAACUAUUGGAUUAGGGGUCAAUUGGUUGGAUUGGUUGAAUUGUUUUAAAAAACAUGCUGAUAUUAGCAUGAUUUUAUAAUUAUUUUAUACUUUUAUAAGUUUUAGAAAUAUUGAAAUUAAGUUCUUGAUUAUAUUUCGGGAAACUCUACAAAAUGUUCUAAAAAUAUUAGGCUUGUAAUCAAAUAUACACCUAAAAAUUAUAUAUAAAUAUGUGAAUUCAAGUAAAAAAUAUGUCUAUUCUCCAAAAUUACUUGAAAAAUUAAAUUGAAAUAAAUCAUACCUAAUUCGAGAUAUUUUUCAUUAGAAUAUGGUUUUCUAAUGCAAGUUGGAAUCAUUGAUAAUAAAUUGAUAAGAUGAUAGGGAUAAAAACUUCUUGGUUUAGAGAUCGUUUAGGGGUGUGAGUAAUUUUGGUGUUCAUACUAAAUGGUGGCUUUUUUUUAAUUACUAUUAAUAAAUGAAAGUUUUAUAAUUUAGAAAACUCAAAUUAUGUUUGAGAAAAACAAGAAAGAAAAGUUUGAGAACUGGGUUAAGCAAUCGAGUCGAGUCACUGGUUUGAUCGAUUUUUGAUGGUUUUGACUUAUUUUUGACAAAAACGAUUUUGUGCUACUAAACAGUUCGGGAAGAAUGCCGGUUCAUGGUCAAACCGGGUCUAGCAAUACUGAUUCACACCCUUCCCUAUUCUAGAUUGUGGAAUCUAUGGCCAGCCAAUUGAUAUAUAUAAUCCAUAUUACUAGAUUUUCGUACGAAUAUUUUCCACGUUUUGUCAUCAAAUCUCAUUUUAGAAGAUCAAAUCUCUUCCUGCAAGAAUUAAAACGUUUGCAUGGAGCUUUUUCUUCUGUUUUUGUUCUUCCUCCUUAUGGUUUUCUUCUGUUUUUUCCUAUAUUCAUUUCCAUUAUCAUUCAAACUUAAAGAACCAAUCUCCAAACUACAACUCCCUCCGGGGAAAACAGGUUGGCCGAUUGUUGGGGAAACCCUUGAGUUUGCUGCCAUGGGGAGAAAUGGAACACCGGAGAAAUUUUUCAAGGACAGAAUGAGCAAAUACUCACAAGAAGUGUUCAAAACCUCAUUACUUUGCGAACAGAUUGCUGUUUUUUGUGGACCUGCAGCAAACAAAUUUGUGUUCUCAAAUGAGAACAAGCUUGUAGCCCUUUCUUGGCCUAGUAGCGCCAAGAAAAUCUUCCCAUCUUCCAAUUCCUCAACAAAACUUCGUGCUGUGGCUUUAACGCUUCUAAAACCUGAUAAUCUUCACAAAUAUGUUUCGAUUGUCGACUCCAUUGCAAAAAGCCACUUAGAAACUCAAUGGAAUUUUCAGAAAGAAGUUAAUGUUUUAUCACUUGUGAGGCAAUUCGAUUUCACUGCAGCAUGUCGACUGUUUUUGAGCAUUAAUGAUCCACAUCAAAUCGAAGAUUGUGCCAAGCCAUUUGAAGUCAUGGCUGCUGGAAUUUUUACCCUUCCUAUAAAUCUACCGGGAAGCUCAUAUAAUCGUGGUAUUAAAGCUGCGAAUUCAGUAAGACAGAAGCUGUUAGGAAUUAUAAAGCAAAGGAAGGGUGAGGUGAUGGAUAAACAACUAGUACAUGACGAGGAUCUUUUAUCACUAUUCUUAACCAAGCCAGAUGAGAAUGGAAAAUUCAUGAGUGAACCGGAAAUUGCUGAUCACUUGCUUGCUGCACUUCUUGCCAGCCAGGAUUCCACCACUGCAUCCAUCACUUUUACAAUGAAAUAUCUUGCUGAAUUUCCUGAUAUCUAUGAUGAAGUCCUCAAAGGUACAAGUGUUUUCUUUUUUUCAUUUACAUUUUCUUUAUCAGAUAGAGUAUUUGUUACAAUUGCAAAAAUGAAUUGGACUCAUCAAAUUAUUGUUUCAAUUUACCAAGAACAAAGAAGCAUUGCGCAAGAGAAAAUCCCCGGGGAGCCACUGAAUUGGAAAGACUUACAGAAGAUGAGGUAUGCCUGGAAUGUGGUCAGCGAAGUACUAAGACUCGUCCCUCCUGUUCAAGGGAACUUCCGGGAGGUCUUAACGGACUUCACAUAUUCUACUUUCUUCAUUCCCAAAGGAUGGAAGGUAUGGGACCUAAUUUUGCAUGUUUUAGAAAUGUUGAUCAAUGAUUAAGGCAAAGAUGAAGCACUAGAACGUGUAAAAAGAACUGGAAGCCAUGUAAUGCUGCAUUAAUUAUGCAACCUGGUCCUUACUCUCUACUUAUAUUUUGUGACUCUCAAUGCCAUCUUCUAUCAAUCUCUCUCCAUUUGUUCUAUUAAAAGUAUUAUGUUUUUUAUUUAUUUUUAUUUUUGCAUGUCCCAAAAUACUUGUUAUCUUAAAAAAUCAAGCAUGAUCACCACCCUUUUUCUAAUCUUAGCAUUCAACUUUUGAAUUUUGCAAGGUAAAAUUUGAAAAGAUCUAUAUACACUAUCACUAUUAAACAUACUACUUCUAGGAUUUUUUUGAAUAAAAAAAUUGAUAAGUAACAGAACUUUUAGAAAUAGAGAUGGUCCAUUUAGCAUGGUUGGAUUCAGUGAUAGAGCCACAUGUAAGCAAAAGGUGGCAAUUGCCCCUGCUUAACUUUAGAAAAAUUAGUUUUUUAAAAAACUUAAGAAAUUUAGAAAAUUUUAAAGUUGCAUCUUAUUUGUCCAUACUAAAUUUUAAUAAAUUCUCUUUUCUAUCUAUAUUGACCCCCAGAUAAUUAAAAAAGUCAUAAAAAUUUUGGAUUUACUUAAAGUUAAUUAUGGAAGUUAUUUCAAGAAUAAUCUCUUUCUCUGUUUUUGAGUUAAAUUAACCCCCAAAUAAUUAAAAAUCCUUGUUACCAUCAAAGGAUAUAAGGAUUUUGGAGCUACUUAAAGUGAAUUACAGAAAUUAUUUCAAGAAUAAUUUCUUUGAAAGUUUUCCACAUUCAAAUGGAGAAAAUAAUUGUCACAUUUAAAUUUAAGCAUAAUAUGAACUUCCAAGCAUAUUAAAUUUAGAAAAACAUAAAUUUAACAUAAAUAUCCAUUUAUUUUAGCUAUACUAUUACUUCAUAAAUGAAGCUAAUCAUGUUAAACAUCUUAAUGUUCAAGUUUGUUUGAUUAUUUUAACAAGUAUGAAUUUGUAUUCAAGUUUGAUUUUUUUUUUUAUUUGUCAAGCUGAGGUCAAGCAAGUAUUUAUUGAGGUGUGCUCAAAUAGAUUGAAUAUUUACCUAUACAUUUCAAUUUUAUGCCAAACAAGCCAAGUUUGAGUCGAGUUUAAAAUUUAUCGAACACAAAAUAAUAUUUAAAUUUGGUUUGAUUAAUUCGUGAACUAAACUUGAACGAACACUUAUUGAACUCAACUAAAUUUGAGUAUUAAAUAGUUUGGUUGGUCUUUUUGCCUUAACUUUAUUUCAUGUGCCGUCACGGAUUGAUCCCUUUAUAUAUCUUAGGGUCUUGACUCCACCACUGGUUGGAUUGAUUCAUGUUUAGUAAAUCUAACCCGGAUUUCUAAUUAUUUUUAAAAAACAUCUUAUUUUCAUCCAGAUAUAUUGGACUCCCAAUUCAACACACAAGAAUCCACAGUAUUUCUCUGAUCCUGAAAAGUUUGAUCCAUCAAGAUUUGAAGGAUCAGGACCUAUGCCUCACACAUUCGUUCCUUUUGGCGGAGGAUCUCGGAUAUGCCCGGGUAAAGACUUUGCUAGAGUGGUUAUACUUGUUUUCAUGUACAACGUGAUAGGGAAGUUCAGAUGGGAAAAGCUCCUUCCUGUUGAGAAAACCGUGGUCCUCCCUAUUCCUCUGCCCGCCAAGGGACUCCCUGUUGUCCUCCAUCCUCAUUGAACAUGAACCGCAAUAUUUAUGGCAAUAGCCAUUGGCCCAUUGAUGUACUGCACAAUUUUUAUACAGGAGUUGACACAAAACAUCACUUCUAACGCAAAUAAGAAGUCCACUACUGAAUAAAUUAUAGUAAAGGUUUUCAUCGUUCACAAGAAAAGAGCUGCAACCUUGUCAUGUCAAGGGAAUUCAACAAGAAAGCAAUUUGCUCAUUUUACUUACGUAUGAUGGAGUCUAAUGUUUACUAACGCAGCAAGAAAAACGAAAAGUCAUGCUAUUAGUUGACAAAUAAAGUUUGAAUCAUAUGCUCAUAUAUAUGACACAUAAGCAAUGGCUAUAUACAGUAGUAGAAUGUGAUUCUAUUAAUUAGGCAGCAAAUAUGUUGGACUCGAAAAAUUCCCUGUACUUUUUUUUUCAAUGGUUCUACACUUCAACUUUGCCGAAAACUCGGUACGAAGGAAAAUUAUCAACUAAACUAGGAUGCAACUUAAGUUUGUGCAAUGCUUCUUCCAUUGGUAUAAUGGAAAAUAUGAAUUUGAAGCAAAGAACAAAGUAAGUGUAGAACCAUGAGAAAAAGAAGAAGAAGAAGAAGAAGUGUAGUCUAUAUUCUAUAUUUGCUUCUACAUUUUAAUAUUGCAGCAAACUUCGUAGAAAGUAAAACUAUCAACUAAAAUAACGUGCUACUUGAGUUUGUAAUUUAAGGAAUGAAGUUCCGCUAGCAAUCAAGUUAAAUUUGUUAUUUGAGGUAGACGUUUUGCUUUUUAUUUUGAAAAUUUUCUUCCUUGUUAGAUAUUUCGCUUUUGAAUUAUCAUAAUGAUUAGAGCUCUUGAUCGACAAGACUACAAGUUGUCAAGAAAAAAAAAAGAGUAAUUACUGUAAGAAAACAGUUUGUAAACGGCCAUUGGUCAUGUAGUAAGACAAUAGCGCAAAUUUUAUUAAUGCAUUCUUGAUAUUUCGACCAGCAAAUGCUCUAUUUGCAUACUGACCAGCGCGACAUAUACACACAAUAAUUAGUUCAUACACAGUCAAGUUUUACAUUUAUAAAUUCUAAAUACCCCACACAUGAUUUUUUUUGCAAGUAUACAAGUCGUGAGUGAGUAUAGGGUAUUAAGGAUUGAAUCCACAAGAAAAAUUUUCAAUUACCGGUGAUUUCGAAUUCCUUUAUUAUUUAGAUUAUCAUAGUGGAAGAAAUUAACUCUACACUAUAAAAGUAAUAAAAAUAAUCCUAUAAAGCUCCUAGAGGUAUGGAAUUCCUUAUAACUCUUGCAAAUGAGAUUACCGAUUAAGUGAAUGCUAUUAUCUUGGCUAGUUAUAGGGUAAUUUCCUUAUGUAUGUGAAACCCACUCUCAUAGUGAAUCAACUAUACUUGUAACUAAGCCAUACCUACUCUUGUGGUCAUGAAUUAAUUACAAGCUCAUUUCUUCUAUAAAAUUACAUGAAACAAGUCACUAAAGCCACAAAGAUGCUCCUUUACUCUCGUGAGUGAACUUCCUAAGUUUAUCACUUCCUUGAACUAGUGUUAAAUUCCAAUUCUCAUUGCACACUUAACACCUUAAAAUUAUCACAAUUAAUGACCGAUUAAUCAUUAUUAGAAAAGCAAAAGUGGUAAAUAACUUGCUCAAAAUAAUAUCAUCAAAUAACCAAGUAAACUUUACUAACAAGAUAUAGCAAGUUCAUCCAUAUUCUAAACAUAAACUUUAACUGAACAUGAAGAAAAACGAAUCCCAACUUCUAUUAUAGUUAAACAUGAAUUCAAAUAUAAAAGUGAAAGUGAUAGGAGAGAGGUCACCCUUGUCACACGAGUUCCAACUCUGCAUCUUUGCUCCUCCAAUUUUCAUGCAAAUCUAACUACAAAUACAAGAAAGAUAAACUAUACUAACUACUCUAUACUAUCCUAACAAAUGAACUAAGGAAAUUCUAGUGAAUACCAUAGUUUUCUCUAGCCUUCCAAAGUUUUUCAAAAUGUUCCUCCAAGGCAAUUUAUAGAGGAUUCAAGAACCAAAUGAGUUGUUUCUAGUUGUCAUUUUUGACUCUUGAAACUCCCAUGAGUUGUUUCUCCAACUUUCCACACAUUUUUUGAUAAGGCACAGCCGAAAUUGUUAGCUAAAAUUGAGCUAAAAAAGUUAUGUGAAAGCAGGCAAGUUGCAAAAAAUAGAAGAGAAUACGUGACCUCAAGAAUACGCGGCUAUUGGAGGUCGCGUUUUCACUUCGGCACCAUUUUAACUGAUAUUUUUUUGAUGAUGGAGGCCGAACUAGCUCUUGUGCAAAACAUGAAAACUGUAGUCCUUUGAGUUACUUUCCAAUGCCUCAAGAAUCAUCCAAUUUAGAGCUCUGUGAACUGAGAUAUGACCAAAAUACUUUCGAAUGGUCAGAGCUCUGUUUCAACUUUCGACAACAGAGUUUCACUUCUGUAUUCCGACAUUUUGACAAUGAAAAUGACUGAACUGGAUUUCGAUGUCUUCAUACCAAAUGUAGAUCUAUCUUUUAAUUUCAAAAUGGUAUAAAAAUCACUUUAAUCCAAUCAUUUUAGAUCAAGAUAUUGCCAAAUGCCACAAGGUGUUAAAGCUGUAAAACUUGUGUUUCUUUAGAACUUAAUUGCAUUUCAUCUCUUGCACUUCAUAUUCUCUUUUUAUUUCUUUAAAUCAUCAUCAAUAAUCCAAUUCUCUUCUUAAUUCAUGUCAUUUGAUGAUUGAAUCAUUAAACUCACAAAAACAUGAAGUUUUCACUAUUAAAAUCCAUAGAAAUGCAAUUUUUACCACUUUAACCACAAAAUAUAUAUUUUCACUAGAAUCUUAGUCAAUUAGUUAUAAAAGUGACUAAAACACACCAAAACUAACUGAUAAAACACACUAAAAACAUGUAAAAAAUACACUUAUCACAUACAUAUUAAUAUGUCAAUUAGCUAGUCUGAUAGGUGGAAAAAUCUAUAUCUUUAGCUCCAUAAGUUUGGCAAUAGUUCAACUAAUCCCUACAUCAUGGUUUGAAAUUAACAAUUGUAUGAGCCCCUUUUUCAUGUCAAGUUCGUUGUACUGCAAUGAAAAGAAUUAAAAUCUAUAGUAUAGCUUUUAAUUGCGUGCUUGAGAAUAUUCCAACUAGCUGGUUUGGCUAACCGGAGAUUUAUAGCUUUGGCUCCAAUGUAAUGGUUUAGGGUAGUGAUUAAAUGUAAACCAUACAAUAAAUAAUUGUGUGCGCCCCUUUUGCAUGCCAUGUAUAUGUACUGCAUUAAAACGAAAUAAGCCAGUACCAUAGUUUUAUAGCUUUAGCCCCACAGGCAUGCACUAAUUCACCAAUUAAUCCCUACUUUAUUAUUUCAAAUAAGUUCAUGGUAAAACUAGGGGUGGGCAAAAAUACCGCAAACCUGAAAAUGCGAUAUAUCCUGUUAAGAGAAUAUAAGUAUUCUUGUAGAUAAUAAAUUAGUAAGGGUAUUCUUGUAAAUAGUUUAUUAGGUUUGUACUCCUAUAAAUACUAAUUGGUCACUCAUAAUACAGUGACUAGAUAUUUUCCUCCCAAGAUACCUGUUAACAUGGUAUCAGAGCAAAAGUCCUAGGGUUAGGGUUAAACAUCUAGCAAAAGUCUUGACGCGAUACUGUUCAUCGCGCACUGUUCACGCGAUACUAUUCACGCGUACUGUUCACGCGGUACUGUUCAUCGCGCGUACUGUUCAUCACGCACUGUUCACCCGGUACUAUUCACGCGCACUGUUCACGCGCAUUGUUCAUAGCGAAUUUUGAUUGCUGUUUUGUUUGAAGUGCUAUUCACUAUGGUUGAAAGUUUUGCUAAUGGGGUUACCAUUGAUCAAAUUGAAUCAAGUUCUUCAGUACAUGGGUCCCAGAAAACUGUUACUAUAUCCGAGGAAGAUUAUGUUAAAUUCUUACAGUACCAAGCUACAAGUCAUGCAUCUCUUCCCUCUGCUUCUUUAGCACAAAAAGGUAAUGACUCAUGGAUUAUUGACUCCGGGGCUACUGAUCAUAUGUCAGGCUCCUCUAAAUUUUUUUCUAAUUUUCAAGAGUCUACUCCCUUUCCUCAUGUUACUUUAGCUGAUGGAUCUACUACUAAAGUUAAAGGACUAGGCACUGUAGAAAUUAAUCCAUCACUUCCGCUGUCUUCUAUUCUUUACGUACCCAAUUUGCCAUUUAAUCUAAUGUCUGUUAGUAAGCUCACUAAAUUUCUACAGUGUACAGUUAUUUUUUCUCCUGAUUCCGUUGUCAUUUAGGAUUUGAAGACAAAGAGGAUGAUUUGUGGAGGGCAUGAGUAUAAUGUUUCUUCUCUUGAAAUUCACUGUCGUUUAGGUCAUCCGUCUUUACAAAAUUUGAAAAAGUUGGUUCCUACUUUGAAUCAAUUAUCUUCGUUAGAAUGUGAGUCUUGUCAGUUAGGAAAGCAUCAUCGUGUUUCUUUUGCUCCUAAAGUCAAUAAACGGGUUUCUGAACCCUUUUUGUUAGUUCAUUCUGAUGUUUGGGGUCCUAGUCGAGUCACUUCAAAGUUAGGUUUUAAAUAUUUUGUAGUCUUUGUUGAUGAUUUUUCAGAGUUACAUGGCUUUAUUUAAUGAAAGAUCGUUCAGAAUUAUAUUCCAUUUUUUGUGCAUUUGUUACAGAAAUAAAGAAUCAAUUUGGUGUGCCUGUACGUAUACUUCGCAGUGAUAAUGCAAAAGAAUAUUUUUUCACUCUUUUUAAUACCUUUAUGACUAAGUCUGGUAUUAUUCAUCAGUUCUCUUGUCCUCACACUUCACAACAGAAUGGAGUUGCUGAAAGGAAAAUUGGAAAUUUAAUCGAAAUUGCUCGAACACUGUUGUUGCACAUGAAUGUGCCCAAACAAUUUUGGAGUGAUGCAGUUCUAACUGCAUGUUAUUUAAUUAAUCGCAUGCCAUCUAAUAUUCUUGAAGGUCAAUUACCUCACUUCAUUCUUUUUCCUCAUGAAAACUUUGUUUAAAUUGCCUCAUCGUAUUUUUGGAUGUGUGUGCUUUGUUCAUCAGCUUGUUCCCGGGGUGGAUAAAUUAGAUUCUCGUGCUAUUAAGUGUAUUUUCUUAGGAUAUGCACGAGCGCAAAAGGGUAUAGAUGUUACAGUUCAGUUUCAAAUCGAUUUUUUACUUGUGCUGAUGUUACUUUCUUUGAAUCCACUCCGUAUUUUAUCAAACAAAGUAUGUCUUGUGAGUUAGACCAGUGUCCCUUUUUUUCCUCUCCUGUUUUACCAGUCCCUUCCCCUUUAUUACCUGAGUUAUCUAGUCCACCAGAUUCCAUAGCUCGAUUAUCUCGUCCUCAUCUUCAAGUUUACUCUCGUCGUUUCAUGGUUGAGAAAGUUCCUGAUAUGCCACGCACUUCACCAAUUAACUCUCAAUCUUCCAAUCCAGGUAUGACGCCCUCCUCUGAGUUAGAUCUUCCUAUUGCUUUACGCAAAGGUAAGAGACAUUGUACUUCCCAUCCUAUUUCUAAUUUUGUUUCUUAUUCUCGUCUCUCUAUGUCAUAUUCUUCUUUUGUUCCUUCCCUUGAUUCUAUCUCCAUUCCUAAGUCUAUUACCUAUGCUCUUAAUCAUCCUUGUUGGAGAUUAACUAUGCAAGAAAAGAUGUCUGCUUUGGAACAAAAUGGUACUUGGGAUCUUGUCCCUCGUCCUUCAGGUAAGUCUGUUGUUGGUUGUAAAUGGGUGUACACUAUAAAAGUGCAGCCUAAUGGUUCUAUUGAUAGAUUGAAGGCUCGGCUGGUAGUUAGAGGAUUUAUUCAGGUGUAUGGAGUAGAUUACUUAGAAACAUUUUCUCCUGUUGCAAAGAUUACCUCUAUUCGUCUUCUUAUCUCUUUGGCAGCAACUUAUAAUUGGCCAUUGCAUCAGUUGGAUGUGAAAAAUGCAUUUCUGCAUGGAGAUUUGAAAGAAGAGGUAUAUAUGGAACAACCUCCUGGAUUUGUUGUUCAGGGGGAGAAUCCGCGGUUGGUUUGUCAUUUGAAAAAAUCCUUAUAUGGAUUGAAACAGUCUCCGAGGGCUUGGUUUGGCCGGUUUAGUAGUGUUGUCAUGGAGUUCGGUCUGACAAGAUGUGGAGUAGAUCACUCUGUAUUUUAUCGGCAUUCUAAUGCUGGUAAAAUUUUAUUAGUUGUUUAUGUGGAUGACAUUGUGAUUACAGGUGAUGAUGUUGUGGGGAUCCAGAAAUUUAAAUCCAAUCUGCAGGCUAACUUUCAGACAAAGGAUUUAGGUCAUCUACAGUAUUUUCUGGGUAUUGAGGUAGCUCAGUCUAAAUAUGGGAUUUAUUUAUGUCAAAAAAAAAUAUGUACUCGAUAUGUUGAGUGAAGUUGGGAUGUUAGGUUGCCGACCUGUAGAUACUCCUAUGGAUCCCAAUGUGAAAUUAGCAAGAGAUCAAGGUGCAUUACUUGAUGAUUCUAAGCAAUAUCGAAGACUUGUGGGUAAAUUAAAUUAUCUCACUGUAACGAGACCUGACAUUUCGUUUGCAGUGAGUGUUGUGAGUCAAUUUCUUGAUAUCCCUCGAACUAGUCAUUGGGAUGCUGUUAUACGGAUUCUCAGGUAUCUUAAGAGUACUCCUGGAAAAGGGUUGCUGUAUCAAAAUCAUGGACACAUUGAUAUUGAAGGAUAUAGUGAUGCAGAUUGGGCUGGUUCUGCCUCAGAUCGAAGAUCGACUACAGGAUAUUGUGUGUUUGUUGGUGGUAAUUUAGUGUCGUGGAAAAGUAAGAAACAAACAGUUGUAUCCAGAUCAAGUGCAGAAUCUGAAUACCGCGCUAUGGCUCACACUGUGUAUGAGUUGGUUUGGUUAAAGAGCAUGUUACUGGAACUUGGGUUUGAGCAUAAACAGCCUAUGAAUUUAGUGUGUGAUAAUCAGACUGCUGUUCAUAUUGCGUCUAAUCUAGUGUUCCAUGAAAGGACAAAACAUAUUGAAGUUGAUUGUCAUUUCAUUCGAGAGAAAUUGCUUGACGGGGUCAUCAAGACAUCUCAUGUAUCGUCUGUAGAUCAAUUGGUUGAUGUGUUUACCAAGAGUUUAGGGGCUCUAGGGUGAAAUACAUUUGUAACAAGUUGGGUGCUUAUGAUAUAUAUGCUCCAAUUUGAGGGGGAGUGUUAAGAGAAUAUAAGUAUUCUUGUAGAUAAUAAAUUAGUAAGGGUAUUCUUGUAAAUAGUUUAUUAGGUUUGUACUCCUAUAAAUACUAAUUGGUCACUCAUAAUACAGUGACUAGAUGUUUUUCUCUCAAGAUACCUGUUAACAUAUCCGAUCCGAUUUGAAAAUUAGGAUAUCCAAUCCAUAUUAUUUGAUCGGAUCAAAAGAGGGUCGGGUACCCAAUUAGAUACGGGAUGGGUUAGGGUCAUAUAAUUGAAAAUCCGCAGAUACCCCGCACACACACACACACACACACAUAUAUAUAUAUUUAUUUAUUUUUAUACACAUACUAUAAAAUAUUAUUUUUAGAGCUAAAUAAGCAAUUUCAUUGAACAAAUUACAUUAAAAAUAUGGAAGACUAUAGUUUGUUUAUAAGAUUCAGUUGUAGAGGUCAUGAACUUUAAGAAAAGAGUUUAAUUAAUGUGGAAUAUAUACUUAAAAGGAAUGCCCCUUAUUUCAAAUUUUUAUUGACUUUGAAUUCUUUUAAUUUUUUCCUUUUUCUUGUAUUCUCUUUGCUUGUUUGUUUCUUGGUGGGAGACUUUUUUUGAGAAAAAUCCUUUAUUAAAUCUUAGAUGAAUAUGCAGAAUAUAAAAUAAAUUAGUAUAAAUUAUUUUUUAAAAAAAAUUAAAUGAUAAGCGGGAUGGGACGGUCCCCGUUGAUCCGACCCUAUUUCAACGGUUAUCCGAUAAUCGGGUACUCGUUGAUAUGCGGGGCGAAUAAGGGUAAAAAAAAGCUUGACCCACAAGAUGCAGGUUGGGUCCGCAAAAUGGUGAACAAGGUGGGUACCCGACUCGUUCCCACUCCUAAGUAAAACAAUGAAAUAAAUAACCAUUAACAUAGGUUUUAUUUUUAAAUUAGAAAUUAACAUAGGUUUCAUUUACAUAUGCUGAUAUGCAUAUUUAAUAUUUCAACUAACUAGUUAAUUUCCUGGAUGGGAGAGAUCCAGCUUUAGCUCCUUAAGUUUGGCAUUGGCUCUAUUAAUCUUUGCAUAAUGAUUUUUAAUAAAUAAUUAUGAUACUACAUUCAAAUGAAUUAGACCAAGUGGGUAGUUUUUAUUUGAGUACUUGAUAUUUAAUUUCAACAAGCUAUUUUGUCAGUAGGAGAUUUAAUUUAUAUAUAACUUUAGCUCCAUAUUUUUUGGACUAGUUUCAAUCAAAACUUUUCAAAAUUUUAAGCCUAUUUUGUAACUUUACUAAAGGUCACUCCCUCAACUAUAUCCGGCCCCAUCACUGAUUUGAAUGCCUCCACCUUUAUUUUUUUCCUUUCAAAUGAAAAAAGUCUAGCUUUUCUUGUUUCCGAGUGUCGUUAAUCCUUCCCUAGUGGCACAAUUGUUCAAGAAUGUGAGACAGGAACUAAAGUUGGAUGAUGUUUUGAAGAUCAUUUGCGUGAUUCUCUUUUUAAAUUCAAAGCUUUCAUGAAACCAUGCAAUAAUUUAUAUCCAUGACUUCAAAUAGGAUAUGUAAUUCAAAUAAAAUUUUCAAUGCCUUUUUCCUAUUAAAAAAACUUUGUUGCACCAGAUCCUGCCACCUAGAGGUUGUAAGGAAAUGAAUUUGUUGCACCAGAUCCAUAGCAAAAGCCUUUGGUAUAAAUGAAAAUAAUUAAGUAAAUCUCAUGAGCAGAGGUAUGUGUUUAAUUAGUUGAUCGCAAUAAAAUUAAAGAACUUAUCAAGCAGCAGUAUUAUUGAAAUUUAUUGCAAUUGGUUUUAACUUCAUAUCGUACGUUCCUUGUUAGUUAAUUGCGCUCCUGAUUCAUAAACAUAAGUACACUAGUAAUAGUUCACGUAUUUUGCACGUGGUUAUAUUAAUCCAAAUAUAGUAUCUCUUAGAUAUAAAUUUUUAAUUUUUUGGUGAAAUUUGAUUGUUUACCUGAUAACAGAAUGUUUAUAGUUUUAAUUUUUUAACUAAUUAUAGCUACAAAGACUAUCUAAUUAUGAACUCUAUGAUCUAUUAAUUUUGAAUUUACUUUGAUUUUUGGAAUUUAUUUUGUGCUUUUUGGUAAAUUAUGGAUUCAACUUUGAUAAACAAUUCUUAGUACAGUUAUGUUUCACCAAAGUUGUUAUAUACUCACAAUAUUUUAUAAUUAAAUCAUAAUAUUAUUUUUAAUAUUGUAGAAAAGAUAAAGUUAAAUCGAAAAUACAUGUAUACAUGUCAAGUGUGAGCAAGUACAUAAAAUUCAUAAUUAUUAGCAAAAUAAAGACUUAAACCAUAAAAUCAAUUUCUGAAGGGUAUUAGAGUAAAUAAAUUGGCUUGUUAGAUUUUGUUAUUCUAAUUAUUUUCACCACACUCACCCUUCCUUUACCCCUUGGAAAGCUUGUUGACUAGCGGUAGUCUAGAUGUGCCUUUUUUUUUUACUUAAAAUAAAACCCAUGGUUAAGUUUUUGAUAAAAUCAAUGAAUUGUAAUAGUUGAAAAAUUUUGUAUCAACAUUUUGAAUGUUAUUUUUUCAUUGCUAAGACAAACGAAAUGUAAUUGUAUAAUUAGAAUGAAUUAAUUAUUUAAGAAUAAAAUAUAUGAACCAUGCUAUUAUCUAACUUUGCAUGAACAUUUAAUUUUUCUACCUUAUAUUUUUGUAGUUGGACUUGCCAAUUUUUUUUUUAAAAUUUGAAUUGAAUAAUGUGAGAUGCGUUGUUGAAUUUGGAUUAUUUACAUUUUUCUAAGUGUUAAUCAAGAGGCUAGUAAAGAAUGUAAAUGAUUUAUAUAGCUUAAUCAUCUUAGAUUGGCUAAGUAGUUGUCAAUUGACAUUUAAUUGACAGAAAUAGUUAGAUUCUUUUGUUUUUGCUUUUCUUUCAGUAUUUAUUCAAAUUGAUAAAAAGCACAAAAUUAUAUAUCUAUGUCGUGAUAUUCAUAUCAAGAUUUUCCAAAUGAAUGUGAGCUUUUCUUCUUAUAUAUUUCUCUUUUAUUCCAAGAGCAUCUAUUUAGUAACAGAUAUUAAUAGAUAGAUAGAUAGGUAGAUAACCAAUCUACCAAUCUAUCUACGAAUAUGAGCAAUGAAAGAAUCCGUCUCCAAGCGACUAACACCACCUUCCGUAACAGACCCUUAAUAGUUUUGCUCAACUCUUUAGCCCUUUGCCUCAUCUCCUCUCCUUCUGCAGAAUUCAUCAAUCUUCUCACAGCAUUUUCAAUAGUAACAGAAGUCACAGGUUCAUCUCGCCGCGACCAGUCCUUUACUGGUAGGGCAAUCUUCAGCAGCUUUUCCAUCAGGACAGCGUUCCACGGCUGGUCAGUAUGCAUAGGCCAUGCUGCCACUGGCACUCCCAUGCUAAUGCUUUCCAUGCACGAGUUCCAGCCGCAAUGACUCAUGAAACCACCAGUUGAUGAAUGUGCAAGAACCUCCAACUGCGGUGCCCACUCCCUCACAACUAUACCUCUCCCUUCAAUGCUCUCUUCAAAGCCUUCAGGCAACUCAGCCCUUCUAACCUCCCCUUCAAAAAUAUCUCCUUUAUCUGCAUCCCUGAGUACCCAUAUGAACUUCUGCCGGCUUUUCUCCAAUCAAUAGCGAUCUCCUUGGCUUCUUCAUCUGAUAAUGAAGUUGUUGAACCAAAAGAGACAAAAAUGACAGUGUCCUGGGCUUGCUUGUCAAGCCACUCCAAGCAAUAGUGUCUCUUGUUGGAGUUUUUCAUCCCAUCUAUUAUUACAACUGGAUUGAGGGGACCAACAGCCCAUUGCUUGUCAUUAUCAAUUCUACUGGUUUUUUCAAGAGAUCGAGGUAGGGACCCUCUAUCUCUCUGCACGUAUUCAGCAGGUAUCCAGAGAUAAUUGGUUUGGAAUCCAGUUGCAAUUUUAUAAAUUCCAUCAUCUCUGGAGGCAUGCAACCUUCAUUGGACGGAAGAUCUUUGAGUAGUUAGAGUAGUUCAGGCUCGGCGAGUCUAGGUUUCCCUUCUAGUUCCCAAAUGAAUGCGUAGCCAUAGAAGGCCGAUAAGAUACUAAAGCAGUAGGACUCCACAUUUGGAAUCAAAUGCGCAUCCUGGAUGACAUAUGGCAUGGCAGAGUCAUAAAUAACUACCAAUCUUUUUGUUUUUCUUGAAAGUUGCUCCAAAAGUGCAUAAACUGGCUCGCGAAGUUUGAUCGAUGCAUUAAACAAUGGCACGAGUUGAACGGGGAAUUUUGUCCGGGCGUUUGGAUUGGCGGAGGAGUUUCGUAACAAGGGAUAGAAAAUUCGUGAAAAUUGAUGUUAGAAAUGACAAGAGGAUCCCAACCUUGGACGCGAACCUUUGCCUGGCGGAUAUGGGUGGCCAGGCCAAUGUAGUAAACGGGUAUGUUAUGGGAGGAAAUGAGGCAGGAGAGAUGGAGGAGUGGAUUGAGAUGGCCUUGUGCUGGAAGCGGAACCAUGACCACAGUCACUGGAGUUUGUUGAAUACUCCUAGUAUUAUGGCCUUGGUUUGGGUUUUGGCUUUGGACAAGGGCCAUUUCCUCGGAAAGAUUUGGGAACUGGCAGUUGUGGACAGCUCUUGACUGUCAGCUGGCUGAGAUUUCUUUUGGUCUUUGUGGAGUCAUGGUAGGAUUUUUUUGGUCUUAUAGAGAUGAAAGAUGAAAGCUAGGGACGUAGGAUUCCUAGUUGAAGUAGGAUAUCUUUUUCCACUCUGACCCCUUGGGUUUGUGAAUGGCAUGCAAAAUUUGAAUUUUGAAUUUUGGAUGGCAAAAUUGAAAAGUUAAUCCAAUUAUUCAUAUCAACAUUCGUUUUGAAUUUUUAAAGCAAUUCAACCACAUAUGGGAUCCUCUGUUUGGAUCUUAGUGUUUUUCAAAUACUAUACAAAUUUUUAAAAAGUACUCUAAAAGGUACUUUAAAAAGUAUUUUAAAUUUUUUUAAUGUUUAAAAAAUAUUCCAAAAUAUAUUUUAAAAACUCUACUACUCUUAUAUGACAAAAUAUUUUCUAAAAAUAUGCCAAAAUAUAUCAUAAAAACUUUGCUACAGUAAAAUUUUUCAAAAAUACCUUCAAAAACAGCUAAUCUUAGUUUCACUUACUAAUACUACUAAUGUGACACAUAACAUUGAAUGCAUAUUUAGGAGAAGUUUGGUAAAUGUUUGGACAGGAAAGUGGAACUACGUAGUUUUGCAUUGUAGAUUGUAUGUAAUAAUUAGGCACGAAGACAAAAGUUUCAAACCAAGAUUUAGAAGCUUUUUUCCAACUCUGUGCCUUAGACCAAAGACACGGAUCAAGAGUCUCAGCAAUCACCAAUCGCAAUUGUAUGGUACAAUGCAGACAACAAGACAAGGGAUAUAAACACUAAUACAACAAAUAUAGAUACUAAGCCAAUAAUAUGCAAAAACACGACAAAUUUUAGCACUCCCUCAAAAUUGGGUCCCUAAAUUAAUCUCAUCCAUCUAAUUUGAAAUUGAACACAUUCCUAUCACUAAAUGCACCAUACAAUCCAACCUGCAAUUGCAUGAACUCUAUCCCCAAAGCCACCUUUACUAAAAUUUGCCUUGAAUGGGCUUCCAUCGAUUUUGGAUCAAUUGGUUUCGAUUAUGCGCACUCCAAUCGCGAGUGCAAUAAGCAGACUGGGAAAACCUCCUCUAUUUCCUUCAGCUAUACAUUUUAAGAUAGCUGAAAACUAGGUAAAAAAAAAAAGUAUAUCAACUAAACUAGAAUGCUACAUAAAAUCGUAAUAUUCAUUCAAGGAAUGAAGUUUCAGUAGCAAUUGAUUUAAAGUAAUUAAGUUAGGUGUACAGCGUUUUAAUUUUAUCUCUGUUCCCCUUCCUUUUAGAUGUUUAGUUUUGAAUUCUCAUGAUUGACAAGCCUAAUAAUUAUCAAGACAAAAAAAAUUAAAAAUAGUGAAAGGAAAAUGAUAAAUAGUUGUUGGUAAUGUUAUAAACCAAUAGUGCAAGAUCAGUUUGCAUACUUGAUAUUUCAAUUAGCAAAUGUAUUAUUUGCGUGCAAGAUGUUUCAACCAGCUAUUUUGUUAGAUGGGAGAUUUAUAACUUUGCCUCCAUAACUUAGCUCUAGUUAAUUUCAAUCAGUUCCUCUAAAACGGCUGCAAAUAAACUAUUCUGUAAGCCCUUCAUUCGUGUCAAGAUCAGGAUACUAAUGAAAUGAAUUAAAUAAACCUAGGUUUUAUUUGCGUACUUGAGAAAUUUUACAAGUAGCUAGUUUGGCAGGUCCGAGCUAGAUUUAUAGAUUUAGCUCCAUAUAUAAUGGUUUAUGGUGGCGCUGCAUUAAAUGAAAUAAAUAAAUAUUAAUUGUGUGCCCCCUCUUUCAUGUCAUUUUUGUAGGACUCCAUUAAAAAUGAAAUAAGCCAGUACCACAAGUUGCUAGACCUGGACAUAUAUAGCUUUAGCUCCGUGGGCAUGUAAAGUUCCAAUUAAUUCCUAUUUUAUCAUUUCGAAUAAGUUUAUGGUGCUACAUGGAAAUGACAAACCAUCAAUAAUGGUUUCAUUUGCACAUACUAAUAUGCGUACGUAAUAUUUCAUCUAACUAGUUAUUUCCCAGAUAAGCGAUUGAUAGCUUUAACUCCAUAAGUUUUGCAUUUGUUUCAAUUAGCCUGGAUAGAAUGUUUAGGAAUAAGUUAUUUUGUGAGCUCUUCUUUCAUGUCAACCUUAUGGUACUGCAUGCAAUGAAAUGGAUUAAAACCAAUAGUAUAUAUUUUGUUUGCAUACUUGAAAGUAUUUCAUCUAGCUAGUUUGGCAGAUUUGAAAAUUAUAGUUUUAGCUCUAUAUCUGAUGGUCCAAGGCACUGCAUUAAAUGAACAAGUAAUAAAUAAUUGUAUACGCCCCUCUUGCAUGUCAUGUUUAUAAUACUGCAUUAAAAUGAAAUUAGGCAAUACCAAUGGGAGAUUGAUAGUUUUAGGUUCAUAAAUUUGGCACUAGUUUCAAUCUGUCCUUUUAGAAUGCUCUAAAAUAAAUUACAAUAGGUAGGGAUAUGAAUCGGAAUCGAAAUCGGUAAUUCGAAACUUUGAAAUUAAAAUUUUGGCAUCAAAAUUUUCAAUCGAAUUCAAUUUCGAAUUCACCAACUCCAAAUUUGAAUUCGUUCCGAAUUCAAUUCAGAAUUCGAUAAAUUCCGAAUUCAGGAAUAUAAAAAUUAUCAUUAUAUAAAUGUUAUAUUACAUAUAUAUAAAUAUUAUAUAUAUAUGAAAAACGAAUUUGAAAUCGAAAUAGGAAAUCCGAAUUCUGAAAUCGGAAUUUCCUAUUUGAAAAUUUUCACUAUUGAAUUCGAACCAAAUUCGCAUAAUUUGAAAUCGAAAAACCUGAUUUCAGUUCUGAAUUCCAAAUUACCAAUUUCGAAAAUUUUGAAUUCAGUCGGUAAAUCAAAAUUUUUCGAUUUUGCACACUCCUAACAAUAGGAGUGUCAAACUUAUGGCAUCGCAAUGACAUGAAUUAAAACCAAUAAUAUAAGUUUUAUUUGCAUACUUGAAGCAUUUCAACUAGCUAGCUUGGCAGAUUUUAAAGAUUAUAGCUUUAGCACCAUAUAUGAUGGAUAUGGUACUGCUAUCAAUGAAAUAAGUAAUAAAUAAUUGUGAACGCCCCUCUUGCACGGCAUGUUAUGGUACUGCAUUAAAACAAAAUAAGCCAAUACCAUAGGUUACUAGUUUCGAGUAAUCCCUUUGUUAUGGUUUCAAAUAAGUUAAAAAGUUACAACAUUGAAAUGAAAAACCAUUACCCUAAAAAAAAAUGAAAAACCAUUUACAUAGGCUUCAUUUGCAUAUGCUGAUAUGCGUACUGUAUUUCAUCUAACUAGUUAUUUUGCUUGAUGGGAGAAUGACAGAUUUAGCUCCACAAGUUUGGCACUAGAUUUUGUUAACCCUGUCAUAAUAAUAGUUAUGGUACUACGUUGAAAUUAGGCGUGUCAAUAAGUGGAGUAUGGAUCGUAUUCAUUUGAUAUAGAUUCAAACCCAUUAAACAAAUUCAUACCCAGACCUAGAAUCUUAUAGGUCUGAAAAAGUAAAUGCAAACCCGAACCCUUAUGGAUUUAGAUAUCCAAUGUAUAUCCAUGAAUAUUUUUCAGAACUUAUAGUAAAGAACUAAACGAAAAUUAUUUUGAAAAUAUAUAGAGUUCAAAAAUAACAUAAAUACCAUCUGAUUUUAAUUUUCAAAUAAUAAAAUUACAUUCAAGAUGUUGAAUGCAAUAUUAUAAACUCAAAGAAAUAACUAUUAUCAACUAAAACUAUUUUUUUCAAAUUUUCGUUUGCAUCUACAUUCAAUCUUUCAUUUGUUUACUUUUACUUUUUCACCUUUUCCUCAACGGUUUGUAUCAAUUACAAUGACUUAGAAUAUUAUAUUAUUUUAUAAAUUUAUUGAUAUAUAUAUAUAUAUAUAUAUAUAUAUAUAUAUAUAUAUAAUGUUUAUGCGUGGGUUUGGUUAAUGUCAGAUAUGGAUCUAUAUUUGGGUUUGGGUUAUAGAAAAUUAAAUCAUACCCGAACCCAUGACUCUCUUAUAGGGUCUGAAUUUGAGUAAACUCUAGGUUUGACAAAUUAAACCAAACCCUUUCACAUAUGUUAGGUCUGUAUUGAAUUUAAAUAAGAUCUGACCCAUUGACAUGCCUAAUUGAAAUGAAACAAAUUAGUAGGUAGACGAUACUGUCACAGCAAAAAUUUUCGUGUCAAAGCAAACUGCCUUAAAUGUGAGGACUCAUAAUUUUAUUAUUUUAAAAUAUUAUUAAAUUGGUCAUUUUAAAAAUAUUUCAUACUCGAGUUACCCCAAAAAAAAAAAUUUAGUAAAGUACAUGAAUUUCUCUAAAAUAAAAUUUACCGAUUGGUUCUUUAAGCGCAUAUUAUUUUAAUGCCCAAAUUUAUGCAAGAUGAAUUGCUUAUCAUGAUUUUUAUUGUUAUAUAUACUUGGGUUAUCAUAUUGUAGAGUUUUAGAAUCGAAUAAGCUGAAUUUCCAAGUUCAAACGAGAAAACCCUUAAGUUUGACCUUUAUACGCGAGCGUGCCGAAAAUGCCCCGACAGGCACAUUAAUUUGAUUAAUUGAAGAUUUUAAGAACAUGAGACUACUAGUAAUGUACUAGGGAAAUUACCUCAGAGGUUUAAUGCACAAAAGUUGCAAACGAGCGCGAAAAUUGGACACGCGAAGACCUUAAACGGACCUAGCAUGAGUUGACACUUAGACUUAACCAUUAAGUCACCAAUUCUCUCCACUUUCAUUACGAAAUCUGAUUUCACUCUCUCUCCUCUCUUCACUCUCUAUUUGGCCGAAACUAGGAAGAAAAAAAGGGAAGAAAAAAAACCUAGCCAAAAUCCUCACAACCUUGCUUCAAUCCACUUCCAAAUUUCAUCAUCCAUUAGAGGGCUUUGAUCCUAGCUUGGAAAAGGGGGCUGUUCAUCGGUUUUCUUGGAGGAAUUUCGGUCAAAAUUUCUGCCCUAAAGCUGUCCAACUAAGUUCUUGAGGUAACUCACUCACCCACACUUCAAUCUUGCAAAAUUGUAGCUCAAAUGGAGCAAAGGUAGCAUGGGUUUGCAACCUAUGGUAGAAUUUGGGUUGAUUGGUUGAGUAAUUAUUUUCUUGCAAUUUCAUGACAUGCGUGAGGGCUUGAGGAUGCUUAUUGGUGGCUGAUUUGAUGAAUUAACAUGUUUUGGUUGCUGAUAUUGUGCUAUGUUACAUGUAUAUAGAAUGAUUGAUGGAAUGAAGUUGGAAGAAAGUUAGAAAUUUGGAGAAGGUAUUGUCCGAAAUUUCAAGGACUUGCUGCCCUGUUUUGCUUUGAUAUUUUCGUGCAUAAUUUGGCUACAAAUGUGAGUGAUAUAUGUUAUGUUAUGUGUGUGGUGGUUGUCUACAUAAAAAAAUUAGCCAAUUUGGUUGGAUAAAUUUUGAAUUAUGAGCAAAGAGGCAAAACUGGACUAGGUCCAGAAAUUUUCUGACCAGUGAUCUUGUGGAGAUCAUAACGUUUUUCUCGAUGAUCAAAAUUGAGUUCCGUUUGUGGUAUUUGAAAGUAGACUCUUAGAGCUUUAAAAUGGUACUAAGCCCAUUUUCUAGUUCGUCCGAGCGAUUCGUGACGAGUCUUGAAAGUUGACUGCCUGUUUAUUACUAUUCAUCCGAGACUGUCCAGAAAAUCCAUUUUGUUGCUUGAUUUUGAACCACUUAUGUCUGGAUUUUGGAAAUGAUUUCUUCUACACAAAUAUAGCCUUGUAAACCUAGUUUCUAAAGCCACCAACCAUUUUCAAUUUCACUGAGAAUCGAGUGAGAUACAGCCUAAUUAGCGAAGGGCAUUAAAUCUGGAAAAUUCCUGGAAAGGCCAACAGUCCAGGAAUUUUAGCGAAACUUCAACUUUUAUUUCUUGAGCUAGGAACAUCAGAACCGAGUUCCAUUUUUUUGAUUUGAAACCUGGAUUGGAACUUUACCUGCAUAUCAAAUUUCAAAGGCUGGUUUUGAUUCUAUGAUUUUGGCAAAAUUCCAAAGUUAUUGGAAAAACUUGGACUGUUUUGACCUAUCUUCAAUGAAUAAUAAACUUUCUUGGAGAAAUUGACUUGUUUCUGAUUUGAUUCUUGGAAAGUAACCUUCUACAAAGUUGUUAUGCUUUGAAUGAAGUUUCUGACGGUGUAAAAUUUUCUAUUUUUAGACUUUCCAAACUUCCGGACUGAUUUUUUCCAAGAAUAACUCGAAAAGUGAAAAUUUCCAAUUUGGACCUAAAUGUUCUUUUAAGGGCCUAGGUUACAUUUUUACAACUCUUAGAGCAUUUCAAACCUAUUUUCAUGGUGAACUUGAGUUCACCUAUCACUUGAGACCUCAUUUGAAAGUCGGUUCCUUAUGAAUUGAAAUACUUUGGAAACUUGAAUUUUGGAGUCAAAAUUGACUAUUUCUUUUCUUUACACGAAUACUGUAUGGCCUGGAAUUUGAUAUACAAUGCCUUAUUGCAUACCUUCAGGAUCUCAAGAGGAUUUCGAGGAACUCCCGGUGAAGCGUCUUAGAGCUAAUUUCUCAAACUUUGACUUUUGAUACUUGGUGAGUGUCAAGUGCAUGUUUACUUGUACUUCACUUGAGAUUUGUUGCCUACAUGAACUCUACUUGAACUUGUUGUUACAUGAACUAUACUUGUUGAGGGAAGUGUGUACUUUACCGCACUUUAUCUCCUUUACUGGGAUCAAUAUAUGACUUGCUACAUGAAUUACAUGAAACUACUAGAUUUUACAUGUACGUGACCUGAAGUCGAAUGCAGAGAAAGUCUCAUCGACUAAAACUUGAUCUGUUUUUGAAAACCUGACCUGUGGAGACACCUAAACCCAAUGGUUAAACCUUGUAAUCUCGCAGCCAAUCGUGAGGUCUUGGUCGGGAAAACUUGGUAAACCCUGGGACCUGAAACUUGAUCUUUUGAGAUCUUGCUUGGCAUACUUGUAUAGUAUCGCCUUUACAUGCCUGUUGGUUACGGAUCCGAGAGGGUGAAAUGAUGGAUGGAUGGAAGUAAGUAGAGAUCUACAGAUUGGAUAUUUAUUCCGUUGACGGAGUGUCAACCCCUGAUUCGUGGAUCGGGACUAUGGCAAAUAAUCUGGAAAUGAGCUCCGGAGAGGUCCAAUAUUCUUGAAUUGUUUGUAUUUAUGAGUACUUGCCGAUACUUGAAACUACAUGACAAUUACUUUUGAUCACUUGAUCAUAUUACUUGAACUACAUGCGCAUGUUAUAUAUAUGUAUUUUGUUUUUUUUCCUGGCCUCACUGAGCGAUUGCUCACCCCAUUAGUUGUUUUCCUUAACAGGAAUCUGGAUCGGAGAUGUUUUGAAGAGAUCGACUUGUUUUUGAUAUUUUAGAACUUUGGAAAUGAAAUUUAAGGGCUGGUUAUGGACUUGUAUUUUGGAAAUCUGAAUGUAUAUAUUGGAUUCUUGUGUUGUAAGUUUGAAUAUAUCGACGGAAACGAAUUUUAUUUAAUUUGUCCUUUUAGCCAUUAAUUGCUCGUUAGUUUAAGUAUAAAUGGACCUGAGUCCUGGCGAGAGCUAGGCAGGCGCCCGCCGAUAUCCUUGGGUACGCCUUUGGGAGAAGUGGGGGCGUCACAUUAAAAGUCCCAAAUGCCCUUCACUACAUGUAGUCAAAAUUUCUAGUCAACGUUUUACGACCCACCAAAACACACACUUCCUCGCUCUCUCCUCCCUUGUUAGGGAACCUAGGGGUGCAAAUGAGCGGCUCGAGUCGAGUUCGAACUGGCCACAAAAUAUUAAACUUGAGCUCGAGUAUAUAUAUAUAUAUUUUUAUUUUUUUAAUAAUAAAAUUACAUAUAUAUCCUUAAUAUUUUAUUAUUUAUUAAAAAAAUUUUAUUUUAUUUAUUUUUUAAAAAAUAAAAUAAUUAUUUUUAUUUUUUUUGAUCUCGAGCUCGAACUUCAAAAUUGUCAGCUCAUCGAGCUCGAGCUCGAAUUCGAAUUCGAUAAAACUAAGUCAAGACUUGGCUCGAUUAGACCAAAAUUCGACUUGAUUCGAUUCGUUUGCAGCCCUAGGGGAACCUCUCCUCCUUUAGUAUCAUCUUCCUUUCUUCUCCACUUAAUUUACACAAUAAAGAACCCUAGACUCUCUCCAUUGCAAAAUUGCAGCGAGGUUCAUAAAUAAUUUCCAAUACCCAAACUUUCGUGAAACCCCAAAAUUUUUUGCUCGAAAACGAAAUAGUAGUCCAAGGUACGCUUACAUUCUUCUUACAACCCCAGCCCAAAUCUUAGAUGCAUCAAGAAUUCGUAAUUUGUCAUCAUCAAAUAAUUUCUGGAUCCAACACUCAAAUACUUUAAUUCAUCAUCAAAUAAUUUCUGGAUCCAACACUCACAUACUUUAAUUGCAGUACAAGAGAUUCUGUUCGCAAUCUUAUUUUAUCUCCAAGAACCCACAACAAUUGCUGAGAAUAUGGAUGCCAAGGAUGACAAAUGGCUAAACUAAUCUGGAUACAUGGCAUUCUGGAUAGAGAAGGAUGACUGAUGGAGGAAUUAGUGUCUUGGUAAUGCAAGUGUUUGGGUGUAUCUAGUAGGGCUACACACAAGUCAAGCCGCUUGCAAGAAAUUCGAGUCAAAACUUGAUUCGAUUUCUAUCAACAUCGAGCUCGAACUCGAGAUCAAAGAUUUCAAUUCUUUAGCUUGCAAACCAACUUGAUUAUAUGUAUAUUGUCGUGCCUUUUUUUGAAAUAAAAUAGAAAGUGUUUAAAAAAUGAGUUUUUGAUUUUUAAAAAUAAGAAGAAAGGCCUAAAAUGGACUUAGAGAAGCGACGGUUUGGACCCAAAAUAUUAGUCUAAAGAGGGUUUUUAGAGAAAGAAAAUUAGAGUCGUCACUUGUAUCGAGUUUAGGUGUACCAAAUUACUCAAAAAUAUUUUUAAUGAAAAAACAAAUAAACCCUUUUUAGACGACUCCAAAUCUUUGAAAACAAGAAAAUGAGUUGGAAAUCACAGUUGAAAAAAGGGAAGACAAAGAUUUAAUCGACUCAAAUCUAAGGCACCUUUCAAUCUAGUCAAGACUAGUUGCAAGAUUUAGUAAAAAAUUUUCCUAGUCUAACAUAUAAAACUUAUUACAUUUGAAUGCUUCUGUAUGCAUGCAAACCUAGAUCUAGAGAUAGGGCUGCAAAUGAACCAAACCGCUCGCAAGCAGCUCGAGUAGAGCUCGAGCUCAAAAUAUUAAGCUCGUUAGGCUUGCGAGCUCGAGUAUAUAUAUAUAUAUAUUAUUUUUAUUUUUUUAAUAGUAUAUAUUUUUAUUUUUUAUUUUAAUAGUAAAAUUACAUAUAUAUCUUUAAUAUUUUAUUAUUUAUGGAGAAAAAUAUUAUUUUAUUUAUUUUUUAAAAAUAAAAUAUUAUUUUUUAUUUUUUUGAGCUCGAGCUGGAGUUUUAAAUUGCCAACUCGUCGAGUUCGAGUUCAAUAAAAAUAAGUUAAGAUUCGGUUCGAUUAGGCCAAAACUCGACUCAGGAGGGAUGAAAUGUCUCUUUAAAACUUAAUUGGUAUCAAUCACAUUAAUUGCGAAACCUAAGAAUGAUUUUUUGAAGAGGUCACAAGAAAUGCAAAAUAUGAGACUCGAAAAAAGAAAAUUAUGAUAUAUAUAUAUAUAUAUAUAUACAUGUCCUAGAAGGGACGUAUGCAACAUAAUUGGUGCGGAAAGCUAAAAUUCGUAAACAAUUUUCCUUCUUACAGAGGGGAUAACAGCGUGCUAAGUCUAAAGAACCAUACUCACUUAUUCUCCAUAUUCGGAGAGUGACUCUCAGUCUAAUCAAGCAAAUAGACUAAAUGAUCUAAAUGAAAUGCAAGUCUAAAUGGUAUGAUUUGCACAUAUAAGGAUAAAAGGAUUAAUAUAGAGGAUAUUCAAUGCAAAUGGAAAUAACUUUAAAAUGAAAAAUGCAUAAAAUGCAAUAAAUGUCAUACAAAGUGUGAAUCUAGCACGCGAAUGGCCUAAAAGGACUAGCAAAUGGUAUGAUUUGCACAUAUAAGGAUAAAGGGAUUAAUAUAGAGGAUAUUCAAUGCAAAUGGAAAUAACUUAAAAAUGAAAAAAAUGCAUAAAAUGUAAUAAAUGUCAUAGCGCGCGAAUGGCCUAAAAGGACUAGCAUUAAAUCAGUCCAUUUCUACAAAUUUUCACUAGCCUUGGACUAGUGAGAAAUCGGAAGAAAAAAUCAUAACUAGCAUUUGACUAGUAUGGUGACAUCAUACACUCAUUAUAAAUAAACAAAUAAAUAAAGCAAAUAACACAUAAAGCAUAGAUAGCACAUAACACGUAAGUAUAAUAUUUAGAUGCAAAACCCUAAGAAAGCAAAAAAUUAUAUAAGCACACAAACACACAAGUAUGCUAGCAAAUAAAACCUAACUAUUACAUUUGGAAACCCUAGCUAUAUAAUCUAAAAGGGGGAUUUUGAAAAUAAUACACCCGUCUAUUACAUUUAUCUAACUAAUUACAUUUUUAGCAAAAUUAAAAUCUAUCUAUUACAUGGCCUAUCUAAAUACAUUUUCUUGGGCAAAAGGGUGAAACCUAUCUAUUACAAUUUGGCAUUCAAAUGCCUCCCAAAUAAGCAUCUAAAUUAAAUAAAUGAAAAUUUAAAAUGAGUAAAUAAAAGAAAAAGUACUUAAAACAUGCAAUCACACAUAAAAACACAUAGGAGCACAUGAAAAAAGAUUAAACAAAUAAUAGAAGGUACCUUCCUUGAAGUAGUGGCUAAAUGAGGUAGAGUUUGCCUUAUUUAUGCUCCAAAAUCAACAAAAUGAUCAAGGUACUAAUUUAAUUGAUAACACUUUAAAAGAAAAUGUAAACAUAUAGCAAAUUCACCUUAUUAUUUUUAAGAAAUGUGAAUAAACAUAAAAUCCCUAAAAAAAAUACAAAUUUUGUAAAUGAAGCAUGAUUUGCAAUUUAAAGAAGAUAAGCAAUUGUAAUUAAGAAAUAAUAAAAAUUAAGGAUCUAAUUGCAAAAUUGAGAAGUUUUUGAGGUCAACUUAUAAUUCUCAAAAAUAGCGUCAAAAUUGAAUACAAAGUAAAAUUUAGGGAUCAAAAUAUAAUUAAAUUAAGGGCCUAAGUGAAAGAAAUUCAAAAUUUAGGGACACAAUGAAAUUACUCAAAAGAACAGGGUUUGUUUCUGAUUUCACUUAGAAAAACAACCUUGGGCCAUAUUUUUGGGCAAAACUCUUCAGCCCAAUACAAAUGACCGGAUUAUUUUGUUUAAAAGAAAGGAUCAACCCAACUUAUUUUUUACUUCUUAAAACCAAAUAAAAAAUGUUGGGCUUGAAUCUCAAAACCCAUGCACAAACCCAAAAUAAAAAAAAUUCUUGGCUCAAUUCUUUAGUCUAGGAACAUGUUCCAUUAAACAUUUACAACUCAAAUGGAUCUAACAUUACAAAACAAAACAUGUUGUAAAACUAAUAAAAUAACAAGACGUAGGAUAAAAUAAAAUAGAGAGAAGUAGACAAAGGUAAUAAACCCUUCUUUCUUAUUCGCCCCAAAGAUGAUAAAAAACUCACCUCUAUUUAUAGAUACACUUAAUAUAAUGAAACUAGAGAGGUUACAAAAUUAAUUGUAUAAGGAGAUCAAACCGUCAUCCAUACUCUUUUAUCUUUGGGUGGAUUCAAUAGAUAUUUUAAUGGGCAUUCAUUACCAUUUAAUUGUUUCAUAACAAAACAAAAAUAAAAGGAACAUAAAUAAAGAGAAAAUUGGCAAGAAUUUUCUGACGGGUAUGAAGAAAUUCCGGCCAAGUUGGCCUGAAUCUCGCCAGAACACCUUUUUUCAAACUCUCGAGGCCAGAUCUUUUCAUUCCGACCAGGCCCUUUUGCUGGCUCGAAUAGUCCGUUGAACAAAGGGAUUUGGGGCCCAGUUCAGCUUGUGUGGUAAAGUACACACACAACUUACAGUCAUACAUACUUACAAUAACACUUGAUCAAUUAUCAAUCUUCAAACUCAAACUAAGUCGAGUGUGAUAAAGUACACUCCCGACUUAGAAGGCGAGGGACAAUUGAAAACAAUUUACAAUAAAGCACUAGCAUAAUCACUUAAACGUCAUUUAAGUAACACAUAGGUAAUGUAAACACACAAUGUGGAAACACUCACCGUUAAAGAUCGACUAAGCUUCGCUUUCUGGGUUAAACCCUUGAUCACUCUCAAUUCCUGAGGUAAAAUAUAACUGCAAUCAUUUAGGUAUUCUUAAUGUGAAUUCUAAUAAGUUUAUUUAGAAGUUUAGGAUUCUCUAAACAAAGUUCAACUAAUCCAAGCAGUCUAGUACUCUUAAAACUUCCAUUUGAUUCACACUUUUAAGGUUAGGAGUUUUAUGUGCAGCCCCAAACAUAAGUUCUAAAGUGUAAGGAGAGAAGUUUUAAGCAUCAAAAUCUCACCAAUUUAAGGUUUAAAUCACUAGAAACCAAGUUCCUUAGCUUAUCAAACAAGAUGAAAAAUUCGAGCAACCUAUCUCUCAUUUCUCUUCAAGAUUCAUCUAAUUUAUCACUCAAACAAGGGAAAUAUACAUGUACUCCAAAUUUAAGGUCUUGUGAGGUGUUUAAACUAGGGUUAAACUAUUUUCAACCCAAAUUUAGAGAUUAAGGCUAGUGAACUUUUCAUUUCUUUCCUUUUGAGCUAAACCAGAUUCUAGUUUGCUCGUUGUUUAAAUUUGCUCUAAUUCACCAGCUUUUUAAGUGUUAAAAAUCCAUAAGACGCACAUGAAACUAGGACAAGAUGUUAUAAGAUGUUUCACUUAAGAUUACAGCCAAUUAUCAUGGAAUUUUUGGAAUUAACAUGAGAGUUUCAGCCUUCACUCUCUCGGCCAGCAAAACAGAUUUUUCCAGCAAAGUUACUUCAAGAUUUUCAACAGGGUUUCCAUCUUUUACUUGCUUAAAUCACCAAUCACACAACAUACAUUCUAUCCAACAUGAAAUAAAACAAACAACAAGUAAUUCCAGCAUGGUAUUCCACCAAGAAACCACCAUAAAUCUGUCAUCAGCUAAGGUAUAAUCUUCCAACAAUUUGGCAGGUUUAAAUGUGAAACUUUCUCCACAAUUGCUUCAUUUUUCCACUCCAACCUAACAUGCAGAGAGUAGUUAUCAUGCUACAGGGUAUCUUAAGCAGUAAUAUGAAAUUUGCAGCCAAAGAAUCGAAGGGAAAAGCUGGUUAAAGUUCUAUUUUUCCUCUCUCGGCUAUUGGAAAAAAAAUUUAGCAGCAACCAGUUUGAAGCUUAUAUUUCCUCCAAACAUCACUUCAGUUUAUACUUGUUUCUGGCAUACUUGAGGAAGUUAAGAUGCUUUACAAAACAUUACAGCUUAAAUACGAAAUUUAAACCAAAAUUUGCAGAUGACAGCUAAAGUUUCUUCCCUUCCUUUCUCUUGGAUGAAGCUGGAAAAUUUCCAGCAGCCUCCCUUCAACAUUUCCAACUAAAACUACUUAUAUACCAUUACUUUCACAACUAGUAAUCUUAUAUAACUUGAAGUAGAUAUAUUUCAUACUUCUGCUAACAUGAAUCUUCAAGAAAUUUCUAGUUACAAGCGUUAAAAUUCCAGCUCCUUAGCCUCGGUCAUCUCAGAAAUUUUCCAGCACCUAAUCAGCCUUUAAUCUAAAUUUUCUUCAGCUAAGCCUCAUGUAAACUCAAGUUAAAUAUAUACGGUAUGCCUCUCUUGACAUUAUUCUCUAAGAAAUAUCGAUAGCAAGCUGAAAAUUUCAAUUCUUCACUCUCGGUUUCUGCAAUUUUCUUCUUGGUUUGGUGUCUUGAAAUUCCAGAUUUGGUGUUGAUUUAAAAGUUCAUCUUUUCUUGCUUUUAACACUUCAAACAUCAUAUGCAUGAUCAGAUUAAAGCUAUAGGUGUUGCUUAAAGUAAAUCCUUACCAGGUUCAACAAAAACUCUUAGCAAAAAAAAACUGAAAUUUUCUAGCUUUACUCUGCCGGCAAUCAUUCUUCACUGUAUGAAGAAUUCCAGCCAGCAUUUCAUUAUAAUCUCAUCUUAACAGGUUUCAUCUGAAGGUAGAAGCUGCAUGCAUGUCAAGAAAUGUAAACUAGAGAAUAUACAUAAGACAUGCAACGAAAUUUUAGCAAGUUUUUGGAAGAAACAGGUAGGAAUUUGCAGCUUAGUUCAUCAGGUAGCUUGUAGCAGCUUUAAACGAAUUUUUUUUUUCCAGCUUUGUUGAACUUUGUCUUCCCAAAUUUCUUUCUUCUUUUCUUGGUUCUAACUUAGUCUAAAAGACUGCUAGCUAAACGCAACAGAAAAGAGGAGGAAAUUCAGUAGUUUACCUCAAGUGCUCAAUGGCUUUAAGCUAGGAGAAAUUUCUGAUCUCUCUCUCCCCGAAUCUUAGCUAGAUAAACUGAAAUCCUUCUUGAUUCUUGGCUGGUUCUCACGGUUGAAGGAGGGUAGAAUGAAUUCCUGGUUGUUGUUGCUUCUUUUCUUUUGGUCUUUCUCUCCUUUUUCCUCUUAAUAUCUCUCGGGUAGCUAGACUAAAGAAUGAACUACAGCCAGCUUCUACUUGUUGCCUCUUAACCGAUCAAAAUUACAUUUGCAUGCUACUUGGCUAGCUAAUGAGGACAAGUGUCCUCCAAAUUGCAUGCUGUCUUGUUUGCGGUUGUUUGUGUUGGAUCCUUAAUCCAACAUUGGACUUAUAUGUGAAUAAUUAUGUAUUGCAAACUGUCAAUUAAGGUUAAACCCAAUUAAAGUGAUCAAAUAUAGUUUGGAUUUAAUGUAUCUAAUAGGAUGUGGCCUCUUUUAUGUGUAGAAACUUAUGGACUCCUAUUUCAAUGAUGGGCUGAAAUAGGGCUCCAAAGGUAACAGGAAUGUUACCUAUAAAUAGGGUUAUGGUCCCCAGGUCACAGGUAUCGUUUUAGUUGUCGUAUUUCCUAAUACCACAAAAUACCCCUUUCCUGAUAUCCCAUCGUCAGGAAAGAUACCAGAGAGAAACUAAAGGCCUCUCUCAAAGGAUCGGUGAAUACCUGUUGACCUGGAAGGCCACCCCAAAUCUCUAGGGAUUCAAGUAUCAAGUUUAUCAAUAUGGAUUCAGGUACGCUUCCGCUAUUUUACAGUUAAUAUAUUUCUUAAUAAUCGCCAUACAGAUUUUGGGUUUAAAGGUGAUGAUUUUCACCAGUGGUUAGAUUUAGAUAACCACCCUAACAAGUGGUAUCAGAGCCCAUAUGGUUGAUUAUUAGGAAAUAUUUUUGUUUUGGUAAUUCAUAGUUUUUUUGUUGUACGGCUAAGUGUUUCGGAUUUCAUGUUCUGGCUUUGCCGUUUACUUUUUGCAAGUCUUGGUAAUUUGCUGUGUAAAUUCGGUCAUAGUAAAUUCGCACGGUUGAUUAGUAAUUUGCAAGCCUUGGUUGCUGAUGGCUUUAUAAUUGCAUGCCUUUUGUUUUCGGCCUCUGCCUCACACAAAAAAAAAAAAAAAAUGGGGAUUCAUGGUGCUUUUGGUCUUCGGCCAAUUGAUUUCGUCUGACUGUACAUGCUUAUGUUUGGUGGUCAAUUGGUCUUCUGUCAGAACUAUGAGUCUAGGUUUCGUGUGACUAUACAUGCUAUUGGUUCAUUGUUUUGGUUUCAUAUGGAUUCAGUGGGAUCCGCAUGCUUUGAUGAUGUAAGCUAACUUGUCUUUCGGCUUCGGGAUGUCAUUCGUUAUUUCCUCUCUUUAAGAUUAAAUUUUGACUUGUUUAUUCGUUUAAGAGCCAAUAUGUAAAUUUAUUUAUGUUAAAGAAAUUAGGAUUUAUUUAAUUUAAGUAAACUCUAAUAAAGUUAAAUAGAACAUUUAAGUCCUAUAAAAUUCAUAUGUGUGGCCCAUUAAAUAUGUAGUUUUUAUAAAGGACUUAUGAAUUUCAAGAAAAUUUUGGGCUUAAAUGUUAAUUAUGGGUCAAAUUAUGGAUAUGGACCUUUGGUCCAAUAAGUCAUGAUUUAAUUUGAUUGAUUUGACCAUGUUUGAUCACGUUUUGACCAAAGUUGAUCAAUGUCAAAAUUUUUUAUUUAAUUUGGAUAAUCUUAAAUUUGAAUAUUGGUAUGAUUAUAUAUAUUUUGGAAUAAAUUAAUUGAAAUAAUAUGCCACCAAAGUGACCUCUAUUAUGGAAAUUAAUUUAUUUUAAAAUAUAAUUAGUUGGGCACUAGUAAUUUUAUGAAUAUUGAUCGGCCCAAAGGAAGGUCAAUAUUUAAUGAAAUUACAUGUGUACUUGUGGUAAUAAAUACGUGAUAAUUAUUUGGAUUUUACAUGUGAUUUAUAAAUUGGCCCAAAGGAAAAUUUAUUUUUGACAUGUUAUUAUUAUCAGCAUUUAUUACUGCACCAAGAUAUCACUCAGAAGUUAAUAUUUUUGUCCAAAGACGAAAUAUUAAUGGAAUAUCGGUAUCUUGAGAUGGGACUACCAUUAUUUGAAUUUAUUAUUGUUUUGAUUUAUGUGAGCUUGUUUUAAUUAUAUUAUGUUUUCUGUUCAGUUGCGAAUGAUUUUACAAAUAUUACUUCCAACAUCAAUAAUAUUCCUAUGCUGAAUGGCACAAACUUCAAGUCCUGGAAAGAAAAUCUCUUGAUAGUACUUGGAGUAAUGGAUCUCGACCUUGCGUUAAGGGUUGAUUCUCCCCCACCUCUUACAGAUCAGAGUACCUCUGAUGAAAAGAGAAAUAAUGAGAGGUGGGAGAGAUCAAAUCGCUUGUGUCUGAUGAUCAUUAAAAAGGCCGUUCCAGAAGCAUUCAGGGGAACAAUGUCAGAAACGACUGUAACCGCUAAAGAGUUCCUUCAGGACAUUGAAAAAAUGUUUAUCAAGAACGAAAAGGCUGAAGUUAGUACGCUCUUGACACGCCUAGUUUCAAUGAAAUAUAGUGGUAAAGACAAUAUCAGAGAGUAUAUCAUGGAGAUGUCUCAUCUUGCUUCGAAAUUAAAUGCACUUAAGUUAAAACUCUCUAAAGAGUUACUAGUGCAUUUGAUUUUAAUAUCUCUUCCUACACAGUUUAACCAAUUUAAGGUGAGUUACAACUGUCAAAAGGAGACUUGGUCUCUAAAUGAACUCAUCUCACACUGUGUAGAGGAAGAGGAAAGGUUGAAGCAAGAGCAAACAGAAAGUGCCCAUCUGGUGUCAACCACUAAUAAUAAAAAUAAGGGACUUAAAAGGAAGAAGGAAAAAGGAGCUGCAGGUACAGCGCCACAAAAGAAACAACAAAAGAAAUCAAAUAAUCAGGGAAAAAAUAGUUGUUUCUUCUGUGGAGCUGAAGGGCAUCAAAAGAAGCAUUGCACCAACUAUCACGCUUGGCGUGCUAAGAAAGGUAUGCUUCUUAAUUUGGUUUGUUCUGAGGUUAAUUUAACUUCGGUACCUAGACACACAUGGUGGUUAGAUUCUGGUGCAACAACUCACAUCAGUGUGUCUAUGCAGGGUUGCCUGAAUUGCCGAAAGCCUAAUGAUAAUGAAAGAUAUAUCUACGUGGGCGAUGGCAAAACAUUAUUUAAUGAUAAAAUCUUCAAAAAAAUUUUUUUUAUUUAUUUUUAUAUCUUUCAAAUAUUAACGUUCGAACUAUAUCUUCGCAAGUGGGCACUUGUUAGAUAGACCUGUAAAUUGUUGUCAAUUUUGGCAUUCAUCUGCUGAUCAGCAAUUUCCAUUUCCUAGUAAGUUCGCAGUUGAAGAGUUGAUUUCAAAAUAAAUGAAACAAAAAAAUCAUUAUUUGAUUUAGGUUCCUAAACACACCCUAGUAAAGUACAAAAUUAAAAAUAACUAUGAAGAUUGGAUGACAACUUACAGACUGAGUGAAUUCCUACAUGCUUGUGAUCAAAGAGCCCCAUAUGGCCAUAUCCCAUUUUGUUUUGGUCUGUAUUUCACAUAACCUUUGCUUGCGCCAUCAAGCAAAGCCCCAUAUGCAAUGCAAGUGAUUCAAAAGCUAUUACAAGGUCGUCAAGAAAUGAUGUACAUUGGGAUGCUUUUUAUUAAAUUGAUGUUUACGUCUAGGGAUGGCAACGGGGUGGGGGACCCUUACCCUGCCCCCACCCCGCUGCCUAUUAAUUUCCCCUGCCUCUCCCCUGCCCGUCCCGCUUCCCCUGCUUCCCCCGCUCCACCCCGCUUCCCCCGCAGGGGCUAGUAAAAAUUUGUUAUAUGAUUUUAUUAUAGUUAAAAUUUAGCAAAUUAUCAAGUAGUAAAAUAUCAAUACAUCAUUAAGUUAUUAUUCAUUAUAAUUUCACAAUUGAAACUCCUAAAAAUAAUCAAACAAAAGUUAUUUGAAUACAAUCCAAUACGAUGAAAUAAAUACAACUAAAAUAGUCAAGUUUUUACUUUUGGCACAAAUACAAUCACUAAUUCAUUAUUAUGCUUGUGUUUUUUUUUUGGAGAAAAAAUGUUUUAUUGUAUUAAGUGUAAUUAGGAAUUUAGUAUAAAUGUAUUAGUAAAUUUAGCAUAACUAAUUAAUAAAUUUUAUUAGUAGACAUAUAUAAUUAUUAGUAUAAUCAAUAAUAUCAAUUAUAUUAUAUAUACUAAUAUACAUUAUAUAAUACAUAUAACUAAUAAUAUAAUUAUCAUAAGUUUGUAACUAAUUAAAUUAAAUAUUAUAUAUAAUUAUAUACAUAUAUAUUUAUUUAUAUAUUUAUUUUUUUAGUGGGUGGCGAGGUGGGGUAUACUCCCCCGCCCCACCCCAUUUCUAAACAGGGGAAAAAAAUCCCCCCCACCCCAACCCCUACUCUAUUAGUCCCCCUGUGAGGCGGGUGGCUGCGCAUUGUCAUCCCUGUUUACGUCACUGGUUAAGAACUAAAAAAGGCAAUGGCAUGACUACUACAAUAAUACUAACGAAACAAACUUUGUGCUCUAAAUUGUAGAUGUCAAUCACAAUUAAAUUAUGUUUGAUCCACCCAAACCUUUCCAGUAAUAACUUGUUCAAACUCACCCAUUAACUUUAAAUGGGUCUAAAUGGGUAUUCAAUUAAACCCAUUUAAUUAGUGGGUAGUGGGUUGAUUCGACUCACUCAUUUAUAUCAAUUUAAAAAUAGUUAUACAUUUUAACUUAAUUUUUAGUGUGUGUGUUAAGGAGAUAAAAUUGAAUUUUCUACCAAUCUAAUAACAGUAAAAUGUUGUUAUUUCUUGUCAAACAACAUAUGAAAUUUUUUUUUAAUUAGAAUUUCAAAUGAGUCAUAAAUGGGUAUAAUUAGAUGUACCAUUAAAUGAUAUAAAUGAGUAUCCAUUUACACCCAUUUAUAUAAAUUGGUAUAAAUGGAUUGACCAAAUUAUACCUAUUAUCCAAUUAUGAUCCGUCCAAAUCCGCCCAAGUCGUCCAUUUUGACACCUCUCCUUCAAAGCAUUAUUCGAGAAAUGGAAAAUUCACACCGUUCCCUUCUCUAUGCACAAACCCAAGCGAUAUAUUGCCUCGAUAUAGUGUGGUUUUUACAAUUCUGUAUUAAUUUGCUUUUUACAUUUUUCCGACGGACUGUACUUUUCUGCUUCUCGUCGUCGAAGUGUAUUUCCUACUCUUUUGGCUGACAUAUUAAUACUUCUAACAAGGAACUGUAUUUAAUAAGCAAACCUAUUAAAUUAGUUGUUUUUGGAAUGCGAAAUAAAACAACUUGAGACUUGGUAUUAGAAACCAAAUUUGAUUUUCUGUGCAAUGAAAUUUUACUUAAGCAAAUUUAGUUAAAUUUCAAUCAAAUUUAGUUGCACAAUAAAAUCAAAUUCAAUUAAAACAGGGAAUAGAACAAAUUGAGACUUUAUCUUACAAAUUAUAUUUUUUUGCAUAUAAUAUGAAGUCUCAAGUUUUUUUUGUUUUUUAAUCUUCCCCACUAUUGGGUUCGGGGUUCCAAUCGGCAUUUGGGGAUGGGAAGUGUAUAGGGAGGGGUGAUAAGAGUUUAUUUUACGUAUUUUUAAGUGCAUUUUAUUAGUUAAUUUUGAGUUGAUUAUCUAGUUUUAUAAAUAAAAUAAAGAGGUUUUUGGUAAAAUUAUAUAUUGUUGGUAAAAGUGGAUAAUAUUGCAUUUUUAGUGAUUUUAAUGAUAAAAACUUCAUUUUUAUGCAGGAAUGAUGAUUCAAUCACCAAAGGAUGUCAAAUGAGAUGAAAAAUAGAAAGUUGGUGAUGAAUUCAAGUGGUAACAAGAAGAAUGAAGUGAAAAACGUUCAAGUGAGGAAAUGCAAUACAAAUCAGUUUUAACAUUCUUCGGUAUUUUGGCUAUAUCUGGAGCUAUACUUAUCGGAUUGAGGUGAUCUUUAUACCAUUUUAAAGCUAAGAAAGAGACCUACAAUUGGUAUGAAGACAUCGAAAUCCAAUUCUACUGUUUUCAUGGACAAAAAGUCGGAAUACAGAAGCUGCACUCUGUGGUCGAAACUGGAAACAGGGGUUUGACCAGGUGAGAGUAUUUCGAUCAUAUCUCUGGCUGUACAACUCCGAUUUGGAUGAUUUUUAUAGCAUUGGAAAGCUAACUCAAAGGGCUACAACUUUGGUGUUUUGCACAAAAGCCAGUUCGGCCUUUAUGAUAGAGAAAAUCGCAGAUGAAGUAAGGCCAAAGUGAAUACGCGAGUACACAAAACGUGACUUGUAACCGCGUUUUGUGUAGGCGCGUUUUCUGGCCGUAAUUCUGCAAUUUGCUCAGUCAAUUCUCUUAUGUUCAAACUACUUUCCAGCUACAAUCUGCAAGAGAAUUCGGUGCACAUGCCUCAGAAGACAAAAGGGCAAUAAAGAUGGCUUAUUUUCAAGUCAAAAAUAUUGGUUUUUGACUAUGCUAACAAAGUGCAGAUUUGGGAAUCAAAGGUUAGAAUUUGACUUGGAAAAAUAGAGCCUUUGAGUAGUUUUUAUGCUAAGACAUUGAGAGAGGUCUGGGAGAGCCAUACGUAGCUUAGUUUCUUACAGAAAAACAUAUUCUCUCUAGCUAGGUACUUGCAAAGGGACAAUUGAGGUUUCAUCUUGUAAUAAUCUAAAUUCAAGACAAGGAGAUUUUUGGAAGGCUUCACCAUAUCUUGGCUAAGACUUUCUUUACUCUUUUUGUAUUUGUAAAUUCAUGAUGAUUUGCAUUAAUGAAAUUAUGAGUGUUUCAUCAUUCAUGAGUAGCUAAUUUCCUUUAUCUAGGGAGUAGAUGAAGCUUAUGGCCAAGUGAUAUGAAGUGAUUGUGAUUUAUACUUGUUAUAUCUUGUAUUAACUUAUCCACUUGUGUAUGCUUGAUUACUUGUUGUUGUUUGAUCACCAAUAACAGGUUUAUAGUUGUUUUUAUUCAUUAAGAAAUGGUAAAAAUAAUGGAAUGACACAAGUAGAACUUGAGUUGUAUAUUCAUGAGAAUAGAAAUACAUUCAAGUGGAUGAAAUCUGCAUUUCAUGUGUGAAUAAGAACAGAUUUAGUAUUUACCAAGAGAUUAGGAAAAACUAAUCUGUUUUAACCCAUUAUUAUCAUGAGAAUGUGAUUUUGGUAUUUCUGGAAAUGAAUCCUUGGUUAAACAAGAGCAAUAACAAGUGUUGAAUUAAUUCAUUUUAGAUCUUUUGAGUCAUAAGUGGAAUCUACAUCCCUAGAUCUUAAUAUUUAGUGAAUUCUAUUCCUUUUGUGAAAUUGCAUUUAUCUAGUUAAGAAUUUUUGUAGUUGAAUUAAAUUCUGAAUUUUUCUGCUCAAAUUUAUUGUGAGUCUAAAUAAUAGAGUAAAUUAGUGUCUAAUAAUUGUUUUAAUAGCUCCUCGUGGGAUCGACCCGAUACACAUCUUGUACUACAAUUGCGACCUGUAUACUUGCAGUCCAACGGGUGUAAAAUCGGAAUUAAACUUGCAUUGAUAUAUAAAAAUCCCGUCAAGUUUUUGGCGCCGUUGCCGGGGAGCGGCAAUAUUAGAGCCUAACCAACUCUAUUAAUUUAGACAGAUUUAUUUUUGUUAGUUGAGCUGACUAUAUUUAAUCUUUUAUUGUAAUCAGUUUUUGACCAUUGAAGUUGCAUAAUAUUCCUUAUUUCUGUUUGUAGUGUAUGCACCGGGAGUCUCGAGAAGUCGCACCCUUCGAUCCAGAAAUUGAGAGGACACUACGUAGACAAAGGAGGCACACACAACAGCAAGAGGAACAAGAGAUUUGGCAACCAAUAGAGGAAAUUUUGAUAGAACUACCGUUUGAAGAAGAAAUGGCUGAAAAUGAAGCAAAUAGGCGAGUUCUACGAGAUUUUGCUCUACCGGGAACACAAGGAUCUCAAACAAGUAUAGUAAGGCCUACGGUAAAUGCUAACAAUUUUGAGAUUAAACCAUCACUUAUCCAAAUGGUUCAACAAUCUCAAUUUGGAGGUAAUGCAGUAGAAGAUCCUAAUACACACUUAGCUACAUUCUUGGAAAUUUGUGAUACAAUUAAAAUGAAUGGAGUUAGUGAUGAUGCUAUAAGGCUAAGAUUGUUCCCAUUUUCAUUGAGAGAUAAGGCCAAACUUUGGCUACACUCUCAUGCUCCUAAUACUUUCACCGGAUGGGAUGAUUUAUCAAGAGCAUUCUUAAAUAAGUAUUUUCCACCAGGUAAGACUGCUAAGCUAAGAAUGGAUAUCACUAGUUUUAGCCAAUGGAAGGAGAAUCAUUAUAUGAGGCAUGGGAAAGGUUUAGAGAUUUGCUUCGGAAAUGUCCACAUCAUGGACUGCCGGAGUGUUAAUCAUACAAACCUUUUAUAAUGGUUUAUCUUUCUCCACUAAAACUAUUAUUGAUGCAGCCGCAGGUGGAGCUUUAAUGGGUAAAUCACCCCAAGAAGCUCAGAAUUUGAUAGAAGAAAUGGCCGCAAAUAACUACCAAUGGGCCAAUGAAAGAGGUAAUACAAGACGUCACGCAGGUAUGAUAGAAAUGGACACUCUCAAUAUGCUGAGUGCUCAAAUGAAUAAUGUGAUGAAUUGCUAAGUAGACAAGGUGGAGUUGGUCCAAGUUCAUCUAAUGCACAUGUAGCUUGUUGCUCUUCUGUGGAGGUGAACAUGAUAUUAAUGAGUGUGUUGAUUCUGAGCAGGUACAAUUUGUCAAUAAUUACAACCGAAAUGCUCCAAAUAAUCCCUACUCGAAUACUUACAAUCCGGGGUGGAGAAAUCAUCCAAACUUUGGAUGGAAAGAUCAAGGCAAUCAACAAAGGCCAACCAAUCCGCCGGGAUUUCAACCAAGGCAACCACAGGCUGAAACUAAACCAAGUUGGGAGAUCGCGGUGGAAAAACUUGCUAAGGUGACUUCGGAUAGAUUCGAGCGAGUUGAGGGGCGGUUGGACCAAUUAGCUGGGAUGUACAGAAACUUGGAGGUUCAAAUUGGUCAAAUUGCCAAUGUGAUCAACAAUAGAAACCCUGGUGAAUUACCAAGUAAAACCGAAGUGAAUCCGAGAGAGCAUGUCAAUGCAAUCAUUCUUAGAAGCGGUAAAACGGUUGAGGGAUUCGAUUUUGAAAAUUCAGGUGGUGAAAAAGACAAGAAGCAAGCAAUUGAAGGGGAGCAAGAAAGUCAAAAUGAUCAUGUUAUCAUUGAUAUUGAUGCACUUCAUCCCAAAUUAAAUUCUAAUGUGAUACCUUUUCCUCACAGGUUGAAGAAAGAUGGACAGGAUCGGGAGUUUGAAAAGUUCUUCAAAAUGUUUAAACAAUUGCACAUUAACAUUCCUUUCAUUGAUGCUAUAACACAGAUUCCCUCUUAUGCACGUUUCUUGAAAGACAUCAUGUCAAAGAAGAGGAAAAUUGUAGAUAAUGAGAUGAUAGCAUUAACGGAAGAGUGUAGUGCAUUGAUUAAGAAUAAACUCCCUCCUAAAUUGAAAGAUCCGGGAAGUUUUUCUAUUCCUUGCACUAUUGGUCAAUUGCAUUUUUCUAAUGCUUUAUGUGAUUUAGGUGCAAGUGUGUCACUUAUGCCGUUAUCGGUUGCCCGGAGAUUGGGACUUCAAGAGCUAAAAGCUACCAAUAUUACAUUGCAAUUGGCGGAUCGGUCAAUCACACGUCCCAUGGGUAUUUUGGAAAAUGUGCUCAUAAAGGUAAGACAAUCUAUAAUACCUGUGGAUUUUGUUGUCUUAGAUAUUGAAGAAGAUGUGAGAAUGCCAAUUAUUCUAGGACGACCGUUUUUAGCCACUGCACGAACUAUAAUUGAUGUAGAAAAAGGUAAGCUUAUAUUACGGGUUAAUGGUGAGGAAUUGGAAUUCAAUUUGGAUAAUAAAGAAGGGAGUAUAGAGCCUACUGCUCUUGUUUCUAAUAUGCCAUAUGAUGAAAAGGUUAACCAAGAAAGGACCGAAGAAGUUAAAUUUAUAAAUGUCCUUGGUACUAACUUUCAUGGUGUAGGAACAAAGGAGGAGAAGAUAAGGAUGGAAGUUGGCUUAAUAAAUUCGCCAUUCCAUGAAGAAAAUGGUGAAAAGUUGAGCCAAUUCAGAAAAGACAAGCAAAAUCCACUCCAAGGUGAAGUUGAGCCUCUCUAUGACAAGUCUAAUAUUCCUCCUUGGCAUUUGAGGAAAUUGGACUAUGAAGAUCAAUGCAUGGUUCACCACAUGGUGGAUUGGCUCGGGAGUUUCGACCCAUGGGGAGAAAAUCUCUCUCUAAUGCUCUAAAGUGAUUCAACUUUUUCAGUCGAGCCAACGACUAUAAACAAAAGCGCUAAUUGGGAGGCAACCCAAUGUUUAUGUUAUUUGUGUUAAUUUUUGUGAUUUUUAGACUUGAAUAAGUGUUUUAGUUAAUUUUUUUUUUGUGUAUAGGGUUGGCAAAUGAAGCAAGAAUGACCAUUGGUGAAAAGGGCGAACUUUGAUCAAGCAACUCAACCCCUCGAUUUGCGUUAAAGGUGUUUUUGAUUCAUUAUAAAGGGGUAAAAUGCAUGUUUUUAAUGUUUUACAUUUGUUCCAGAUUAAAAUUGGCAAACAAAUGAUCUAUGAUGCAUUUUGAGUCAUUGGGGUACCUUUUGUAAUUUUUCAAAAGUUGAAAUUCUGCUAAAAAUGCAGAAAGCCAAAGCAGAAAACGCGACUAAAGUCGCGUUUCUCAGAAUCGCGUUUUCAAUUCUGCACUGCAGACAAGAAAACGCGCCUUAAAACGCGACACCAAGUCGCGUUUUAAUGGAAUCGCGUUUUCAAGCCUGGAUCAAGACUCAAAAACGCGACUUCAAAACGCGACUAAGUCGCGUUUUAUACACAGUCGCGUUUUGUUCCUGCAAGAUUUGUGCAAAACGCGACUUAAAACGCGAGUUGAAGGCGCGUUUUAGUCGCGUUUUCUGUGUCUGAAUAUAGCUUCAGAAACGCGAUUUCAGCUUCUUUCUCUCUUUCUUAAUUUUUCCAGCGCGUUUUUCUUUUCUUCUUCUACCCAACUCACAAAUCUUCAUUUUUACUCCAUAAUCUUGCUAGAAAUCAUCACCCAACACCUUUUGAGCUUCAUACAACCUUUUUAACCGAUUAAAAUCCAAGAAAAACACCUAAAAUCAGGUUUUUGAAGGAUUGAAGGUUAGGGUUCUUAAACUCUAAUUUCUUCAAUUGGAGGUCAAUUGGAGGUUGUUUCAUAGGGCUUUUUGCAUUUUUAGCAUCACCAAACAUCCUUCUACGUGAUUGAGGUAAGUUUCUUCAUCAAAUCUUUUGAUUUUAAAGUUCAUAUUUUUUAUCCUGAGCUAUCUGACAUCUUUUAAUUCGAAAAUUUGAUGAUGUAUUUGACUUUUUGAUUUUAUUCAUGAUUAUUAGAUUGUUUAAGCAUGUUUAAAUGUUUAAAUGUAGCAAUUUAUUGGUCAUUAUUCUUUAAAAUUCACAAUUGCUAUAUUUAGAUGAAAUUGGAAAAAGGAACUAGGAUGUUUUUGAGCCAUUGGUGAUGUUAAAUUAUGGUUAAAAAUGGUUAGUUGAUGAUGUUUAAGCAUGUGCAUUGUGUAUAGUGAGUAAUUUGGUUGAUUUGGUGAGUUAAUUAGUUUAAUUUUUGCCUAAACAUGAUUAUAGCUAAAAGCAUAUUAUUAUUGUUAAUUCUAAAUAGUUAUAAUCAUAAUUGUUCCUAUUUUCACUAAUUAAAUUAUAAUUGAUACAUAUCUUGUGUAAUUUGGUGAUUUUGGGCAACUUUAGGCAGAAAAUAUGUCUUGUACGAUCAUUGAAUGAUUAGAACUUGAGCAAUUGUAUUUGAGGUUAUUUGGAUUAAUGCUGAACUUUUGUUGCCAAAUAAUGAGUUGUAGUACAUGUGGAUAAUUGAAAUAUUUUUUAGGUACUAUGCCAAGGGAAGAAGAGCGGUACUUUCAUCCUCUAGUAGUGAGGAGAGGGAGGUUAAUGAAGAGAUGGAGGUGACUGAAGAGGAGAAUUCACCUUCUCCUCCACCAGUUAACCGACGCCUGGUGAGGGCACCUCGUGGAGCGGGAAGAUCUGUUUGACAGUGCUAGGUUCACUAAUCGAGGAAUCAGAAUGGCAUGAGGAGCGUGCUAACUUGGAGUUUAUUUGAGAUGCACGUGAACCAAACGGUGAGAUGAUGUAUAACAUCUCGAGGCUUUUGCUCAGCUGGAUGGGCUCCGAUUCUCACCUUCCAAACCAUUACUACCCGACUUGGUGCGCGAGUUUUACGCCAACAUUGAAGUAAGGCGCGCCAAGUGGAGAAAUGGUUGAGUCCUGGGUGCGUGGAAGACGAAUCACCUUGUCACGCAAGAUUUGGCGCUAUUUUGGGGUGUAUGGAUGACGGACGUCCAGUAGAUUUGAAGAAGGAGUUUGUUCCCCGAAUAGGAAGUGGGAUCCCUCUGGCCAUGGCUAGGUUUGGUCUGAGUACCAACCUUUUCGCUCAAGGAAGGAGACCAUUUUGGCGAAUGUCUUCGAACCUCGUCAUCGGCUUAUCAUUUACAUGAUGGCUCACAAUGUCAUCCCAAAGAAGACGGGGCACACGGAGGUUCGCAAGAGCGAUAUUUACUUCCUUGAUUACAUGUUCCAUAACCGAACUUCCCGUAUGCUCGAAUUUCAUUGCCGAACAUCAUCAUCAGCCACAUUAGGUCUACGGCGAGGCGUAAGACAACUUCCUUCAAACUUUCAUUUCCUCGUCUACUGACUUUAAUCUUCCCCGUUUUGAGGUUAGCUUGGAAGGCAUGAGGGAGAAUGUUCCUCCACGAGCUGAUGACUCUUACUACUCUUCGUCGGCUUGGUAUUGGCACGGGGACAUUCCACGCCCUGUUCAGGAGCGGAGAAGAAGGCUAGACAUGGUCGCGAGGAAGCUGGACCAUCUACUGCAGCACCACCUCCUCCUCCGCCACAAACCAAUUGGCAGCGGCUUUUCGGUCGCUUGGACGCAUCGAUCAUCAUUUAGCCCGACUGGAUACUCGCCUAGACCACAUUGAACAUCAUUAGGCGUACAUCCACCUCCCGUCAAUGAUGAUGAAGAUGACGAUGAAGGGAUGAUUGAGGCUGCCCUUUGGCUGGCUUUUCUUUUGUUUGCUUGUUUUGUGUUAUUUUUAUCUUUUGUUUUGAAAAAUGUUAACUUACAUUCCUUAUUUUGAAUUUUGGAACUUGUGGCAGUAACUAGUAGAUCGUUGACUGUAGAUGGUUGAGCGGUCGAUGGCUCAUGAUUCAAGGCUUCACUGGACCACAGCCAUAUCACUUGGGGAGUCACUUGUUCCUUUCUUUUGUUUCAUUUCUUCCCUACACAUUGAGGACAAUGUGUAAUUUAAGUGUGGGUGGGAGAAAUAUGUGUGGUACUUGUGGUUUUAGUUGUGUUUGAUAUAAUUCUUGUGCUUAAAUGGUGUUUCUUGUGGUUGCUGGCAGGGAGUUUUAGUCCAUUUUAAGGGGAGACUCUGUCAAAAUUUUUCCAAAACCUUAUACAUAUAUAGGUUAUUAACUAUAAUAAAUAAAUAAAAUUUUGUCACUUAUCCUUUUGAAAUAAAAUAUGUGGUUUUGAUACUUCUUUUCUCAUGAAAUUUGGAAAUGAUUUUUAUGUGAUUAUAAUUUUUUCAUCUAUAGAAAGUAUAUCUAGUAAAGUGGAGAAAAUUAUGCCUACAUUUUGUAUAUUUGAUGAAAAUUCUUCUUUUUAUCUAAUUUUAUAAGAUAAGAAAUUAAUAUGGUUAAUAAGUGUCAUACUCUUCUCAUGAUUACUCUUAGAGGGAAUUUUAUUUAUAUAUAUUGAAAAAAAAAAAAGGGUUAUUCUACUCCAAUGAUUCUCGUACCGAGUAACCGGGGUUGGCAUCUACAAAUGUCGACAUUCGCGUAAAAAGGUACUUGAAUUAAGAGAUGCAAAGCAACUUGAGUAUGUGAAAUGUUGAGUAACCGGGGAUCUGCAUCUAAAAAUGUGAUCUUCGCGUCAAAAGGUAUUUUUCACAACUUAAGCAGUAUUUAACUCUUAAAAUAUAUAUAAAAAAAAAAGAAGAAGAAAAUAAAAGAAACUAAAUCCCUCUUUAAGAAAAAGAGUUAAUCAUGAGAUUAGUUAGCAUCUUUAUUGACUAUAUGAGUUGCUUGCUUGAAAAAUUGGUAAAAAUGAGAAAUGCAGUUAAAUUAGUAAAAUUAUGGUAUACUUGCUCUUCUUUGCUUGAUAUUUAAGUACUUGAGGUUAAUUGAAAGAUCACAUAAGGGUUAUUUACCUUGAUUCAAGGAAAUGGAGUUGAAAUACUACAUAUGUUUAUUUUCAAUUUUUGGAUCAUUGUUGGUUUUUAUUUCAUAUUGCUUGAGGACAAGCAAUGAUUCAAGUGUGGGGGUAUUUGAUAAGAGUUUAUUUUACGUAUUUUUAAGUGCAUUUUAUUAGUUAAUUUUGAGUUGAUUAUCUAGUUUUAUAAAUAAAAUAAAGAGGUUUUUGGUAAAAUUAUUAUUGUUGGUAAAAGUGGAUAAUAUUGCAUUUUUAGUGAUUUUAAUGAUAAAAACUUCAUUUUUAUGCAGGAAUGAUGAUUCAAUCACGCAAAGGAUGUAAUGAGAUGAAAAUUAGAAAGUUGGUGAUGAUUCAAGUGGUAACAAGAAGAAUGAAGUGAAAAACGUUCAAGUGAGGAAAUGCAAUACAAAUCAGUUUUAACAUUCUUCAGUAUUUUGGCUAUAUCUGGAGCUAUACUUAUCGGAUUGAGGUGAUCUUUAUACCAUUUUAAAGCUAAGAAAGAGACCUACAAUUGUAUGAAGACAUCGAAAUCCAAUUCUGCUGUUUUCAUGGACAAAAAGUCGGAAUACAGAAGCUGCACUCUGUGGUCGAAACUGGAAACAGGGUUUGACCAGGUGAGAGUAUUUCGAUCAUAUCUCAGGCUGUACAACUCCGAUUUGGAUGAUUUUUAUAGCAUUGGAAAGCUAACUCAAAGGGCUACAACUUUGUGUUUUGCACAAAAGCCAGUUCGGCCUUUAUGAUAGAGAAAAUCGCAGAUGAAGUAAGGCCAAAGUGAAUACGCGAGUACACAAAACGUGACUUGUAACCGCGUUUUGUGUAGGCGCGUUUUCUGGCCGUAAUUCUGCAAUUUGCUCAGUCAAUUCUCUUAUGUUCAACUACUUUCCAGCUACAAUCUGCAAGAGAAUUCGGUGCACAUGCCUCAGAAGACAAAAGGGCAAUAAAGAUGGCUUAUUUUCAAGUCAAAAAUAUUGGUUUUUGACUAUGCUAACAAAGUGCAGAUUUGGGAAUCAAAGGUUAGAAUUUGACUUGGAAAAAUAGAGCCUUUGAGUAGUUUUUAUGCUAAGACAUUGAGAGAGGUCUGGGAGAGCCAUACGUAGCUUAGUUUCUUACAGAAAAACAUAUUCUCUCUAGCUAGGUACUUGCAAAGGGACAAUUGAGGUUUCAUCUUGUAAUAAUCUAAAUUCAAGACAAGGAGAUUUUUGGAAGGCUUCACCAUAUCUUGGCUAAGACUUUCUUUACUCUUUUUGUAUUUGUAAAUUCAUGAUGAUUUGCAUUAAUGAAAUUAUGAGUGUUUCAUCAUUCAUGAGUAGCUAAUUUCCUUUAUCUAGGGAGUAGAUGAAGCUUAUGGCCAAGUGAUAUGAAGUGAUUGUGAUUUAUACUUGUUAUAUCUUGUAUUAACUUAUCCACUUGUGUAUGCUUGAUUACUUGUUGUUGUUGAUCACCAAUAACAGGUUUAUAGUUGUUUUUAUUCAUUAAGAAAUGGUAAAAAUAAUGGAAUGACACAAGUAGAACUUGAGUUGUAUAUUCAUGAGAAUAGAAAUACAUUCAAGUGGAUGAAAUCUGCAUUUCAUGUGUGAAUAAGAACAGAUUUAGUAUUUACCAAGAGAUUAGGAAAAACUAAUCUGUUUUAACCCAUUAUUAUCAUGAGAAUGUGAUUUUGGUAUUUCUGGAAAUGAAUCCUUGGUUAAACAAGAGCAAUAACAAGUGUUGAAUUAAUUCAUUUUAGAUCUUUUGAGUCAUAAGUGGAAUCUACAUCCCUAGAUCUUAAUAUUUAGUGAAUUCUAUUCCUUUUGUGAAAUUGCAUUUAUCUAGUUAAGAAUUUUUGUAGUUGAAUUAAAUUCUGAAUUUUUCUGCUCAAAUUUAUUGUGAGUCUAAAUAAUAGAGUAAAUUAGUGUCUAAUAAUUGUUUUAAUAGCUCCUCGUGGGAUCGACCCGAUACACAUCUUGUACUACAAUUGCGACCUGUAUACUUGCAGUCCAACGGGUGUAAAAUCGGAAUUAAACUUGCAUUGAUAUAUAAAAAUCCCGUCAAGGGGUGCGAGGAUACAAAGAAAAAAGUCUCAAGUUUUAGUUGACAUUGAUAGCCUUAAUUAGCAAUCAUAAAAACGCAUUCAACUUAAUAUGGUAGCAAUCCAUAUACGCUGUAUUGUUGUACAGUUGCUUGAUAUACGCUAUAUGUAUAGUGGGCUGGAAAACAAGACAUUCACAGUCCAAUGUUGUUAAACUCGGAUAGCAACUUGGCUAAACUAUUGGAUUAGGGGUCAAUUGGUUAGAUUGGUUGAAUUGUUUUAAAAAACAUGCUGAUAUUAGCAUGAAUUUAUAAUUAUUUUAUACUUUUAUAAGUUUUAGAAAUAUUGAAAUUAAGUUCUUGAUUAUAUUUCGAGAAACGCUACAAAAUGUUCUAAAAAUAAUAGGCUUGUAAUCAAAUAUACACCUAAAAAUUAUAUAUAAAAAUGUGAAUUCAAGUAAAAAAUAUGUCCAUUCUCCAAAAUUACUUGAAAAAUUAAAUUGAAAUAAAUCAUACCUAAUUCGAGAUAUUUUUCAUUAGAAUAUGGUUUUCUAAUGCAAGUUGGAAUCAUUGAUAAUAAAUUGAUAAGAUGAUAGGGUUAAAAACUUCUUGGUUUAGAGAUCGUUUAGGGGUGUGAGUAAUUUUGGUGUUCAUACUAAAUGGUGGCUUUUUUUUAAUUACUAUUAAUAAAUGAAAGUUUUAUAAUUUAGAAAACUCAAAUUAUGUUUGAGAAAAACAAGAAAGAAAAGUUUGAGAACUGGGUUAAGCAAUCGAGCCGAGUCACUGGUUUGAUCGAUUUUUGAUGGUUUUAACUGAUUUUUGACAAAAACGAUUUUGUGCUACUAAACAGUUCGGGAAGAAUGCCAGUUCAUGGUCAAACCGGGUCUAGCAAUACUGAUUCACACCCUUCCCUAUCCUAGAUUUUGGAAUCUAUGGCCAGCCAAUUGAUAUAUAUAAUCCAUAUUACUAGAUUUUCGUACGAAUAUUUUCCACGUUUUGUCAUCAAAUCUCAUUUUAGAAGAUCAAAUCUCUUCCUGCAAGAAUUAAAACGUUUGCAUGGAGCUUUUUCUUCUGUUUUUGUUCUUCCUCCUUAUGGUUUUCUUCUGUUUUUUCCUAUAUUCAUUUCCAUUAUCAUUCAAACUUAAAGAACCAAUCUCCAAACUACAACUCCCUCCGGGGAAAACAGGUUGGCCGAUUGUUGGGGAAACCCUUGAGUUUGCUGCCAUGGGGAGAAAUGGAACACCGGAGAAAUUUUUCAAGGACAGAAUGAGCAAAUACUCACAAGAAGUGUUCAAAACCUCAUUACUUUGCGAACAGAUUGCUGUUUUUUGUGGACCUGCAGCAAACAAAUUUGUGUUCUCAAAUGAGAACAAGCUUGUAGCCCUUUCUUGGCCUAGUAGCGCCAAGAAAAUCUUCCCAUCUUCCAAUUCCUCAACAAAACUUCGUGCUGUGGCUUUAACGCUUCUAAAACCUGAUAAUCUUCACAAAUAUGUUGCGAUUGUCGACUCCAUUGCAAAAAGCCACUUAGAAACUCAAUGGAAUUUUCAGAAAGAAGUUAAUGUUUUAUCACUUGUGAGGCAAUUCGAUUUCACUGCAGCAUGUCGACUGUUUUUGAGCAUUAAUGAUCCACACCAACUCGAAGAUUGUGCCAAGCCAUUUGAAGUCAUGGCUGCUGGAAUUUUUACCCUUCCUAUAAAUCUACCGGGAAGCUCAUAUAAUCGUGGUAUUAAAGCUGCGAAUUCAGUAAGACAGAAGCUGUUAGGAAUUAUAAAGCAAAGGAAGGGUGAGGUGAUGGAUAAACAACUAGUACAUGACGAGGAUCUUUUAUCACUAUUCUUAACCAAGCCAGAUGAGAAUGGAAAAUUCAUGAGUGAACCAGAAAUUGCUGAUCACUUGCUUGCUGCACUUCUUGCCAGCCAGGAUUCCACCACUGCAUCCAUCACUUUUACAAUGAAAUAUCUUGCUGAAUUUCCUGAUAUCUAUGAUGAAGUCCUCAAAGGUACAAGUGUUUUCUUUUUUUCAUUUACAUUUUCUUUAUCAGAGAGAGUAUUUGUUACAAUUGCAAAAAUGAAUUGGACUCAUCAAAUUAUUGUUUCAAUUUACCAAGAACAAAGAAGCAUUGCGCAAGAGAAAAUCCCCGGGAGCCACUGAAUUGGAAAGACUUACAGAAGAUGAGGUAUGCCUGGAAUGUGGUCAGCGAAGUACUAAGACUCGUCCCUCCUGUUCAAGGGAACUUCCGGGAGGUCUUAACGGACUUCACAUAUUCUACUUUCUUCAUUCCCAAAGUAUGGAAGGUAUGGGACCUAAUUUUGCAUGUUUUAGAAAUGUUGAUCAAUGAUUAAGGCAAAGAUGAAGCACUAGAACGUGUAAAAAGAACUGGAAGCCAUGUAAUACUGCAUUAAUUAUUCAACCUGGUCCUUACUCUCUACUUAUAUUUUGUGACUCUCAAUGCCAUCUUCUAUCAAACUCUCUCCAUUUGUUCUAUUAAAAGUAUUAUGUUUUUUUAUUUUUUUAUUUUUGCAUGUCCCAAAAUACUUGUCAUCUUAAAAAAUCAAGCAUGAUCAUCACCCUUUUUCUAAUCUUAGCAUUCAACUUUUGAAUUUUGCAAGGUAAAAUUUGAAAAGAUCUAUAUACACUAUCACUAUUAAACAUACUACUUCUAGGAUUUUUUUGAAUAAAAAAAUUGAUAAGUAACAGAACUUUUAGAAAUAGAGAUGGUCCAUUUAACAUGGUUGGAUUCAGUGAUAGAGCCACAUGUAAGCAAGAGGUGGCAAUUGCCCCUACUUAACUUUAGAAAAAUUAGUUUUUUUUUAACUUAAGAAAUUUAGAAAAUUUUAAAGUUGCAUCUUAUUUGUCCAUACUAAAUUUUAAUAAAUUCUCUUUUCUAUCUAUAUUGACCCCCAAAUAAUUUAAAAAUUCAUAAAAAUUUUGGAUUCACUUAAAGUUAAUUAUGGAAGUUAUUUCAAGAAUAAUCUCUUUCUCUGUUUUUGAGUUAAAUUAACCCCCAAAUAAUUAAAAAUCCUUGUUACCAUCAAAGGAUAUAAGGAUUUUGGAGCUACUUAAAGUCAAUUACAGAAGUUAUUUCAAGAAUAAUUUCUUUGAAAGUUUUCCACAUUCAAAUGGAGAAAAUAAUUGUCACUUUUAAAUUUAAGCAUAAUGUGAACUUCAAAGCAUAUUAAAUUUUGAAAAACAUAAUUCUAACAUAAAUAUUAAUUUAUUUUAGCUAUACUAUUACUUCAUAAAUGAAGCUAAUCAUGUUAAAUACCUUAAUGUUCAAGUUUGUUUGAUUAUUUUAACAAGUAUGAAUUUGUAUUCAAGUUUGAUUUGUUUUAUUUGUCAAGCUGAGGUCAAGCAAGUAUUUAUUGAGGUGUGCUCAUAUAGAUUGAAUAUUUGCCUAUACAUUUCAAUUUUAUGCCAAUCAAGCCAAGUUUGAGUCGAGUUUAAAAUUUAUUGAACACAAAAUACUAUUUAAAUUUGGCUUGAUUACUUCAUGAACUAAACUUGAACGAACUCUUAUUGAACUCAACUAAAUUUGAGUAUUGAAUAAUUUGGUUGGUCUUUUAGCCUUAACUUUAUUUCGUGUACCGUCAUGGAUUGAUCACUUUAUCUUGGGGUCUUGACUCCACCACUGGUUGGAUUGAUGUGUUGGAUUGAUGCAUGUUUAGUAAAACCAAGCGGGAUUUCUUUUAUUUUUUUUUUUUUAAAAAAAUCUUAUUUUCAUCCAGAUAUAUUGGACUCCCAAUUCAACACACAGGAAUCCACAGUAAGGACCCUUCCCUUAGGGGCAGAGGGUGAAGGGUCCUUCCCUAUAAGGACCCCAGGGGGUAAAUGAGGGUCCAGGUGUGGAAUUGCCAAGGAGUGGGGAGCCCCUUGACAAUUCCCCAGUUGAGAGAGGUUAAUAACCUCUUCUCUCCUAGUUUAGUGUUUUUAAGUGAGACCAAAAAUAGGACUAGAUAUUUAGAAAAAGUGAAAAACAUUUUAAGAUUUGAAGAGAUGGUGGUGGUUGAGGCUAUGCAUAAGGCAGGAGGUAUGGCUCUUUUCUGGAAAGAUGAGGUGAAAAUUCUUGAGGUCCUUAUGACUUCCUUUACCAUUGAAGCUCACGUGGAGGAUAUGGAAGCUAAUACUGAUUGGUGGUUUAUAGGAAUUUACGCGAGCUGUGAUUAUAAGAUUAGAAAAGAACAAUGGAAAGUCUUAGCUAAUCGGAAAAGAUUGUGGGGAGAGAGAUGGAUGAUAGCCGGGGAUUUUAAUGAUUUAGCCUCCAAUGACGAAAAGUGGGGAGGGAUUCGUAGAGAGGAGAAAUCCUUUCAUGACUUCAGAGAUUUUAUUAAUGGAAAUUAUUUGCUGGAUAUUGGAUUUAUUGGUCAUCCGUGGACUUGGUGCAACAAUUGGGAGGAAGAGGGAGAAGUCAAACAAAGGUUGGAUAGAGGUCUUUGCACCUACCCCUGGUUUCAGGUGUUUGAUAAGGUCAAUUGCAGGCAUAUUGAUUCUUAUGCCUCGGAUCAUAGCAUCCUGAUGUUCGACACAAUGAUGAGCUCGAGCAGAAGGAAACACAGGUUCUUUUUCGAUAAAAGAUGGUUAAAACGAGAGGACAUUGGGGAGGUAAUCAGGAUUGCUUGGGAACAGAAGGUGGAGGGAUCAAGGAUGUAUCAAGUGGCUACAAAGAUUAAGAACUGCCGUGUAGCUCUCCUAAAAUGGAAGAACAACUUCCAAGCUAACUCUAGGGACAAGAUUGAGCUCAUUAAAAAGCAGCUUUGCGACUUGAAAGAAGUUAGAGGGAACUCUAGAAACAUUAGUAUGGCUGCCCUUAAGAAAGAGUUAAGUAAGGCCUACAAGGAAGAAGAGAAGCACUGGCAACAGAAAUCAAGGAUACAAUGGCUCAAGGAAGGAGACAAAAAUACAAAGUUUUUCAUGCAUCUGUACAGGGAAGGAGAAGGAGAAACAGCUUGCAUAAACUCCAGAGAGAGGAUGGGACGUGGACAGAGAGUGAGGAGGAGUUGAGUUCUGAAAUAGCAGGUUACUAUAGGAGUUUGCUGGACAGUAAUGAGGGAGGGGACUUAAAUGAGGUUUUGCAUGGUAUUCCCCAUACCAUCACUGAUGAAUUGAAUAGAAACCUGUUAAAACCAGUGUUGGAAGAAGAAAUCAAAUCUGUUAUUUUCUCUAUGAAUCCAGAAAAAGCCCCUGGGAUUGAUGGUAUGUCACCACUUUUUUUCCAAAAAUUCUGGACAAUCAUCAAACAACAAGUGAUAAAGGCUAUUCAGACGUUUUUUCAUACUGGCCACCUCCUAAAGAGUGUUAAUCAUACUAUCAUCACUCUAAUUCCCAAAGUGCAGAUUCCUACAUCUCUAAAGCAAUUCAGACCCAUAAGUCUUUGCACUACCUUAUAUAAGGUGAUAGCUAAAAUCUUAGCAAACAGGCUCAAAAGUGUCUUACAUUGUUGCAUUUGUAAAAAUCAAUAUGCCUUCAUUCCUGGUAGGCAGAUUCUUGAUAAUAUUAUGGUCUCUCAUGAGUACAUGCAUUUUUUAAAAAACAAGAAACAAGGUAAGGAUGGGUUUAUGGCAGUGAAGCUUGACAUGUCCAAGGAGUACGACCGAGUUGAAUGGAGUUUCCUGGAGGCAAUAAUGGAAAAAAUGGGCUUCGACUGCAGAUGGAGGACCUGGGUUAUGGAGUGUGUGAAGUCUGUGUCGUACUCGUUUAAUAUAAACGGGGAGGUUAAAGAGUUUGUAAUUCCAAAAAGAGGAAUUAGACAAGGGGACCCUCUAUCCCCUUACCUAUUCCUUCUGUGCUCUGAGGGACUAUCCAACCUUAUCAGGAAGGCGGCAGAUUCUAAGAAGCUCGCAGGGAUGAAAAUUAGUAGACAGGGACCUCGUAUAACACACCUUCUCUUUGCGGAUGACUCUGUCAUCUUUUGCAAAGCUAAUCUGGAGCAGGCAAAUGAGUUAAGGAGGGUGCUGAAAGUGUAUGGCAGGGGUCAGGUCAGGAGAUAAAUUUGGAAAAGUCUUCCAUACUCUUCAGUAAGAAUGUCAGGCCACAAUUGAUGGACGAGAUCUGUCAAACCAUGGGGAAUAUGCAAAGAGUUAGUCAGGGCAAGUAUCUUGGACUACCAAUGGUAGUUUCAGGAUCAAAACAACAGCUUUUUGGAUCUAUUAAGACUUCCAUACACCAGCGAAUGCUAAAGUGGAAAAACAGGUUAUUAAGUGCAGCUGGUAAGGAAACAAUGCUUAAAUCUGUGGCUUUAGCUAUGCCAACGUACACCAUGUCCUGUUUCCAGCUGCCAUCCAAAUUGUGUAAGGAAAUUAGUUCCUUAAUGGCAAAUUACUGGUGGGGGAGGCAAAUGGAAAGAAUAAAAUACAUUGGUGUGCAUGGAAAAAGCUUACUCGAAACAAGCACAUGGGAGGUUUAGGCUUCAAAGAUCUGAUGGCUUACAACACAGCUCUCCUUGGCAAGCAGGUGUGGAGAAUGCUAACACAACCUAAUUUGCUGGUUAGUCAAGUCAUGAAGGCAAAAUAUUUUCCACGAUCAUCUAUAUUCAAGUGCAAAGUUCCCAACAAUGCUUCUUGGAUUUGGAGGAGUCUUAUGGGGGCCCGGGAGUUGGUGGAACAAGGAACCAGACGCAAGAUAGGAAAUGGGAGGAAAACUAAUAUCUGGGAAGAUAGGUGGAUUCCGGAUACACUUGAUGGAAGAGUGACAACCCCGAGAAUUUCUGAUAAUGCACUUCAGCAAGUACAUGAGCUAAUUUGCCAGAAAAGCUGGAACAGAAAUCUUGUCUUCAAACACUUUAAUAAAAAAGAUGCAGAAACUAUCUUGACAAUCCCUGUUAGUUUAGCAGGAAAGGAGGAUGCAAACUUUUGGAUAAAAGGGGCUGGUGGCCAUUAUUCAGUCAGCUCAGGGUACAAGCUACUGGUUAUGAACAAAGAUAUCUGGCAGCAAAGGAAUCAAAUGGAGGGUUCUACAAGUCUGGAAAAUCAAUCCCAAAGGUUAUGGAAGGACUUAUGGAAACUGAAGGUGAAGCAAAACAGAAGGUUUUCUUAUGGAAAUGCCUCAACAAUGCAUUGCCUGUGCGAGACAUCAUAUUUCGUAGAAUUAAAGUAGGUGAUCCCAUAUGCAACAGGUGUGGAGAAGACAGGGAAACUAUUGAACAUACCCUUUUGAAUUGCAGCAAAGUUAAACAGACAUGGAAGCUGGCCCCCAUUCAAUGGGAAGGUAUGAUGGAACACCAAGGCUGUUUCAGAAGAUGGUGGAUCGAAAAUUUAGAUGCAAGAACCAGAACUGAAGGAUGGCAACAUAUUGCUCUAUCAGUCCAUAUUCUCUGGCAGAUAUGGAAAGACAGAAAUGAGGAGGAGUUCAAUGGUAAGCAAAGUCAUCCAUGGAAGACAAUCCAGAAGGCGCACCAGGAAUGGUUAGAACUUGGGGAGAUAGAUAGGAAUGGAACUAGUAUGAGCAUAGAUGAAACAGAAGUCUACAUCAACAGAAUCAGCAGCGAAAUCCUGAACAUGGGUGCUUGAUAUUGAGGAUAGGAAUAACUAGAGAUAUGACAAAGUCUUGCUUCGGUAUUGGGAUUACUUUGCAGGAAGGAAAUCAAGGUGCAAAAAGAGGGUGGACACUACGAGAAAGCAGUUCAGGUUCAGGACUGCUAGACGAAGCAACUGCACUGAAGCUAGCAACGUGUAAAGCUGCGACUUUGCAAUUCAGGGAUGUGCAAUUUCAAGUGCCAAACCGACAGCUCCUCAAUCAGGUUCGAACAGCAGGUGUAAGCGAUAUCAGAUUGGCUACUGUUGUGGACAAUAUUUUACAACUCAGAGAUUUGUUUCAUAAGUGCUCCUUUUGCCUAGUUCAUAAUGAUAACAAUCAACUAAGCACUAAGCUUAGUAAAUAUGCCUUGGGCAUUAUUCUAGAUGAGGAACAUUGGUUUCCUUAGUGGCAAGUAAAGCCGCUUGUAAAGUUCAUUCGAGCCUUUGCUCGUACUUGUAAAUCUUUUGUCAAGUAAUACAACCAAUUAUCGUUUCGAGAAAAAAAAAAAAAAAAGAAUCCACAGUAUUUCUCUGAUCCUGAAAAGUUUGAUCCAUCAAGAUUUGAAGGAUCAGGACCUAUGCCUCACACAUUCGUUCCUUUUGGCGGAGGAUCUCGGAUAUGCCCGGGUAAAGACUUUGCUAGAGUGGUUAUACUUGUUUUCGUGUACAACGUGAUAGGAAGUUCAGAUGGGAAAAGCUCCUUCCUCAUGAGAAAACCGUGGUCCUCCCUAUUCCUCUGCCCGCCAAGGGAUUCCCUGUUGUCCUCCAUCCUCAUUGAACAUGAACCGCAAUAUUUAUGGCAAUAGCCAUUGGCCCAUUGAUGUACUGCACAAUUUUUAUACAGGAGUUGACCCAAAACAUCACUUCUAACGCAAAUAAGAAGUCCACUACUGAAUAAAUUAUAGUAAAGGUUUUCAUCGUUCACAGGAAAAGAGCUUCAACCUUGUCAUGUCAAGGGAAUUCAACAAGAAAGCAAUUUGCUCAUUUUACUUACGUAUGAUGGAGUCUAAUGUUUACUAACGCAGCAAGAAAAACGAAAAGUCAUGCUAUUAGUUGACAAAUAAAGUUUGAAUCACAUGCUCAUAUGACACAUAAGCAAUGGCUAUAUACAGUAGUAGAAUGUGAUUCUCUUAAUUAGGCAGCAAAUAUGUUGGACUCGAAAAAUUCCCUGUACUUUUUUUGGUUCACACUUUUUUUUUUUUCAAUGGUUCUACACUUCAACUUUGCUGAAAACUCGGUACGAAGUAAAAUUAUCAACUAAACUAGGAUGCAACUUAAGUUUGUGCAAUGCUUCUUCCAUUGGUAUAAUGGAAAAUAUGAAUUUGAAGCAAAGAACAAAGUAUGUGUAGAACCAUGAGAAAAAGGAGAAGAAGAAGAAGAAGAAGUGUAGUCUAUAUUCUAUAUUUGCUUCUACAUUUUAAUAUUGCAGCAAACUUCGUAGAAAGUAAAACUAUCAACUAAAAUAACGUGCUACUUAGUUUGUAAUUUUCAUUUAAGGAAUGAAGUUCCGCUAGCAAUCAAGUUAAAUUUGUUAUUUGAGGUAGACGUUUUGCUUUUUAUUUUGAAAAUUUUCUUCCUUGUUAGAUAUUUCGCUUUUGAAUUAUCAUAAUGAUUAGAGCUCUUGAUCGACAAGACUACAAGUUGUCAAAAAAAAAAAAAAGAGUAAUUACGGUAAGAAAACAGUUUGUAAACGGCCAUUGGUCAUGUAGUAAGACGAUAGCGCAAAUUUUAUUAAUGCAUUCUUGAUAUUUCGACCAGCAAAUGCUCUAUUUGCAUACUGACAUGCGCGGCAUAUUCAUACAACAAUUAGUUCCAUACACAGUCAAGUUUUAUAUUUAUAAAUUCUAAAUAUCCCACACGCGAUUUUUCUGCAAAUAUACAAGUUGUGAGUAAGUAUAGGAUAUUAAGGGUUGAACCCACAGGAAAGAUUUUCAAUUACCGGUGAUUUUCGAAUUCCUUUAUUAAUUAGACUAUCAUAGUGCAAGAAAUUAACUCUACACUAUAAAAGUAAUAAAAAUAACCCUAUAAAACUCUUAGAGGUAUGGAAUUCCUUAUAACUCUUGCAAAUGAAAUUAUCGAUUAAGGUGAAUGCUAUUAUCUUGGCUAGUUAUGGGGUUAUUUCCUUAUGUAUGUGAAACCUACUCUCAUAGUUAAUCAACUAUACUUGUAACUAAGCCAUACCUACUCUCGUGAUCAUGAAUUAAUUACAAACUCAUUUCUUCUAUAAAAUUACAUGAAACAAGUCACUAAAGUCACAAAGAUGCUCCUCUACUCUCGUGAGUGAACUCCCUGAGUUUAUCACUUCCUGAACUAGUGUUAAAUUUCAAUUCUCAUUGCACACUUAACACCUUAAGAUUAUCACAAUUAAUGACCGGUUAAUCAUGAUUAGAAAAGCAAAAGUGGUAAAUAACUUGCUCAAAAUAAUAUCAUCAAAUAACCAAGUAAACUUUACUAACAAGAUAUAGCAAGUUCAUCCAUAUUCUAAACAUAAACUUUAACUGAACAUAAAGAAAAACGAAUCCAAACUUGUAUUAUAGUUAAACAUAAAUUCAAAUAUAAAAGUGAAAGUGAUAGGAGAGAAGUCACCCUUGUCACAUGAGUUUCAACUCUCCAGUAUUUAUUUAUAAUAUGAUAAAAUUCUUUUUUUUUUUGACAAAUAAUAGCCUGUCCAGGCAAAUCCAAUAACAGCAGCGAUGUAAAAUUCUAAUGUGGGAGCAAGUUAUUUUGCCUUGAAAUAUAUAGUAGCAUUUUGUUUUAAUAAGAUAUUGUAUUAUUAUUUUCUUUCUAAUGUGGCCAUAUAAACGCAUUUAUUGUGUUUUUAAUAUCCUAAUUUGUAGUGACUAGAAAAUAAGAAAAGAAUUCAUCAUAAACAAUUUAUGUAACAUUUGGAGUAGUAACAAAGUUCCAAAGUAGUUUUCGUGAAAAUAUUUUUUUCGUUCCCCCAUAUUUUCACAAAUUUGCCUCGCUUGAAGCAAUGAUGUCAAACCGGCAAAAAAAAAAAAAAAAACAACGUUUCGUACAUUAAUGAAUAAUAUGUUUGGAUAGCAAUUAUUUGAUCAAAAAAUUAUUUGUUUGUAUCACAAAUAUAUUUUUCAAUACAUCCUUUAUCUUUCAAUUUUUUUUUGUCUUACAUAUAUUACAUCAUGAAAAUUAUUCCAAAUAAUCUCAAAUUUUUUUAUGACUUUGGUGACAGCUCGCUUCAAUGAAAACUGAAAAGAAAAACAUUUUUGACCAAAAAACUCUUCUAUCAUUGUUGGGUUUUGUCGAUGGUUUUCAGAGCUAAGUGCUUUUGACACGAAGGCUAAGAACACGUUUUUUUUUGUUUUUGAAGACAAUAAAAUGUCACCAUCAUCAAAGUAGAGAUUUUAGCACAAAAUGGAAUCGUUUACUCACUUUCACAUUAGACAUGUCAUACAAUCUCAAUCUAAAGCAUUCAUGCACACACGUAAUCACGCUUAUAGCUCAUGGUAUGAAGUCUUAGAAUAUCACUAAUUUUUUUUUUAAAAAAAUUGAUUAAAAUAAUUACUGUAAAUACAUUUUACUAUAUGAUGUAUAUAAAAUAAAAUAUAAAAAAUAAAUUAAAAUAUAUAUUUAUGAUAUAAAUAAAAUAAUAUUUAAAAUAAUUUUGUACAAGAGAACUGACUCAAUUAGCUUUGUUUGGAAAGUAAUUUUUUUUAAAAAAAAUUGUUAUUUUUUUCGUAAAUACAUUUUUUAAUCACGUUUUUACUUCACAUUUAUCAAAUCGAGACAAUAAUUUUUCUACAAAAAAAUUCAGAAGAAUGUAAUCCAAACAAAGCCUUAAUUCAUGUUGAGAUUUUUUAUGUCAAACAAGUUUUUUGCCAAGUUUAUUUGCUUCAAGUUAUUUAAAAACUUUAAUUACAGUAACCUUAAAAAAAAAUUUAAAAUUUUUAAACUAUACACUUCAAAAUAUUUAAAAAAAACACACUUCAAUAAUUUUUUUAAAAACUUCUACAAUAAAUUACAGUAAAAUUUUAGAUAAUUACCUAAAAACCUCACUUGACAAACAAGGCUAAGUUAGAAAAAUAACUCCGAGUCUCCAACAAAAUGUCAAAAGUUUCUGGCUUGAAAAGAAACCCGACCAAUAAUUCACCCGAAAAGGAGAAAAAAGUGAGAAACAACAAAACAAAAAAAUUUUCUCCCGUUGACACAGAUUGGAGGCUCGUGAGGGAUCAAGUCGUACCAUAAGGAUCUGUCGUGGGCCACACCUGAUUUUCUUCCACCGGCUCGGCUCACCUUACCUUUGACUUGAAAACCGAACCAAUGAAGAAAAAAAAAAAAAAAAAGAGGAGCCGGUUCACGAGAUGGAGGCACGCCGUCCAGAAAUUGACGGCUAAGAUUCGACUCCACUAUAAAAAAAGCCACCACGGAUUAAAGGCCACUGAUGAUUCCACGUCAACCACAAACGUCCAAUCAACCGAGAAUUUUUGGGCUCACAUUUGGGUCAAGAUCAGUGGACCCUACCACGCACCUGUCCAGGAAACACGGCCUCUGGGUCCCACAAUGUUUCACCAAUCAGAAGGGGAGAGAGAAUAUUAUUUUGCUCAAGUGAACAUGGAAAGGCUGCAAAAGAUUACAAUUACUUUUUUCAUUUGCACGUAAGGAGCAGUAGAAUUGAGGGGUAAGGACAAAGGAGAAAAUAUAGUAUGACUUUUCACCACGUCCUUUUAUGUUAUACGAGUUUAUUCCCUCCUAAGUUUAGAACACUCUGUAUUACAAAAAUAUUUGGGAUAAUUUUUUGAAAAAAAUACUGUAUUAUUUUUUUUAUAUGAUGCAUAUGAGAUAAAAAAUAAUACUAAUUGGACUGUCAAAUUAUUCCAAAUAAUAUUUUCGUUUGUAUCAUACACAUAUUUUCCAAUUCAUCUUUUUAUAUUUCCAAUUACUUUUUAUCUCACAUACAUCACAUCACAAAAAUUGCUACAGUAAUUAUUCCCAAUAAUAUUUCAAAUAAUACUCUACCCAAACGCACAUUAAAAAAUAUGUUGAUAUUGUAAAUAAAUAAAAUUUUACAAAUAAUCCCAUUCAAAUAAUAUUGAUAUAGACGACACGAAAUAGUCCAUAACCCCUUUCCCCUAGUGUGAAGGAAGAAGUUGAACUUUAGUUGUUGCUCGCUAGGGGAUUUUUUUUUUUUUUUUUUUUUUGGAAAGGGAAUCAAAAGUGAUUCCAUUAUUGGAUAGUUUUGAAUCAAAACAAAAUCUCAAGUUCAAAAGUCUUAUAAGUCUUGUUCUGGAUUGAUUAUUUUAACUAAUUAGUUUUUUUACUUUUAUGAUAUAUAACGAAUUAUAUUUAAUUGAAGUCUUUAUAUUUUUACUUUAUAUAUAACGAAUGAUAUAUGAUUACUUUAUGAUUCCAUUAUUGGAUGGUUUUGAAUCAAAACAAAAUCUCAAGUUCAAAAUCUUAUAAGUCUUGUUUUGGAUUGAUUAUUUUAACUAAUUAGUUCUUUUACUUUUAUGAUAUAUAACGAAUUGUAUUUAAUUGAAGUCUUUAUAUUUUAAUUGUAUUUUGGUGUCUCAAAAGAAUUAAAAACAAUCAUAUAGAAGGCUGAAAAGUAUCAAAUGAAUUAUUGAACAUUGGAAUAUGCUUGGUACUUACCAUCCAAAGGUUUCGAAAAAUAAAGAAAAAAAUCUUGUAUGUGCCAGAUGGCAAUGGAAUCAUUUCCCCUUACAAAAAACCUAUAGGACAAAAUAUAUUGGACGAAUAUACCUUUUAAACAUUAUCGGCCCAAGACAUUUUCAGCAAAAUCCGACAAUCGUUUGAGAUUCUCUAGGUUGGAGAUUACACGUCAUUAUUCACACAAGUAGCACAAUAGAGCAUUUUUUUUUUUUAAAAAAGAGUAUUUAGCACCUAAGUGCUAUUAUCUAUAGUAAAUUCGUCUGUCUAGAUAAGUAUUAUUUGCAAGAAAUUAUUUAUUUGCAUUACAAGCAGGUUUUUCAAUCAAUAUUUUUUGUCUUUUCAAUCACAUUUUUAUUUCCAACAUAUUACAUCAUAAAAAAUGAUGCAGUAAUUAUUUUAAAUAAUCUUUAAUUAGAACACAAAUGUGAUAAUAUUACUUUUUCUUUUUAAAUAACAUUUUGAAAUUUUCAAAAAGCACAAAACGCUAAAUUCGGAUAAUGAUGAAAUUCAACACUUUAAUUGUACAAUUUUGGACCUCCGAACGGAAUUGCCUGCUCUGUUUGGAUUGUAAAUUAUUUGAGAUAUUUUUACUGUAACACUUUUUGUGAUGUGAUGUCUGUGAGAUAAAAAGGUAAUUGGAAAGAUAAAAAUGUGCAUUGAAAAUUGUAAUGAUGAUGUAAGCAAAUAAAUUUUGGCUAAUAAAUCUCUAUCCAAACAAAUUUCAUCAACACAUGAACGUCUGAUUUGUCAGAAAUGGAAAUGGAGAAAUUAGGGGUAUUGUGCAAUUUGUCAUAAAAAGGAAUCCUUCUGGAGAAAAGAAUCAGAGCUGUCAAACGUCGCAUUUGCAAAUUGGGGCCCCAAAUACUCUCCUGACGGUCGCCACGUCAGACCGGGUCAGAAAGAGUAAAUAAAGGGAUUACUGUACUAAUCCCCACUUAAUCAGUUCUCUAAUCAUCAUUACUAUCCGUAAAGAAGUUCUCCGUACUUGGCGCGUGUGAGUCCUAAGCAAAGCCUGCAUCCUUUUCCCCAUUCAUGGCAAUUGGAAAGUUCCACUAAAAGAAGCUUCAAAGAUCCGCUCAGAUUAUCCGUAAUUACAAGAUUAGCCCUUAUGAGAUUUUCUUUUCUUUUCUUUCCUUUUCUUUUUUGGGUCAUUCUUUUUUCCUCUCAUUUUCCUAAUCCCGGCAGGGCUAAAUUCAUACCCGUCCAUCCUAAAAUUACAUUUUAAGUGCAUUGAUGAUUUGUAUCAUUAGAAUCAAAACUUGUACAAGAUAUAAUGAGUUUGUUUGGAUAAGAGUUUAUUUGCAUGAUUUAUUUGAGAUAAUUACUGUAACACUUUUUAUGAUGUGAUGUAUGUGAGAUAAAAAGGUAGUUGGGAAGAUAAAAAGAUGAUUGAAAUUUGUGAAGUAAAUUUUUUUAUUUAAAAUCAGCCAAUCCAAUCCAAUGAAUUUAAUAUCUUUAUUUUCGUAUCGAAAACAAAGAAAUUACAAGUACGAUAACUCAUAUAACGUGGCAAAAUAACUCACACAUAAUGAAUUAGGUAUUAUAUAAUUAGACGUGAAUCUUGGAACUCCAAUAUAUUUCUAAGGACUUAAUUUUGAAUGCUUUUACUUCUAUAUUGAGGCCACAUGACUUCUCUUUUAAAUUCGACUAAUUUAGAACAUGCAUAUUUUAGAAGUGCAAUAUAUUUUAUUUCACAAUGAAGUAUUAUUUGAUGUUGUGCUACUUAAAGAUGAUUAGAAAAGAUAAAAAUGCUAAUUAAGUGGACUCACCAUUAUUGAAUUAUCUCUCUUUACUCAUUUGUUCAUUAAUGAUUAAUGUAUUGGUCAACUGGAGCAUAGCUUCGUAGUCAGUUUCACCAUCAUUACUCGUGAGCUCAUACAAUAGUUUAUAGCAUUAUCCGGGCAUGCUCAAAUGAACAUCAUGGCCAAUGAGAUAUUAGUCUUCUGUAAUCAAUUGAGUUUAACAUAAAUUGGCAUUUCCCAUUUUUUUUAAAAGGACACAAAUUGGCAUUUUUACCUUACUAAUUAGACAACUCAUCAUCAUUUGCUUAGCUCCUUUCUAUACAAGAAUGAUGAUUCUAAAGGUUUUAAAUGUUGGUUUGGAAAAGAUUAAAGUCAAGAUGUUAUGAUACCUACCAUAUUUUGAAAAUAAUUAAAGUCUACUUAAGUAUAAAGAUUUUGAAACUAUGGAUGUUUAAGAGAUAUUCUUUCAGCUUAUGGAACUAAUAUGAAGUGAAGGAGACGGAUAAUUUGAGCAAUGGGCAAAUCUAAAUUUGAGUAGUUUUUUUUUUUUUUAAUUUCUUAACAUUCUUUGGUGAAGGUAAAGGAAAAUUAAGUGAAUGACUUACUUCACAUUUUGUUACAUCAUAAUGUGAAGAUAUAUAUAUAUAUAUAUAUAUUUAGAGUUUCCAGCUAUAUUUGAAAAGUCAGACUUAAGAAUAUUUGAAAUAAAAUAAUUUGCUUCACAAAUUUCAAUCACCUUUUUAUCUUCCCAAUUAACUUUUUUAUCUCACAUACAUCACAUCACAAAAAGUGUUACAGUAGUUAUCUCAAAUAAACUCCUAUCCAAACAAAUAGUGUCAAAACUUGACUGACAUAUGUAAUUUCAACAGAAGACAUUUUUUUCAUUAAGUUUCAAAUUUCUAUUUGCCCAAAAAGAAAAAUAUUGGCAUGUGAUCAAAUGAUUAUUUUUAUUUCGAUGUAGGAUGUUAUUUUUUCUUAAGACACAAAAUUAAUUAAUUAUUUUCUUCUUCUACCAUAGCCAAACCCCCCCCCCCCCAAAAAAAGGGUCUAGUCAACUUGUCCAAUACAUUUUUCCAGAAACAAACAUAGACUAAAUUUGAUACCCUUUUCUUAUUCUUAAAGAAAGAAAAAAGUUAGAGUGGGGGAAUGGAGUGCAAAGAAAUCUGGUAGGACAUGAAAUACAUUUACAUAAACCUCUGAACUACAUAAGUUAAAUUAGGAAAGAAUGUAGGAUUCUAGGAUCACAUGAAUGAUCAGAAGAUUGUUCCCCUUUCAUGGCCAAGCUUAAGCUUUUCUGAAUUAUGCAGAGAAAAAGGACCACUCUAGCUAUAUUAUAUGUAGCAGUCUUAUAACAGGCACAUAAAUUCAGAUAUUGCAUGGCACUGCAGCUUAGCAAUUAAUCUUGCAUGACAUCAAAACUUGCAGAAGAUGCAUAAACCAUAUAUGCUUUCAACUGUAAAAACAAGCUAGGGGUGACUAAUAAUUGAAGAAAUGACAAUCAUAUAAUCCCAUUAUCCAUAUCCAACAGUAACAUUUGUAGUCCAAUGCAGGAUCAGGUACUUGUGAGCUAGGUACCAUUAUGCUACUAUUCACAAGUCCUAGAUAGGCUUUCGAGAGAGUAGGUUUUGGACAAUUUCCACUGUUUCAACCGUCACCUUUGAAUAGGACCUUCCAAAUAUUCAUCUAUCUACCUAACAUAAGAGGCAGUAAAAAGAGAGAGAGAGAGAGAGAGAGAGAGAGAGAUAACAAGUACUAGUAAAUAAUGGAAGGAAAAAUGGCCUCAAAUUUAGGCCAACUCUGUAGUCAUUGUCUUGAGUAAUGAAGGCAAUAAGGUCGGAAAAAGACUGUGACAAUGAGGGUCAAGGUAUAGUCAAUGCCAUGCCAACUCCAUUUCCAUGUCUACUUCAUUACCAAGUUGUGGUUUGGUUAUGCUUGGAAGGACGUAGAGAGGGAGAAAAUAUAUGGAUAAUUACUCCUGCAUCAUUUGACAGAUAUUAUGUUUCUUUUGUGAUGUUAUAUAGCGUGUGUGUAAGAAAAAUAUAUGUUGAAAGACAUAUUUAGGAUACGACGUAGAGAGGAAGAAAGAGAACGUGGAUAAUUACUCCUGUAUCUUUUGAGGAAAAAAAUUAUGUUGCUUUUAUAACUUUUAUUGUGAUGUAUACAGCAUUGUUUGGAAGACAAGUUUUUUGCUAAGUUUGUCUGAUACAAGUUUUUUUAAGAACUUUCGCUAUAGUAAAGUCAAAAAAUUUUUUAAAAAUUUUAAACUAUACACUUUAAAAUAUUAAAAAAAAAACACACUUCAAAAAUUUUGUUUAAAAACUUUUACAGUAAGUUACAGUAACGUUUUAAAUAAACAUCCAAAAAACUCACUUACCAAACGGGCCCGUAGAUGUAAGAAAAAUAUAAUCAAAACAUGUAUUUAGGAUGUAAUAGAAAAAUAAUUUCUCGAAAUAACCAUAUCCAAACAUUUACCCCUUUUUUUCUUUUAGAAUAGUGAAUAUAUUAAUUACUUUUCUUACAAGAGUUUAUUGCGUUGCAGGUGGCAUGAAAGUGUUAGAGGGACGAUGACAUUUGAAGACAGUUGAGGGAAAAAUAGCUAGUCUUUCUUUUUUUUUUUUUUCCGAUAAAACUACAAAAUGUGGUUUACAUGCAUGCUCACUUUAAGUUUCCCUUUUCUUUUUUCUCCUUAUGAACUUGCCACUUAGAUCCAAAAUUUAAAGCACAACUUAGCUACACUGACCCGAUAGGAGUCAUCAGGAAUAAAUGAAAUAUUAUUUGAAUAGGAAAUAAUUUGAAAUAUUCUCUGAAAUAAUUAUUUUAGCAAUUUUUGUUAUGUAAUAUAUGUGAAAUAAAAAUAAUUAAAAUAAAAAGAUGAUUAAAAAUGUAUUUAUAAUGUAAGCAAAAUAAUAUUUCAAAAAAAUUGACAUCCAAACACUUUGUUUUUCAGGGUUAUUUUGAUGACAAGAUAACUUUAGUCAACCAAAAAUUCACAAAGAAUGAAUAAAAAGAAACAAAAAAUAAAAUAAAACAGUGCAAAUACAUGUAUUUCUAUAUGUUUUCCAUGAAUAUAUUUUGUAAUCACAUUUUUGUUUUACAUAUAUUAAACAGCUACAAUGCAUUUUGUUACAAAAACUUUGAAAAAUAACAAUCCAAACGAUUCUAAAAGAAUGAUGUAUUCUCCUGUGAGUAUGGCUAUAAACAAAUCAAAUCGAAUCGAAUUUUCUACAAUUCAAAUUUGAUUUGAAGUUUUGGACUCAAACUCAAAUCAUAUAUGGAGUUCAAAAUCUAAGGUCAAACUCAAUUCGAGGGGUCAAAAAUUUAUUUAAUUCUUCAAUUCUAAUAUUAAAUUAUCACUGAUACAAAUACAAUAUCUACAUAAUAAAUAAUAAAUAAAUAUAUAAAUUUAUACAAAAAUAUUAACAAAUAUUUUAAAUAAAAGUAUUAAAAAUUAUUCGAAUCAAAUCAAACCAAGUAACUACAAGUUUGAAUUCGAUUUAAUACUAUAAACGAAUCCUAAUUUCUCCUUGAAUUCAAGUUCAAGUUCAUUGAAAAUGAAAUUCGAAUUGAACCUUUAACACACCUAGUCUAAACGGUUCGUUGAAGGGUUCGGUUCAUUAACAACUAAAUCUAAGGCUUCGUUUGGGAGUUAAGGAUCUGGAAAAAAAAAAGGAAAAGAAGAGAAAGUUUAGUUUCCCUUUGUUUGUUAGUUUUUAGUAUGAAAAAAAAAAGAAAGGAAAUGGAAAGAUUCAGGAGGGAGGAUAAAAAUGUAGCGCUACAAUAAUCAUAACCUUUUUCUCCCAAAUUGGACGGAAAUAGAAGGAAACUUUGAGGAAACUUGUCAAAUUUUUUUAAAAUACCUAUUUUAUCCUUAAAAAGGUUUAGAAUAAAUAUUUAAUGACUUUAUAUCCAAAAUCAUUCCACUAAUUUUCAAAACUCUCAAACAACAUAUCAAUCAUUUCUCUUCUCUCAUAACUCAAGUUUUCUCCUAUUCUUUUCAAUCCUAAACUCCCAAACCAAGCCCUAGGCUAAGUUUGGGAGUUUAGGAUAGAAAAGAGAAGAAGGGAAAACUUAAAUUAUGAGAGAAAAGAAAGGAAGAGAAGAGAAGGAAUUGUUAUGUUGUUUGGGAGUUUUGAGAAGUAGUGGAAUGAUUUUGGAUAUAAAAGUCAUUAAAUAUUUGUUCAAGACACUUUUAAGGAUAAAAUAGGUAUUUUAAAAAACUUUCAUAAGUUUCCUCCAACUUUCUCUCCAAUUUGGGAGGAAAACUUUUACUUACUAUUUAUCUUCUUAAAUCCUUCCAUUUCUCUUCUUUUCUUUCCUAAUAAAAACUAACGAACGAAGGAAAUGUUCACUUUCUCUUCUUUCCUUUUCUUUUCUCUCCAAAUCAUCCACUCCCAAACGAACCCUUAGGCAAAGGAAGAAAGAAAAAGAAAGGGUAAUUUAGUGAAAGCAAGAAAAGUUGACGUAAUGAUGAACAGUAAGAGACAAUAUCCAUAAUUACUUCUACUAGUCUCAUGUAAAUGAGAUAAAACUAUUACUAAUUAAUCCUUCCCCGCUCGGCCUCUCCACUCCGCCUUAACCUCAUACGGGUCAACUUUGUGAGGCCAUAGGCAUCAGUCCCAUCAUCCUCGACCUGAGAGACAGAAAGACACACUCAAAAACCAAUAAACAAUCAAUUUUCAUUGCCAAAUUAUAUAUAUAUAUAUACGUAAUAGUACAAAAUGGAGAGGAGUUAAAAACAAAAAAUAAUUGCAUAUUCUUCCCUAUCUUUCUUCUCUCACCUCCUCGUUCCGCUACUAAUAGGGAAAAAGGAGAGAGGAGAAUGCAAAGAAAGUGAAAACUUUGGUGGGAUGCAAGAAAGAGAAAAGAAAGAAAGAACAAAAGAUACUCCUAUAAAUUAAAAAAAAAAUAAACAAAGAAGGGAAAAGGAAAAUUGUUGGCUCUGACGAAGAACAGGAAGAAGGGAGAAAGUAGUAGUGUGUGUCUGUGUGUGGAUUUGUAGUGUGUGUGGGUGCUGGGGGAGUGUAGUGUGGAAUAGGGGCAAUUAAAAAGUAUAGUAAGAACAACAACAGCAGCAUUUUGCAAUUUGGUCUCUGCAAUCCUCAACAUCCCCUCCUUUUCCAAAGCUUCUCUUGUCUCCCCUCUCCUCCUUUCUUUCUUCCUCCCUUCUCUUUCUUCUGUUUCUUUCGCCUUUUUCAAUAAGUUUCAUCCUUUUUUAGUAGUACUUAUUUCCUUUUUCUUUUUUUUUUUGGGUUUCUCUUUCCUCCCAUUUUCCGGCACCGGCCGGAAUAUCCACCGGAGCCGGGAAGCAGCUUCUCUGACGACUUGAGCUUGGACCCUUUUCUUCUUUAUUCGUCUUUGGCCGGAAAAGUCCACCGCUUUUAUCAUUUUGCUUUGGGAAAGAUAUCAUUCUUUUUUCCUAGCUAAGAAGCAGAGGAACAAGCUGGUUUGUAGUUGAUCCAUUGAGCUAGCUGUUUUUAUCCAUUUUUUAGCUUUUUGGGUCUUCUAGACAGCUCUUUUGAGUUAGCUCCAACUUGGGCUUUUUCUCGGUUUUUGUUUAUUUUUGGGUAGCCGGAGGUGGCAUCGGAGCUCUGAUUAGUUCCGGGAAAAAUGGGUCUCCGGUAAAUAUCCACAACCAUAUUGUUCUUUCAGCUGAAUAAGCAAGAGGGUCACCAGACAUUAAGUACAAUGAAGACGCCGGCCACCGGCGCCGGAGCUCCGUCAGCUGCGGCCUUGGCCAAUCCCUCUGAAGGUUGUUCUCUUUCUCUACUUAUUCUGCUCUCAUUUUCUUUGUAGCUGUCAAGUCAUUAUACCAAAAUUCUGUAGUUUUUUAGACCUUGUAAUAAUCGAGGAUCACAAAAAUAAACAAGAAAUUAAUGAGAUUCAUGUAUCUCCAAAGACACUUUGGGUAAUUUCCUGUGGGAUGGACGGUUCUGCCUUUUUCUCUUUUAAAAAAUAUCUUUUUAUCCUUUUUAUUUUUAGUUGGAUUUAUCUCUAAUGAAAACAAGAAAGCUUCUGAACAGGAACAUCUUGCACUCAUCUCCUCGAAAAAAUUUCAAGUACCCUUCUUUUUAGUUGACUUUUGGUGAUUUUUGGUCGGAGGAAAAUCGUACUGACACGUGGGAAUUGGUAAAAUGGGGAUGUUAUCGAUCACAGGUGAGAAGAAGAGUAUAAACCCAGAGCUAUGGCAAGCUUGUGCUGGUCCUCUGGUAAAUUUGCCGGCCGCUGGGACCCAUGUUGUCUACUUCCCUCAAGGCCAUAGUGAACAGGUCUGCAACCUUUGGGCUUGCUGUUCUUUCUCCCUUUUUGGCUUGUGUAUGCAUAUUUUGCCUUUUGCAUCAAUACAAAUGAGAAAUGGCUAUGGGCUAUAAGGAGGGUUGGUAUGGUUCUAGUUAUCGUUAACCAUCAUGUCAGCUGAAUAGGGUGAUGCAUCAUGUUGUUUGUGUUCAUAUCUCAGUAGGGUAAAAUGUAUCCCUACCUUUGUGCAUCUUCAACAACUUUAUCCAUCUGUGUAAUAUGUACACAAAUUUAGGCAACCCCUAGGAAACAUGCUGAUAUAAGAACAUGGAAAAGUUAAUUAAAGUUGUUCAGCACUUUUAAAGUAAAUUAACGUGAGAUUCUAUUCUAAAAGCAAUAUUUUUUAAGUAAUUCUAUUUUAACCUUUUACAGGAGAUAUUUACUGUACCAAGAAAGAAGUGGUUACACUCGAGAGUUUUCUGGUGUUCUUGUAUUGGAUUUUGAUUGACUUGUGUGGAAGAGUCAUGAGUUUAAAGACAUUGGGUUUGUUCAUUGUUACUGAGAAAAAUUUAGGUCGGAUGAGCCUUGCCUGGGAUUUUCUUAUAGGGGAAAUGAAUUAUAAAUUUUUGGCUUAGCAUAUUCAAUAACCAUUAGGUCAUUAGGUUGGAUAGCGUUGGCUGUGACACAAUGGAGGAUAGGUUUUGUGGUUGCUCAGAAAGUUUCUGAUUGAAUUAUGUUUUCUAAUUCUUCAAGUUGUUGUUACUGUUGGUGUCAGUGCUAGCACACUGACAAUCAACUUCAAAUUCUGCUAUAAAUGUCAACGGGUUUUAAGUAACAAAGUGAACGAGGCAUGUAUAUGAUUUUACUUAGGCCUGUGGCAUAGGAUAACGGUCAUGUUAACGACUUAGCAAGGCUUUUUGUGCUUUUGGCCCUUGAGAUUUUUUGUCUGAUACCAGGUGGAUAUAGUCAAGUAUAAAUUAAGGCAAACGAGUGGAGAAUAGUUUAGGCUACAUGUGAACUGUAUCUUCCACAGGCAGUCACGAAGCUUCUCUUCUAUACCCUAAGGAGUAUCAAUUCACUUACUUUAUGUUCACUCCUAUCUUUAAGAAAACCGGUUUCCUGUCAGUUGCCUGUCCAUUAUUGUUGAACAUUUUGCCAUCUUUUUGUAAUUGAAUUUUCUGAUACCACUUUGGUCUUCCAUUUUCAGGUUGCGGCAUCCAUGAAAAAGGAUGUAGAUGCUCAAAUUCCAAACUACCCAAAUCUUCCCUCAAAGCUAUUAUGCCUCCUUCACAAUGUCACACUGCAUGUAUGGCUGGGCUAAUUUUAAGUGCCGUUUUGAUUUACCGAAUUUGGAAGUCCUGUGUGCUUAAAAAUUACAUUUUUGUUCAUUCAAUUCUCAGGCGGAUCCAGAAACAGACGAAGUAUAUGCCCAGAUGACACUCCAACCGGUUCCUGAGGUAAGGAUAUUCCUUAUCUGAAAUCAAUCCAUAUUUUUCUCUGCUUUUCUGCUUCUUCCAAAUCGAUAGCAGUAGUCCUGGCUUGUUAUUACUUUAGAAGAUGAGAGAUUAAAUUUGUUAAUUGAAUAUGGCUGUUUAAUAUUUUUUUUUGCCCAAUUUGACUGUCAGUUUGAUAAAGAUGCAUUGCUGAGGUCAGAUUUGUCAACAAAGGCUAAUAAGCCACAAACAGAAUUCUUUUGUAAGACUUUGACAGCCAGUGAUACAAGCACCCAUGGAGGUUUCUCUGUUCCCCGCCGUGCAGCAGAGAAGAUUUUUCCCUCUCUGGUAAUGGGAAGAAAUCCUGGUCUGUUUUCUUUGCUUAAUAAUGUAUUAUUGUUUCUUAAUUUAAACUUGAUCUGGAAGGAACAUAUUUGUCAUGUUUCCUUAGGAUUUUACAAUGCAACCACCUGCUCAAGAGCUUGUGGCCAGGGACCUGCAUGAAAAUCUAUGGACUUUUCGCCAUAUCUAUCGUGGUAUGUUCCAUUUGGUGUCUACCUUAGAUUUAUUAGUUGGAAAUAUUAGUUUCAACCGCAAAACUUGUUGGUUCUCCUUCUUAUUCUUAUUAAGUAGAGGGAGAACUAUUCUAGUUACUGACGCCUGAACUUAUUGCUCCAACCUCUUUUCUCUUAUAAUGUAGGGCAACCAAAGCGUCACUUGCUUACCACUGGAUGGAGUCUUUUUGUCAGUGGGAAGAGGCUUUUUGCUGGUGACUCGGUCUUGUUUAUUAGGUAAUGAGAUCGAGUAUGUAAUGAUUCUCUAGCUUUGGUCUUUUGUGAUAUUCUUUUCUCCCACUUUUGAGCUUCACUAGAUCUAGACUUGGGCAUCAGCACAAAAUAAUAGCAACUGCAAAGUAGAGUUUUUACUUUUUAACAUACAUUAAUAUGUUGUGGGCUUAAUAAUCCUUUUUUUACUGUUAAUUUUCAAUAUGCUUGUGUACAGGGAUGAAAAGCAGCAACUACUCUUGGGCAUUAGACGAGCUAAUAGGCAACCUACCAACUUAUCGUCAUCAGUUCUGUCAAGUGACAGCAUGCACAUUGGGAUCCUCGCUGCUGCAGCUCAUGCAGCUGCUAACAAUAGCCCAUUCGUAGUCUUUUAUAAUCCAAGGUCUAUCUUUAUAUGCCGGCAUUAAAUCUUUUGUUUCUUGGUUUACCUGUCAUCUACACUGGAAAUACUUGUUGGGUUUGUGUAUUCAGUUUCCAGAAACGUAACAGUGCAGUUUUUGAAACUUUCUGAAUUUACAUGAUAUGAGCAGGGCUAGUCCGUCUGAAUUUGUAAUCCCUUUGGCCAAGUACUACAAAGCAGUUUGCAGUAAUCAAAUAUCUCUUGGGAUGCGGUUCAGAAUGAUGUUUGAAACUGAAGAAUCAGGAACAAGAAGGUAGAAGUCCUCCCUUUGACUUUUGGAUCAUGUGAUAAAGUUAUGGUUUCUUGUUGGUCUGGGCUCUCUGGCCCUGGAAUAACAGAUGUCAGAGGUGGGGGUGCCGGAAGACAUGGUGUUCGCCCUUGUGAUUUGCCCAACCUACCUCUGACCCUUUUUUCGUCACAUAGUAUGGUUUUAAAUAAGUAUAAUCUCUACCUUGCAGAUACAUGGGUACAAUAACAGGCAUCAGUGAUCUGGAUCCUUUAAGGUGGAAGAACUCACAGUGGCGUAAUUUGCAGGUAAAAAUAAAGAAAGCUUUGUACUUUAUAAUCCCUAGUUUACUUUCAGGUACCAUAUUCAAGAUUUUUAUUCUCCCUGAUUAGGUUGGUUGGGAUGAGUCGACUGCAGGAGAGAGACGUAAUCGGGUAUCAAUUUGGGAGAUUGAACCUGUAACGGCCCCAUUUUUCAUCUGUCCUACUCCCUCAUUCUUUAGACCAAAGCGUCCUAGGCAACCUGGAAUGCCAGGUAAAAUGAUACUAGUGCUUCUGAUCUGAAUUUUGUUUCCCUCAUCUUUUCCAUCCAUUUUUUAAGUUUAUGUUUCUGGUCUUCCGUAAAAGUGAAGUAUUUGCUAUCAAGUUUAAAUGGUGGAAUUGUUUACUAUGUCACACUUGCACGAUGUGCUGCCCUCUUUUACUCUCCUUAGGAUGUAGAACAUAAUAAUUGUCCAUUUCCACUUAGCUGGGCCUGCUUAAGUUAUCCUCACUGAAAGUUGAUAUAUUGCUUGAACAAAGAGAAGUGGGAUGACAUCAGGUUUUCCGCUUAUCUUUUUGCAAAAGAGUCAACAACAUGAAGGUGCUAGAGAAUAGGUGCUUGCUUCCUAUCUUGGUCCACCUUUAACCUGCAAAAAUAUGUUCAUUCUUUUUUAAUUUUUUUUCCUUAAUAUAAUUUUAAAGUUAAUAUGUUCAUUGUUGUCUCUGAAUAAUGAAUACUAGUGCUCUAGGUAAUGACUGAAACAUUGAAUGAGUAUCCAAAAGGUGAACUUCCAGUUGAAAAAUGAUUCAAAGUAGAAGACUUCAGGUUUGGGUAGUUUCUGAUUUUGUCAUUUCUGUUGUUUCCUCCAGAUGAUGACUUGUCUGACCUAGACAGUCUAUUCAAGAGGACAAUGCCUUGGCUUGGGGAAGACUUUGGCAUGAAGGAUCCACAAGCACUCCCUGGUAUGAGCUUAGUUCAGUGGAUGAACAUGCAGCAGAAUCCCUCACUGGCUAACACAGCGCAGCCAAAUUACUUGCAUUCUUUACCUGGGUCUGUUAUGCAAAACAUUGCUGGAGCAGAUCUUUCACGCCAAUUAGGUUUGCCAGCACCUCAAGCUCCUCAGCAAAACACCCUGCAGUUUGCACAGAGACCUACCCAGCAACCGCAGCACCUUGAUCAACUGCAAAAUCUUCCAGCUUCUACAUUGAAUCCAUUAGGCUCAAUAAUUCAACCGCAACAGCAGCUGCCUGAUAUAUCUCAGCAGCCGAGACAACCUUUAAUUAAUCAAUCUUUGCCUACAUGUCAAGUGCAAGCUCAACUUCUCCAGGCACAGAAUCUUGUACAAAGUCAAAAUGUCCUUCAACAACAGCAACAGUCGAGCCAUCAGCUUCAAAGGAGCCUUUCUCAAAACUUGCAGCCUUCGCAGCCACAACAACAGCAGCAACUUAUGUGUCAGAAUUCACAGCAGAAUUUAUUGCCAUCCCAGUCCCAGGACCCUAUUAGCCAAAAGUUGAAUUUUUCUGAGAACCCAAUCCAACUUCAACUUCUACAGAAGCUCCAUCAGCAACAGCAAUCUUUGUUGGCACAGCAAUCUGCAAUGCAGCAGCCUUCUCAACUCACCCAACUUCAUGAUCAACAAAAGCCACUCCUGGAUGCACCUCCGAGCUUUUCCAGGUCGUUGACGUCCAGUCAGAUACAGGAUGUAUCCCAACCAAUCCCCACCUCUAUCCCACAGUCCCAUGUUAUCCCACAACAGAUAACAAGAACCAAUAGCCAAAAUAAUCUCCGCUUCAAUCAACGGACUCAGCAACCAAAGCUUCAGCAGCAGCAAUCUGGAGUGGUGCCUGAAGUCCAUGGGCACGUUGGACACUCACUAACUGCAACAACCAAUCAUCUCUCUGCCGCUGGCAGCAGUUUACUGACAGGGACAGCUGGUGGAGGCCCUUCUGGGAUCACUGAUGAUAUUCCUUCUUGUUCAACUUCUCCAUCCACAAAUAACUGUCCAAAUGGAGUUCAGCCAAGCAUGAAUGGCAGGACACACCGUGGUACAGCAAUGGGGGAUGAGAUUGCCCAGCCUUCUGCGGCCCUGCUAAGUUCUAGUGGCCUAGAAACCAUGUCUGCUAGUGGUAACUUAGUUAAAGAUUUGCUGCAAAAACCUGAUGUUAAGCCUUCAUUGAACGUCUCCAAGAGUCAGAACCAAGGAUUUUUUGCUCAUCAAACCUACCUUAAUGCUUCAGGAGCACAAAUGGAAUAUUUGGAUACUCAAUCUUCGGCAACUUCAGUCUGUCUUUCUCAAAAUGAUGUCCAGUUACCACAUGGAACCAAUCAAAUGUCUUUCAAUUCUCAGCCAGUGUUGUUCAGAGACACGAGUCAAGAAGUUCAGGCUGAUCCAAGAAAUAAUGUUUCUUUCGGGGCUAACAUUGACAACCAAUUUGGGAUGGCAAUGAUGCCCGAUUCUGUAUCUACAAAGGGAAUGUUGGGAUCUGGUAAGGACUUCUCAAGUAAUCUUGACGCUGGAGGUGGAAUGAUUUCCAGCUAUGAGAAUCCCAAGGAAACUCAGCCUGAGCUUUCAUCAUCAAUGGUUUCUCAGUCAUUUGGAGUACCAGAUAUGACAUUUAAUUCAAUUGAUUCAGCCAUCAAUGACGGUAACUUCAUGAAUAGAGGUCCCUGGGCUCCACCACAGUUACCUCGCAUGCGGACAUAUACCAAGGUCUGUUUUCACUGACAUAUACUUUCUUCCGCAGGGUGUUUAACUUUCUUAUGCUGAAUAGUAAGUGCUUGUGCAGGUUUAUAAACGUGGAGCUGUUGGGAGAUCAAUAGAUAUUACACGUUACUCAGGCUAUGAAGAGCUUAAACAAGAUCUAGCUCGAAGGUUUGGCAUAGAGGGGCAACUGGAGGACAGGCAAAGGAUAGGUUGGAAACUUGUGUACGUGGAUCAUGAAAAUGAUGUUCUGCUAGUUGGUGAUGACCCUUGGGAGUAAGUCUAUAAACUUGAACUAUUGAAGUUGUUAUUUUCUGUUAUUCACUACUCAUUACGUUUUGCUUCGUCUUUGCUGUGGUUAAUCAGUAUGUUGUUAGUCAUGACAAGGCUUUUGCUAGUUGAAGUAAGUCCAUGGUUAAUCAAUUUAUCCUUUCUCUUUACAAUUAAUCUGCAACUUCUGUUUGAAAUUCAAAUCCCAAGUAUUAGCUUACCGAGACUUGUUCUUUCCUGUGUUUCUGCCCUGUAAUACCAUAACUGAUUGAUCAAUUGAUUUCCAGACACCAUUGUUGAUAUGUGGUUUUCAUAUAUAUAUAUAUAUAUAUAUAUAUAUAUCCUCACAAAGACUUUCUUUGCCUUCAGGGAAUUUGUGAACUGUGUCCGCUACAUUAAGAUUCUUUCUCCUCAAGAAGUUCAGCAGAUGAGCUUGGAUGGAGAUUUUGGGAAUAGUGUCCUCCCAAAUCAAGCUUGUAGCAGCUCAGAUGGUGGGAAUGUGUAAAUUAGCCAGCUAGAGCUUUAGCAAUUCUUCUUCAUUGGUUGAAGCUUACCGUUUAAGUAGUAGAAGUUUGUUCUCUUCGAUGUGCCGGGGAAUUCGAUGCCAUGGGUAUUCCUUCUCACCUUGCUUAUGCCACGGUCUAAGUACAGCUACAUCAGGCUCAGAGGAAAGAAUUCAUGCCUUUAGUGAUUUAGCCUGUUUUUCUUGAACUUUGGACCCGGCUGCAAAGUAAUAGCUUGGAAGAUGAAGUGGCUGAGUUUGAUCUCCUUUUGCAAGAACAUCCAAGAAUUGGGAAGUAUGAAAGCUUCGAUGCAAUGGUGGAAGUUCAGAUAAGAAUCCAUUCUGGCGCUAAGUGAAGCUUUCCAGAAAAUCUUGUGAUGUCUAUCAUCAAAUUUUUCUGUCCCCUAUAUUGAAAAAUCCUCCCAUAGAGUUGUAUUGUAGAGAGUAAAAGCUUGAAAUCUGUAUGGUUUAGUCUCUUGAGUGUAUAGAUGUGUAGAUUUUUCCUAUAACCCCCCCAUUAACAAAAACUGGUAAGAAUCUCAGAAAUUCUGUGAAGAGUAGUGACAUCUUAGAGUAUUCAAUCCAUCAGCCCCUCGGUUCACAGUGGCUUCUACCAACUCUUGACCCGUUGUAUCCUUUGUACUUGAGUAAAAUCAUGCAUGAUCUGCUAAAGUCCAAAGAGAACCUCACAAAUGACAAAGCUAACAAUUCGGAAGUCAAAUGACAAUCUGUCCAAUAUUAAACUAAAGUAAAUGUUAAAAAGAACAACACACCUUUAUUUUCAAGUGGGUAUGAUAAUUUGGUGUUGUAAGGCGAAACUCAUGUUCGCAUUAGAGGUAGCUAAAAUAUCAAUGAUCAAUGGUAAAUUUACAGCAUUUUUAUGGAUCUAAAAAUAAGCUAAUAAAAGAACAAAAGAAAUAGAUAAUUGUUAACAGAUAAAAGUUGCUCACUUAGAACCUUUACAUAUGUAAUAAAAAAUAAUCAUCCCUAAUGCAACUGACAACCGUUUGAAUUGGCCAUUUUUUCAGAAAACAAGUUUUUCAAAUACAGUAUUACAGUAAUACACAAUAAUUCAAAAAAAAAAAAAAACUCAUUCAUACAAUAUAUCAAUUAUUUCAAAAAAUUUUUUAUAUACACUGCUACAAUAAAAUUUAAAAAAAACAGCUAAUCAAAAUGGAGCGUUUGGUAGAUUAUCAUUCAGAUUACUUGAGUUGAGUUCGGAGUUUCUCAUGUCUAUCGAGAUAGGUGAAUCAAGUAAUCAUCUAUAGUGUUUUGAAAAUUUUAAAACUCAUGAAUUCUUAUUGACUGUGAAAGCUUAUUAUGACUAUGAAUUUCCGCAGGAAAAUGUUCUAAUUCUUUACAUGUGAAAUGUGAUGUGGUAUCUAGUUUUUAUUUUGUUCUUAUAUCUGAAUUUAUUUUAGAUCUAGUUGUCAGAUCUGAAAAUUUUUUGGGACUCGAGCGACUGAUCUGGCGAUUGCAAGACUCAAUUAGGACCAAAAUCUCCCGAAUUGUCAACCAACAAAAGAAUACCAAGACCAACCCUCACAGUGGUCUAGUUCUUUGUGUUUUGAGACAACAGACACCCCAAGAACAAAUUCUCGAAUUUAGAGUUCUCUAUCGCUUGUUAGCAUAUCAAAAAUGCAGUGGAAGAUAUUUGACACAUAAAAGUAUGUGGGGGAGAAAAAAGGAGUUUAUUAAUCACAUCCGACUCUCAUAUUGAGGCCGACAUAAAAUCUUUGCAGAAUUACCUUCACAACGACCAAGACUCUUGAUAAUGUUUUUAUCUCACUUUUUUUCAAUUGAAUACAAUAAUAUAACAGCAAUAUAUAGCACACUAGACUAGGUAAUUAAGAAACUACCAAGACAAGAAAUUACCAAACAACUACAAUAUACCUUAAAAAGUAAACUACUAAAUUUGAUUAAAACAAGAACUUCUCAAUUAGAAAUAGGAAACAUCAGCUGUUACCAAUGAUGCCAAUUAUAGUGUAGAUUGUGUGUUUACAGUAGUGAGUGUAGAAGCAUGACACUUGUUGGAAAAAAAAAAUUUAAUUUGCAUAGAGGAUAUUAUCGUACAUUUAAAUCUGUUAGUAUAAAAAAUUAUUACAAUUAAAAUAUAAUAUAUAUUAAUCCAAUUUCUAAUAGCAAUUGAUUCUUAUUUAGGGUUAAUUCCACUUUAUCCUCUCAAACUUUGGACGAUUAUCCACUUCAAUCCCUAAACUUCAAAAUGGGACACUUAAGUCCCUAAACUUAUAAAUACCCCCAAUUAAGGAAAAUUGUUGACAGAAUCCUGAAUGCCGUUGGUGGUCGAAGUGUCCCAUUUUAUAAGUUUAGGGAUUUAAGUAUCCCAUUUUAUAAGUUUAGGGACUUAAGUGUCCCAAUUUAUAAGUUUUAGGGACUUAAGUGUCCCAUUUUGAAGUUUAGGGACUAAAGUGGGUAAUCGUCCAAAAUUUGGGGGUACAAAGUGGAAUUAACCCUCUUAUUUAUAAUAGGUACAAAUGACCAAAGUAAAAACAAAACACUAUCACAAAUUUUUGCUUAAAAUCCGAGUCUACCACUUGUUUGCCUACUUAUUGAGUCUAGAAUUAGGAUAUAAAUAUGAUGAAGGAAGAAUGAAUAUGCAUUAGCUUGAUCAUUGACUACCUGUUUUUUUUUCCCCACUCUAUUUUUUUUUUUAAGAUGUAACUUGUAACUUUUCAUAAGAGUACUUGAUCUGUCAAGGGUGAAGCAAGCCAAUAAAGAAAGUGACAGAAAAAACAUGGUCUAUAUAAUUGUUGACAAGUGAGGUAACAUCAUAGAAGAAAUGGAAAAACAGCAGCAGAAAGGUGUAGCAUUUAGGUUAGUCAACUUCUGCAGUUAGGCCUAAGAAAUUAUAUGCGACUCUUCUUCACUGAUCCCAGCUCCGUUGCCUUGGCCCUCAACAAAUGGUUCUGCAUUUUUCCAGUUGCAGUCUUUGGCAAUGGUCCAAAUACCACAGAUUUUGGAACCCAAUAUGCAGGCAUCUUUGAUCGACUGAAUUUCAUUAUAUCUUCUGCGAAGCUCUUUUGAUCAGAUUUUUCCAAGUCUCCCUUUAACGUGACAAAUGCACAAGGUGACUCACCCCAUUGCUCGUCCGGUCUUGCCACCACUGAAACUUCCAAUAUUGCAGGAUGUUGAUACAGCAUAUUCUCUACUUCAAGACUACUGAUGUUUUCACCUCCAGAUAUAAUGAUGUCCUUCGAUCUGUCCUUAAUUUCUAUGUAACCAUCUGGAUGCUUCACAGCAAGAUCACCAGAAUGAAAAUAUCCAUUUGCAAAAGCCUCUUGAUUGGCUUUGGGAUUUUUCAAAUAUCCCUUCAUCACAGCGUUACCUCUGAAAACAAUUUCUCCCAUUGUGGUUCCAUCAGCAGUAACGGGUGUCAUGCUUUUUGUGUCGACAACAUCGAGGCCUUCCAAGGCAAUGUACUGCAAACCUUGUCGAGCAUUCAAUCGCGCUUGGUUUUCAGGUGGCAGCAAAUCCCAUUCAGGUUUCCACACACAUAUGGUGGAAGGACCAUAUGUUUCUGAGAGGCCAUAAGUGUGCGUAACGCGAAAGCCUCUUUUAGACAUUGCAGAAAGAACAGAAGGGGGUGGAGCAGCGCCGGCCGUCAUUACAUGUACAAUACGAGGGAGAGGGAGGAUGGUCUCUUCUUUUCGAGCAUUCACAAUUGUAUUGAGCACCACUGGAGCAGCACAGAAAUGUGUGACGCCAAGAUUGGCUAUGGCUGAAUAGAUUGCCUUUGCUGUUACCCAUCAAGAUUAAAUCACAAAAGAUUAGUAAAAUAAAUCAGGCAACGGGUGCCUAAUUAAGCAACAGGGAACAUUACCUUAUUCUCAGCGGAGACAAGAAAAUUUAACUAUCAGAGGAAGAUACCUGUCUAAGGCAUACACUUGUUCCACACAUAGCAGCCAGUGCCCAAGUGAAACACCAGCCAUUGCAAUGGAACAUGGGAAGAGUCCAUAGAUAAACUGCCCCUUCUUUCAUUCCCCAUACAAGAGCAUUACUGAGAGCCAUCAGAUAUGCCCCUCGAUGGUGGAGCACGACUCCCUUGGGACUCGCUGUCGUGCCAGAAGUAUAACCAAGAGCAAUGCUAUGCCACUCAUCUUGUGGUGGCUUCCAUGCAAAGUUUGGGUCACCAGUUUCCAGAAUUCUCUCAUAUUCCACUGCUCCUUUUGAAAGAGCAUGUUGGAGUGACUUCGAAUCGCAGGUUUUAUCAGCAAUAACAAUAAGAAGAGGAGGCCUGAAGUUGCCUUUGCUCUUGUCAGACAAGAUUUUUAAAGCUUCCUCUGCCAGGGAGAAAAAUUCUUGGUCAACCAUUACAACAGCAGCUUCUGAAUGCCCCAGAAGAAAUGCAACAGUCUCUGCAUUUAGACGAAUAUUGACAGCAUUCAGAACAGCUCCUGCCAUUGGAACUCCAAAAUGUGCUUCGUACAUUGCCGGUACAUUUGGUGCAAUUACAGCAACCUAGUUUCAUGAAUCAGUGUAAUAUAAUCAGUGGAAGUGAUACCAUUAACUCCACACAACUGAGCUGCAAGAUACAGCAACAAUUCAAUCAACAACAACUCCGGACUUUGCACGAUUUGCUACUCCUGAAAUCAAUUCCCUAUUGAUCCUGCUUUUUAGUUCUACGUAGUCAGCUGGAAUUCAAUUCUUUUGAUCAAUCAGGCGCAAGAAAAACUAUAAUUCUUCAUUCUUUUCAGUUUGAAACUUUAGUGUACCAGUAGCAUCAUCUUUGCACCAUAAUAUAGUAUUUUGGCAAAGGAUAUGUGCCUGACUCUCAAGAAUUUGAGGCUAUUUACGUAUCACUUUACUACAUGUUACAUUAACAUCAAGAAGUGUAACGGAGUCAUGAAUUAUAGCUUUUCUUUUUGUUCCCCACUCCACAUUAUCUUGAAAACAUUAGCAAUUGAAAGUCCACCAUGUUAGUAUAAUUUUUCCAUCCCAUAUUCGUCUACAAUGUAAAUCCUAUUGCAAAAAAAAAAAAUUGUAAAUCCUCUUUGUUAUGAUACAAAUGUCAGCAUUAUUCUUUUCACAAGCUUUCGUGCUGAAAUAGUCUAAGUGGCCUACCAAUUACAAGAUAUUCAUUGUCAAGAAAGAUUUCAAACUAAGUUAAUGAGUUCAUUAACAAUAAUUGAUAAAUGCAAAUCCGAAAGUUCAAUGCAGCUAAUUUUUUUUUUCAUUGUUCUCUUAAUCCAAAAUUAUGUAAUUAACAAAAAUUGCACCUAAAAUAUAGUCAAAUGGUUUUCAAAUAUAAACACUAAGAAAGUAAAGCAAAACCAAAAAGGGAAGAGCAGAAAGGAUGGAAUUACAGUGCUACCGAAGGUGACGGAACGUUUAAUGAGAGCGGAUGCUAAUCUGCGGCAGCGCCGGUAAGUUUGGAGCCACGUGUAAUGAUCAGAGCCGUGGAUGAUAGAUGUACGGCUGGGAUGGACUAAAGCAGCUCUCGCCAGGAAGCCAAGUGGAGUAAAAGCUGUAUAGUUGGCUGCAUUCUUUGGGAGAUGGUCAAUAUCUUUCUCCUCUACACCCAUGGCUUUCUCCCUCCGGUUAGUAUGUAUAGACUAAACGACGCCGCUUGGUUGGAGAGUGUUGUAAUCGAGUCGAGUCGAGCCCGAGUAUCGCCAUACUCGAGCUCGAUGCUUGCUCGCAAUACUCGAGCUCGACUCGCAUGGGCUCGAGUCCAUGCGAGUCUUAUCGAGUUCAGUCGAGCUCGAGUUAUUAAAAUUCAUUUUCUUGAUAAUUUUUUAGCGAAAAGACAUUAUUGCCCUUUUAAAAUUUUUAUAUGAUUUGAAAUAUUUCGUAAAUUCGAUAAUUCUUUUGGGUAUAAGAGUAAUUUUAUAAUAAUAAUAUAUUAAAUAAUUAAAAUUAAAAUGCUCGAUAAGGUUCGUCGAGCCUUCGAUAUCGCUUCUGGAUGCUCGAACUCGACUCGAUAACCUUAUCGAGCUGCUCGAACUCGAUUUGACCGAGUUCGAGUCAAGCUUUUGACCGAGCAGCUCUAUUCGAUUACAUCCCUGAGAGUGAGUGGACUAGUAGUAGUGGAUCAGCAGCAGAAAAAUGCAGCUUAGUCUUGCUGUUAUAUAGGUGUUGAUGCCCAUCUUUCUUUUAAUUGAAAAUAGAUAAACAGGAUCUUGGAGAAAUGUAUGAAGACCUUUUUUUUUUUUUCUUUUUUGUUUUUUAACAUUGUAUGGAGACAUUAGGUGUCCUGAUUUUAAUGAUUUAAUGACAAGUUACUAUGUGCUUGCGAGAAAAGAUACUGCUUGCUGACAUGUCACGUGGUAUACCAUUAUCAAUUAUCGAUAAUUAAGUAAUUGUGAUGAAUUAUACUCUAUUUACUCUAAAUGAAGUGUUAUUUAUAACAAUCACUUGAUAAUAUGUUAUUAGAGAUAAUGCACGGUUUGAACAUAUACGUACUUUAUAUGAUGUAUCUAAUAUUUUUCGGUAAAUAAUAGGAAGGUAGAAGACUCUCAAGAUGGCUAUUUUUCACGCGAAACAAGUGAGAACCACUAUUAAUCCUUCUUUUAACAAAAAAUAAAAAAAUAAAAAGCUGUUUUUUUAAGGUUGGCAUGGCUAAUUUUUUUUUAAAGUUUGGCACAUGUCCACUUCUGACUCUAUCACACUUCAGAAUUUAAAAAAAAAAAAAAAAUCACAUCUAGGGGGCAGAGUAAUAUUUAUUUUGGUACUGUUAGUAGGAAUUGAAUAAGGGAGCUUGACCGCUGGACUCACAUGGCUGAUCAUUGACUCAUAUGAUGAAGAAUCAUAUGUUGACAUUUAACCAUUAGAGGAAGUAUAUAUAUAUAUAUAUAUAUAUAUUUUGUCGACACAGGGGUGUUCGGGUCAAUCCUUACGGGGCCCGACUAAUCCCCUGCGGCUUGGGUCCGGCCCCCAACUCGGCCCGAACACGUUAAGUGCGCGAAGGAAUCCAGCGAAGCGGAGACUCGAACUUGUGAUCUUAAGGUUCACUGGUGAGAGGCGCUGCCGCUGGACCAUUCACGCGGGGCUGAGGAAGUAUAUAUAUUAUGGAGGAAGUUAUUGUGUAGUCUGGCCAACGUUGAUAGCUAAAUGUUAGUGCUAUUAUUUUUGCAUUCCAAAGCUUGCUUGCAUGGUGGGGUUGUUGUGGCUAGACCCUGUAGGCAAUGGAGGUCAGCACAGAGACUGUAUGUUUAGAUAAAAGUUUGAAUUAAUUCAGAAGUGUGAUACGCUGCUGAGUUGUAUGGUACUAUGCAUAUAAAUUCCAUUUCCCACUCUCAUGGAAUUAGUUGUGUAUCAAGUACUGAAUAAGUACCCACAAUCUGAUCAAUUCAUGAAAUAUCUUGAAAUUUAUUUCAUGUUUGCUAGUGGAAAAUUGAGAAAUUUCUGCUAGACAAGCGCAUUUAUCUCUAUUAAAACGGUGCGUUGCGUUAUGAAGCGUGAAAUAUGAGAGAAGGGGUGUCAUGAUUGGAUGUUUUGAAUAAAACGACCUUUUCAUUUUUUCGUUUAUAUAUAUAUAUAUAGAGGAUAAAAUACCAAAAAACUCCUUGUGAUUUGCUAAAUGUUCAAUUGAACUCCUGUAGUUUAGAAACUUACACUAUAAUUCCCUGUGAUUUCAACUAAAUUAAAAAUUGGACGGAAAGCAUCCAAUUUAACAGUUAUAUAUGAAAUGUCAAUAUUGCCCUUAUAUAAAUGAACUUUCUACAGUUUGUCAAAUGUUCAAUUUAACUCCCUCUGAUUUGAAAAACUAUACUACAACUCCCUAUGAUUUCGACUAAAUUAAAAAUUGAAUGAAUAACACCUCACAUAUAGUAAGGGUAACAUUGACAUUUCACACACAACCGUUAGAUUGGAUGCUUUCUGUCUAAUUUUCCACUAAGUCGAAACCACGACGAGUUAAAAUGUAAGUUUUUGAAUUAAAGGGAGUUAAAUUGAACAUUUAGCAAAUCACAUGGAAUUUUUUGGCAUUUUACCAAUACAUAUAUGCUAAGGCCAAACACAAUCAUCGAAGUCAUUCAACAAUGUCAGAACCAAAAAUGCACUGUACAGUAAUCUUCCCAAAAGCCUUCAUUUUUAAUUAGACCACAUGCUAAAAUAUUUCCAAAGAACAACCACAUGCUAAGGUGGUCUAGAUGUAUCAGCCAUCCACACAUCGAAGAGGGAACACAAGACUGCAAUUAGAUUCUGAACAAGCUACAGGACUUCAAGCUUUAAUAUUAAAUAGGAAAUAAGAUAUUGACUUCAAAGUUGCAUGCGAAACUCAAAAUGAUUAAGAGGUUGAUCCAUCCAGUAAAGUGGCUAGAUUUGCUGGAUUGCCAGUUAAAAGUACAUGAGACAACCUUCUUUCAACUAACCAUUGGCUCAGGGUUAGAUGUUGACAGAAUAUCCAGCAGUGACUCGUGGGGCUCUAAUUCUUCAUGCCAAAGGGGAAGCGAGUCACCAGGAUAGAACUUUCUAGCAACUCCUUCGGAGUUAAUCUGCAGAAAAGAAGUGUAGAACAAAUGUUUUGGUAAGUCAUCAGCAAUGCAUUUAGUGUGUCAAAAGGGAAACUAAGGCUCAAGAUCUAUAUAUUCUCUUCAAAAUCAGCCAUUGAAAAAAAGCAUACUAGAAUCCAUACAUUCUCAUCAAAAUCAGCCAUGACAAAGAUCCAUUCAUUCUCAUCAAAAUCAGCCAUUGACAAAGAUCCAUACAUUCUCAUCAAACCUAGCAAGUUGCUUAUGGUUCCAGAGAACAGAAAGAACAAAUAGAGCAAAUUUAAUUUCUCAAAGAGUUGGAGUUGAAACCACUAAAGGUGUAAACCAAAAUGAAUUUAGCAUAAACAAAAUACGAAAACAAAACAAUAUCAGGCUGAAAUAAGGUACUAAAACAACAUAAAUUAGGGGCCUGAAGUAACAAAAGCACAAGAACGCCAUUAGAUUAUUCUCUCACGUAAUUCCAUCUCCAACUCCUUGUUCCGCAUAUAACAUGCCAAAUCCUAGAGACUUGGCUAUAUCCUUUUUUAAAUGAUUAUUAAAAACUAAAACCGAGUAUUCUUAAACAAAGAUGAUUAUGUUUGUCAAAAAAGUUUACACUGCAAUUUAAUAUUGGCUAAAUGUGAAGGCCCAUUGAUGACCAAAGUACGUUGAAUACAAACAUAAGUAAAGUUGACGAGAAUUAACUCACAGUCACAGUCCGAACUACACCCCCACUGGCACCAUCUCGAGCAAUGGCAAGAGAAACAGCUUUGACCACCAAUUGCUGCACACAAUCACAAACAUGAGAAAGAAAACUUAAGCACAUAUGUACAAGCCGGUAAAAUUAGGAUUUCUGACUCUAUUUCCCUGGAUGAGAAAAUCAGAGGAGCAGCAGAGAGGUUAAAUGAUAUGCUACAUUGCUAAUACGAUACAAGAAGCACAUAUCCACAUAUUUUCCAGUAAAAUAAUCUCAGCGCUCGGAAAACUGUGCUACACUUCAUAAAGAUUCCAAUGGUCCCCAAAAAAAAAAGGAAAAAAAAAGCAUUUUCAAAUAAACAAAGUUUAGAAGAAACACAAAAUAUCAGAGAAAAAACAAUUCCUAGGAAAGAAAUAUUCGGCCAUGCGCAAUUUUCAUAUAGGCAACCUUAAAAUUCAACGUCAUCUCAGAGAUACAUAAGAUGACCAAAUUUAUUAAGCCUUAAUGUUAGAUUAUUGCCAGUUCAGUCUUUUAACGACAAAGUUAUCAACAUCUACAUAGAUUUGACAAAGAACUUGAAACAAUUACAAACCUCAGCUUCUUCUUGGGUCAUCCCUUCCUUCCACGCUUGGUCAAAAAAACCAUACAAAUACGAAGAGCCCGAUCCUGCACACACAAGUCAACAACUAUCAAGUUAAAAACUAAAUUACUAGAAUUCAAAUUCACCACAUUCCUGAAAUCAAAUGCUAAAUAUAAGUAUUCUCAAAUAAGUUUUUUCCACCAAACUGAUUGGCUUGCUUAGACCAUGCACAACAAUUUUUAAGAACCGUUGAAGGUAAUAUGAUAGUUUAAGAAAUGGGACAAAGUGCUCAUGGUAUUAGUUAAUUGAAAUUUAAGGAGAUAGUGAGGAAAUCACAGCACUUCUAUCCCAACAGUUAACUGGCAGCAAAUAAUGCAGCAGGCCAGCAUGAAAGGCUAUUCUAACAUAUUGAUCGAAGCAUUAGCAGAAGAAAAAUGGCAUACCUCCAAUAGCAAAAGGCUGUUCAAUAAUUGUACCUCCAAGAGGUACUCCAUAUAUUUUACCUCCUUCAUAUUUGUCCCAUCCACCCACAAUGAGGCCAGCUUGUAGCAUGUUCUGAAAAUUUAGAAUGCAACUGAUGAACUAAUCAGCUAAAAUAGGUAUCCAUCUAUAAAAACUUCAGGCGACAAUGAAAAGCACAUAACAAGUGUGAUAUUGAAAUAAAACUCACGUGGGAAAAAGUUAAUUCUUAAUUUAAUGAAUAUGCAGAUCCAAUAUGACAGACAUAAUCAUACAUACAACAAAAUUCGAUAAACAAUAUAGAUGGUGGUGAUGACGCAGGUAAUCACACAGAAAACAGUUAAGUCUAGGUUGUCUUUGAUAUUUAGCAAGAUUCUCCAAAUCCUACUUUGAUACCUUUUCAAGAUAGUGCGCAAUACACAACAUAUGAGGAAAGGUGAUUUUUCUAAAGCCAAUAAAUAUUUAGCUUGACAGCAGAUAAAAAAGAACUGAAAAAAUAAUAAACCAGCAUCCAGACAAACCAUGGGAAAGGGGUCCCACUACUGUCAUUAUAACUUCAUUCUGAGCAGUUUUUCAAGCUAAUCAAAUAUUCUUGAAAUAAAUAAAAGAACCCAUUCUAGUUCAUGGAGUAGAAACAUAGCAGAUUCAGUAUGUUUCUUGCUUUCAUUUGUCAAAUCUUUUGAAGGUUACAUCAGAUGGCUCAAAUGCAAACAAAACUAACUAACUGUGGUUUGUCAGAUCAUCAUGACUCAUCAAACUGUAACCAAUUCAUAUACUGAUUCAUCAAAAGAUGGUACGAAUUCAGAAAAUUAAAUGGACCUUGUUAUUAUAGGCUAACAAUCUGACAAGGUUUGCAGCAACUUUAACAGUUGUAGGUUGCCCAAGUUGUAUCCUGGAUCAAUAAUAAUGCAUAAAAAUCAGAGAAUGCAUUAAAGAUUGUAAAGUGGUAAGAGGUGAAGUUGCCUCCAGAAUUCUAAAAAUACCAACUUUAAACUUCUAGAGAAAGAAAGAGACAAAUAAUAAUAAUAAUAAUAUUAUAGUUUUCAAGGCACAAACUGUUUUUGGCAAAUGUAAAGCAUUGGUUCAAUAAUUAGUACAGCUCCAGAAUAAAGGAUAAAGAAGCUUACGUGUGUUGAUGGAGAAAGUAGCGAACAUAGUCUGAGAUAGUUUGGGUAUCUGCAGCCUGAGAAAGGAGGAAUGAAAUAAACUUAAAACAAACACCAAAACAUGUAUUAAAGAAGACAUCAUGAAACUCAUUGUUUCCAAUAACACUGUGGUCUUGUUGAAUUAUAGACAUCAAGGAUAUUCCGCCUUCCAGUUUUUUAGGUUCAUCUCAAAUUGGAAUCAGAAAAUAUGCAAUGAAAAAAAGCAAUUCAGAGUUACCAAAAUGAUAUUUUUUCCCAAUGGGUAAAGACCAGUUUUAAAAGAUUGAACCCUCUUCACUGCCUAAAAUAUUAGACAUACAGCAUCAAGUUUGUAUAAUAGCAAAUAGCCAAAGCUAUAAAUGAGAAUGGGAGAAGUAAUACAUUAUUUAUGCAACUCAAACAUAUUGCCUUCACCAUUACAAGAACAUUUAAGUGAAAUUAGACAGCCAAGUGGCACUAAACCUUAAAAAGAACUAAAUCAUAAGAACAAAACCAAUCAAAGAAAACAUAAACAUAACUGCUUACUUCGAUAAAUUCAGAUGAUAAUAGCUUGUAUCAUAUUUCAAAGGUAAUGAUUCUUAAAUUCAGAAUGUUAAAACCCUAGAAUAAUCCAAACCCACAUUCAUAUAUUGCUUAAAAUACAAAACAUAACAAUGUUAUAGAGAGGGAAUUUCAAUACCGAUCCGGAGCGGCAUAAGUAGACAUUAUCAGUCAACUGAGUGAUCUUAUCAGAAGCCCUAUUUGCCACAUACAUUCCUACACCCAAAAAAUUCCCAGCAAAAGUCAGCCAAACCAACAACAUCAAUCAAAAUUAUUUAAAAAUGCAUCCCUUUAUGAACUCAAUCAGCUAGAAACUAAAAUUGGGGGCUCAAAGAUGGAAACUUGGGAAAGAUUACCGGUGCUGGUGCGAGAAUCGGCGCCGAGGACAACGCCGCCGUUGUAGGUAACGCCGAUUAUGGUGGUCCCCGUCGAAAGAGGUGAAUUGAGAUCGCCUGAGUUCAGGUCCAUGGUAUCGUUGAUGGGGAAGAAGAAGACGAUUUCUAGAGCUUCAGUGGUAUCGUCAAUGGGGAAGAGGGUUUCUUCAGCUUCACUUCAAAAUUUUAGAAGACGCCAGCAUCAGCUUUAUUUAUGACCACGGCAGAAGUUGCUUGGGCGAUGGGUAGGCUUGCCCAAUUGGGUUCAUUGGCUUGAGCCCGGCUCGCUCGAAGCCCGGUUAUUAUUUCUAUUGGGUUCGGGUUGAGAUUGUUCGUAUGGAUUAGCAUUUUUUUCCCAUAACUGUUUUAUUUUUGGAGUACAUGUUUUAUUUUUGGAGUACAAUAACAACUCCAAAAAUACACGUACAAUUUUAAAUACAACUUAUAAAAAUAAAAAUAAAAAAUAAUAAGAAAUUAUCAAAUUUUAAAACAUUUUCUUCUUUCACCUACCACCACCACCAUUAUCACUAUCUCUCAUUUUCUUCUCCUCCAUCUACACCACCAUCCAUUUCCUCCCUCGUAAUUUAAAAGAUACCUUAUUAAAAUUUUAAAUUCUAAAAAUGCCUCAUAAUACAUCCUCAAAAACAUUCCAAAAAAUACCCUUAGAUACACUCUCACAAAUAUCUAACCAUCUAAAAUUUUUGAAAACACCCUCUAAAACAACUCCAAAAAUACCAAUCCAUACAAAAACAAAAACAAAAAAAAAAUUUACCACAUUUUCUUCUUCCACCACACAUCUCCACCUAGCACAUAACAUUACCGACCGCUGUCAUCACCAUUAUCCACUCCCCUCUCUCUCUUUAUUCUUCUCUCUAUCCUCUUCCUUCUUCUCCUUCCUCCUCCCCCCUCCCUUCCCUUUCAUUCCCUUUCCCUGUAUUAGUAGCCUCCUUCUUCUCUCUCCUUUCGAUCGUGACUAGAAGGCCUGGUCGCCGUCGAUCACAACUAGAUUUGAAUUUGAUUAUGACUAGUUAUUAGGGGUGUGAAUCGAAAUCGAAAUCGGUAAUUCGGAACUUUGAAAUCGGAAUUUUUCGAAAUUUUGGUAUCAGAAUUUUCGAUCGAUUUCGAUUUCGAAUUCACCAAUUCCGAAUUCAAUUCGGAAUUCGGUAAAUUCCGAUUUCACCGAAUUCAUGAAUAUAAAAAUUGUUAUUUUUAUAUAAAUAUUAUAUUACAUAUAUAUAAAAAAAAUAUUAUAUAUGUGUGAAAACGAAAUUGAAAUCGAAAUAGGAAUUUCGAUUUCACCGAAUUCAUGAAUAUAAAAAUUAUUGUUAUAAUAUAAAUGUUAUAUUAUAUUAUAUAUAUAUAUGAAAAACAGAUUUGAAAUAAAAAUAGGAAUUCCGAAUUCAAUUUCGAUUUCGAUUUUGAAUUGUGAAUUUGAAAUCGGAAUUUUCGGUUUGAAAAAUCUCAUUACCGAAUUCGACCAAUUCGAAAUCGGAUAUUCCGAUUUCCAUUCCAAAUUACCGAAUUACUGAAUUCGAAAUUUCGAAUUCAAUUCAAAUUCGGUCAGUAAAUCGGAAUUUUUCGAUUUUGCACACCCCUACUAGUCAUGGAAAAAGAUGGGGAAGGGAAAGAAGGGGAGGAGGAGGAGAACAAAGCAGAGGAAGGGAGAAAAAGAGGGAAAGAGAGGAAUGAUGAAGGAGGAGGAGGGACGAGACGGUAACGGUGGAUGGCAAUGGGUGAUGUUAGAGAGUGGUGUGAAUUUUAAAAAAUAUCCAAAAAAAAGUUUUGAAUUAUAAAAAUACCUCAAAAUAUAUCCCGAAAGCACCCUUAAAAACAUCAUAAUACAUUUAAAGUGAAAGUGUUUUAGAUAUUAUAUUAUAGUAAGAUUUUUGAAAAAUAUCCCUAAAAAUAACUAAUAUAAACGGAGCUCUAAUCCAUAAGGAUAUGAUAUUUCUUUUUCAAAAACAAUAGGAGAUUUUGUUAAUGACAAAAUUAUAAUACACUUAAUGAACAAGGGCUCAAUGUGAGCUAUACAAAAAUUUACUAAUGGUGCAUUUGAUAAAAUUAAAGUCUGAAAACUAAAGUUUGAAAUCUAAAAUUCGAAAUCUGAAUCUAUUAAAUUAUUGAAUUGUUAAGUAUUAAAUCUAAUACAUGUGGGUGUAUAUCACAUUCAGUGAUAAGUGAAUAGAUUAUCACUUAAUUUUGGAAGCACGUUUUGCCUAGAAAAUUCAGUGCCACUUAAUUAAUUUAAAUGUUUAAUUUUUUUAUUAUCAAACGGUCUGAAUAUAUUAAGAUUUGAAUCCAUUAUAUUUAAAUACUGAACUAGGUUGUCAUAUAGGGCUUAAGACACUAAGGAUUUAGGAAUUCCUCACCAAAAGUUGUGCUUUAAGCAACUUUGCUCAAUUUUUUACGUAGUCUAUUCUAUUCAAUAAUUGGACAAUCAAAUGAGUAUUUUUUAAACAUUUAGCUAAAAUCCUUGAUGUCCUCUAGGUGUGCAGAAAUUCUAAUGUCGCUUGAGGAUAGUUUGCUGAUUAGACUUAGGAUUUGGUUGUAAGAUGUGUGGACUUUGACACUCUCCCAUCCUUGAUCCUUGACCUUACUAAAGGCCAAUUUAAUGGCCUAUAAUUAGUCCAGAAUCAUGGAAUCGGUACUUCUUUCCCUUAGUUUCCAUGUCGCUUGCAACUGGUUUUGGUUGUUUUCAGCAGAAAUUCCAAUCCCUAUGUUUUAACCUUCCUUGUGUUGCCCUAUUUCCACACAUAUUUUUAGUGUAUUUUCUUCUUUUGCAAACCUUUGUUCUUGUUCAGAAGCUACUUCUAUUUCUGAAAUACUCAUCUUUGUUGGUGUGUAUUAUGUUUGUUUAUAUUCCUCCCAAUCAUUCACUACUUUUUUGUAUUACUUCCAUAGGGUGUCUCUCUUUAUCUUUGAACUCCCUAUCAUUUCUAACCCUUCCAUAUCUACCACAAUAUAUCCACUGUCAAAGCAAUGUGCUCCAUGCCAUCCUUUCUUCUCUUUGCUUGCAUUAGUCUUGUCCACUAGCUCUUGAAGUUACCUAUGUGUGCAUAUAACCCAUCCCAUUGAAGGGGGCCAUUUUCCAUAUCACUCUUGCCUUUUUACAUUGAAAGAAAAGAUGUUUCAGUGUCUUAGCCUCCUCACCACAAUUCUUGCAAAUCAGUUCUCUAUUUCUGGUUCUUGUGAAAAUAGUUUUUCUAACUAGUAGGACUUGAUUUAGGCAUUUCCAAAUGAACAGUUUCUGCUUAUGCUUGAUUUUCAUUUUUCAUAACUAUUUCCAUGCCCUUUUCUUUCUCUCUUGCAUAGCUUGUCUCUCUCUCUCUCGCUCUCUCUCAUUGUUGGCCCUUCUUUCUUGUUGUUUUUUCUCACUAGUCAUUGCUUCAUAUGCUGAUCUAACUGUAUACUACCCUGUACUGCUAUGGCUCCAAAAGUAGCUGUUUGGCCUUCCUGCUAGGAUUAUAAGUAUUUUAAGGAUUUUUCCUGCUUCUUCUGAGCAAAAGAUCUUGAAAAUGAGUAUUAUGUUCCAUCUGAAAUCAGUUCUUCGACUUUGUUUAGCUUGCAAUCACGUGGGUUAGGUUAAUUUAAUUUUCCACCCCUGCAAUCUUCCCAAAUUCUUGUACGUCUUCCAUUUCCAAAUUUUUUUUUGGCACUCUUAUUUACCUCUUCUCUUGCUCCCAUUAAACUUUGCCAUAUCCAAGAUGCAUUAUUCUUCUCUUUGCAGUUUAGAAUUGAUUCUUUGGGAUAGUACUUUGCUUUCAUGACUUUACUCACCAACAGAUUUGGACGUGUUAGUACUCUUCAUAUUGUUUGCCAAGCAAUGCCUUGUUGAAUCUUUGAAAAUUCCUAAAUCCUAGUAUUGCAUUAUACUUCUCUAUUGUUAACCUUUUUCAAAGUACCAAUGAAUUUUUCCUUUUCAUUCUCUUCCUCCCACUAGAAAUUUGCCAUCAAUGCACUCAUUUUUCUGCACAGUUUUACAAGAAGCUCGAAACAUGACACUGCAUACAUAGUAGUGUCAUUUUGCUUUUUCAAAGCAAAAAAAGGGUUAAUUACAUUUACCUCCCAUGAGCUUUGAUCAAAUAACGAAUCGAUCCCUGAGAUUUGACCAAAUAACAAAAAGGUCCCUCAAAUUAAAAGAUGUAUAACAGAUACACCCCCUCCGUUAGUCUGUUGCCGUUGACCAUUAGGGUUAAUUACAUUUACCUCCCCUGAGAUUUGAUCAAAUAACGAAUCGAUCCCUGAAAUUUGAUCAAAUAACAGAUUCCUCCCCCAAACUAACUUAUGUCACUUAUACGUAACGGAAAUAGUUAAAAGUUUGAAUAACCCUUAUUGAUUUCCAUCAAAUUUUUAGGGGUUAAUUACAUUGUGUAGAAAAGCCUUUUGCUGGUAUGGUUUUACAAUGAGUUACUAAUAAAUAGAGUAAAAUGCCAAUAGAAAGCUAGUACUUCGUUUAUAUAAUAUAGGAAAAUUAUAAGGAACUGGUACAUUAUGGAAAGAAAAAAUGCGUACUACGUUUUCAACCCUUUUAUUCGUUGGAAAUUUUAAUUUUACUUUAUCUUUUAAAUAAAUUAUUUUUUGAAAAAAUUGGUACUUUGUUCAUAUAAUUGGGAAAAGUCGUAAAGCACUGGUAUUUUAUGGGAUAAUGGGUAUUACCCCAUGUAACCCAAAAUUUGUCACACUAUUUCACCAAGUUACAAAAUACGUGUAUGACAAAUUUUGCAUUACAAGGUCUACCAGAAUUUACUCUGAUUUUAUCUGUUAAAUAAAUUAAUAAUUUGUUGGAUUCAAAAUUUUAUCGGUUAACCAAAAUUUUUUUUCUGAAAACAUAAAAAUCGAUAGGUCAAAAAAUUGAUGGAAAUCAAUAAGGGUUAUUCAGACUUUUGGCUAUUUCCGUUACAUAUAAGUGACAGAAGUUAGUAUGGGAGAGGAAUUUGUUAUUUGGUCAAAUCUUAGGGAUCGAUUCGUUAUUUGAUCAAAUCUCAGGGGAGGUAAAUGUAAUUAACCCAUAAUUUUAACAGUCAACGGCAACAGACUAACGGGAGGGGUGUAUUUGUUAUACAUCUUUCAAUUUGAGGGACCUUUUGUUAUUUGAUCAAAUCUCGGGGAUCGAUUCGUUAUUUGGUCAAAUUUCAGGGGAGGUAAAUGUAAUUAACCACAAAAAAAAGAGUUAACGGGCCUACAAAUGAGCCGGGCCUAUGCCCCAUAUACGAGGCUAGAUAACUGAAGCCCAAGUACAAACUCAAGCCCAAGCAGCCCAAUCCUAAAGCGUGUAGCUUUGGACCACUGGUCUUAACUCUGAACUCUUAAACCUGAGAGGUAAUUUCUUACCACGCCAGCUUUCCCAGUUCCCACCAGCAAGAGCUCCGGCCCGGACAGCUCUCUACCUCUCCUUCUCCCUCCACGAAAUUUCAAAAAGUUUCCGGCCACCGGCGGCCUUGUUCGACUCCAUUUAUCAAAGGUAAGAUUAAUUUCCCGAAAAUUUGAAGAAAUUGCCCUUUUUCCCGUUAUUUUCUGCUCUUGCUUAUAUCUUUUGCUGCAUUUACCUUUUGAUUCUGCAUAAUGUUUCCUUUUGCCGCCAUUGAAAUCUGUACAUGCAUGCGAACAAAGCAUAAUAAUGAACUAAACAUUACUUCUUUUCGAUUUCUCAGUCGAAUAAACAUAGGAAUUUCAGCUUGGAAGUUGCAUAUAUUGAAUAUUGACACGUGUGUGUGUGUGUGUCUGUGUUUUGUGUUUCGUUGUGCUUAGGGCUUUUAUGUGGUUAAACGAGAUUGUAAACUGAAUUGAAGAAUGUGUAUUAUGCGGUAAUGCCCUAACAUUGGCAAGGUUUUACUUUUCGUAGAAUUUUUAUUUGUUUUGUCCACGUUGAAGUAAAAACCCUAGCUUUAGUUGCUAAUAUUUUGAUGUGUAAGGAGAGAGAAAGAAAGGAGCAGAAAUGCUUGUUAGAGUUUGUUUUAAGAUUUUUUUAUCUUUUUUCUUUCUCCCUGGUUUUGGGUGCAGAAUAUCGGAGUGUAUUAAGGGUUUCUAUUAGAAGCUGUAGCAGUUAGGAAUGGAGGGGACUCCGAAUAGUGGGAAACGUAAACAGCGUGAAGAAGAUUUAGAAAAUGACGAGAAUUUGAAGCAGGAUUCUGCGUCAAAAAGGCGUACUUUGUCUAGGACAUGUGUCCAUGAGGUGGCUGUUCCGAGUGGGUAUAGUUUGAGUAAAAAUGAGUCGAUUCAUGGGACGCUUUCGAAUCCUUUUUAUAAUGGGGAGAUGGCUAAGACAUAUCCAUUUAAGCUUGAUCCCUUUCAGGAAGUUUCUGUGGCGUGUUUGGAGCGGAAUGAGUCUGUUUUGGUGUCGGCACAUACUUCUGCUGGGAAAACUGCUGUUGCUGAGUAUGCAAUUGCAAUGGCUUUUAGGGAUAAGCAGAGGGUUAUUUAUACUUCUCCUCUCAAAGCCCUGAGCAAUCAGAAGUACAGAGAGUUGAACCAGGAGUUUUCAGAUGUUGGAUUGAUGACAGGUGAUGUAACACUCUCGCCGAAUGCAAGUUGUCUGGUGAUGACAACCGAGAUUCUGAGGGGCAUGCUUUACAGAGGUUCUGAGGUUUUAAAAGAAGUUGCCUGGGUUAUAUUUGAUGAGAUUCAUUACAUGAAGGACCGUGAAAGAGGGGUUGUUUGGGAGGAAAGUAUAAUAUUUCUACCUCCUGCUAUCAAGAUGGUUUUCUUGUCAGCUACAAUGUCAAAUGCUACGGAGUUUGCGGAGUGGAUAUGUAAUAUACACAAACAACCCUGUCAUGUGGUUUAUACAGAUUUCCGACCAACACCUUUGCAACAUUAUGUGUUCCCUAUGGGCGGAUCUGGCCUUUAUCUUGUUGUGGAUGAGAAUGAGCAAUUCAGGGAGGAUAAUUUUGUGAAGUUGCAAGAUACAUUUACAAAGCAGAAGCUGGGAGAUGGCAACAAAAGUGUGAAUUCCAAAGGAAGUGGCAGAAUUGCAAAAGCUGGAAAUGCUUCUGGUGGUACUGAUAUUUACAAGAUUGUCAAGGUCCAAUUGCACUGUAUUAUUUACUUUUGUAUCCUGUUUCUCUACUGAUAUUCCACUUUGCACUUGGGAUUUCAAUUCUGAACUACAACGUCUAUUGACUAUGUAGCUACUUUUAACUUCUGUACAAUCAAAUCGCUAAUCGCAACUUAAAUUGUUAAUUUUUAUCUUAUCCUUCCCCGUUAGUUCUUAUCUGAAAUUCUGUGUGUAGGCUUCCUUUUUUCUCCUUCCUUGUAUUGGUGAUAUGUUUUAUAAAAGCUCUGAAAUCCAAAUGUUGAUUAUAUUUCAGAUGAUUAUGGAACGUAAAUUUCAGCCAGUAAUAAUUUUUAGCUUCAGUAGAAGAGAAUGUGAACAACAUGCAAUGUCCAUGUCCAAACUUGAUUUUAACACCCAGGACGAGAAAGAUGUGGUUGAGCAAGUUUUCCGAAAUGCGGUGCUCUGCUUGAAUGAGGAAGAUAGAAGCUUACCAGCAAUUGAACUGAUGUUACCACUGCUUCAAAGGGGAAUUGCUGUUCACCAUUCUGGCCUACUCCCAAUUAUCAAAGAAUUGGUGGAACUCCUCUUCCAAGAGGGACUUGUUAAGGCUCUCUUUGCCACUGAGACGGUAACAUUGUAACUGAAAAGUAAUUUGGCUUUUUUUAAUUUAAUGUAUCCCCAAUUUCACCUUGUUUACUUCCAAAAGUAGAAGGUGAGAGCCCUUCAGCUGAGGAUCUUAUCUCAUUAUUUUGAUGUUAAAAAAGCUGCUUUGAAAAAAUAUUCAUUUGGAAAAACUUUUGAAAAUUCAAAUGGCGUUUUUGUCUUAGAAGUUUUGGACAGUAAACACUUUUUUUUACAAAAGUCUGUAGCUUAAAACAAGCUAAAAGCAUGAGACGACGGCAAAAACAGAUACCUUAUAGAGCUUCAAUUAGUUGAUUUAAGUGAAUACAGAAGCAUGUCACAAGAUAAUAGUAAUUGUUAGAUUGCUAUCUUAUAGUUUGCAAUGGGAUUAAACAUGCCGGCAAAAACUGUGGUGUUUACGAGUGUCAAAAAAUGGGAUGGUGAUAGUCAUCGGUUCAUUGGUUCUGGUGAGUAUAUCCAGGUGAGUAAGUGCCAUAUCAUUCUAUCAUAAAUUCACUGUGUUUCCUUUCAGCAUUUGAUCUCAGAAAUUUCAUUGGGUUUUCAUCAGAUGAGUGGAAGAGCUGGUCGACGUGGCAAAGAUGAGCGAGGAAUCUGCAUUAUAAUGAUUGAUGAGCAGGUGGUUAACUAACUAGAUUAUACUUAUGAUAGUGUGUUAUUUUCAAAGAGAGCUAAUUCAAGUUCAUAGUAUGCAUUUCAUGGGCUCUGGAUUGUCUUUCCUCAAGAUCCUGCUUUUCCUUUCAUUUUUCUUUUCUUGCUGGCUAUUGGUUAUUUCCCGUUAGUCUUACUUUACUAAUUAGAGCAGUCAAGUGUGCAUUGAAGUGAAUCAUUCUUUGUUCUUUAUUCUUUUUACAAAUGUUUCCAAAAUGUAGAACUUCAAAUAUUUGUGGUGACUGGUGCAUGUUUUGGUCUGGAUUCUAGAUGGAGAUGAAUACUCUUAAGGACAUGGUUUUGGGCAAACCAGCCCCACUGGUCAGCACUUUCAGGCUUAGCUACUACUCUAUCUUGAACUUGAUGAGUCAGGCUGAGGGACAAUUUACAGCUGAGCAUGUGAUCAAGAAUUCAUUUCACCAAUUUCAGUAUGAAAAGGUUUGCAUCUUGAUUAUAAGUUGUUAACUUCCAACAGAAAGAAGGAAUAUUGUUUACAAUUUACUUAGCACACUUUACAAUUUCUAAACCUUAUUUGCCCCUUUUUAGGCUUUACCUGAUAUAGGAAAAAAGGUAUCUAAGUUGGAAGAGGAAGCUGCAAAGCUUGAUGCCUCAGGGGAGGUAUACAAUUUUGCUAAUGUGCUAUCAUUUUAUGUUCUUUCUGAUCCACAUUAGCUCCUGAUAUCGUUUUUGUAUCUAUUUUUAGGCUGAAGUUGCUGAAUAUCAUAAACUAAAGCUGGAGAUAGCGCACCAUGAAAAGAAAUUGAUGGCUGAAAUAACACAACCUGAAAGAAUUCUUUAUUUCCUGCAGCCUGGAAGGCUGGUAUGUUGUGAAACGUUCUUCUUAUCAAGAACUCUUUAACAGUUCAAAAUUGGUUUCAAUAGAAGUUUGUUUUCUUGAUGUUAAUCUUCAAUUUUCAGUUAGAAUGUUCUGGGUACUCUGGUUGCAUAUAUCAUGGUUGAAGUUGUGUUUAUUUUUGUAUUUUCAUUAGAAAUUUAUAAUCCUAAAACUGGAUAUGUGGUGGUCGAAAAACCCUCUGUCAAGGAGUUGCAACGUAUCCUGUGAUUUUCUAUAAUAGUGAACAUAGAUUAUGACUGAUAUAAUGCAGUUUCUGAAUAGAAUAACAAUUAAAUUUACGACUCUACUUUCAGAUUUUGGGGAAAAAGGGCUACUUUUAUUGGAAAAUGGAGUUGUAUAGGUUACUUCCUGGAAGGUGUUCAAGGAUGUUCUUUAGAACUUCUUCAAUUUUGUUCUAACACGUUACCAUGAAUUGCGGAAGGGCUGAGUCUGAAACUUAAUUACAGAUUGAGUUGAGAAAUUCUAAAUUAUUCUGAUUUUAGCUGAAUUUCCUCGAGGAUUAAUUUUUCUCGAACAGCUUAAGUAAGCUAGGAAGCAUGGACACUUGUAGAAGUUUGAUGUGCAUCUAUCUAGGCAUGAGGUGGCAUGACUUAGAAGCAUAAAAGCAUUCCCCUAUUUUGUUGAUUGCCAACAGGCUAUGGGAUGGAGGAUGUCAUAGGACAAAUGCUGCAAAAGGAAUACCUUUAAAUAUGUGAAAUAAGCUCAUCAUUAAACUUAAUGUGCACAUUCACCUAUUACCCACAUUUUCUCUACGCUGCUGACUAAGUGCACAAACUUUUGUCAAAACGUGUGCUUCAUGUGUUUUUGAGUUUUGAAGCUUUUGUUAUAGAAGUUACUUUGAGAAAGUGCUCUCUUCAUGGGAAUAAAAUAGGGAAAAAUGUUCAUCACAUUUUCACCAUUUUGAUUUUUAGAUUUUUUUUUUAAAUGAUUAAAUGCACAUGUGAUGAACAUGGUAGAAAGUUGCCAUACAGAGGAGGAACAUGAAGCCACAUUUCUUAGUGGCUACAUGUUGCCUAAUGGGGAAAAAAUGAUCUAAGGUUCCUUUUGUAAGUUUUUUUUUUUUUGAGUUCCUUUUGUAUGUUAGUUUACUACCACCUCAUGUCACAUUGAAGUAACCAACUUUUGAAUGUCAAUGUGUAUUAGAUAUGGUAUUGCUAGAUACAAGAAGCUGCGUGCACCUUUUGCUUAUUUUCUAGAUUCAUUCUGAGAAUCAGAUUCCCCUGCAUUGGCUAAAGAAGCUUAUUAGGGGAAAUAGUCAAUUCUUGUUCUUUGAACCAAUCCUACUCUGAUAAUGAGAUGCUCAUAUUGGAGUUUUGAUUUCAUUUAGUAUUUCAAUUUCAUUUAAGAAACCUGCUCCCAUACUUAUAUGAAAUAUUAUUAGGGCCAUUGCAACAUCUUCAUAUUCUAGUUUGGAAUGCAGAACAUGUUAAAUAAACUCAUAUAGUAAUUUUUUGAUAUGCCAUCGAUAUGUUUUUAUGUAUGUUUACCCUAUGAAUAAAAAAUUUGUUCCCAAACUACUAAGAUUGUGUAUCAAAGUCUCAAAAAGAUCGAAUAGAUUGGAUAUAGGCUUGGAAUACUGUUUCCUGUAUCAAACAUUUUUAGGAUGAAUAGUCACAAUCUGACUUAAUGCAAAUAACACUGAAGAAGUCAUAGAUACUUGUUUCAUAAUUUAUUUUCUCUGUUUCUCCCUCUAUUUCCAAAUGGAUCGCUUUCAUAUUAAAUAAUGCUUCAUAAAAUGUAAAUCUUCUGGAUAUGUACUGAUUUUGUAAAUUAUUUGUCACACAGUCUUCGAUAGUUUGAUUUAAACAAACUUUUGUUUUCUUUUAGAUGUAGGAUGUAGAGGAAAUAUUUGUUAAGAUGAUGAAUCCUUAGCAUUUUAGAACACCAACUUUGAUGCUUAUUUGAGUUUCACUUUGAUUUUUUUUCUGCCAAGUUAAAUACAGAAAGGUUAUAUUGUUUGGAGUUCAAUCUUGAAUUGUGGAAUUGAUUCUUUCUGCCCCAUUCAGUUCCUCUAGUGGUUCUUCCUUCCCACUUCCCCUUCCUUAAACAUACAAAAGAGUUUCAAAAAAAGAUCUGAAAUUAGGACUUAUGAGUAUUGUUCAAUAUGCAUGUUCAGUGCCAAGGUUCAUUUUAGUUGAUUUGCUUUUACUUAGGUGAUUAAAAGUAGGCAUUUGAUCAUUUAGUGAUAUUCAACAUGUGCUCAAGUUGAUUGUUUCAUUUUGGGUAAAUAUGAAUUGUAUUACUGUGUUGUGUCUUUAUCAUGCUUCAGUCAUUGAAUGAGGUAACUAAAAGAAACAGACUUCCAUGGAGGUCGAUGGGCUUAGUGGCAGCUAGAUCAUGUUAAGUGUUGUUUUGUGAUUGCAUAUGCUGAGAGGAACUGCUGUUAGAGGCACUUGAGCAUUCAUAUUUUGGGUGACCGUAUGUUACUGAAUUCAAAUUGGCUUGAAAAAAUAGGUGAAUUUUAUAUUGGCUAGUUGAGGAAAUACUGCAAACUUCAAUUGACAUAAGAGCUUCUCCAUUUGGGGGUAGGGAUGAGUUGGUCAUGACGGACUUUGAAGAGAACCAGGGUUCCUCCUUUUUUCCACCCUGAAUUUGAAGGUUUUUUUUUAACUAAAUUUGUGCUCCAUAUCAUUUUAAGAUUAUUCUGCAUGUUGUUACAUGUACAGAUGCAUUGUGAUGUGUUCUUUAUCUUAACAGAGACUUUUGUGAUCUCUUUACCUCAAGAUAUACCCAGAUAUCGAAGCUUAACUUAUAUUCCAAUCAAAAUGUUCCUAUUCCAGUUAUUGUCAACUUCUCCUUUGAAGUAUGUGCAUAUUGUUGCAUGGUAGAAAUUAGUCAGAUCCAUUAUCUAUUAGGGGAAGUUCCAUAUGCUAACAGCAAUUUUAGGAGCAAACUAUGUAUUUAUUGAUGUAAAAUUGCUUGUGACAGAGUUUAAGUGUAUCCCCUUUGGGUAUGCUCUUUAAUAUGCUUUCCAAGGUUUACCUGUCGAAAAGUAAUAUCGAGCUUGCCAUUAGAGGGGAUGUGCUCCUUUAUCUUGGGUAGUGAUGCUAGCUUUUACUGGAUAUAAUCUCUUCUCGCAAUGCAUCUGUUCUUUACCGAACUGUGUUAGUGCUUGUGUGUGUUCUUUGCUGCUUGUAUGGCAAAUAGGGAUAUUGCUUUGAUCUCCCUUGCUCUAGGUUCUGUCCUCAUUCUUCAUGAAGGUGGUCUACUUAACUCUCUGUGAUGACUAACAUGAAGUUCUGCUAUUGUUAGUUUAGAUAUUUGGUUUAGAUUAGUACAAAGCAAUAGGAGUAUACCUAUUAAUAUGUGUACAAAGCAAAGACAGCACUUUUUUAAAGUGAAAUUUGGAAGUUUUGAUUGUGAGGACACUUCUUUUGUUACUAUUGUUAUUUGUUUUCGUAGUGGGGGUUGUUUAUUAGGAAUUGGAGUUAAGAAUGAAGUGGACAUGUUACCAAGUAUCUAAAACCAAUAGUCUGUAUUGGAGCUUUUUGUCAGGUCAGCAUUGGGUGUUUAGGUAAACCACCUUCAUGAAGAGACAAAAGGAAAAUGAUGGGAGACCAGAUAAUGUAGACAAGGGCCUCAUUGCCAUCUGCUGUAAAGAACAAAAUUGUUUUUCACCAAUUGCUAUCAUGGUAUGGGGUAAAGGGGAUGUCUUGCAGAAUGAAAUAGAAUCAAUAGAAAGGAUCAUUACUGUAAUUAUCACACUCUUCUUUUUUCUCUAUUUUUGGGAUUGGGGGAUGACUUAAGUAGGAUUAGCAACACUUUUUGUCCUACAGGAUGCUCUUGGAAGUGGUUUUGAGUAGAUUCUGGAAAUAUGUGAUGCACUUUUCAAACCUUUUCGUGACAAAUUUCUAGCAACUAAUCAUUUGGAUUAGCUGUUUUGGGGGGUGUUUUUGAAAAACUUUGCUGUAGCAGAGUUUUUAGAGUAUAUUUUGGAAUAUUUUUAGAAAAUAUUUUGGGAUAUUUAAGAGUAGAAGAGCUUCUAGAAUAUAUUUUGAAAUAUUUUUUAAAAUUUUAAAAAAAUUUAAAAUAAUUUGUAGAUUACCUUUUAGAGUAUUUUUUAAAAUUUUUUAUUGUAUUUGAAAAACUAGUUUUUGAAAAACACUCCAAAGACAGGGGGCCUAUACUUUUGAUUAUUUUUACGGAUACUAAAACUCUUAGGACCUUGAAUAAUUACCUACCAGUGAUCUAAAGGAACUAUUAACUUUGCAGAAUUCUUGGUAGUAAAGUCCAGAAUUGAUGUAUCUUUCAAAAGUAUAUUUAUCUUUUUCCUACACAUCAAAAGCUGGGGCUAUACCCAUACUGAGUUAGAAAUGUCUGAAGCUAGUCUUGAAAGGCAAGAAAUAAGGAGAGGCAGAAACAUAGUUACAUACCUUGUGGGUUAGUUUACGCAGCCUCACGGUCAAGCCAGUUAUUGGAGAUUGAGAACAUUUACUGUGGCGAAUAAUUUAAUCUUGACAGCUAUUAUUGGAGAUCUUUGUUCUUUUGGUAUCUUUUCUUUCAAUCAUAGGAUCUUAAAGCGGAAAUACAUUGGACUAUGAAUUAACAGAUAAUUUAACAUUUAGUAAGUGCACUGCUGGUGGAAGUUAAAUGUGAGACUCUGCAUCAUAUUAACAUUCUUGUCAAUAAACAAGGUGCCCUUGGCCGCUGUUGGACCUCUUUGUGCAAUUGUUUGAGAUGAAGACAUGGUAGCUGAAAGUAUUGUAGGUGAGUUCCUCUGCAUUUCAUGGAUAGCCGGUCAUGUGGAUCUGAUCUGUGGUCUUUAUCUUACCAAUAGACCUUCUGUUUUAUCUUUAGAGGAUAUCAGCUAUAGGUCUGUUUUUUCUGCAGGGGCUUAGGUUGUCUUCUUGAUCAAGUAGAUGUGGGACCAAGACCUAGAGUUGUUCGACAAUUUGUGCUGUAACGCUCUAUGUCAAAGUUUUCCUUAAAUCAAGUUCUAUGUUAGAGUCUACAUAAAUUUACAGCUCAUGGGCAAAUUAGCAAAUUAUUUCCUGGCAAAAAAUAUAUGAAUUUUCAUGCUAAAAUUUUUUAUGAUGCAGGACAAAGGGCGACUUUUCCUAAGAGUACAUAGUAGGCAAAAUUUAGGUUUUGGCAGGGUUCCACCGAUGGAGUGCCUGGUUAAAUUUUUGAAUGCAACGUGUUUAACUACCUUUUAAGACACAGAUUGAAGUUCGAUCCGAAAAAAUUAUUAUAGCCCUCUAUAACAGUUGCCACACUUGAUAAUGACUCAUUCAUGUAGGAUGGUGGGAGAAAUAUUCACAUGAUUACGAUAAUAACAUCUCAGAAAUCUCCAUGGGUUAUUACUUUUAUGCUUUAGCUGCAAUUGAAGAAAUAUCUCAGGAUAAUUGCUCAAUCUAUACUGCAGCAGAAGAUUUACGUUAUUUUCUAUAGCAAAAGUGACCUAGAGAAUAUUUGUAUUGUGACAGAUACUUGGACUUUUACGUCAAAAGGAGGACUGAUGACUCUUAUAGAAGACACUUGGAGGUCUUUCUCUGAAAAUUACCAUGGCUUCCUUUCUAUUAUCUGAAAGACCAAAACGUGCUCGACUCCUAUAGCUUAAGUAAUCCAGCUCAAUAUUAAAGUUAAUUUGAAAUAAGCUGGAGAAGAUACCUAAAUUGUUGUUGUUGAGAAUUGGAAAUACCCAUAUUACAAGGCAUUAAGUGGAUGCAACUCAAAAAUACAAAAUAAUUAGCAACUGACACUUUAGUAACGUGGAUUCACAAAGUAGAGGUUGUUACAGAAUUAGGGCUGCAAAUAAGUUGAGUCGAGUCGAGUUUUGAACUUAUCAAGCCGAGCUGGACUUGCUGAUGUGCGAGCUCGAGUUCGAUCUCAAGCUCAUCGAGCCAAAAAAAUGAAGCUCGAGCUCAACUCGACUUAGGAAAAGGAAAGUUUGAGCUCAACUCAUUUCUGGCUUGCGAGCAGCUCGAGUUUCGCUCAACAUUCUGGCUCACGAGGAGCUCGAAGUCAGCUCGAUUUUAAUUGAUGUAGGGGCAUUUUUGUAAUUUCACAUCAACUCAAGCUUUUCGAGCGGCUCUUUGAGCAAUUGAGCCUAACAAAUGGCUGCUCAAGUUCGACUUAUAUAUAUUAAUGCUCGGCUUGAGAUCGCUGUUGACUCUCAAGCCAGCCCUAUACGGAAUGGAGUGCUGAUCUAGAUUUCUGUGCUUUCUUUUUAAAACCUUGUUUUUCUUUCUCUUGUUAAUGUCCAAAAGAUGCAAAGGAGCCCCAUCCCAUAUUCUGGACUUCACUUGUCUCCUUCUGUGGUGCUCCAGCUUUGCAAAUGGGUAUCAGCAGAUCAGUCACAUGCAGGUUGAAGGCCUUGUGAAUUACCCUCUCUGAUGUACCUUUGAGAUGCUAGUUCUGUGUCUUAAACACAUUGUCUAUUUAAUUUCAUUUAUCAAGUUGUUAUAGUAAUUAUCCUGGUUUUUGAGUUAUGGCAUUGCAUUUAUUGGCACAUCUAUUCCUCACCUUUGCUUUCUUCUAUUCCAAGGUUCAUUUCCUCUUUUUCUUGAGUUGGGGGAGGGGGGUUGGGGGAGGAUGAGGUACUUUCAUCUGACCUUUUCCUUUUAGAAUCAUACUGAUUGAGUAUUUGUCCUCCUCUUCUCCAGCAGUUUUGAUCAAUUUGCCACUCUUUAUGCCGUGCUCAUGUUAUUCUCUUGACUUGCAGGUGAAGGUGCGCGAAGGGGGAACAGAUUGGGGAUGGGGAGUUGUUGUCAAUGUGGUGAAAAAGUCCCCACCAGCAUCGGGUUCUUUGCCUGCUGCAUUGGCUUCGGCUCGUGGUAAUAGCUACAUUGUGGAUACUUUGCUUCAUUGCUCACUUGGAUCAAGUGAAAAUGGUUCUCGUCCCAAGCCAUGUCCCCCUCGUCCUGGAGAAAAGGGAGAAAUGCAUGUGGUGGGUAGAUAACUAAUGCAAUUGAAAGAUUUUUGCAUCUUUGAGUGAUGGGCUAACAUUCCCCAAUUUGAGAAUGCCAUUAUUAGUGUUCGAUAUAUUUUUGGAAGUUAAGAUGCAAUAUGUGCACAGAUAAGGCAUGUUCUUUUUAUCCUUCAGGUUCCUGUUCAGUUGGGCCUAGUUUCCACCAUCAGCAAAAUCAGAAUAUCAAUUCCUUCAGAUCUUCGGCCACUUGAAGCUAGGCAAAGUACGCUGCUUGCAGUACAAGAGCUAGGGAAACGUUUUCCACAAGGCUUGCCAAAGCUUAAUCCUGUGAAGGUAUAUGGGCAUGGGCACUCUGAUGAACUUUCUUGGUGUGCAAUAUUUGCUUGUAUAGAUAUUAUCAAGCAUGACAUACACAUUUUGAUGUCCCAUGCAAUUUAUGAGUUCCAUGUUAUUGAGUUUUUUUUUUCUCUGGCGGAUUGGGGAGGGUGGAAAUUGGGUUGGUUCCUCAAUAGCUUGUGUGUAUUUAAUUUGGGAUGGGUAUGGCGACACUGAAAAAGGUGAAUCCCAUCAACGAUUUUACAUGCCUUUAUGAAGAAUUGUAGUCAUAUAUUACUAUUUCAUGAAGACAGUUGGAGCACCAUCAAUCUUCUGACUUUUUGCUGAAUUUUCACUAUUUUUUUGUGGUGCAAUUUUUUCUGCCUGCAGUAGCAUUUUGUUGUUAUUCUAAUAACAUUGGGCAGCAAUUGGAAUUGGGUCUUGGAUGUUUAAGAUGUUUAGGGGCAUAGUUGUCUUUUUUUUUGUGAUUGAUAUCGCUCCCUUUCUUUCAGAAGAAGGUCCACCAUCCAUACAAAGGGACACAUAACCAUAAAAUAUUACUCUAAAGCUCUAUGCAACCAAUGAGUAGGAAAGGGCCAACAUGCUAUUAACUUUUAUUCGGUUUGUUUGAGCCCCUUCUGUGACUUGCUUCAUGCUUUUUCGUUAGAAUACUAUUUUCUUCAAGUGUUUGUUUAUAGUCAUGCCCAGAUGAAGCAUGGGUUGCAUUUGGAAAUGGAUUUUUUUUUGUUUGGGGGGGGUUAUUGAUUUAUGUCUUUUGUCUUUCUAUGUGGCUGUGAAUGUUGCAUCCUCGCACCCUUCCUCCUUUUUUGUCCCUUUCAUGAUGCUUCGUUUCUGUGUUAUAUUGUAGAUACUCUUGCUAGUUCAAUGAUCAUGACAGAAGAAUCUUUACUUAAUUUGGUAGAUAUGUGUUACUAGUAGACAUCUUUUCUUCUUAUCUAAUUCUAAGAUGCAUGUAAAAGAUGUUAUUUUUAGCAAAAUAUUUAGGUAAUUUAUCUCUUCAUCUGUUUCUUUUUUACUUUAAGCUACAUUCUUUGGCAGGACAUGGGCAUAGAAGAUCCUGAAAUUGUGGAGCUGGUAAAUCAAAUUGAGCAACUUGAACAGAAAUUAUUUGCUCACCCAAUGAACAAGGUUUGUCAAACAUUUUGCCAUUUGCAUGUACUUCUAACUUGACUAUGUUACACCAGAAGGUGAUUACAGUAAGCUGUCCUGAAAGUCAUGGAAAUUUCCUAUUUUUGAACCCCUCAUUUGAUGGCCUACUUUAUUGCGGUGCAUGAACUUUUGUAGUCCCAAGAUGAACAUCAACUGAAAAGUUUCCAGCGAAAGGCAGAAGUAAACCAUGAAAUUCAACAGUUAAAGACAAAAAUGCGUGAUUCUCAGGUACUUUUUCUUCCACAUUGGGUCCUCUUGCACUUAGAUCUUGAAGUUGAUGAUCAAUGAAGUCUGGGGUUCAUUUGGACAGUAUUAUUUUUCCACUUUGUUGCAUUUUUGUGUCUGACAUACUAUAGUUGGUUUAUUUAUUAUUGUUUAAGUCGUUUGUUUGAAGUGAGAGAAUUGAUUGUUUUUAAAGUUUACUUCAUGGAUUUGGUGAUAUCAUUUUGCUACAUCAUACCUCUUGACGAUUAGCAAAUUGGGCAUCUAUAUUUUGGCAUAAUUCAUAAGCCAAUAGCUUGAUUUGUCCUGUUUCUCAUGUUUUCAGCUUCAAAAAUUUCGCGAUGAACUCAAGAAUCGUUCUCGUGUAUUGAAAAAGCUGGGCCAUAUUGAUGCUGAUGGUGUUGUCCAGCUGAAAGGACGGGCAGCCUGCUUAAUAGACACAGGAGAUGAACUCCUUGUUACUGAAUUAAUGUUCAAUGGUAAAUCUCUUUCUGGUUCUUAAAACUUCUAUUGUACUUUGUUUGGUUCUUUACAUAAUUUUUGUUGGGAUAAAUAUGUGGCCCCCCAACUUUGGCUUAAAAACUAAUUUGUAUAGUGCAAACAUAUAUUGGCAACCAUAAUCUAGUUGAAGUCUGUGUCCAUGGUAAUAAUUUGUGCAUUUUUGAAUCUGCAGCAUCUGAUUAUCGCCCUUCAAAUCGUAGUCAAUACUGCCUUCUGUUGAUUGCUGUAAAUAUUAGUUAUAUUACCAUUCAGGAAUUUAUUCUAACUAAUAUUCUGAAUCUUUUUUUUUUCUUUGGCCGGCAGGAACAUUCAAUGAGCUGGACCAUCACCAAAUUGCAGCUCUGGCAAGUUGCUUUAUACCGGGAGAUAGAUCAACUGAGCAAAUACAUUUGAGAAUGGAACUUGCUAGACCAUUACAGCAGCUCCAGGACAGUGCAAGAAGAAUAGCAGAGGUUUGUGUGAUUCAUCUUAAUCUCAGUCCUUUAAUCAUGUUUCCAAAUUCUCACUAACUCCAAUUGAUUUCAGUGGGCUCUUGAUAACUUAUUAAAGUUUUGUUACAAUGAAUAUUCUCCUUUGUUUUGAUCUAUUGAUAGAUAUAUGCUGUGUUCAAUGGUUAUGCCUCACAUGCUUUUGAAAAUCUUGCAUUAAUUAUUGCAUUAUUGGUGUACCUGUUUGUCCAGCCUUUCCUUGUAUGAUAGUGAUAUCCUAAUCCAAGUUUUUCUUAGGUGAUAUCCUAACCCAACUGGUUGACUGCUUGGUCUUUGAAGUUUGAACUUCAGCUCUAAAACAUUUUCAUCUUUUUAUGCUAGAUUUAAUAUAUCACGAAUGGAAUGAUGUUUUAUAUUGCCAUUCAACCAGACACAAUCUAGAAAUUAAUAGCGAAGUUUGGAGAAAAUUGAUCUCUACAAGUGGCACAUAUACAUAAUGCCAGCUGUAUCCUCUGUUUUACAGAUACAACAUGAAUGCAAAUUGGAGAUAAAUGUGGAUGAGUAUGUGGAGGCAUCCAUACGACCGUAUUUGAUGGAUGUAAUUUAUUGCUGGUCAAAGGUUAGUGAAAUGUGCUGUAUGGAAUGCUGAUAGUCAUGAUUAAGUGGUGGAAAUGCAACAAUUUUUAGCAGCCUCAUGGUGUCAGUUCAUGUUUUCGCUCCGUGGUUAUGUUUUAGUAUUUUUAUGACUCUGUGAAGUUGUCUCUGACUUUACUUUUUUGUUUUUUAAGUGUAGAUUUUUCUUUUGAAUGCAUUAUGUUGUGGUGGUGUGUUGGAGCCACAAAGCUUUAAUAUAAUCAUGAUCAAGUUGGGAAACUUCUAUAGUUCUUUGCCUUCUCCUUCCAACUUUGGGUUGGUUUUAGAAUCAGUUUAAAAUGUGGAAAUUUGAGCAUCUGCAUUCAUGCUUGCCUUAUCAUCUAUUUACUCUUAAAGGUACAAUAUAUUAAAUGUUAAAAAAUAAUGAUCUAUGUAUUGUCAAGAACAGUCUAAUUAAUUUAUUCAGCUGCCUUCGCUUCAUAUUUAUUUAAUUUAUUUGGAGAUUUCAUUUCCAAAAUCACUUUGUAUAUUGUUUUGGGUGUUGGUCUCAUUCAGAAUUUAUUUGUUCCAUGCUCUCACAUGCACAAUGCACAUACAUGUGCACGCGUGCACACACACACUCACACUCUCUCUCUCCACCCCCCCCAACAAAAAAAAACAGAAUCAGUUAUCUGUCUGUUGAGUGGCUUACGGUUUAUUAAAAUUUCAUUUUUCCUUGCUCCAGGGAGCAUCUUUUGCUGAGGUCAUACAAAUGACUGAUAUUUUUGAAGGUAGCAUUAUACGGCUAGCUAGAAGGCUUGAUGAGUUUUUAAACCAGGUAAAUAUGGUCAUGGUUUACAGCAACCUCUUAUUUUCUAAUUCAUCGAGUAGGAAAUGGUUGACAAUCUGGCAGUCAGAUAUCAGCAUAUGUUGCAUUUGUUUUAUCAGCAGUAAGUAAGACCGUGGUCAGUAGAAUCAGAUGAUAGGGCAGAGGGACAAGGAGUGGUGAUAUUCCUGUUGUCUUUGGAGUUGGAGUACAUCCUAUCUUGUUCUGUAUUGAAAUGGGAGAGUGUGUUUUGAGUCUCAGUUAUUGGCUGAUGUUGAAUAUUAGUACCUGCACGCUGCAUUUCUGCUCCUCCUCUCUGCCUUGUUAGUUGAAAUUGUUGAGUGGUGGUUUGUGUGGAUAACUCAUGAAUUUAGCAUCUGAUUAUCCUCGCAUUCCUGAAAAUGAAUGACAUUCCAUUCAGAUUACAGCAGUUCAAGCAUUUCUUUCUCACUGAAAUAGCCUCUGCUGCAACGUUUUGCAUAGUUCUCAAUGGAUUUCAGCUUGAAUUACAGCUUGAGAUGUUCUGACAUUAUCAUGAUCAUUUUUUUGCGGUGCCUGCAGUUGAAAGCAGCUGCGCUUGCUGUGGGAGAAGUUGAUUUGGAGAAGAAGUUUGCUGCAGCCAGUGAAAGCCUCCGCCAUGGUAUCAUGUUCGCAAACUCUCUUUAUCUCUAAACUUGUAUACCGGUGGUCCUAUGCUGUAUAUUUUAGAGCUUUAGUACUUUUUUGCAUCAGAAAUUAGCGCCCAUUCUGGAAGCGCUUAACCAGUUAGCGCCUUUACAUGUGUGUGUAGCUCAAUGUCGUAUAGAUUCAGAGUUGUAACUUUAGCGGUCGUAAAAGGAAGGAAAAUGUAGUGAAUUUUCAGAGAUCUAAAGAGUUCCCUCUGACAUUGUAUACAUGUUGAAUAUAUGUAACAUGACAAAGUAAGUUUUGCACUUUUGAUCAAACUACUUUUUUUUUUGUUCAUUUGGCGCUGUGAGAGAAUGUGUAUUCGCUAAUAAGUUUCAACAAAACGGGACUGACGACAGUUUAACUGGCACACAUCUGUAACCAAGAUCUUCAAGGACUUGAAAAUACGAGCAGCAUAACAUCAUGAAGUAAUUUACUCGGGCGAAGAGUUUAUGAGCUCUAGUUAUGAAUAAAACGAAUCAGUAAAGGCAGCCAAAGGGGCAGACACAAAUAGCUUGCCCAGGCACGACACAAAAAGCACACUUGAAAUAAAGCAUACCAUGCCAAAAUUCAUACGGAUACGUGAUGUACUCGUCUGAUCUGAUGGUGGUUCAAUCUUCAUUAAAUUCUCCUGGUUUAGUUGGGCCAUUCCCUAGCGUAGGCUCUCUCCUUCCAGUAGGAGUAGGAGUAGGUUAGGUCCGACUAGAUGUGCUGUUACAUUAAAAAAAGAAAAAAAGAAAAAAAAAGGCAUAUCAUGCCUUGACUGGCUUAAAUACAACAGUGGAAUGUUCCGCAAUGUGCAAGCUGAACUGCCCUCCUUUUUCCCUCACAUCAAUCUUCUCCACGCCAGGAGGGGCCUGCAUUUCAAAUUCUGUUACCAGUUUAGCAAUUAUUAGCCCUAAAAUUGGCAGCGCUAGAAUGAUCCCGGGGCAGCUUCUUCUACCCAUACCGAAAGGUAAAUACCUAAAAUCAACCUUUCCACCAGCAACUGCAGCUUCAGUACCAUUUUCUUCCUGCAAAAACCGUUCCGGCCGAAACUCGUGAGGGCUCUUCCACCAUGCAGGGUUAUUGGCUAGCCACCAAGCAUUCACCACGACCUUUGAUUCUUUUGGUAUGGUGUAGUUUCGUAGUUUAGCUUCUUCAAGGUUCAUGUGGGGUACAAGUAAAGGUAUUGGCGUGUGCAAUCUUAGUGUUUCAUUGACUGUGGCUUGUAGAUAUGGUAAUUCAUGAAGGUUAGACUCUGCAACUGGCCUUCCUUUGAGGAUGUCUGAGAUUUCAUCCCUGAUCUUGUCUUGAACAUGUGGAUGAUUGACUAACUCAGCAAUGGCCCAUUCCAUGGACCACAGAGUUGUUUCAAUUGCUGCAACAUUGAUGUUCUCCACAAUGUAUAGCACAUUUUCUUUACUGAUUUCUCCUUUCAUUUCAGCAUCAAUUAUGUGAUCGAUGGCACAGCUUAUCUUAUGCUUUUCUCCAUUUUCAGCCAUUAAUUUCCUGCGUCAAGUCAGAGUUGAUGGUUUAUAUUUCUUUAAACAAGAAGUUGCAGUCACAUACACCACAGGAAAACGUAAAAAAGAAUUCCACCCUCCUACAUUUUUCUUUCAGAUACAUAAACAUACCACGAAUGCUAACUGUAGAGCCAUGUUUUUUAAUUUAGAGAUUUUAGCAUCAAGAAGAAACCAGAAAAAAAGUUGAGAAGUUUCUAAUGUUAUUUGAAAGGAAGUGAACCUUUUUAAAGACGAAAAAGCAUAACUUAUUACCUUCUUUUCUCAACGUAAUAAUUGUUGAAAAAUGCAAGUCUUCUCCUCUGCAAGUCCCUGCACCUCUUCAGGUACCCUCUUAAGAAUGGUCUGAGCAAUGGAAUAAAAUCUCCAUAAUUGUACUCAAAACUCUGAGCCAAACGGCUUCUCUCUGAAUUGAACUGAGUUGCUUCAAUGAACAUAGGAUCAGUCUGUGAAUCAAAUUUUGCAUCAAACAUCAUCCUGUACAUGAUAUUAUAUAGCAUCAACUGCAAACGCUUCCUGAUAACAAUGCCUUGUGUUCUCACUCUUUCAUCAGUUCUCAAGUCACGAACAACCAAGUCCAUUUCAUCUUCCCACAUGUCACUAUACUGAUGAACAACCUUGUUAGUGAAAAAUGGGAGAGUCAUUAUUCGUCGCAUUUUUCGCCAAUGUUCACCAUAGAUGGUGAACACCAUGUCUUGGCCAUUGCCUGUGAAAAUAUCAAACACAACGUUUCUGGGGCGAGAACCGAAUUCUACACCUUGUGCGUGUAGAACUUGGUUUGCUAGCUCAGGAUUUGAUACUACCACUAAGUUUUUCGAGCCAAGCUUGAGCAAGAAGACAGGACCAUAUUUUUUUGACAUCUCAGCUAGGAGACGAUGGUUCAAGUCAUUGCCUACUUGAAGCCAAUUGCCAAAUAUGGGAAUGGAAAGCGGCCCUGGUGGGAGUCCAGUUGAUUUUUUCGGGCGUAGAAGGUGAAUGACCAAAACAAGUAAUGGGAUGGUAAGAAAAAGGGAUUUAAGAGGCAAAGAAAUGGAAAAGUGGGUGCAGAACUGAUUGAUGCCUGUGAGAAGUGCAACUGUAAUGACAGUGCAAAUAAUGGAAUUCUUGAGAAGUUUGCCCAUGUUGUAAUAGGGAUAGGAAACUGAUCAGUACGAGGAAGGAAAGGUAAGGACAUUGAGUUUAUAUAUGACUAAUGUAAGUGGGUUUGGAAGGUAGGUAUCCGCUGGUUUUAGGAAAAUCCACGGGCUUGCUUAUGAAUCUGGUUAGGAGAAUGAAAUACCAUUUUCUCAAGUCAAAUUUGGUGGUUGCACUUGCAGGUUUGGUAGUUGAAGUGCCUCUCCAAGGCCAUCCAUCUUUGUACAAAGUCUUGAAACAAUUCAAACUUGCGUUUCUACAAUUUGCGUGGAAAUCACACGAGGAACUAGAUAAUUUCUUGCCGGUUUUUACCUUAAUUUGGCUUUGGUGGAGGAAAUAAAUUUAAGUACUUGUGAAACUGAGAUCAACAAUCAGAUAUGUAUUAGAUGCUCAUAUCAUAUGUUGGUCUUUUGUUCCAUGGGCUUGAAUCACAUUUUAUACCAACUCUAAUUCUCAGUAUGUGAUGGAUAUGGAUUGAAUAUUGUUGAUAUCAAGUCAAUGGCAAGAGAGUAUUACACCUAUACCACAGCAAAAACUAUGCAUGACAUGGUUGAACACAAGAAAAAGGAAUCCGUUUGUUUGAGUGUAAAACUUAUUCCUGACGAAAAGAAAAGAUUUUGAAUGAAAAUUACUUCAUUGAAAAAAAAAAUUUCUUUUCCCUUGAUUGUCAUGUGUUUGGUGCACUUUCCCGGAAAAUGUUCCACAAAACAAAAGCCCAAGACAAGAUUAGGUUCCUCUAUUACGUCUGUGUAGUUAUAUAUAGGGUUAAUCACAAUUAAUCCCCUUAAGGUAUACCCCAUUUUUCACUUAACCCCCUAUAGGAUAAAAUUACCCUUCCAUUAUUUUGACUUUUCAUUUAUCUUUUUUCGUCUCUUUUAUUUCCUUUUCUCUUUCUCCUUUCUUCUCUCUUUCAUCUUUUCCAAUAGAAAACUCCAUCUCAACAGAAAUUUUUAUCUUGAAUUUGUAAUUGCAUUUCUGGGUGAAGGUUUAAAAAGUAUUAAAAAUUAAUUUUGAUUUUUUGUAUGCUGCCACAUGUCACAAUUUUCAAUUGAUGAUUAUUGAUCAGGUCACAAUUUCAUCUUAUGAUAUUUUCUUGAGAAUAACAUGAGAAACUAAAAAGAAAAGAGGAAAAACCAAAAUUAAAAGAAUCGAAAGGCUAAAAAAAUUGUAUUUUAGGAAAGUGAUUUGAAUAUAUUGUAAUCAUUUAAGGAGAAAAUAGAUCUCUGCAAUUCCUCUUUUUUAAUUUCAAUCAUUAAGAUGAAGAUUUUUUUAUGGGAAAGAGGAAUAAUUAAAGAAAGAAGAAAGAGACAAAGAAAAUGAAGGAGCACAAAAGGGGAAAGGAAAAAAAUAAAAGAGAAAAAUAAGAGUUUAGAAUAAUAGAGGGAUAAUUUUAUCUAAUGGAGGAUAAAGUGAGACAAAAAAAAUGAUUAGGUGAUAAAGUGAGAAAUGAGGUAUACUUUAAGGGUAUUAAUUGUGAUUAACCCUUAUAUAGAUUUUGGUAUGGAAGGAACGGAACAGUGUCAAGAAAGGUGAGGAAGAGGGGACGGCGAGAAGCUUCAAGAGAUUACGGGGAAAUAACUUCAGUACAUCCCAUGCGUAAGUUAUUUUACAGCCCCGUGGGCGUAAAUUGUUUUACACUGGAAAAAAUUUUCCCGGACAGCCAAACAACGGAAAUUUCAGCCAGAAAAUGUUUUCGGUCCAAACAAACAGAUGAAUAUAUAUAUAUGAAAGUAGCUAUUUUAAUCACAGUGUUUCUCACUCUUACGUGACAUGCCUAAUUGAAGAGAAUUAAUGGGUUAUGAGUCACUUAGAUUUUACCCAAACUAAAUCCUAUUUGGAUUAUAUUAUGUGUUUAAAAAUUAUCUCUAAUUUUAAAAUAACUUUAAAACCAACUAAUUUUAUCUUAACGAUAUCUGCUUUCUAUCACAUUAUAACAAUGAUUACUAUGUUAUAUGUUUAAAAAUUAUCUUUAAUUUUAAAAUAACUUUAAAAAAUAACCAAUCUUAUCUUAAUGAUAUCUGCUGUCUACCAAAUUAUUACAUAGAAGUAUAGCAAAACCUUUUUAAAUCACAAUUAUUGAAAUCUUACAUAUUCCAUAAAUUACUUUUUUGGGCAAACUUCAAUUUACCCCCCUGUGAUUUAGUAUUUUUUUUACAUAACCCCCCUAUGGUUUCAAAAGUUAUAUAUAACCCCCUUAUGAUUUAGAUUAAAGUGUCAAAGUGACGGAAAUGAUCAUUCAUAACGGCGUUACCUAAAAUGUCAAAAAUACUCUUAUAUAAAGUUGAAAAUUACUUAUUAACUAAGGGGGGUUAUGUGUAUAUUUUGAAAAUCAUAAGGGGGUUAUAUGUUAAAAUAUUAAACCAUAAAGAUGUUAUAUGGUAAAACAUAAAAACUAUACAGGGUUAGUGUGUCAUGUAUUUAUAAGGGUAAUUUCAACAUUUUCAAAAGUUCCGUUACGAAUGACUAUUUCCGUUACUUUGACACUUUAGUUUAAACUAUGAGGGGGUUAUGUAUAGUUUUUGAAACCAGAGGGGGAUUAUGUAAAGAAGUACUAAAUCACAGGGGAGUAAAAUGUAAUUUGACCUACUUUUUUUUUACCACCGUAUCAUUGAUUAGUAUUCAAAUUAUUCAUCAUCUCUUCUUAAUUUUGAAUUAACUUAGUGUAAAAAAGAAAAUUAACUGUUACACUGAUAGAAUUACCAAUAUUAUAGGAAAUUGAAUAUUUAUUGUUGAAGAAAAAUGGAUUAAUGGAUCUUUUUCUACUUAAUUAAGUAUGAAUAUAUAAUUAUAGGUUUAUGGUCAUUAUAAAAAUUUAAAUUAUCUAAAAGAAUAAUUAUAAAAAAGAAUAUCUACCAAGUUUUAGAUAUGGGGUACAUUAUUUGAUUUAUACUAUCACAUUAUAGUGAAAGUAUGUAAAUAAAUUUUUAAAAAUUAGUAAAUAAUUGAACAUUUAAAAUACAUUAAUGUUUUAAAAUUAAUAUGAAUGAACACGUAGAACUAUUGUUAAUUUUUUUAUUUAAAUUAUUCAUAUUUGUAUAAAUUCACAAUAAAUAAAUAAAAAAAAGACCGUGCUAAGGCACGGGUAAAAUUCUAGUUUUCUUCUGAAAAAGACAACAAUAAUCAUAUCCUUUUCUCCAUUACCAUCAAACACUCUACCUUCAAAAUUACAUCAACAAGGUUUAAUACCGAAAAAAACUCCUGCAUUUUCAUGGGAGUGUUUAAAAAUUAGAUGGGUCAAGAAAUAUGUUCAAAUCUUAAUUUCUUUCUCGUGAGUGACUAGUUGCAUUGAACAACAAAAUACUACUUUGCAAAAUGGCAAUUUGCUUUGUAAACUUUUCAUGCCCUAUUCUUUGAGAUUGAUUCUGUCUUUCCAGCCAAUGUGAAAUGGUGGAUAAUGUAAGAAGGAAAAUGUGCACAGCACCUUUUUUUUUUUUUUUUUUUUUUUUAUCAUAUUUUUCAUGUGCUACAAUACAAUAGCAGGCCAAUGACAACAAAGAAUUUAUGGUUUGACUAAUUCACAUCUUUGAACAUCAAAUGUGUCUUUGAAAUAUCAUACCUAACCACCUUUCUUCAUAUAUAUAUUAUGUUCUAGUUUGAUUUUUCACCUACAUAUGAGAUUUUAAAGUAGGCAAAAAAAAAAAAAAAAAAAGCUAAAACUCACGAUCUACCCUAGGGUAACUUUUACUGAUUCUUAUAAAUUAGCAUUUUUCGAUGCAGCCUUGCAGUAACAAUAAACCAAUAUUAUAAUCAUAUAAACUAGCUGUACAAUAAACAGAAAUAAGGAAGAGUUUUGAAAUGUAUUAUUCUUCUGUAUUUUGUUCCCAAAUUUUUAAAACUUAAUUCUGUCCUUGAUCUGCUUUAUAUUUCUUUUUUGUUCGUAUUAAAAAGAUAAUGAUGAUAUCAAAAUUUUUUAAAUAAUAUUUCGCUUGCAUCAUAAACAUAUUUCUCAAUCCAUCUUUUUAUAUUCUUAAUGACAUUUUUAUCUCACAUAUAUCAUAUCACAAAAAGUGUUACAGUAAAUAUUUUAAAUAAUACGCUAUCCAAACAAUUGUUUGGAGCAGAGGACUAAGAAGAAGAGGAUAAGAAUUUUGAGGUUUAGCAAUAGUGGAUGACUUUUCCUGAAGGUGAUAUUAGGGUUAAUUUCAUUUUGUCCCCCCAAACUUUGGACGGUUAUCCACUUCAGUCCCUAAACUUCAAAAUGGGACAUUUAAGUCUCUAAACUUAUAAAUGCCUCUCACUUAAGUCCCUAAACUUAUAAAAUAGGACACUUAAAUUCCUAAACCCUUAUAAAAUGGGACACUUCGACCACCAACGGCAUUCAGGAUUUGUUAACAAUUUUCCUUAAGUGGGAGGUAUUUAUAAGUUUAGGGACUUAAAUGUCCCAUUUUAAAGUUUAGGGACUGAAGUGGAUAAUCGUUCAAAGUUUGGAGAGGUAAAGUGGUAUUAACCCGCGAUAUUAACCCUAAUUUAAAAGAUUCAAUUUCUUUGCAAGAUAUAGCAAGGUUUCAAAACUUCAUGGAGCAUGAUAAAAGAUAAUGAAUGACUUCUAGUCAACAGAGUUAUUGGUGUCUUCUCACAAAUAUCACAUGAUCUUCUCCCUACUUUUCUAGUCCACUGUUGUCCUAAAGUGACAUAUUUGGUAGGUGUCCUGUUAAUGAAAAGACUCUUCUGUCUUUAUACUUCUCAUUUUAGUCAUAAUAAAAAAUCAAGGUAAUAAAAUAUACCUACUACAUACAAGUCCUCCCAACCAACUCCCAAUAGAAGAGUUGACUUAAUCGGGUGAGAGGAAAGGGUUCAAAUCUUGUCUCCCACUAAUUGUCACAAGUAUGGCUCUCUAAAUUCAACGAACGUGUAGUGCUACACACCCGUCUAAUCCGAUGGUGGUUCAGUUUUUGUCGCCCUCCCCCCCCCUCCCACAGACUCAAUUAGAUCCCCCCUAGAAUAGGAUAGAGUAGGAGUAAAAGUAGAUGUAGAAUAGACAAAUACCGAGUGUCGAAAAAAAAAAAACAUACAAGUCCUCCCCGACCGUCCUAUACAAAUAUUUUAAACAAAAAUGCUUUUAAAUCACUAAAAGUUGGGUUACUAAAAUUAUGAAAAUUAAUUACCGAACAUUCUUGUUGAGUGCUUGAAAGCGUUUUUUUUUUUUUGCCCUUUUAUAAACGCACCGCAAUCCCAAAUGCGACCCAAGUGUUGUUUCAGAUAAAACCAUGUUCAUUUUUAUCAUCAGCAGUUAAAUUAUUGCACCAAAAGAAUACAAGAAAUUGUUGUUGUAAUAGAAUCAUAUGGUGGUCUGCUUUUAGACAAUAUGAGCGCAUUCUCAACAUUUCAGUGCAAUGAUCCAGCUAAAUUACUGCAAUUCAUAUCAUAAUUCUAUCCAUUCCUAUUUGCUACCACUCAUUAAACACAUCUAUAAUAUUUAGAAGAUUCAAAUAUCCAAUGUCCUUUCACGUAUAGGUUGGUUAUACAUCCUCUCCCCCUUUACAUAUUCCCUUACAAAAUAUCUAUACUUUUAGAUACUUCAUUGGUUUUAUGUUCAUACAAGCAGAUAUAUAUAUAUCAUAUGCCUCUUCAAUCCCCACCAAAACAGAGAGUUUCUUUUCUUCUUAUGAGAAAGAAACAAGUUUAUUUCAAGUAGGUUUUCUGCACCAUGACUAUUAGGUUCAUUUAUCUAUAUCAUAUGUAUAGGUGCCAUGGAACUACUUAAGCUGCAGCCACACCAGCAAAAAACUGCAUCGGACCGGAGCAUGGCGAGGCCGAGUACUCGAGGGGCUUCACCGUUCCAGAAACACACUUUUCUUUGUGUUCGUCGAUGGAGAUCUGCUGAUAUCGACACUCGGCGCUGCAAAAUGCCUUCUCUCCUCUGCACAGCAACGAGAUGCAAAAUAUGACACUAGAAAGAAGUGCUUUUUUUUUUUUUUUUGCUUUGCUUUAGAAAUGUAACAUAAAAUGUGCUCCAUAAAAAUCCUGUCAAGAGUUGACUGAAAAGCUGAUAUUUGAAGGAAACAGCUAAUGAUUCUCGAAAUACUUCGAAUCAGCUAGCUGAGAUCUUUCCACCAGGGCUAGAUUCGAAUGCAGACAACCAGUCAUGGAAUUAUAUGAAAAGACAAAAGAGUAAGGACAAUAUAAUUGACAAGGAGAAUUGAGUAGGACAAAAACAGGAAAGGCCACACCAAGAACAAGUGGAAGGAGGGUGUAAGACAACUUAGUCUCAGCUUCCAAAAUGUGGAGAUGUUUAACCAUUGCCCUAUGAAAUAUCUAACGUGAAAAUCUAAGGGAAAAUUAGUAACAUUGAAAAUGACAUGAAAACACCUAACAACUAGCAAAGGCAAAUUGCAGCUUGCUGCUAUCCAUCAAUUGACAGCAACAGAACAUGGUUUACACUUGCAGAAAGUUAAAGUGAAGUAAGAUACACUUCAGAAACUUUCAUUCACCCUACUUGCAACAGUUUUCAUUAACAGGCACUCUUUAACACCAAUCUUCUUAGCAGAGAUAAUCCAACUACUACUUCACCUUUCUUUAGAACUUAAAAAGAUUAGCAGUGAUAAAAGAAAUGGCAUCAUCAAUGUACUUGAGUAAGUUUUGAACAAGUGACAGCUAGAGGAACAUAGCUUGGGUGCGUAGAUGAAGUGAGCUGCUGCACAAAAUAUUCAUGACAAUUGAUACCUUGCUUAAGAAAUUUUUUAACCCUAGCGUUGACUUGCGAAUUUAGGAUGAUGUAAAGAACAGCAAGGCACAAUGAAAACCAUUUCUUGAAAAAACACAAAGAUCAUUGCUUGUUUCUAAUGGACAAAACAUGCCAGCAGUUGAGACUCUUCUGAACUAAGUUCCACCAGAAGAUAAGAAAGAAGAUGGCAGAACAAGCACCCAAGCACUUCAUAGACUACUAGUAUUUAGAAGAAUUUAUUCUGUGCUUUGUAGACAGCUUAAGCAACAGCAAAACAGCUCAAAUCUUAACAAUUUGCACAAGGAGAUGAACCGUGUAUAGGCAGAAUCAAUUGCCUUUAGAAAUGAGAAAGAAAUUUGGCAAAAAUAUACAGGUCAAAAAACUUAUAAAAAUCAGAAAAACAAUCCAAUCUUUUUUUCUAGCUCAUUGACCAAGUAUGCAAGAAGUGCUCUGGAAGUUAAAAUUAUAAUUGGGGAACAACAAUGGAAGAAUUUCAAUUAACAAAGGAAAAAAAAAAGAGAAGAAGAUAUAGGUAAACUGCCAGAUUGCUAAAAGAAUCCUACAUAACAUUUAAAUUGAACAACUUUCAUCUCCAAUUGACGCAAUGUAUAUUUUUAGACAUUUUUCUUCAACUCAAGGUAGCAGUCGGAUUUAAGAUUUACAUACACUUAUUUGACUUAGCUACCCUUUUGAGAACAAAGGAAAGUAUUCAUUGUUCAACCAACUAAUUAAUAUAUAACCAUAUAUGUUGAGCAGAGCAAUCCCAUAAAUGCAUAUCACCAACUAACAGAGCCAACACGCAGCCACAACUUUAACAUCAGAUUAGAAGCAAACAUGAAUCUGGAUGCAAAAGCAAAUUAGAAAAAUCUGUUGCAACUGACAGCAGGUAUUAUACAGAACAACAGUUUCAGUAACUAAGAGGUCAGAUCAAAAGUGGGUCAGAAUGCAGACAACUUAUACUGAGAAAAACCAACUUGUUAUUCUGAAGUGAAUCUAUUAUUAGCAAGAUAUCAGGGCCACAGAUAGUAACAAAUGAUCAAAGCUGGCCCAUGAAUUACUUGGUCAAUCAACUCAAUAAUUCUCAAGGCUCCACAUACCAAUCAAUAAACUCAGAGUACUGGCCUUACACAAAGCAUUUCCAUUAAACCAUCAUAACCUUCUAUUCGUGAAGUUCUUGAGUACAAUUAAAAUUUGAAACUAACACUGAAAAAUCCAGAUCAAGAUCUUUAUCUGAAAACCUCUGAACUUCGUAUUGGAAAUUCAUUACCGUUGAUUGUUUCUAAAUUGUGCCUCAAGCUUAUAAUUAAGACGUAUCUACCAUUGCAUAGUUCGUAAUGGUAGAUAAAAACCUUGAAAAAAAACAUAAAAGACACUCGAAAAUCUUUUUAAAAAACUAGGUUAUUUUUAGGAUCUUCCAAAAAAUGUAGACAAAUCACCAAUAAAAAGCACAAAAACAUUCAAGUUUGCACUUCAAGCGAAAAAAAAAAAGAAGGUAGGAUGAAAGACCAAUCAAGAAUCCAAAAGCAGACUAAAACAUUAAUAUUCAAACAAGCUUCCAGAUUCAAAAUCAUCAAUCACGCAUAAAACAAACACAUACCAGAAGGAAAAAGCAAAACAUACAAAUAGCAUAUACCAAUCCCACUGUGCAGAUAAAACAUAAAGAUAGAGAACAAGUAAAUCUGAUCAGUAUCUACCUGUACAUGAAAAUGUCCAACCCAUGAAGCUGCUUUUUGCAAAGAAAGCAAGAAUUGAGAAACUCAGCAUACGGAAAAGCUGCUACUGGGACUUCACCAGCAUGACUAACUGCAGAGGAAGCAGAAACCACCUCAGAACUCACCCAGUGACCGAUACUAGCAUUACUGAUAUUCUCAGCGUUGCUAAUGAUAGCAUCAGUACUAUUUCUAUUACGCAAGAAACCACCAUCAUCAAAGUACUCUUUUUUCUUGAUUUGAUUAUCCCCAACAUGAGAUAUCACACAAGUAUACUCCUCACACAACUCCAUUUCUUCAAUACUUAGCCUCCUCUUAGUAACACCGCCAGUAUUAAUAGUAGUGCUUUUAUCACUACUACUUUUAGCUGAUGACAAAGAAGUGAACUUUUUGUUGCUGAGAAUUGAGAUUGGAUUUGAUAACGAUCUUGGUGAGAUUGCAAGAAUUGCAGCCCUCUUAAAAAAGGGAUCUUGAGAACAAUACUCAUCCUUCAAAGCUGCAAGAAUACCAAGGCCAACAACCCCGUUUGGCUCUUCAAAGUUCCUGGGAGAUUUGACUGGUAAUUUUGUUGUUGGGGUUUCAGAACUGGAAAAGGUGAAAAGGGAUAGAUUGAUGGACAGUUUCUUGGUUUUGGUAUUCUUCACGUUGUUAGCCAUUUAUGUACACUCUACUUUCUUGGUCACACACACAAGCAGAGAGAGAGAGAGAGAGAUUUUUUGUGUGUUUCUGUUUUGUUGAAUAAAUCCCUCUUUCUCCCUCCCUCACAGAAUCACACAACCAGAAUUUUUAUCUGUUUCUGAGACUGAUAAUAGUCUAAUCACGAUUGGAUUUUUUAUUUUCCAAGUUGUUUGCUCAAAUGGAAGUGGGAAAGAGUGAGGCGCUGAGGAACAGAUGAUGGUACUGGUGAUGGUGGAGGAAGGGGAGGUGGUGGUGGUGGAUGGAGGAGGGGUGGUGGCAGUGGAAGGGAGGAGGGGCAGUGAGGAGGAGAAGAAAGUGGCAAUGGGCUUUAAUGGAAGAAGAAGACCACCACCAGUUUCUUCACUCCCUCCUGUGUCUCUUUAAAAAGUAAAAACCUGUGAUUUUCAGGUCCCCACAACCCACACCCCACCAAAAACCAAGCAAUAAGUAUUAAAAAAAAAGGAAUAAAAUGAAGUACAGUUUACAAAUACUCUAGUUUAUGGAUUUAACUCAGUAAUCUUCAAGAUUGGAACAUUUUAAUUGAAAUGUUCUACUAAGAUCAAAUAGCUUAUUAUAUUGCACAUUGAAAGCAUUUUAGUGCCUUCUAUCCUUCAUCUUUUGAAUUAGUUACUCUAGACAGAAUUUAAGGAUUUUUUUAGUAGAAUUGGUUUAAUGAUUAAAGUUGAAAUCCAAUUUAGAGGUUCUGAAUUUAAAUCCCUCCUUACAUUACAUAUUUUUUAAAUUCCAUCAUUCUCAUACUAAAAAAAAUUAAAAAGAAACUGCAUAAUUGAUGCAAAGAUUUUGAAUUGUCAAAUCAAUUAGAGAACUUGAAAACAAUAAUAGGAAACAUAUAAAACAACUGCACAUUGAUGUCUCCUACAUAGCAAAUGUAACAAAAUUUUAAACCAAUAAUGAGUUUGGAAAUAAGAUUUUUUAGAAAAGUUGUUUCAAAUGAAACUAUAAUGCUUUUUGUAAUGUGAUGUAUGUGAAAUAAAAAAAAUAUUUAAGAAAUAUAUAUGUAACAUACAAGUGAAACAAAAUACGCAUCAUAAAAGUAAAGCGUAAGGAAUGUGUGAAAUCAAGAUCCGAUGGCUAGGGAGAGACCCUUUAAAACUCUUUCAUAUACUAGGUCGGGGGUUCCUACCCUAAUACAUUACACAAGAAAUUUCUUGUUUUUAACAAAUCAAGAGAGCGCAAUAGUGCACUUGUCCGGAAUACUUUUAUCUAAUAUAUAUUAUAGCCAAAUAUAGAUUAUGUUUUAUACAUUUACAACAAAAUAUUCAUUUCUUUUGUAUAAAGAAAUGAAUUUAGAUGCUUACCAUAUAAUUUUGGUAACAAUAUUAGUCCCUUUAUUUAUUUAUUUAUUUAUUUUUUGCAUUUACCACGCUUCUAGGCUUGUUCAUGGAAAGAAGGGUGUCCUAUGAAUAGAUAAGAGAUUAAUCUGUAAAAUAGAUGAAGAAUCUACAUCAAACAAUUUAUGAAACUAAAUGUCUAAAUCUAUUUCAUCACUCCCAUAUAUUGAUACUGAAAUGGCUAAUAUACCUUAGAACAUCUUAGCUGGUGGAAGAGUAUGCUUCAAAGCUUUGUGAAUUCUUUUUUUGAAGUGUUGCAAUCAAUUAUAGUUUAUCAUACCAACUAAAACGGAUUCGGCAUUAAUCAAUUGAUACAUCUUCAAACUACGAAAGCUCCCCAAAGAUAAAGAUAUUGAAUAAUUGACACAAUGUUUAAUGUGUAAUUCAAAGUAUAGUUUUCUAGGCUUUACCACAUAAUUGGAGCAAUCAAAUCAUUUUUUUUACGUUUUAUCGUACUUUCUUCAUAAGAAAUUAAACUUCCGAAUGCAAAACUAAUUCAAAUCGAAUUGUAUAAGAUUUACAUAACAAAAAUGGCAAAUCGUGAUUGCAAUAGUUAUAGGUUGGAUUAUGUUACUACUUACUAUGACUAUUGUGCUCCACUGGAAAUCUCCAUGGGGAAUUCAUAGCACAAAUAUAAGAAGUAAAAUAAAUUAUAAACUAGCCAUAAACUUUCUACUCUCAAGAAUUUUAUGUCUUGGUUUUCGGUCAUUUGUCAUAUGAUAUCAAUGGAGAUGGCCUUUUUUUAUAUUGCAACUUAGAAAAGUUACAAAUGUCAAAAGUGUCAACAAGACCCCAAUCAAUUGAUAUUAUCGUAUGGUAAAGCACAAAAUGAGAAAUAAUAAAGUGAAAAUGAAAAAUUAAAAUCCGUAUACAUCGAUUAAGAGGUCAUACCAUAUAAAAAAUUUGGAUUCCAUAUCAUACUGAGACAAAUUUCAAGGAUAAAAGCAAAAAGCAAAGAAAAAUAAAAAAUAAAGACACUCUUCUGUAUGUAUGUGCUUUUGUAUAUGUUGUUGUGUAUCUUUGAUUUAUAUUUGUAAACAAGGGCAAGUUGUUAUUUCUAUGUGCUAGGAUUUUAAUAUGGAUUAAUUUUGUAUAUACUGACAGUGUAUAUAAUUUCAUCAUUAAAUACAUGACACAUAAUUUGAAUUUAAAUUUUACAUAUGUAUCAUAUGUGAUAGUGUAUACACGGUUGGUAUAUAUAAGAUUAACUUUUUUAAAAUUCAAUAUCCCUGGUCUUUUGACUUGUUUACUAAAAUCCAUCUUUAUUGAAGCUAUAUACGUGUAUAAAACUAUAUGUUGACUUAAUGCAUGGUCCCAAAAAGUCUUGAUGAUUAUUUGGUAAAUGUUUCUAUCCAAGAAAUGUUACAUUAAUUUCCACAAGUAAAAGGCCCAUUUGGAGAAAACAAACAAAAUAGUUGUCACUCUUACUUAAGGGAGAUUAAGAUAGUUUUGGCAAAUAAUUAAAAUAUUCAAAGUAAUAUGUAUAAAAGUCAAGUAAGAAAUAGUGUUCAAAGGAUAUGUAAUAGUGUAUUCAUUUGAUCUAGAGGUGGGAACUACUCCUUUUAAUUCCUCUUGACCCAAUUGGAUCCUCCUCUAAAUAGGUUAGAAUAGGAGUGGAGUAAAAGUAUGGUAGGCGUUAACAAUUGCCAAAAAAAAAACUUCAAUAACGAGAUUAAAACUUUUCUACCUCUCCCUCACCCUACUCUUCUUUCUCCAUAGGAGAGAGAUCUUGGUCUUAAGCCAAGGUCUCCCUCCUCUUCCUUUAUUCUCCCUUCUUCUUUGUUCUUACUUUUAUUUAAUAAACUUUCUCUUAGGGAAGCCAAGGUCUCCCUUCCUCUUCCUUUAUUCUCCCUUUUUCUUUGUUCUUACUUUUAUUUAAUAAACUUUCUCUUAGGGUAUCUUAGUGAGAGCUUUUUUCUCUCCCAAUUAUCAUGGUAAGGGUUUUGUUUAGUUUUUGGGAAAAUCGUUUAAAACGUCCCUUACAUUUUACAAAACAACUUUUUUCAUCUCUCACUUUUAAAAAUGUAAUUUUACGUCCCUUACAAAUUCACAUUGGCCAAAUUUGGUCCCUACUUAGGUUUUCGACUAGUUUUUUAUCGGAAUUUACCACAUGCCUUGCAUGUGAUCAUAUUUUAAUGGCAAAAUUGUCAAAUCAAAUUUUAUAUAAUUCGAUUCAUAAUCUCUCACAUUUCAUAAAAUAAAAUUUUUCGUCCCUUACAUUUUACAAAACAACUUUUUUCAUCUCUCACUUUUAAAAAUGUAAUUUUACGUCCCUUACAAAUUCACAUUAGCCAAAUUUGGUCCCUACUUAGGUUUUCGAUUAGUUUUUUAUCGGAAUUCACCACGUGCCUUGCAUGUGAUUAUAUUUAAUGGCAAAAUUGUCAAAUCAAAUUUUAUAUAAUUCGAUUCAUAAUCCCUCACAUUUCAUAAAAUAAAUUUUUUCGUCCCUUACAUUUCACAAAAUGAAUUUUUUUAUCCUUCACCUUUUUUAAAAUGAAUUUUUUCAUCUUUUAUUGAUCAUGUGUGUGAAUAAAUUUUUUUUUUAAAUCCAUGUAUAUAUCUGUUUGAUUUCACCUGAACAGUACAAACAUCAUGUGAAAUCAAAUAGAGAUAUAUUACAUACUAUUCGUACUGCUCAAGUGAAAUCAAAUAGAUAUAUACAUGGGUUUAAAAAAAUUGUUAGUUUUUCACUUAUAUUCAUUUUCUUUUACUCGAAAUUUGAAAAUAAAGAAGACAUUUAAUCAUAAAUAUUAUUGAGUGUUUAUAUCGUAUUAAAUUUGGAUAGAAAAAAAUAAACAAAAGAAAAAUGUGACAAAAAGAAAUAAGUGAUUGGCAUUUUCAAAUUUUAAGAUAAUCACAAGGCAAGUAAUUCAACUGUUGGUCUUAAAAGUAUCGAGUAGAGAUUUCAUAUUUAAACUGAAAUUUGUUAGCACAAUUAUAGAAUUCGAGUUAUGACCCAUUAAUUAGAUGACCUUAUUAUACAAUUCAAUAAAUAAAUUAUUAUCAAAAGAGAAAUGUCACAAAUAUUGAAUAUGUUUAAAUGGUGAAAUCAUAUAAAUAUAUACUUGGGUCUCAAACAAAAUUAUUAGUUUUAAACCCCUAUAUAUAUCUAUUGAAUAGCAUGUGUAUAACUACGAUUAGCAUGUUUAUAUGAAAUCCAAUAGAGAUAAAUUACAUGUUAUUCGUACUGUUCAGGUAAAAUCAAAUAGACAUAUACGUGGGUUUGUAGGAAAAAAGUUAUUCAUACACAUGAUCAAUGAGGGAUGAAAAAAUUCAUUUUGAAAAAUGUGAGGGAUGAAAAAAUUCAUUUUUUGAAAUGUGAGGAACGAAACAAUUCAUUUUGUAAAAUUUUAGGGACGAAAAAAUUCAUUUUGUGAAAUGUGAGGGACUAUGAAUCAGAUUAUGUAAAAAUUUGAUUUGACAAUUUUGCCCUUAAAAAAUGAUCACAUGCAAGUCACAUGGUAGAUUCCGGCCAAAAACUAGUCAGAAACCUAGGUAGGGACCAAAUUUAGUCAAUGUGAAUUUGUAAGGGACGUAAAAUUACACUUUUAAAAGCGAUAGACGAAAAAAGUCAUCUUGUAAAUUGUGAGGGACGUUCUGAACGAUUUUCCCUUAGUUUUUAUUUUUUUUGUUAUUUAUUUUCUCAGAUUUAAGAAUUUCUUCAAAUCUAUAUGUUAGAUCUAAAAUUUUUUGGAUUUUCUCGUCAGAUCUCAACAUCAGUUUUGAACUUGAACCAGUUGGAUAGCAGAUCUGAGGGAAUAGACAUGCACAGAUAUCUAUGGAGCGGUUCGUUCGAUUGGUCAAAUUUGAUGAUUUGUGAUUCAUAGUAUAAUCUUUUAUAUUUUGUAAUUCAAUUAAAUCUUAUAAUUUUUCAGAUCAAAUAUAUCUGUGACAUGGUCAAUGCAUUUUUUGCCAUUAGUGCGGAUUACUUUGUCAAGCAAAUCGUGCUAGACGAUUUCCAGCUAUAUUAUUAAUAAUAUUGACUUAUGUUUUAUAAAAAAAAAUGAUUGCAAAAAAAAAAAAAUGUUCAAUUGAAGAACGUACAAUAAAAUGGCCCCAUGUUUAAGUGGCAUACAUAAUUAUGGUAAAGAGAAUAUUUCAUCAGUUUAUGUUGUCGAAAGAAAAAUAAAGUAUUGAAAAGGAUAGUUUGCCACCGAUGCACAUCUACCAAAUGGACAUGAUACACAUCAUGAUUAUCUUCCCCAAUUUUCACAAUUGAAAAAGAAGGUACAGACCAGCAACGAAGAAAUAUCAAAACAAGAUUAAGUGACAUCCUAGAUGCAUUUCUAGUACUUUUGAUUGAGCUCGCUGCUUUAUUAUGUUCAAAUUUUCUUCUUUAUUAACCAUCAAUGGUGGUUUUCAUCUAUAUCUCUUGAUGACUCGAAUCUGUAAUUAUAAAACCUUAUGAUUACAAAUAAAAAGUUUUACCAUUUAAAAAUGUACUUCAUUGUCACAUUGAUUAGCUCAUUUCUGUAAUGGAUAAUUAAUUAUAUGUGGAGCUUUUCAUCUACCUCACGUUUUUUCCCUUAAGAAAAGUUGAAAAAAAAAAGGCAAAAAGUUGAAAAAAAAAAAAGGUUUUGCCUUCUAAUUUAACAGUUUAGUACAUGGUAUUACAAAACAUUUUAGUUUCUAUGUCCCGUAAAAUAUUUCUCCAUACCAGCUAGUUUGUGUGAAUAUUUUAAACAAGUUGAUUUUUUUUAAGUAUGAAAGUUGACUUAUCAAGAUUAUUGGGAUGAUAUUAUUAGAAUGUUGUACUAAAAAGUUUUUAAAAUUUAGAUGAAAUCCUUAGUGCAUUAAUAUUUGAAGAUUUAACAAGUAACUAAGUGUGGUGAGGGAAAGAAAUUGUAAGUAAGAGAUCCCGCUUAUAUAUUAAAAAAAAUAAUUGUGGUACUAUUAAAAGUUUGUAGAAAUCAUCAUCAACCCAAUUUUUUUGUUUUCUAUUAUAAAAGUUAUUCAUGCACUUUCAACUCAAAUAUAAAAGGAAUUAAAAGAACAAACAAGGAAAAUAGUUUCAGCUUUGUUGCAAAAUUAUACACUGUUAAAAUUAUUCUUACGCAUACAUUUGUCUUUUUAUGUUGUUCAUUUUCGUUCAAAACAAAUAAACGCACAUGUAAAGACUUGUAUACAAAUCCAAAUUAAAUGUCCUUUUUGGCAUUUGGAAUCAAUUAUACAUGUGUCCAAUUCUUUUUCAAGUCCUUCAAAAAUAGGAUGAAAUAUGAAUAAAGGAUUUUUUUUAUUCAGUGUACUAAGAUUGAAGAAUAAAAUGUGGCUCGAAUGUCAUUUUAUCAAAAAAAAAAAAAUCUAAAAUUUUCACAUUAAAGUUAAUGCAACUCAAAUCCUGAGUAAGAAUGUCAAAAUUUAUAGCGGUUUCAUCAUCUUUUUUUGGUGUGUUUUUCUUGGAGUUUAGGAUACAAAAUAGAAAGAAUCAUAACUAAAGAAACUAUAAGAAGCAUAUUAUCAAGCAAAGAUUUGAUGGUAGCAUAGCAUUAAAUGAAAAUUUAUUUGACUUUUUCAACUAGAAAAUUUUAGUAAAUUCAAGAAAUCACAAUAGCUCAAAAAGAUUGAGAAAAAGUUGUCUUGUUAGCCAAGAAAAAGAUCAAAAUAUUUAGAGACAAGCUUAAUUUGAUAACAAUAUAGUAACACUUUGUAAAUAUUUAAACCUUUUGUAUUGUUAUAGCUGGAAUAUUAGUGUCAGAAGAAAUUUUCUAAAAUGACAUGUAUACCUUUCACUAACUAAAGACUAAAUCACAUUAAUAAUUGAUCCAAGAUAGGAAUGGAAAUGGAUAGGGUAAAAUCCGAUAUCCAUUUUCAACCCGAUGGUUAAUACGAUUAUACGACUGAUGCGUAAUCCGUUAGGGUUUGGCAUUGAUUAGGGAUAACUAAUAGAUAAUCCGAUAGGGUUUGAUAAAAGAACCCUAAAAACUCGAAAUCCAAGAUACAUACACAAAUACAUGUGUGUGUGUACAUAAUACAGAUAUUUUACCCUUCAUAAAAUGCUAAAUUACUCUCAUAUAGGUUGUAUGACUCUAUCAAACUUUAAAAUUUAACAUAAUGGGUUGAUUUAAUAUUAUUUAUGUAUUAAUUUUAGUUUGAGAAUAGUUAAUUACCUUUUUCUGAAUUAUUUAAAUUACUAAGUGGAUGGUACUCAAUAAAUAAUCCAAACUCGAGAGUGAGAAGGUUUGAUAAUGGAAAUUUAAAACCUGUAGACUUACCUGACAAGGUUUGGUAAAAAAUUGAGAUAAACAAGUUAGAAUUUGGUAAAAAAGAUUUUUGAGAAUACCAUCCCGCUGCCAUCCCUAAUCUAACAUAGAUAACAGCUCCUUUUUCCUUCUUCCUUACUGGAGGGUCAAAAAAUAAAGAAUUAACUAAAUAAACUAUCAAAAGUAAGUAAAGAAGAAAAAGAAUAGUAAAUGUGUUUGGAUAGUAAAUUAUUUAUACAAACUUACCUACUUACAUCAUAAAUAUAUUUUUAAUCACCUUUUUAUCUCACAUAUAUUACAUCAAAAAAUGUUACAGUAUUUUAAAAAAAAAUUAUCCCAAAGAGUGUAUUUCUCAUCUUCCAAAUAACCAAGCAUUUAGAUGACAUUUGAUUAAAAUAAAGUGACCAAGAUUUACGUAGUGAAAGAAAAAAGUAAGCUUAAAGUGGACUAAUAUUUUGCAUGUACUUCUUAAUCAUAGAUUAAAGAAAAGAAGCAAGAUUAGGAAUUAACCAAAAAAAAAAAAAAAAGGCGUAGACCCCACGCGUCAGAAAAUGAAUGGGCGGGCCACCACAAUAACAAUGAUUUAAUUGGCAACUCUUAUAAAGCUGUCCACCCCCUUUACCGCACAAUCAUGACGUGACUUUUAAGGAGAUAUCAUCUCUACACGUGCCCCCUAUGACGUCAUCUCUUUGUUCCUUGUAUUUCGCCGGUGCCGUAUCGAAGCGCCUGCCGACGUGGCAAUUUUCCACCUCAGCCUCGGGUCGGGUCUGGCAGUAAUAGUAACUCUGAUGACUGAGAACGAGAAUAAGUCGUUGAUUUAUUCCCCGGCCAGCACGCAGGUCUUGGGAGUUUCCAAGUAAGUGACCAUUCUGUGCGCGGUGAGUAAGUGACCAUACUAGUGGGUUUACAUACACAUUGUAUAUGUAAAAUUUGAUCCUCAAAUGCAAAUUAAAAUCGUCUUGCAAGUAUAUAUAUAUAUAUAUAUAUUAACAAUAUAAGAAAGAUUAAUCUUUAUAAUAAUAUAGCAUAAUACUAUUACAUCUUGUGCAUAUAAAUUCUACUACUUAGUAAAUAAUAAAUACAUAUGAAAUUGCUGUGGAGGCAUUGAUUUGGAGUAUAAAUGUCAAUCGCAAUCCAAUUAUGUCACCUCACCAAUAACUUGUUCAUUAAUUUUAAAUGGAUCUAAAUAGAUAUCCAAUUAAAUUCAAUUAAUUGGUGGGUAGUCAACUGGCUCGAUUCAUCCAUUUGUACCCGUUUAAAAAUAAUUUCGCAUUUAAACUCAACUUUUAGUGAGUAUUAAGCAAAUAAAUUUUAAUUUUUUUACCAAUCUAAUAACAAUAAAAAAACUAUUAUUUCUUGUCAAACAAUAUGCGAAAUUUUUUUUAAAAAAUAAGUAAAACUUUAAGUGACUCAUAAAUGUAUAAUUAGGUAUAUCCAUGCGUAUUUAUUGAAUGGAUAUAAGUGGAUACUCAUUUAUACCAAUUUAAAUGGAUUGAUUCAAUUAUACCUAUUAUCUAAUUAUGACCCGCCCAAACCUGUUCAAAUCACCAAUUUUGACAAUUUUAAUUUGGAAAGUAAGGUUGAGAUCUAGGAUUUAAAGGUUUUGGGUUUACAUCCCUAUCUUUCUUUUCUAUUUCUAAAAUCUCACCUUUCCGAAAAAAAGAAGAAGUCUUGAUCGAGUAUACUAUAGUGAUAGGAAAUCCAAGGAGAAAUAUGUCUUUUGGUGUUCUUGAAACCCUAAAAUUCUUUAAAAUCAUACUAUUAUUUAUUCUUUUAUAGAUAGUGAGGAAUCUAGAAAAAUUUUCAGCGAGGCACAUUUAAGAGAAAGUAGUUUUAGUUCUAUAAAUAAAAUCAACUUUUUUAAAAAAAGUUCUAUAAUAGAAUGAUCCCAAUACAAGAUUUACAUAGCAAAGUAAAUAGCAAAAUGUGUAUUUAAUGUAUCACAAAAUAAGUUUCAAGAAACCACAAUAGAUCAUGAGAGCACAAGCUUUUGUGUGUAGAAAAAUUCACAACUAGAUUAAACUCCCUGAAGCAUUGGGGUUGUGUUUAUAGCCAUCAACUUUAUAUAAUUCUGGUGAUUAAGUAAUUCUUACUUGUUAUUUUCUUAAGUCUAUUACUUGUCAUUUAAUAGGAAGUUUCAUCCAGCUACUUAUGGCAUAAAUAUAUAUACACAUAUAUGUAUAUAUAUACAUAUAUAUAUAAAUGAGAUUAUUUGAAUAUAAAACACAAUAAAUUUAUUACUUUGAGUUCCAAGACACGUAUAAUAAAUGGAUAGAAUCAGUAAAUAAAAUUGGAGACAGUUAUAAUGAUAUUUGGAGACACGUAUAUAAUGAUGUUGAAUACAAGACCACUUAUGUUUAAACUCAGAACUUUUCAUGCAUUAUUUCGUUCUAGUCUUGUACAAAUAUCAUGGGCAGUGCAAAAAAUUGUUGAAUGUGCAGCAAUGUGUUCUGAUAUUUGUAGAAUGCUAUACUCAACCGCUUUACAUUGGGGGAGGGAUUGAUUAAAUGGUACGGAAAAGCAAGGGAUGGUUUGACAGGUACGAGAAGGGAGUAUAAGUGAGAGGUUUUGAGUUCAAAACCUUCCACUUUUACUAAAAGAAAAAGAAAAAUGCUUUUCAUUGCACCACAGUAAAAAUUUUGUUAUAUUCUUUGAAAAAAAUUGUGAAGUGAGGAUUUUUAUUUUAAGAAGAUAAGUUAAACCGGUAUUCUUGUUUAAAGAGCUCAAAUUUCAAUUUCAAGUAUUUUGGUUUAAAUAGAAUUUGUUUUAUCUUUGAAGCAAUCAAAAUAUCAUUCACGUAAGAUUGCAAACGAAUCAAGUCACUUACAAACACUUUCGAGUUGACUCGUUCAAAAUUCGACUCGAUCUUAGUCAACAUUGAGUUCAAGUCGACCAAGUUGAUAUAUUGAACUCGAUCCGAGCAUGGAGAAGUUCAGCUUAUUAACUCUCACGCCAACUCUAUAAUAUAUAUAUAUAUAUAUAUAUAUAUAUAUAUAUAUAUAAGUUUAUGAAGUUUAGCUUAUUAACUCUCACACCAACUCUAUAAUAUAUUUAUAUAUAUAAGUUUAUUUAUUAAUGAAAAAUGAAUAUUUUAUUCAUUUUUUAAAAAUAAAAAUAAUUAUUUUUUAUUUUUUUAAGUUCGAGUAGAUUCAAGUUUGAGUCCGACUAGGUUUGAAUUUGAGAUGAAACUUGAGUUCAAAUUUUAUAUUGAAAACUCGUCGAAAUUGAUAAAAUUGAGUCAGACUCAACUCGAUUAAAUCAAUACUCGAUUCGACUCGAUUCGUUUGCAGUCCUACUCAUUUAAUUUAGAAAUGAAGCUCAUAUAGGCUUGUGCCAUUUGAAUGCAAUAGGGAUUAGGGAGUAGAUUAGCUUAAUUGAAACUAGUGAUUUUUAGCAGUAUAUGUGCUUGACUUAGAACAAUUCUAUGUAAAGAAAUAUAUUACUUUUGCAGUAGAUAAUUUUAGGAAAUAAAUUUAUUAAAGGUCAUUUAUAUAAAAGAAGUCAUGUAACUAGCUUGAAAAUUGUGGGAGUUAGCACUUUACAGGGAAUACAACAUUUUUGUACGAGAGAUUUCUACAUUUUUAUCCCUUGCUGCAAAGGCAAUAUUGGUAUUCAAAAUAUCUCAAACAUGAAUACACUAAAGGGUUGUUCUCAUUAUAUUCCCUUGAGAAAAUUAGAAAGUUCGUUUCAUAUCAAAACUAGAAUAACAGGUGUGGACUAGCUAAUAUUUAGUGGAAUUCCAAGUAAUUAAGGAACAAAGAAUCCAAUUGGUUCUUUUUGCUUCCAUAAUGCACUACCAAACAAAAGAUUCUUGUGAAUUUUUUUAGCACAAAUCAAACUAUCAAUCCCAUCUACUUUACCAAAAGGUUUGUUUUUUGAAUUUGUUUAACCCUAAAAUAACAAGGAUAAUAAUCAUGCUGGUGCACCCACUGUUUAUAUUAGAUCUCUAUUAAACAAAUAAGUACAUGUUAAUGAUUGAAUCUCAUUGGUUAAUCAAACAUGGAUGGGCUCUAAUGCUCCCCUCAUUACUGAUAAACACUUUUUUGUAAUGGAAUAGUGUCUGACUAAAGUGUCCCAAUGAAACGAACAGAAUGAUGCUGCUCAAUAAAAUGCAAAUGCCCACUCCAUUGUUUGGGUUCUCCUCAAAUCUUUUGUUUUUCCCCUUUAAUUAUGGUUCUUUCUUGGUUGUACUUUGAUCUUUGGGUUUCAAUCUUCUUUUGGCCGACAACCAUAGAAUCUUUGAUACAUGAUCAACCAUUUUUGUGAGAUUAGAUUAUAUUUCACUAAAGGCAUAAAAUUGGCCCUUACAAAAAUAAAAAGUGUGUGUAAAAGAAGAGCAUAUUGUGAUUGCGUAUACAAAUUCAGUUUUGGUUCUUGAAAUUCCUACUUUAAUCGUUCACCUUGAUGAGAAUCGCGCAUGCAUGCACACACAUAUAAAUAAAUAUAUUUAAUUUUUUUUUAGCAAGAGAGAGGUAAGUAAGUGUGUGUAUGUAUGUAUGUAUGUGUGUGUAUAUAUAUAUGUGGAAACAAAAAUAUCAUAAGAGGGGGAGGGUUCGGUUGGGUGGUACGGGGGGAGGGAGUAUAAGUGGGAGAUUUCGGAUUCGAGUUCUCCUGCUUACACUAAAAACAAAAACGAAGCCAAUAAAGGAAGGGAGGGAGGGAGUGCAAGCAAGAGGUCUCAAGUUCGAGUCCUCCUACUUACACUUUUAUUUAAAAAAAAAUCAUAAUGGGGUCAAUGCAGACAUGUUAAAAGAAUUUUUUUUUUCUUAUGGAUAUGUAACACUUUUAAUUAGCUGAAAUUUUCGAGGGCCCAUAACACCUUUAGUGUAAGGAAAACAAUGAGUGAGUGGGCACAGGACAAGGAUAUAAGCAUUGGCAUCCCUAGUGCGGGCAUGGCCACUUUGUAAGGUGGUCCAAAAUCAUUACGAAAUUGUAGCCAUGAAUACUCUUUUCACAAAGGAGACAUGUGUUACCUCCAAAAAAAAAAAAAAAAAAAAGGCAGACAUGUGUUACCUCCAAAAAAAAUUCAUAUCUCCAAUUAUACACUUGUUUGCAAUUUUUGGAACAAUAUGAAGGGCCCAUUUAUUCCAUUCAAGUGGGGUGAAAAUGACAAACAAAUAAAUCAAGCCAUGCCUGUCAUGUAUCUCUUAGCUUUCUUCAUAUUCUUUUCCCAAAUGAUUUAGAGUGGAAAUAAAAAGUCCCAAAUUUUUUUGACACUGUUGCCUUGCUCCAUUAUUGAAAAAAGGAACUGAAUUUUAUACACUGGACUGCCAACCACCGAGCUUUGGCUCAUUGGCCACAAAAAAUGAAUUAAAUUCUUCUUUAAAUUGUAGAUCGGCGGUCUGAAUUCCACUUACAGUGAAAAAAAAUCUAAAUAAAAUGCCAAAGCACCUCUUUGAUCUAAUCCGAUCUGUAUACCUGCUAACUCUUUAUAUAUUCUCUUUAGACAACUGAACAAGUCAAUAUUGCAAGAAGCAAUCACUACUUUAGGGCCAACAAACACCACUUUAGGGCCCCUUUAUCAUGCCGUAGCAUGUGAGGUUACUCUCUACUUCACUUUUCUCUUUGAGGCAAUUUAGGAAAAAAGAAAAGAGCAACAUUUGAAAUAAUAGUAUCAUGAAUAGUAUCAUGAAAAUUUAUCACUUUAUCAAAGAAAAAAAUAGUAUCAUGAAUUGAAGUAGGUAAGUGUCUUUGGAUAGGAGAUCAUUUGGAAAAUUUAUUUGAAAUAAUACUGUAGCAACUUUUAUAAUAUGAUGUACGUGAGAUAAAAAGGUGGACGGAAAUAUAAAAAAAGGUAUUUGAAAAACGUCUUCAUGAUGUAAACAUUUUUUUUUCAAAUAAUGGUAUUCUUCCCAUUGAAAAGUUAAAAAAAAAUAAUUAAAGCAAGAUAAAAAAGAAGGUACAUGUGGGGUUGGACCACUUCCUUUAUCAAAUUUAGUCUUUAUUGCAGGAUUAGAUGUAUUUUUUGCUAUUUUAUGAUUAUUCUUUUUUGGUUCAAUGAAUUUGAUAGAAAACACUAACCUAGGGUUUCCAACUAAUAAUUGGUAUUAGUCAAAAUUUGAGGAACAUUAAGAAUUUAAUACUCAUGCUGAGGAAUAAAACCCUCCAUUAACUUGGCUAUUAUGUAAUGAAGGAUUUAAACAUUGAAAAGUACAUACUGUUUCCUUUCCUUUCUCCGGGAAUUUCUGAUGCUCACAGGCUUGGACAUUUCAAAAGCGAUUGCAAAGGCAAAACUUGUGGCAGUAAAGUGGGCUGGAUUAGGCACCAGACUUUUCCAAACGUAUUGCAACAGAUAAUUGGGCCUAAAAAUGAGAUCUGGUUUAUAUGGCCCGGAUGUGAUUAAGUUAAUAAAGAUUAAUGAAUAUUCAGCCGAAUUAGAAUUCAAGAGGAAGGGAUUGGUCGGGCGAUUUGAGAAGAAGUGUAAUUGAGAGAUUCUAAAUUCGAACCCUCCUAUUUACACUUUUGAAACAAAACCCCUAGGUAGAGUUCAAAUUUUGGGCACUUAAUAUUAAGUGCCUUUUUUUUUAAUAGAGAUUUUAAUAAAGGUAAAAUUUUUAUGCAGUGUUUAGUGUGUACAUGAGCGGGCAUAGAUGCAUACCAUUUAAUCUAAUUUCAAAUUUGAAAUUACAUACAAGACAUACAAAUACACCUAUAAGUAUAAAAAAUCAUCUACACUGAUAGUGCAUAAAAAUUUAAUUCUUUUAAUAAAAGCACUUAUUAAAUGUUUAAAUAUAUAAUUUAGAUGCCUACUUUGAUAAGUGUUUAUUCUGUUGUGUAAUAUGUAAUUUUAUAUUUUUAAAAUAUAUUUAUCUCAUUAUUGAGCUCAUAAUAUAGGAUAAAAUGAUUAUAUUUUAUAUUUUAUUUUUCAAACCCCAAAAGUUAUUUUAAAAGUAUCAAAUUUAAUUUAAUUUUUUUUACUAAAAUGCUUUUAACUCCAAAAACUCUACUUCUAAAUUUAUGAGAUAAUGUUCAUCAAAUACCUCAAAAGUACUUGCAUCGCUCAAAAGUGCUUUUUAACAUAAGCACCAGCCAAAUGGGCUUUAAAGUAAUUUCAUUCUACGAUAUGAGUUGAAUUAAAGCAAAUAAUGACAGGUUGUCGAAACCUGUGCAAUAAUAAAACCUGCUCAAACUAAAAUUAAUUUCUGUAGAUAGUGGUAAGCAGGGUCGAAUCCACAGGGACUGGGAAUAAUUGUUUCUUUUUAAAUUCACAGUGACAAGGGGGGGUGUUUUUAUCUCAGGGGUGACAAUUUAAACAAUUCAACUAAAAAUAAUAAAAAUAAAAUAGCCGACUAGAAAUUAAAUAACAAAUUACUAAAAUCAAAUGAAUGAUAAUGAAGGAUCUAGCCAAGAAAUAACUUCAGCAAUGGUUCACCUAAUUGAUCAUCGAUAAGCAAAGGCAAUUCCAAUUAUUUAUCAAUAAAUAGGUUAUAACUACCAAACAAGCGAUGGUAGUUAACUUCUCCUUACUGUGUCGGUGAUCAAGGUACGCCCGUUAAUCACUGCUCUAAUUGAGAAAUAAUCCUAGGUACGCCCGUAGAAUUUAAUUCCCCAGUUGCCUUACGUAUUAGAGGAGCCCUAUUCUAAUCAAAUAACGCACUACCAGGGUUAUUUUAGAUUAGCCCGCGUGUUCCCCUGACACAAAUCCAAUCAUGCCAGUUGUCACUAUUUUAGAGCAAUUAAACAAUUACGGAUUUAAUGCCCUAAUUGACAAUAGAUUACCCAAUCAACUAAUUAUCCGGAUCCAAGACAAUCAAUUAAUUAAAUAACCAUAAGCAUAGCAAUCAAGAAAUAUGCGAAUACCAAUAAAUAAAAGAAAAAGAUUAAAUUAAAUCGAUCUCACAAUUUUAGGCCAACCAAAACCUCCGUUGUUCCUUGACUAGAAAAGAAAAAUUAGUUCAUUCCUGGUGAACAAAUCCCACGCAGUAAAGCCUGGUGAACAAACCGACAGCUCUUCAAUCAGGUUCGAACAGCAGGUGUAAGCGAUAUCAGAUUGGCUACUGUUGUGGACGAUAUUUUACAACUCAGAGAUUUGUUUCAUAAGUGCUCCUUUUGCCUAGUUCAUAAUGAUAACAAUCAACUAAGCACUAAGCUUAGUAAAUAUGCCUUGGGCAUUAUUCUAGAUGAGGAACAUUGGUUUCCUUAGUGGCAAGUAAAGCCGCUUGUAAAGUUCAUUCGAGCUUUUGCUUGUACUUGUAAAUCUUUUGUCAAGUAAUACAACCAAUUAUCGUUUCGAGAAAAAAAAAAAGAACAAAUUCCACGCAAAGUUGGAGAGGAAGCCGCAGCCAUCGUCCUUGACCAAGGGAGCUCAGUUCGCUCAGUUGAUGGAAGAAUACAGAAAGUGACCGAGACCUUCAAUUGCUCCUGACAUGCGCAGGAGACAUCCACCCAAGACUCAAGGAAAAAGUCAAAAGGAAAACUAUGCUAAAGGUCCUACGAGGAAGGUAAAACAACUACUAAGAACUAAAAGGGAAGAAAAGUCAACAAAAGCAACUCCCUGGUGCUAGUGCUCAUUCUCUGCCAUAUAUCAAUUGCUCCUAUUCUAAUGGCUACUGUGUGCGGCGGCUCUAGCCUCCAAGGGAAAGAACGCCUAGUCCUGUGUUCCUCCUUCUCCUUUUAUUUUUCCUUUGUGCGGCGCUCUCCGGAGGAAAGAAGGCUUCGGCCCAAAUUACCCAACGAAGGGCUCGCAUCUUUUUUUGUUCCUAAAAUGCCCCUGAACUACGGACAGCUACUGAACCUUCUUUUCUGUCAAAUUGGCUCUUAUUAUGGUAUUUUCGAUCUACUCCCUGGAAUAAAUACAAAUUAUGAAAAGUGAGCAGAAUCCAAUAAUUAAUCCACAUCAAGUCAGGUAAUAGGGGAAAUUAAUAAUAAAAUAAAUGAUAAAAUUGCAACCUAUCAAAUAACAAGAAAAAAACUUGUCUAAUUAAAUUGCUUUAUUAUUUUCAAAUUAUGAUUUUCUCAUUUGGUUUCUUAAAACACUUAUUUGUGCAAAGCAAGUAAAUUUUAUGUGGAAAUAAAUCUUAUUUCUCAACUAAAUUGCCAAUUAUAUCAGUAGAACUUAAAUUGAUGUGGACUACCAAUUUUCGCGUUUUGAAUUUUGUGAUAAGAGGUUAGUUUGUAAUGAUGAAUAUGAUUUUCAUGAACAUUGUAAUAGUUAGAUUAUCUGCCUCAUCUUUUUCGUUUGAGGUUCUUGGCUCAUGGAAUCUUACACCAAUUUCCAAAGAGACAGUCGGACCAGUUCAAUUGACUGACUCGUUUCGAGCCAUUCCAAAGAUAAGAGCCAAUAGAUACUUCACUAUUUGGAAAAAAUUUGUAUAGAUGCUACUGUAGCAUUUUUUGUGACAUAAUUUGCAUGAGAUUAAAAUCUGAUUGAAAGGAUUAAAAAAUGUAUUUAUGAUAUAAGACUAUAUAUAUAUGUAUGUAUAAGACUAUAUAUAUAUAUAUAUAUAUAACUUUUCAUCCAAAGCCACCUAUUGAGCUUCCAAAUUUCCAUUCUUUCUAAUUUUUUUAUUGAUUUAAUUGUUUAAAAUAUCAUUAGUACCUUGUAUUUGGAUGGAGUCCAAAAAUAUGCUACUAUUAGUUAAGUUUAGACCCUAAAAUUAGAUUCUUUCAAACCUAUAGUAUACCCAAAAAUAUGAAAGAAUGCCUAUGAUCUUGCAAUCUAAUUCCAAUUUACCAAAAUUAGAAUGAACAUUAAAUGUUUGAACCUAAUAAUAAGGAAAUCUUCUCCAAUUUCUUUAGUCUUUUAUUAACCUUAACCAAAAAAUAAGUUUGGCCAUUUAAUACCUAUAAAACGAAUUUAAGGAAACAUCUUUGUAAUUAGUUAAUUGUACUGAAAAUAACUAUGAGCAUAUUAAUGAUUUGAACAUCAAAUUAAGGAAACUAUAAAUAAUUACGGAUUUGAAAAAAAAAAUUGGAGAAAUUUCCCCACCUCUCAUGAUAUGAACACCACAAAAAUUUUAAGGGGAAAAAAUCAUGACAAACCCAAUUUUUUUUCAUUUCUCUGUUAUUUCUAUCAAAAUCUAUUAUUUUACUAAGAAAUUGGCUUCAUUGUAAUGUAAGGUAUCUAUUAAUAAUUUCUCAAAAUGAACCACAAACAACUAUGUGUAUGUUGACAUCUAUUAAUUUAUAUAAUCAAAUUAAGCAUUUUAUAUGUUUCUUAUCCUAUAAUAGGCCAUGCAUUUGCUAUUAUUUCUCUUUUGUUAUAAGAUUUAAUCUUUUAUUCUUUGAAUUCUAAGAUUGCAUAUAGGAAAAUGUUUUAUGUUAAACUCUUAAGUCAAAUAAUUUUGCUUUACAAAAUCAAGUACUAAUAAUCAUAAUGUAAUCACAAAAAUUAGAUCUAAUAUGUUAUUAUUUAAAAAAUCAAUUUAUCAAUAUCCUAAAAAUAUAUUCUCAAGUUUUUUUAUCAUGUUUUUACUCGUGGUAAUCUUUACUUAUUUUUCAAUAUUCAUUUUGUCAAUUAGUUUUCUUUUUACUCUAGUAUCCUUAAUUGGAAUAAAGAAGCUAACUCCAUGUUCUCAAGUUCUAAAGCAACUAUACAAAAUUCUAAUUAUUCUCAUGAUUGUUUAGCAUCUUCUUUUCAUAAGUAUAUCUUUUUGGUUUUUUUUCUUUCGUUUUUAUGUGUGACAUCAUUAUAAUUAUAUUAGGUGCUCACAAUAACAUUUUUAGAAUAUAUCCAAUAUAAUACUCUUAUAAUGAGUAUAAAUUUUAAGGUGAACAAAUUUUAUUGAUACAAAUAUAUAUCUUAAAUAAACGAGGAUGUAUUUGAAUGGUUAGCUUUGAAAGUGGUUCAGGAAAUCUUUAAAAAAAAAAAAAUUGAAUGGCUAUUUAUAAACAAACUUCAAAGAUGGCAAAAUUUUGUGGAUUUAUACCCACAUUUUGAUUUUUCUAAUAGAUCUCAAAUUGCACCUUAAAUUUGGCCAAAACUAUUUGAAAGAUGUUAAAUGGGUAGCGAAGGGGGAAAAGGGAGAUAGGGGGAGGAGAAUCUAUAAAAUGGAAGAAAAGUGUCGACAAAGUGAUGUAUAAGAUUACAAGAAUAGGCAGGGGAUGGAGGAUAUGGAUGCCUUGCAAGGUAGGAAAAAGAUUAGGCUUGUUACGUAAGUAAGGGUAGCAAAUAAAAGGGGAUAGUACCAGGUAGAGGGCAUAAAGAAGGUGAGACUGCAAGAUUAGCCAAAUGUGGCAUAAAGAAAGAGGAGAGUAGCAGGAAGGGUAUUGGAUUGUAAGGUAGAAGAGAUGGCAAAUAGGGGAAUGAGGAGGAUGAUCGUGAUAUGUGAGUUUUGUAUGUCUUUUGGACCUUAUUAUUUGAGUGUUUUUCUAUUUAAUUUUGGUAAUUUUUUUUUUAUCUUUUUUUAUUGAAGAUGUAAUUAUUUGAAAAUAAAUAUUAUCUACUAAUGCAACUGGAAAUAGAUUUUUUUAUUAUUUGUUAUUCAUGGAAUCAUGUGUAGUUUAAAAACUACAUCAAAGUUCUCAAGGUACGAUAUACUCUGAAAGAAAGGAAUUUUUCUAAAAUGGGACAAAUUUUUAUAAGUAAUUACGAGAAUAUAUGAUAAUGAAACACAAUUUUUAGGUAAAUUCAUAACUUUUUCAAGUUUAUGAGUGGGGAUUUUUUUCCUUUGCUUUUAUUCAAAGUAAUAUAUUUUGAUAGAAAUUGACACCAUCUUGAACUUUCAGCUUUUCCAUUCCAAAUGACUCUUUUUUUUUUUUUUUAAUUAAAAUACUUUUACUAUUUUGAUUUCAAAUGGUUAACUCAUGCAUAGCACGGGUCAAAAUUCGAGUAUUGAGAUAUCCAAAUACACUCUAUGCAACUAGCUUGCAGGUAUCUCAAAUAAACUCAUCAUCGUAAUUCCAUCUUGAACAUAUAUAUAUAUAUAUAUAUAUAUAUAUUUAAUCCUCCCACUUCUCUCCAUAUCCUUCUACCUCCAACUGCUAGAUGCAUGAUUCGAAUCUUGAUCGUGACAGCUUCCCCUUAUUACCGGGCUAAUUUUAAUGGUUCAUCUUGAACACAUAUAAGCCACUACAAUGUCAAAUGACGCAUUAAACUCAUAAGCUUAUUUCAUGAAUGAGUUGGCCAGUCUUAUUAUAAUGUUAUAUUCAACAUUAUCAAAAUUAAUCAGCACUCGUAAGUACUUUAUUAUUAUUAUAAUCAGCUCAAAAUUAAUCACCAAUUUUACUAUUCUUUUUUUUUUUUUUUUUUACAAAGAUCAAUUUUACAAUUCUAAACAUUCAUUUCUGGACUCUCGAUGCCACUCCAAAUUGCAGAAAACAUCACCAGUUCACUUGCUCUACUUAUCCAAGCUCCUUUCAAUAUAUGUGCAUCAACUUGUAAGUAACUUGCAUUUAAACUCACACGUAAACACUUAUGGCAUAUGUUUUGUAUGCUCUAUUAAAUUUUAAGAAUAAUAAUUUACUAAGCUUUAUGAGUUAGAUUUUGAGAAGUUCAAUUUCUAUUCACAAUAUAAAAAGAGCUUUUAGACUUUGAGUUUCAUGUGCAAUACUUGUAUUUUACUCAUAAACAUAUUAGGGUUUCAAGCAUAAUUCAGAAUUAACCCAAAGUCACAAUUAAUUCAUAAUUUUAUAUAUAUGAGAAGUAGGGUGGGGCUUAAAAUUUAAUUAUUCAGGUUGGACAUAAUAAUGUAUAUAAUUAUUAAAUAUGCAUCAUUAUGAAUACAAAUAUAUACUUAUAUCCUUAAUUAUUCAGGUCAAACUAUAAUUGAGCCGAGCUUAAUUUAGUCCAAACUCGACUCAAAAUUUGAUCACGUCUUAUUUUAAGACCUAAACUCAACCUAAUUUAAUGAUGCACAAGAUCGGAUUCUAACUUUUUUUAGCCAAUAGAGUGAAGUUCGGAUUAACUCGACCCUAUUAACAGUCCAAAAAUCACGCGACUUGGUGUCCUUUGAUGAGAUAAGAAAAUGACUUUUUUUUUUUUUUGGGGUAAAGCAAUCUCUCGAUUGUCUAGUAUUAAUAUUAAAUGCAGAGAUUUGUAAUCCAUUUCUGAGUUCUGACAGUCCAUUUAUCUCAUGCUCCAACAGCUUGAAAUUAAAGAAAAGAAAGGAAAAAAAAAGGGAUAAUUUCAGAAACCUCCCUUGAGGUUUCAUGAAAUAUCACCUAACUCCCCCUAAACUUUUUAAAAUCUCACUUAGCACCCUUGAAGUGAUAGUAGGGCCAUAUACUAAUAUCAAAGGUGAUGAAUUGUCAAUAAUACCCUCAUAUUUAAAUUUUUUAAAUUUGUUUUUCUUUCUCUAAAUUUUCUACUUUUCUUUAACAGUGUCUGUACAAACAUACAUACAUACAUACAUAUAUAUAUAUAUAUAUAUAUAUGUAUAAUUGAAUUGCAAAUGUCGAUAAAAUAUAGAAUUUAAUCAAUGAAAUAUUCAAUGUAUUUGGAGAAAAAUAGCUACAAGUCUUUUUAUUUUUUUCUCUUUUUUGGUGUUUCACAACUUUAUUUAUUUAUUUAUUCCUAUUCAUGUAGAGUGCAAGAGAAAUAAAAGUAAUUGAAACUCCGAACAGUUUUUCAAAGUCUCACUUUUUCUAUAAUAAAAUUUCAUAUUCACACCCAUAAAAAAAGUUUGUCUAUUUUGAGUAAAUUUUUUGUUUGAUAUUGAAGUUGAAUUUCAUCUAUUACUAAGUUUUUUUUGCUCAAAUGUAUGAUUUUAUAGACUAAUUACCUUCAACGCUACGAAGGGUUCUAUUUGUAGAAAUUAUUUAGAAAAUACUAUUUGUUUUUACCAUCUCUUCCUACUAUAAAAGUGACUAUUGGCUGUAACAUAAAAUUUUACCAAUUUUUAUCUUUUCACUUUUAAGAUGGUUCCAAUUUAGUACUUUUUUUCUUGGUUUGUAAAAUGUUCAUUUUUUUAUAACCUAAGGGUAUUAAAGGCACUAAAAUAAUCUCUCUCCUCAAACAUGAAUUUUUUAAUAUUACUUUUGGUUAGAAGGGCUUCCAAUAUUAUCAAAAUGUCAAUUCAAGGGGUGUUAAGUGAGAUUUUGUAAACCUCAAGGGAGCUAGGUGAUAUUUCAUAAAACCUCAGGGGAGGUUUAUGAAAUUAUCCCAAAAAAAAAAAACAGCUUGAAAUUUAGUACGUUAAGCUCUAUGUAUUGUACACUCAGAAACUAAAGUCCUAACUCCUAAUAGACCAUUACCAUAUUUCCAUCUUCCUCUCUGAAGCUCAACUGCGAAGCCAUGGAAACUCUGCUGCCUCUUUCCACAACUCUUCGUAUCAACACACUCCAUCCAAUGGUUUCUCCUUCAUUUCUCCAGAGAAGUGGCUCUGCAAAUAAAUUUUUGCCUCUAAAGGUAAUGACUACGUACUUUUACUGCUGCUAAAAUAUUCCAUCUUUUGCAAGUUUUAUUGGGUUUUUUUUGUAAUCUUUUUAUUUGUUUUCAGUGCUAUUUUUUCUGGGUUUUGAUGGGAAUUGCUUGAUAUUAUUGUAUCUGUUGGAAACUGGAUAUUUGAAUUGGGAUUUUUUUUUUUUUUGGGUUUAGGACCAAAAUUAAGUAGGUAAUUUUGUAUGUAAAGCAGUUUUCUGUUUUGAAUUCCUUUAGUUAUUGUAUGUUUUCCCGUACUACUUAAAGUAGAUUCAACAAUAGCAAUAUUUGAUCUUCAAAGAUUCCAAAUUUGUUGCACUGAAAGGGAAGUUUGAGUUUCUGCUAAAAAUUUGUUGCUUGAUAUUAUUGUAUCUGUUGGAAACUGGAUAUUUGAAUUGGGAUUUUUUUUUUUUUUUUUUGGGUUUAGGACCAAAAUUAAGUAGGUAAUUUUGUAUGUAAAGCAGUUUUCUGUUUUGAAUUCCUUUAGUUAUUGUAUGUUUUCCCGUACUACUUAAAGUAGAUUCAACAAUAGCAAUAUUUGAUCUUCAAAGAUUCCAAAUUUGUUGCACUGAAAGGGAAGUUUGAGUUUCUGCUAAAAAUAAAUAGUAAAAAGAGAAGUUUUGAGAUUUAUUUGGUAUGGGAAUUAAAUUCUGUAGGGUGGAUAGGAAAUCUAUUGUUGGAGGGGUGGAGAUAUUUUGGGUGAUAUAAGAUUUUAAGAUAAAUGUUUGUGCUGAAUGCUGAAGCAAGGGGAACUAUUUGGUUGCCUGCAGCAGUAUAUGGGAAAAAUUAGCAUUUUACAUGAAAACAAGAAAAAAUUGUAAAAUCCAGAUUUUUCUAUCGUUGUUGCAUCAGAUUACUCUCUUACAGAGCUUUCCUUCUUUUAUUUCCAAGUUCAGUUUUUGGUAGGUUAUUACUACAUCUUAAGAUAUGAGUAUCUUGGAGUGGUAUAGCUUCCUAUCCUCAAUUAGAUACUAAACUGGACAAAAGCUUUUUAAUUGACAAAUACCCAGCUCGGCAGGAAUGCAAAAGCUUAAGUCAUCCAAUUAGAAAUUAUUGUGGCAGUUUUAGCGUGACAACCUCACUAUGUGUUGUGGUUGUGCUCAUAACAGAGACUUUUGCAAGGGAAACAAGAAGGCAAUGUUGAUCGUCAUGAUGCUUACAUGGAUUGUCCAUUCAGUUCAAACACAUGCACUAAAAGUUUACUUCAUGUUACUGAGGAGCUUUUGCUUGAAAUGCCAUACAAAGGUUUUUUGCCUGAUGUCUCCACUCUGUCUACUUUGAUGCUGUGCUAUGCCAACAAAGGUUUGUUCUCUCAAGCACAGUGUAUUUGGGAUGAAAUGUUUAACAGUUCUUUUCUACCCAGUGUUCCUAUAAUUUCAGAGCUAAUUGAUGUCUAUGCAACCAGUGGACAUUUUGAUUUGGUGAGCAGAAUUCUGCAUCAAGUACGCUUGAGAAACCAUAUGAUGUUACCUGCAAUAUAUGCGCAGACUAUUUCUUGUUUUGGUAAGAAAGGAGAACUUGAGUUGAUGGAAAUUAUGCUAACAGAGAUGAUUGCUAUGGGAUUCUCGGUAGAUUCUGUCACACAAAAUGCUUUUGUCAUUUAUUCCAGCAAUUUUGGUUCAGUGGCUCAGAUGGAAGUUGCAUAUGCCCGUCUUAAGAGUUCAAGGAUUCUCAUAGAGGAAGAAGGAAUCAGGGCAGUUUCAUCUGCUUAUAUCAGGGAAAGGAAAUUCUAUAGUCUAGGGAAGUUUCUAGAGGAUGUUGGUCUUGGCAGGAGAAAUGUAGGAAACCUUCUGUGGAACCUUCUCCUGUUAUCCUUUGCCGCCAACUUCAAAAUGAAAAGCUUGCAGAGGACCUUUGUGAGAAUGGUGGAAGGUGGAUUCCAUCCUGAUCUGACUACUUUUAACAUUCGAGCUCUGGCUUUUGCAAAGAUGUCAUUGUUUUGGGACUUGCAUCUGAGCAUUGAACAUAUGCAGCAUGAAGGAGUUGUACCCGAUCUUGUGACUUAUGGUUGUAUAGUUGAUGCAUACUUGGAGAGAAGGCUGGGAAAGAAUUUGGAAUUUGCUUUGAGCAGAUUGGACACAGAUACUCCUGCUACGAUAUUGACAGAUGGAAUUGUUUUUGAUGCGAUGGGAAAAGGGGAUUUUCACUUGAGCGCGGAGGCCUUUUUGGAGUUCAAAGAUAAAAGGGAUUGGACCUAUAAGCAACUUAUUAAAAUAUAUCAAAAGAAAAAAUUCCGGAGUAACCAAGUGUUUUGGAAUUACUGAUGAAAUGUUCAAUCAAUAUGAUUUCAAUGCAACAAGCAGCUUAUGCCAAAAGGACAGCCUCUCACUUGAAUAGUGAGACAAAAAAACCUGGUGGGACUCUUUGGGUGGACAAAGAGCAUCAGCUACAGGUGAACAGAAUGUUGGGAGCAGAUGCAGUUUACUCCAAGAGUUGUUGUAUAUAGGUAGGCCAAGGCUGUAUUUUUUUCAUUUAUCUUUUCUGAAAAAAGUCCUUAUAUGCUUGUAUUUUCCAUAUUUAGGAUGUCAGCACAGAAGUUGGGAUGUGGAAAAGGACAAGUUUGGUGAGCAUUAGUUCAUAGCUACUUACCAAAGUUUGAAUGCAUGAAGGAGACAAGUAGUAGGUGCCAUGUCAUUUGGUAGGCUCUGCUUUUUUCUUCCGGUUUUAGAUAUGAAACCUUUUAUUUCUUUAUUUUUUUAAACUGAAAAAUGUUUUGGAUCAAGACAUAAACUAAAUGGGUUUACAGCAAAUCGAAAGAGUGGAUUGAAUAAGUACCCAUAUUUUUCAUUCUUGUUUUGCCACAAUCAUUUCAGUGCCAUCUUGCAUUUUGUUUGAUGUAAAUAGUUUGUUUCUCAAUUGAAACUGAUGAAGAAUGUAAAAAGAUGAAGAAUCAAGAGGAUGAAGCACAAGUAAUUAACCAUUGUCUGAUGAUAUAUGAACGUCAAGAUAUCCGUCAUUAGGAUCGCCACUUACACCCAGUGUCAUUUCUAUUCGGAUUUGCAGGUUUAGGAACAGAAAGAUACUGAUAAUGCGGCUGAAGAUGACUGUCGAAAGCUGUAAUCACCUCAUCCAAUCACCAAGCAGAAUAUGAAAAUCAGGCAACCAAUCAUUAAGAUCACCUUUUCAAUUUAGCUAUCCCAGCCAACCAAUGAUUAAAAUCACCAACAUGGCUGCCUCAGCUUCCUUUAUCUGACAUUGCAUGGCCAAUUUCUUAAGCAUUGUUGGACUAUUCUUUGGCUUUGCAAAUUUGUAUCCUUUUUUCUUCAGAUAUUGUUAGAGUACAAAAUCUUAAUGAGUUGCUGGAGUUUGUUGGAUAAUUUCUUAAGAUGCUAAUAACUUACUGCACAGUUGCUAUAAAUUUAGUUUAUGUCUUAUGACUUCAGUUAUAGCGUGGUAGGCUAUGCUUGCAGUCUCAAGGGGAUCUUUGCACCAUGCUGUGGUAUGGCCGACUAGCAACCAUGAAAAAAUCGAUGAAAUUUAUGAAAGAGGAAAAAGAGAAACAAGGAGGAGAAGUGUGCAAAUGAUUGUUGUUCCUUCAUCAAAUAGUCUUUUUCACUCGUUCCUUUCUCAGUCCUUCCCCCUCAAAUUCUGGAUAGAAUCUUGAGAUUACUAGAUCCACUUUCUCUGGUUUCCAGGUGCUGCUAUAACUCAUUGUUGAGUUUCUGUUGGAACUUCCAGAAAGAGUUUAGUUAAUGGAAAACCAGUAGAUUCCAGAAAAGAUUGUCUUUACAUUACUGGAGCAUGUUUGCUUCUUUGCAUGAUUGGAUAGUUCAGCAUAAUUGGAUAGUUAUAUGUCAACUUGGCUUUAAGUUUAGCUGAGAAUGUUAGGAACUCUUAGAAGUUUAGUUGGAUAAUGUUGUUAUUUAUGCCAAGCUUGUUUGCAAGGAAGAACACAAACCAAGACAUAUAGGCUCUGUGACUUGCAGAAAUUACUCUAGGAGAUAUUUCAGAUCUUGAGAUGAUACGAGUAAGAUCUUGUAACAUUGAAUUUUUCCUCAUCUGCGUUCCAAUUGAUGUAUUAGAAUGACUAAACCAAAUGGAUGUAUUGGAAUGUCUGACUCCAUUCCUAGUACUAAACCAAACGGAUGGAAUGACAGAUUCCAUUCCAAGCCCAGGAUGAAUGAUCUCAAAUCCGAAUCUGAUUCCAAUGUGCAAACCAAAUGCCACCUAAGAGGUUUGUUGAUGUUGCAGAGAGUCAUUUUCAUCACUCGAUAAUGUCAAAGACUCAGGCCCUCUAUAACAGCCAAAUACUAUGUAAAAUCUCAAUCUACUGCUUCCUGCAUGAGUCUAGAUUUUCUGAUCACAGGACCAAAUUCGAGCAUUGGAUUUCAUUUUUUCAGGUUCCCUUUUCCCUAAACGCCUUUCUCAGCGGAAACUAAUGCAAAAUUCACGUCUCUUGUUGUAGUUGCAUGACAAGCAUAACAUAGUAUGCGUUAACUUCGUAAUUUGAAUCUUUGCUUUUAAUUGCUUGGUUAUCGAGUAUGAUCAAGUUGAUGAGGGACAUUAAUAUUUCUCCAUGCAGUUCACUUUGACCUUUGCAGUAUGUUCUUGUGGAGUUUGAGCUUGAACUCAAGCAUGUUUUUUUUGAGCUAUCUCGUCAUUGUUCUUAAUAAUCAAAUCACUGUACUUUUUCCUUUAUACUGAGCUAUUCAAAAUGCCGCUGAGAGAAUAUCGUUUGAUCACUUCUGAAUUUUUUGUCAGAAGUGAUCAAACCAAAAAAUUGUUCGACAAGUAUAAGUUUUGCCCACUACCACGUGUAAAGAUGAAAUUGAAAAUCUAUUGCAAGUUGGUGUUGAAUAUUGUUUAUAUUGCAACUGAAUUUUUCAUGGAGAUUCAAACUCGUGAUGACAUUGGAGAUGACAAUAUCAAGAGUUUGGUUUAAGGGAGGCAAUAAGGGAAAUUAAACCAAACUGUAUUUGGUUUCUUAAUUCUUUUAGCCGUCUUGUUUGUUUAGUUUCCACAUCGGAUUAGGAAAUUUAAAAUCAGUUUCCAAGUAAAUUUCAAUUUACAAUUGUACUUGUUUAAUGAAAUUUUGGAGUCUAUAAAUACUAUCAGUCUAGUAGGUUAUUACUGGAAGAGUUGAGUUAAAUCGUAAGAAUACGUUUGAGAAAAAAUUUCACAGUUGAAAUUUGUAAGUGGUUUUGAGCUAAAGGCUAUGAAUUUAUAUUGUUAUUAUUGAGUUUUCGAUUAAUAAAUUAUUGAGUUUUGUAAUGUGUUAAUUGUCCUCCUCUUCCCACGUAUUUUUACACAUGCUAAAAUUGCUUCUGCCGUGCGCGCCUUUUUUUUUUUUUGCCAACACACUUUCUCUCUCUCUCCUCAUCGUUUCACGCUUUCACUUGUCAUUUAGUUUAACUAAUUGAACAUUUAGCCAGACAGAAAUGUGAAAAACUGGGAAUCGUUCAAAUGCAGAGAAUUGAAACACUAGAUUACUUGCAGAAAAUGGAAGUGAUGAAAGUUGCUGCUUCUAAAUCUUUUAGAGCAUACUAUGUAGAGGUAAACGGGAACUUGAAAUUCGAGUGACUUGGAAUUUAAAUAACUAAAAAUGCAGUCUUAUUACAUGCCUCUUGGUUUUACCAGACAAAAGAGACUUAAGGGAAACCUGGGCAAAAUGCCAGACUACUUAUCCAAUAUUCUUGGAAAAGAUAAUCAGAUUAGGCAACCUUGAAACACUAGACAACCUUAUAAAAAAUCAUCUUGCAGUCUAAAUAAAAUCAAACAAUGGUUUUCUGGUAGCCUUCAGCAUUAAGGUGAUCUCACAACCUUUUUUCUGAAUCUCUUCAAACAUACUGCUCGCCAACUUACUCAUUGAUCUCUAUCUGAAAAGGUUGGAGCGCUUGACCCAUUUGUUAGACUUUCACGUCCAGAUUGUUGCGGCUGAUCUUCACUCACCUGCAACAGGAUUUUCAACAAUGUAUUAAACCACACGAUUGAUUAUCCAAAAAGAUCAGUCUUUAGAAGUACUUGAAUUAUAAGGCAGCCAUGCAGUUUAUAGCUCUCCAGUGUGCCACAGAAAAAAUAGAUGGAUAUAAUGGACAGGGUAUCUCGUCAGCUUUCGGACAGGGUAGAGAUAUUCAAACAAUUCCAACGUUGUAUUGUCCGGACUCUUUGGAAAUAGAGACAUUUUGUUUGGUUUAUCUAGAAUUCAGCAAUUAUUUUACUUUGAAAAUUACCUGAGAGGCACAUUUUGGGGUUUCUCUCACUAGGGUUGCUGGACUAGGAAUGAUGCCUGACAUUCUUUCUUCUGCUAGAGUCCUUAACCUAUCAAGUUCAGGUAACACCACAGUACGAAGAUCUGGUCUAUCUUUACGCCUUAGUUCUGCGCAUUUAAGAGCUAACUUGGCAAAAUUCAGGGCCUCCUCUACUGGCCAGUCUGGAACAGCUGGGUCAAGCAUAUCAGCGAAUUUCCCCUUCUCAAUGGCCCUCUGAACAUGGUGAGUCAAACCCAUGGGAGGUUUUGCUGUAAUAAUUUGAAGAAGCAUGACUCCUAAAGAAUAAAUAUCGGAUUUUAUUCCAAGCAUACCAGUUUGCUGGUACUCGGGAUCUAUGUAACAGAAUGUUCCGGCUGUGGAUGUCAUAAGGUAUUGAGUUACAGUAUCAGCUACAGAAGGAGGGACAAGCCUUGCUAAACCAACAUCACCGAUCUUGCUUACAUAGUUUCGAUCAAGCAAAAUGUUGGCUGGUUUUAGAUCCCGGUGAACGAGUGGUUCUGGCUUUGUCUGGUGGAGGAAAAGGAGGCAAGUGCCAAUCUCUGCUGCUAUUCGGAACCUUAAUUGCCAGGGAAGCACUGGGGUCUGUCCUCGCCGGAAGAGACGAUCAUCUAAGCUCCCAUUUGGCAUGUACUCAUACACGAGGCAACCAUACUCUGGGCAUGCUCCUAGUAGGAGAACCAUGUUCGGAUGUCGUAUACAACUAAGAACUUCAACCUAUAUCAACAUAGUACAAAAGAAUAUGAGAAAGACAUCACUAGUGUGUUUCAGUAAAACUAUUUGUUGUAAUUUGAUUCCUUCAUAGGAUGUUAGUGCUUAAUUCUGGCAUUAGGGCCUGAAGAUUUAUUGAUUUCAUGCAUUAAAAUGUACGUACAGAUGCUGCAGAAGGUUGUGCAUCUUUAUCAAAAUUUGCUUGAAUCUGUUAUAUAUUUUCAGCAUGUUCGUAUUAUUUCAUUGGUCAGUAUAUGCAUUUUUCGUCCUUUUAAUUUUUGUUACAUAGCUGUAGUUGGAUGACUGAUGUUCUAAGGGUAGUCAAACAUGCCUAAGUAUAUUUAAGUCCCAUACCUCUUGCUGAAACUGUGCCCUUCCUUGAGAUGCGUCAGGACGUAGUACCUUUAUUGCAACAGGUGUAUGAUCUAGGUUACAUUUGUAGACUGGUCCAUAUCCACCUUCACCAAUUUUUCGAGACUCUGAGAAGUGAUCCGUUGCUGUUUCAAUUUCAUCUAUGGUGUAUCUCCGGUAUCUAACAUCACCAUGUGCUAGCGUAUGCAGUACUCUUUUUCUCUCCUCUUCUUCUCUGAGUGCCUUCAUUUCUGCAUUCUUUCUUUUUUGUGCUUCCAGUUCUGCAAUCCUCUGAGCUGCUUCAGCUGCCUCAAUGGCUACCUUACACUUGGCCUUUUCUUUUUCUGCAAUUGCUAGUGCUGCUUCCUCAGCUAAUCGUGCCUCUUCUAGCUUCUGCUGUUCCUCCAUUUUCCAACGUUGAAGCUCUAAUGCCUAGAGCAAAUAUUUUAAAUUUACUUUGGCCAUUUCCAAUUUGGCUGAUAAAAUUCUUAUAUCUUUGACUUCUUGUGUAUUUCGUGCAACGAAUGGAGAUCUUACUGCACAAGGAGUUUGAAAAUUUUGAAUUGCAAAAGUGCUCACCUUCUGUUUUGCUAAGAGUGCUUCUUUGCAUGCUGUGCUAUACAUCUCCAUUGUCUGCUUGAGCUCUUGCUUGAGCCUUCUCAUCUCAGCUUCUACAUCCUCCUGUGCGUAAGAUACGCAGCUUAAGCCAUUGUUUAAUAAAUGCUCUAUUUAUCAUCGUUGCUUUGGAAAGGCCUAUGUUGUUAGUGGUGCAUCUUCUAGUAACUUUGAAGGUCCUGAAAACCUUCAUCUAUACCCCUUACCCCAGAUAAGAUUCCUUACCUUCUUUGAAGAAGUAAAAAUUUUCUCUUGGUCAUAUCAAACCACUGAAAAUAAAAUGCAGAAACCACAGGAACGAAGGCAAGGGAAAAAGCAAGUGAAAGAUGUAUGUUUGGAACAUUACCUGAUGUAAAUGUGAAUUAACGUAGAGAAGAAACCUUAGUUCUUAUUCCUGUCUGGAGGGUUUAAAUCUCAUAGCGGAGUGAAUGUUCAAUGGCUUACAAUAUCACACUAUAUCAGUGUUCAGUAAUCGACUACCAUAUAAGAAAUUAGUUGGGAAUAUUUUGUGUUGGAAGUUAGGCAUUGUGUUAAUUACACAAAUUCUCUUUCCUAAAAGGCCUGACUAACAAUCUUUGGUCUUGGUGUCUUGCGAUCUUCAUAUGACCAAUAACACUGAUCGGCCUUUAUAGUAUUACCUGAGUAAUUUCUAUGUUUUAUGCUAUUACCUUGAACUUGUUACACAAAGUGUGAAUUAAGUAGUUAUUUUCCAUUAGUAAAGCAUUUCAAGUUUAAAUCAUGCUUAAAGCUUGAAGUGGUUUUUGUUGUCUGCCAAGUCUUUCACAAACUUGAAUUCUACUCCUGUACUACAUUGUUUGUAAGAUUGGCUCGGAAACUUCAUCUGUAAAUCUCAUUGGGUCACUAAUGCUACUUCUGUAUGGUGGAGAAUAUGCAUGUAAUACAAAUAAAUUUCUUUUUGUCCUUUGAAUUUUAUUUUUUUGUUGGAGAUUGAUAAGACAGUAAUCACUACUAACUUGGUUUCGCAAGACUACUUUAUUUUCGGUUGAUGAAUUAACAGUAUUGGGUAUCAAUGCGCAUACCUGACUCUGGCUGGAUGAUGACGACCAUGAUAUGCUGCCAUUUUCGUGUGUUCUGGAUGGAAAUGUACCAGAACUGCUUGUAUCAGGUGUCCUUGGCCCUGAGAAUGAUGAACCAAAAUUCGAUGUAUUCUCUGUUUCAGAGCCAUUUGAAAGACGAGGGGGAAAUGCCAUGUCCUGAAUGUCAGGUAAAGGGAACAAGUGGUCCAUGCUUGACCUGCCCGAACUGAUAAAUGAUAUGUCGCUAUCUGGCAGUGAGAAGUCUCCAGAAGACCUAUUCUGAGUUUUGCCUCUAGUAAAUGGUGACCUGAGCAAGGGUAGUAAAGUACGGUUACUGUAUGUCUUAGCCUUCAUUUGCUGGAAAUCAAUCAAAUGAUUUGUUUAUUCACUUUCAUCGCAUUUCUUUUGCAGGUAUUGGUUGAAAUGUGGGUUCCACACAACUUUUACCCAUGCAGAUUUAAGAAUUCUGAUAAAGGACCAAACAUCUUAAUGAUUUUGAAUGUGAGAUGCCUAAUACCGUCAUUCUGUUUGUUCCUUAUGUAGAAAGUGAAAAGCAGUCAUUUCUUGAUAUAUGCACAACUCACUUGAUUGAGUCCAUAUCUUCAGCCAGAGUUCGUGGGGCAAUCGGUGAUUUAUCAUGAGAAAAACCUGUUCAAGUUGAGUGAUGCAUUUAGUUCCUCUACCUGUACUAAAACCAUAAUUUAGACAUGGCGAAAUUGCAGAACCAGACCUCUUACUCCACUGCCAUGCAUCAGACGUGCAUCAGAAAGGACAGGAUUUGUCGUGCCUUGAUUUUGCCCUUGGCGAGGCGGUGGAUUUGGAACUGGACAGGAGGCAGCCCUUACUGAUGAGAGUUUUCCUUUUGAGAUGGUAAAAACAUUGCAAAAAUCUGGUGCCACCUUGGAAACAGUGGAAGCGACGUCAUUAGUCUUGAAUCUGCUGCGUCCAAAGAUUUGUUAGUAACGAGGUACAAAAAUAGCAUCACACUUAUGCUUCAUCAGGGGAAAAGGGAAAUAGCAACACUAAUGCUGCUAGUCGAGUAGUUGCUAGAUGAUAAUAUUUCUACUAUCUUCAUAUUGUUUUGAAGAAUGGUUGAUUCAGUUAGACCAUACAAGUAGAGUGAGAUUGAAUUAAUGGAACUUUUUAAUUUCUUUUGGUACCAACCCUGAAGUCACCUUCUUUGAACAUUUCUGCAGUGUGUGGUGUAGGCACCAGAUACAAGGUAAGAGUGAACUAUAUGGGUUCUAAUGCUUUCAACUGGCUUUUCUGACAAAUGAAAAGUAUUGCCUUUGCGUGUCUGCAUGCAUGUGCAUUGUGUGAGUGUUUAUGGUUAUAAAAAGCUCAUCAUGGCAUCUAUGGUUCUUGAUAUAGGUUUGAUUCUAGGAAUAGACCUGCAUUUUGAGGCUCUCUAACCAAAAUUGAAGUGAUUGUUAAUAAAAGAAAGGAAGAAGGAUCAAGUAUCUUGCAGAAAGUUACUUCUCUUAAAAGUUUCCAGCAUAGCUGAUCUUAAACAGAAACAGGUGUUCACAUCUGUAUGUAUCUCUGAAUUUAAUUAUUUGGAUAGUAAGAAAGUAGAUAAAUGGGGCAAAGAAGUAAUUUACCGAACAAAUGCACUCUUUGAUGGAGCACCAAGCACCAAAUUCUCAACGAAGUUUGCCCUGACAUAGUCACAUAUGCCUUUUGCUAUGUCCAAAUCCUCAAUCAUGACUUCAUUAACUCGUAUCUGUUGCAAGAUAACUAGUCAAAUUCUAAAAGCUUGCUACCUAAACAUAAAAAGGAAAUUUAUGUUGAUCAGGUAAAGGCAUCCAAGAGGGGUUUUGGGUUUAAAGAAUGGACUGAAAGAUAUCAUAUGUUGAAUCAGGGAACUUAGAUGUGGGUUUUUCAUAAUCUUUUUAAUCGAUGAUUCUUGAGAAUGAAUGGUUAACUUUCUCUCUUGGACACUUUUUGGGUUCAAUUACUAGGUCUUUUCUAAACUUAUGUAGGUAUUCUAUGAUUUACUUCUUUUUUUGCAGUACAUGAUGAAAUCCUAUUCUUUCUUUCUUUUCACUUCUUGUAGCAAGUCAAGAAAAGAAAUAAGUAACCAGCAUAAUUCAGAACUUCAAAAUAUAUAGCAGAUCUUACAUCCUUGCGAGUGCAGAAGCAGCGGAAGGGAAGGAACAACUCCUUGGAUUGGCCAUCAGCAUCUUUAUAUGAUCUUUGAAUGCUAUCAUUAGCAUCAGCAAGAGCAAUGUGGCUCACCACUGCAACAAUGAUAAAAAUUUUGGAAUUCCUAAUGAGAUUUUCCAAGAUGAAUAUCGAAAAAUCUUACAACAUACAAGCAUGAAACGUAUGCUUGCAUAUUCGUCCAGUAUCUGUAAACCCCCGAGCAGAAACUGUUACCAUGCUGCAGACAUUAUUAAUACAUGCAGAGCAGGUAUCUUUGAGUUUUAAGCAUUGUGUCCAACAGCAUAGUUUGGACUGCAUGAUUAUCAGUCAGAAUUAAAUGUUGAGAAUUGCUUGUUUUCUUUGGAGUAUUGACCAUAAGCUUAACUUUCUCGAGCUAUUUGCCUUAUUCUUACAUUGUUUCUCUGCAGUUUCACAAAUUUGUUUGAAACUGAUACUGUAUUGUACUUUUAUGCAGUUAGGAUUGCAGCCUUACGAGAUGAUGCAUUCUCACAAUAUGGACGUGAAAAGCUGGCAUAACAAAACAAUGAUGGACUGAUGGGUAGGUAUUUGUAUAGAGAUUCUAUUUCGAAUAAGUCCAUGCAUUGAGAAUUCAAGCACAUACAGAUACCAGAAUAAUUGUUUCAAAUGUUAUUGUGCAAACAAAAUCAGCAUCAGGGCAUUCGUUAUAGAAAGACUAAUAUGCAUUUUCAAUUAUUAGACACAUAAAUCAGGACUUUGACUGUAAGCAUCUAAUUAAUGCUGAAUUACAAACACCAAUAUGGAACACAAUAUGAAGAGUAGAAGAUAAAAAGAGAGAAUUACAUGAAGCAGAGGAAGGUUGUUUUUGUUUGACAUGAAUCAAUGUAACAUAUUUGCCUUUUCCCACAAGAUUAUCAACAGCCCAUUUCAAAGCAUAUUGGCUUCCUUUGUCUUUAUCUAUGGCCACGCAUACCAUUUCAGCAUUUCCUCUAGGAAUUGGCAUUUUGGUUCUGUAGCUAGGAUCAAUUCGAACACACCCAAACCCUUUGAGUUUUAUAAGAAUUCUUGCUUUUAUGCUUUUCUCAAAUGAGUUUCUAGACUUUCCUCUCCUUGUUUCUUGCAUUACCGAAGGCUAAACCAUUUGAAAAACCUCUUUUUAUAUCUUGGAGAGGCUCCAAGUGAUUUGGAAAUCUUAGACUCCUUUUUGACUCCCAAAGUCUCCUAGAUGACAAGAGAUAAUUCAAAGUAUUUAGUUUUGCUUCUGGUAUUCUUUUUUCUUUUUGAGAGAUGACAGCAAAGACAUUUGAAAGUCAUCCUACAUUCCAGGGAUUUCUCAUUCCUAUCCCCCCUUGAAGCGGUUGACCAGGGAAUGGUAGAUGAUCCACCCCAUAUUUCAGAAAAAAGAAAAGAAAAGAAAGACAAGUAGUAGUGAAAAGACCAGUUCUGCAGAGUUUUCUUUGCCUGGUCCAAGACCAAGCGUUGUAAAAGACAGACAAAGAUUGCAACAUUUUCUGAAGGACACAAGACAGGCAAGAUGCCUAACUAAUUGCCUAUUUUCAGAGGGAAAAAGGUUUCACCCUUGUCCUGGAAAAAUAGCCAACUAAUUUACUUAUCUCAGAAAGGAAAUACAACUAAUUUUUUCUCCAAUUUUCUUGCUAUACGACCCCCCUCUAGGUCCAAACAUGCUUUGUCUUUCCCUUCAAGGAAGCUUGAUGUUCAUUUCACACAGAAAAGGCAAAAUACCAUGGUAGGAGGAUGAACUCAAUUAACUACUUAUUUAUUUCAAGGGAUCAAAAUAAAUGAUCCAAGUUUGGAAACCUCAUCAUCAUAAAAAAAAAGAAAAAGAAAAAAAGAGUAUGGAAACCUAAACUAAUCAAUGCCAAAACUAGAAAAUUCAUGUGUCAGAAUUUUUCAUGAUCUUUUUUUUUUUAAAUUCUUUUUAGCGCUGUCAAAAUGUUAGCUCUACUACUUUGUAAUUUACUUGAUAAGUGGAUAUUCAUAGUUUGCCUCUGAUUAUAUGCUAGUGUAAUUGUGGUGUUUGUAGGAACUAAUGCAUCUUCGAUCUUUUCAUUUGCGUUUUGGCAUUAUAUCAAAUGAUAAAAGUACUAGAACAUUUCUUUGUGGCCAAGAUAGAUUUGUUCAAUGAGACAAAUCUGAUAUAACUGUCAUUCCCAUCCUUUCCAAUUUUCACAUUUUUGAUAAUUUCUUACUGCAAACUUUAAGUACUAUGGCAUGGUUAAAAAAAUAUAUAGAUUAAGAAAGUGGUUCCUUCUUAAACAUAGGCAGUCCUUUGAUCAACAUAGAGAAAAAUGUAUAAUCUCAUUUUAUUUUAGAAAAUGGAAUGUGACUAGAUUUAGACUUUUUUUUUUCUUUAGCUUAUUGAAAAGGGAAAAGCAGAAAAUUUGAUGCAUAUGCUGCACUUUUUCCUUUCUUUAUCUUUUUUUUUUUUUUUUUGGUUUUUCGUGCAAUAAAUUGGCUACAUUAAGAAAAUGUAAGAAAAUCAUGCUCAAUUAGCCAAAAAUUGUAUACAGCAAUAAGCCAAAACUUUAGAAAGAUAAAUAUGCAUAACUUGUCAUGAUACAACAAGUGUACAGAACAAAAAGAAUGUCAGCUUCUUGUUAACAAAUUACUCUAUGAUUAUCAACGAACUGGAGCUAGAUUGGAAAUGCUAGCAACUCUAGAAUAUACAAACCCUCAAAAUCUUGUUCAUUGGCAUGCAUUAAUCUGUUAACGAUUGCUCUAAGAUAAAUCCCAUUUUAUCAAGAAGCUUACAGUAUAUUGAAAACGGUACUAGACUAUAUACAUCAUGACAAGAACUAAUGCACUUUCCUGCCCAUUUUUCCAUUCUGAAAAAGGCCUUCCAAUUGAACUUCACCUUAAUGUAUAUUCUUCUUGUUAACAUCAUUGCCUUGUGAAGCCAAACCUUCCAUUCCCACUGUACCUCGAAAAAUCAUCCGAUUUGUGUCCAAGACUUCCUUUGUAUGACAGAAAAAGCUUUCCCACUUAACCAUUCAUUGGAACAUUAAUGAAGUCCUCAGAUAACCCCCUUGAUGAGCGCAUGUCUGUUUCACUGGUAUAUGAAGAGUGGAAAUCAUCAACAUCAUCUCUUUCCUUUAUCUCUUCAAUCCUGUCGACUGCCUCCUUAAUGUCCCAUCUCUUGUCAAUUUCAGGCUCACAAAGAGUCAGUGCUAUCUUUAGUAGCUUCAUCAUUUCACCUUCACAGUGCUUAGUUCCUUGCAUAUCUUUGUCAAAAACCUCAACGGUCCACUCAUCCUUGACAACAGAAUGCACCCAAGUCGCCAAAUCGGUGUCACUUCCCUUACCUUGUUGCAAGAAGUUUGAUGGAAAUUUUCCUGUGAGAAGUUCAAGUAUCAAUACACCCAAGCUCCAGACAUCAGUUUUCUUGGUGAUGCGGCCAUUUUGCUUGAAUUCAGGUGACUUGUAGGCUAUCAUUUGGUCCCGUGCUUGUUCCAAGUUGACUACUGGAAGUAGUCCGUAGUCGGUGAGCAAUGGCUCAUUGUUUUCGUUAAGAAUAACAUUGGAGGAUUUGAGGUGACCGUGGGGUGCGAUCAGGCUCGGGAGCGAAUUGUAGAGAUACAGAAGGCCUUUAGAUACACCUUUGACAAUCUUCAAUCUGGUAGGCCAAUCAGGGCUUGACAGACCACGAGAUUUGUUACCUGGAAAUACAAGUUUCUGCUGUUUAGACCUCAGCACACGGGUGGCUUGAUUUCCUUUUUUUAUUUUUUGGUUCUUCAGAAAUUACUUACAUUAAUAUCUAUUACUCCUCCCCGACUGAGGAAUUCAAAGUUAGGAAGGCAAAAUUGUUAUGCAUAUUUUUGGUCAUUGAUGGAACAGAAAAGGUAAAAACCACUUCUCAGGAAAGUAUUUUAGAUCCAACCAAAGAAGUCUAAUAUAGGGAGAAAUAAGUGAUCAACUAUGGCUAAAAACUGCAGAGAAAAGCAAUCUUCAUACUCAGAACUAAUAAAAGUUGCAUCAUGCAUAGUAAAUUUGAAUUAUGCAUACUUACCAUGAAGUUGAACAGCCAGGCUGACAUUUUCAACAUAGGUAGAAACUAUAAGUUUCUCCUCUUUCCUAUAGUAGAAGGCCACAAGUGGAAGCACAUUCGGAUGACUCAAUCUGCCUAACCUUCUCAUGUGCUCAUGGAAUUCUUCUUUGCCAACAUUGUUCAUUUGCCUAUACCUCUUCACAACCAUCACUGGUCCUGUAUUAAGGGCAGCUUUAUAGGUAGAUCCAAACAUUCCACUCCCUAAUACCUCAGCAGAGGCUUUGAGUAGAUCAGACAUGUCGAAUUUUCCAACAUCAUCCCUCAAGAAUGAAAGCUUGAUAUUCUGAUCACUCUUCUUGCCUUCUGAACCGCGAUCUGGUGACAUCCCUUUUUCCAAUCUGUCCAAAUCUUCAGAGGGAGGUUUGUUGUGACCUUGUGGAGCUGCUGCAGCUGCUGGUGCAUCUCCCAGUUGAGGUGCUUUCUUGCGCCGGCUGAGGAUGAUUAUAACUGCAACAAUUGCUCCCAAAGCUACCACAACAGCUAUUGCAACAAGUACUAUAGUUACAACAGAUAGCUUUCGCUCUGGGGGACUAGGACAUGGUUCCAAUGGUGCACCACAAAGGUCUGAAUUAUCUGUUCAUCAGUAGAAUUUAAUCUCUUGUAAGUUAAUCUGACAAUACCACUUACUGAUGUAUAGAUUUCAUCUUAGGUAUCUCGCGCUAAUCUGUAGAGGCUUUUAUUUCUUAAUGUGAGACAGAAGAAAAAAGUAAAAGACCUAGAAAUCAAGAGGAAAAAAAAUAGAUCAUCAUAGUUAUAUGGUGUGGAAAGAUUUUCAAGAUAAAUAACCAAUUAUAAGCUUAAUAUCAGUUGCCCUGCUGGUAUUAUUUCACUUGGAUAUUUAAAUAUACGUAUAUAGUUCCAUCAUGGGACAAAGCUAUCCACUUGGUCGAAUUGUAGUAAUGCCAUAAACCUUAAGGAUUUAAUUCUUCAUUGUAGUUGUGACAAUGUUUGUAUCCUGUUUUGGGACUUUAUUAUGGUAUUGUCUACCACCAUCGUCAAGUUUUGAACAUCCUUCUGAAAUAGGAGGCGUGACUAUCAUAUUAUAACAUCAUGGUACCAUAUUAAAGACAUAAGAAAUCAUUGGAAAACAGUUGUGCUAUUAAAUAAACAUAAAACAAUUUUUGAGAAAGAGACUCACCAGAAAAUGAAGCUGCUUUGAGGUUGCUCAGGCUGGCAGGAAUUUGACCCCCUAGGUGGUUGUGGGAGAAAUUCACAUUAAUCAAUCCUUCUUGAGUAAAAUCGGGAAUUUGACCUGAAAACUGAUUGCCAUCAAGUGUCAACUCUAUAAGCUUUGGCAAUCUUCCCAAGGAGGAUGGUAUUGGCCCUGAAAGCUGAUUGUUACUCAAAUGAAUCUUCUUAAUUGACAGCAUGCCUACAAAAGCAUCGGCUGGAAUCUCCCCUGAAAAUUUGUUAUUCGACAAAUAAAUUGAUUUCAAGGCACCAAGUUUCUUCAUAUCCGGGAGAGGUCCUUCGAAAUCAUUAUUCAUGAAGCUGAGAGUCCUCAAACUCUUCAGCUGGCUAAGGGCAUCCUCAUUGAUAUCACCCUUCAACCCCAUAUUUUCAAGCUUCAAUCCCCAAACAUUCCCUUUAUCGCAAAGUACACCACUCCAAUUCGGCUGAUCACCCUUGCAUGAGGGUACUUUCGCGUCCCAAUUGGACAAUGCACCAGUAUUUUUCAGGGAAUCCUUGAACUGUAUAAGCAAAUCAGGCUCUGACAAACAGAUGCACGUAUGAACAAGCUGUAGAACAAUGGCUAGUAUGAGAAGACACCAUGAGGACUUGCAAAUCUUAGCCAUGGCGUGAGCAAAAUUGUAUCGUGACGCGCACUUGUGGUGUGCGCGCCCUUAGGGAGGGCUCCUGAGCAAAAGAUUGUCUUCUUUGUGUGCAGAAGGAGCUGGAGAAUGGAAUGAAGGUUGACAUGCAAAAAUGUAUGGGCAUAGGACCGGAAGGCAGGGAGGGGGAGGGAGAGAUAGUUGCCAAGAAUAGUGAAAGGCAGUGAGGAGCCGUGAAAACGCAUGAAUGGACAAAAAUGGAAAGAGGGCAUUUGUUGUUAUCGUUCAUGUUGACUAUGUCCUCUCUUUGCAUGCAUGGUGACAUGGGAGAGCUUUGCAUGAGAAAUUUGCGGUUUGCCUUUGAGCUUUGUUGAUGAAUAAAUUUUAUUCUUCAUUUUGUUCUCCCCCGUGGCUUCCCCCUUUUCAAUGUUAGUUGGGAUCAGAUUCACAGAUUUGUACAUAAUUUUCUGCAGUUCAAAGACUAACAUACCUUUAUUCUCCAACCAAACUACUAUUUCAAAUUGAAUUAUCUCAUAAAACUUAAAAAAGAAAAAAAAAUCAGAUGCAUAUAGUAAUGCAAAUAUCAUGUAAUUAGUAAGUCUUAAAUGGUCUUUGUUUGUUACUUUGUGUGCUGGUCUAGUAUUUGCCGGUGCCGUUGCUAAAUCGGCACAAUUUCCCCUUCAUGUAUGGUUACCUGAUGCCAUGGAAGGGCCCACUCCUAUUUCUGCUCUUAUACACGCUGCUACUAUGUUAAAUAAACAUAAAGUAGAAGAACCUAGAUUCCCAUGUGAUUUGCCAAAUACAUCUCAUUAUUGUAUACUCUUUCAUAUAUAUAUAUAUAUAUAGCGCAAGCCAAAUUUCCACCAUUUUCAAGUGUGAUUUCUAUGUUAUGUAUGGUCGUGUCUAAGGGCAUAUCGGUUGAAGUAGAUUCUUCUUUUUGAUCAAUCAAAGGAUCGGAAUCUUGGAGAAUACUUCUUGAUCAUUUCUACCAACUUAAAGCCCCAAUUUGAAUGAGUAGAGGGCUAUAAGAAUAAAAAAGUUAGCUAGGAGUGAGGUAGCACAUAAUUUUUUUCAAGGUUCCUGAUAUCUGCUUUAUCGAAAGUCACACUUAGAUAUACUUACUGAGAAACUAACCAGUGUGCUGAUAGAUUGACGAAACUGGGUGCUCAGCAAGAUACGAAUUUUGUAUGCUAUGAAAGUGUCCAAAAAUUUACUUCCCUCACUUUGUACCUGUAACUCGAGUUUUUUCAAUAUAUAAUUCCUUUUAUUACAAGAAAAAAAAAACAUAAUUUUUUUAAAAAAUUUAUUGAGAGCAUCAAAAUUUUCUUUUUUUUUUUUUCUCUUAUAGAACACCAAAUUAGAGGGGUUACUUGUAAGAAGCAGCAAUAAAUUGAACCUUUUGGUCUCUUUCCUUGAUGGUUUGCUUCAAUAUACUUUCUAAAUUGCUUCGCAUGAAUUAUUGCAUGCUUCAUACUUCCAAAUGAGAACAAGAAAGAUGGCUUUGGCAUACGUAUUUGAGAUGCCAGGCUUGGCAAAGACACUUUGAAUUGCUGCCUAGACGAAUAAUAUUAAGAUUUACAUAUGACCUGUUUGCAUUUGCCCAUGUCUCUCCAUUCUACUAUUUUUGUUGCUUUUUCCUGAUAUUAUAAUACAUUUCUGCAACAGAGUAAGCACACAAUAACAGAGGCUUUCAAUUAAAGUACGUAGCACUAAAGAAGUGAAAAACAAAUAAUUAAAAUUGAGGCAAAUAGUUACAAUCAUUAUUCAUUACAACAUAUUUGUACUCAUGCAAACCUCAAAUCAAUGUGUUUUCAUAUAUAGGGCAAGUUUUGGCUAACUUGGGUUACAGUUGCUUCUUUUUGUUGGUAGCUCCAUUUGUGAGAACAAAAAGUUUUGGCUGAAGUUGAAAUGAGGACCAUAAGAUUGACCAUCUUGAUUUGCCAAUUAGCUGGAAGAGGAUACCUUCCACAGUCCACUCUUUUUCUCUUCCUUGCUUUUACACCUCUCCUAUGAUUGCCUUCCAAAUAUCCUCUUCUCCCAAAUUUACAAAUGAAGAGAUGAAGAAUGGAGUCUUUGUAGUAAUGGUCACAACAAGACCUUAAGAUAUGAAACAAAUCUUUUUAUCAAAAUCUGUAUACCCAACAUCAACAAGGCAAAGGCCAUCUGGAGGCGAUGGUGGAGCAGUUGCUCGCCUGCAUGUGGCAUCCAUCAGUUUCAGUAGUGCAUCCUCUUCAGCACCAGCGGCAGCCUCUCUCACCGCUGUAGCAACAAGAACUCGCACCAUCUGCAAAUCAAUGCAAAGGCCACCAUUGAUCAAUUAUAAGAAUCUCACAAAGACUGAAAGCCCCAAAGACAAUUCAAAUAGGCCAGCUAUAAGAGCUUUGUGUCCAGGAUGGCCAAGAUUCACACUAGCUUUGCUAGUCAACGAAUAUAUCAGCUCAUGAAUGGAAAACCGCAGAGCAGCUUGGCGCCAAUGGGACUAAAGAUUGGUGAAUUCUCUCCUAAAAGAUAUGGUGUAUAUAAAUCCUUUAACUUCAUAUCUAAAGUAUACGAUCACCAAUAAUAUCCAUCAAGAAGAAUUUACUGUCACUUGUAGGAAAAGCUAAAACCAUAUUCGGAUACACAACUAAUAGCUUUUUUUUCCUACAAAAAACCAUGCAGGCAGGUAAUCCAAAUAUUUUGAAAUUACUUAGAUAUUAAGGAGUGUGAAAUCUUCAAGAAAAGGUUCUAAAACAGCAACAUUAGUUUAACUCAUUUGGAGACCAAAAGUUUAUUACAUACAUAAAACAGUAUCAAGUGAGAGUACUUCCUCAGACAAGAUUUCGAAAAGAUAGGAGUAAAAAAGCAACUACCUUGCGCAAGAAGCGAUUAGCAACCAACUCUAUGCACAUGAUCUUCGUUUCACUUCCAGCCUUGAGUUUUGGGGAGAGACAGAGGAAGAAGAAGAAGAAGAAGCAGCAGCAAAACAAACUAAAUCAAUAGUGUAAAAUUUAUGGAAUAUCUCAAAAUCCCAAUAGUUAUAAGCCAACUUGCCACGCAAUUGCAUGCUCAAUGGUAGGUGUAAAGACCAAAAGAAUAACUAAUAAAGAUUCACAUUCCAAUCAUCACAGUGUCUUUUACAUAGUCAGUACAUAAAUCCUUCAGCAGCAACAUAUAGAUUCAGAUUGCUCAAUCACACAAUCAUAAGCCAUCAGGAAAAAUAGCAACUGUAAUUAACUAGUCUCCAUGUUGCUCGAACUAUCUCUCAGUUGUUUAGAAUGUUGCCAAAAAGCUUUACCUAGAUAUAUAGAAUAGGCAUGUGUACAGGGGUAGUAGAAAAGAAAUGUGGUAGCAUCUACAAGGUACGCAAUACACAACUAUACAUCCUAACCAGGGUAAAGAAUGCAGAACAAUCAGAAGCUGGAGUUCUCAAAAUAAAAUGCACAACAGCAAACCUACAAUAGGGGAUUGCACUCUAAAUUGCCGUAUUAGGGUGUCCUAGGGUUUGUUGAAAUGAAUAUCAUUUUGUAAAGUAUAAAAGGUGGGUAAAUUAGUUCUCAGUUUUAUAAUUGUCAAUCCGUCAGUUUCCUCACGUUUUACUUAGAUGAGGCACUGUAAGACCUACCGUCUUAACUUCUCCAUCUGCUGACUAGGCAUCAUCCUUGAGCAUAUUUCAUGUUUUGAAAAACGUCCCAGAAGUCAAUAAACACCUUAUGCCACACUCCAAAUACCACUUUAUUGGUAUUCGUUGGACUAUUCAAAUGGUUAUAAUAAUGAACCACUGAAUGCAACCUCAAGUAUGUACCAACUGUGAACCUCCCAUAUUCAUCUUGCUCAAGUUCAUCACGAGUUUUACAUAUCUACCUAUUGAUUGAUAGAUUGUUCAAUUAUCCUGAACAUACAUACGUUCAUUGGUUUCUCAAAAAACAUAACAUGCAACCAAGUUUACAAAAAUGGACUUCAUUACCUUAAAUGGAAUAAAAAUUGUGAUGGAGAGUUUAGAAUGAUGAUAGAACAAGUGAACAGAGGUUAAUUUGCUGACCUGUGUACAUGGUAAGAUUGCUUCCGUCGCUCGGGCAUGGAAGACAAAACACUCAGUUGGGGGACCACUGCAAUGUCAAUAGAAGACAGGCAAAGGGAGAUUAAGAAGCUGCUACACCAUAUGUCAGAUUGCAUAAAAACUAGUUCCCCCACAUAAAGUAAGGACAAACUUCAUAACUGCCUUGAAUCUUGAUUCAAAACCUAGUAGAGAGAAACUCUGUAACAGUAAAUUUGAAUUGUUAUUGUUUACUCUAAAGAUCAAAAUCCACUUGAAUGCAGGUGAUACAUUACUGUUUGAUAUAAAUGGGUAUAUACAUAAAGAUAAGCACAAGCCAAAGCUCUAUGAUAAAAUGCUUUCAGGGGGGGGGGGGUAAAUUUUCCAUCUAACAAUGCUCAGAAUGAAAGCAACCUAAAUCAAGCAUCAGCUGGAAUUUAUUAGUUCUAAAAAAUGUACAAGUAAAGAUCUUAGGUCUUAAUCACUUAUACUACAGCCACCAAAACAUCUAAUUAGCCAAAAAAAUUGACAAAGAAAGAGCAAAGUUUACUGGCUUCACAUUGCCUAGAUAACAGCUAGCAACAAAAGAAUAGAAGAAUGAAAAAGCAGAUGGCAUACAACUUGUUGGGUGAAAAAUGACAUUCUAUAUCCCUGUAGUAGCAACUUCUAAUUUGAAUCACAUCAUAUCCAGAAACUAUGAACCUUAUGAGGCCUGUCAAAUCGAAAAUGUUAUUUUCACAAUCAUGCAAAUCAAAAUUUGAACCCACAAACACAUUUGUAGAUGUAGUUCUUCAAAUGUAAAAAGAAUAUGAUUAUGAACACACAAUUUUCAAAAGAAUUAUGUGUCAGCAAUUGAAAAUUAGGGACAGGGAUUCAAACAGUCUAUCUAAAAAACAAAUAAUUGCACCAAACCAAUGGGAAAUUUUUGGAUCUAUAAGGAGUUGAUGGGGACAAAAUGACACAAGAGAGAUGAUCAAUUGUAACUUUCGGCAUAUACUUAUUUUCCUUUUCUUUGGGGGUUCUUUGUUUUGUUUGUUUUUUUGGGUUGUGGUGGGGGGGGGGGAGAGGGUUGGGGAUGAGGAUGUAAGAUGAUGUUGCAUCCUAAACUAGCCAAAAUAUAGGCCUUUUAAGAACCAACAGAUGCAUCUCCCAGGAAGACUAUUCAGAAUUACAGCUCACUGCUUGCCCAAAACCAAAAUUGAACAAGUUAUACUGAUACCCAGUAUCUUCUAUGUGAGUAUGUGAAUAUCGUUAAAGUUGCAAAAAUGAAGCCAGCAAUAACCAACAUAGCUCUGCAAGGGGAUCAGCCAAUCUCAGCAUCUCUUAUUAACGAACUGCCACUUAGGACUUCUGUGUUGGCAGUGAGCUCCAAGCUAAGAACGAAAAUUCAACUAUUUCAGAAUACUUCAGUUCAGAUGGCAACAUCUACACAACAACUGCCAAUCUGAUUCAGCCAAAUAUGCUUUGACUUUGCAGCAUAGAUGAUAUACCAAGUCCAAUUGGCAUACAGCACUGAUUAACAAAAAAUUCAUGAACCAAACAACAGAGGACUACAGUUCUGACUUACACGUUCCUUGAGGCUUUAGUGUCUCGCGCAAACAUCUUGUAGGACAGCAACUUACCUUCUAAUUGACUUAAGAGUUGGUUAACCUUGCUGACUUCAAACCUUGUAGGCUUAUUUCCAGCUUCGAUUUGAUCCUUGUAAUCAUGAAGUCCAUUAUCUAAUGUAAAGGUAUAAUCAUGUUCAUUCAAAUCCUUCUCAACCUGACUGCUGAGCUCAGCUUCUUUUCCAUCAUUGAAGGGAAAGACAUACAAGUAGCGCCUCCAUUUGGCCGAGAAAUUUGGAUGAAAUUCACGUGAUACCUUUGACAAGUAGCUCCUCAUCAGUAUCUUUUUUUUCUUACAAUAUGAUGAAGAAAAUUCUAUUUAUUUUUCCCAAUCAUUGGCUGUUUGAAAAAAUUAUCUCGCAACUUAAAAUGUAGUUGUUAAAAAUAUCCCUUUAACUAUUCAGAACUGUUAAUUGUUAAAAAAUCUUUAACGAUUCAGCACUGUUAAUUAACUUUCUGAAUUAUCCGAUAAUCCAAUCAUCACUGAUAUAUAAUGACCAGUACGGCAUUACCUCAGUAACAGAAAUAGCAUUGAUCUUCCCUGGUGCUGCAUCAUUAAUGGUGCUUUUAAUGUCUUGAGGUUUCACAUCCUUUCGCCAAGUAUCUGGACAUUGAAGAACAUAGAGAAUGAGAUCCUAAUAUUCUACUAUACAUUAACCGUUGAGGUAAGAAGCAAAUAAUUAAAGGGAGAUAAAAUUAAUAUUUAUUUUGCAUAUAAGUAUAAAUGCAGAUGUCUGUGUUCGUCUUUGGGUGUAUGUACAAGCAGACAAUGAGAAACAUAAGGCUAUAGCUUGUAGCCACCAAAAUGAACAAAUCCAAACUUUCUACUUUCAGAAAUUUUAUCAUGUAGAAAAAACAAAAACCCAGCUUACUGUAUGAUCCAAAUAGACUCUUGGACACAAAUAAUCAAGCCAAGAAUACACAUACAGAGAGGCCAUUCAGAAGCUUGAUUGCUUAUCAAACAAACAUAUAGAUAGGAUUAAUUCACUACAUUGCAUCUAACUUCAUCAAAAACUUUUUUCCUCUAUAAGGGAUUGAUUUAAAAUUUUCAUGCAACACAAUUAACAGAAGGAAAAAGAGAGUUAAUAACUAUCCCUGAUUUUUUUAAAAUUACCAUUCUCAAGAAUUAUAUUUUAUAUACACAAACUCUCAUCUCUGCUUUCUGAUACUGCAAGAAACGCCAAAACCUAACAUCACUGAUCAACUUUGACAACGAAUUGCGACUUCUUUGAAUAUUUUUAGAAGCAAGCAUGUGAUUUCUUCGCAGUUUUGUCUUUCUUCAAUGUCAAAACCAUAAAAAAAAUGGUAGCAGACAAAACUUCCUUCUCUUUUUCAAAUAGAAGAGGUGGUAUCCUGUAUUCUUACUCUCUUCUCUAUCUCUUUCAAUCUGGGAGUGGUAGGGAAAGAGGGAAGUCUUAUUAUGUUGUUAAUUACUCUUUUUUUUUUUUCCAUGUAAAACUUUUAGGCAGAAAUUUUCCACCGAGAAAUGUUUUAAGUUCCAAGUGACAGAGGUAUAAUGAGGUAUAACAUCCAAAAACAAUGUAACAAACAUGAUCACUAUUCUUGGAUUCCAAAUGUUUUUUCUCUCCACAUGGAAAGCUUUUUAUUUUAGUAAUUCAACAUCAUAUGUGAGCAGGAAGUGUCCCAAAAGCUUUGAUCCUCACUACCAAUACUAAAGAUUCUAUGCACGCGUGGACCUAAUCAAAACAAUCCAUCCCAAAUUUAAAGGGCUAUGUUAGAGUGUUUAAAUAAUAAAAGAUUCACCUCUCUAAUGGCUCAAGCUCAACAAGUAGAGAAUUCAAAAUCCAGGUAUCUAGCUCCCAUACACUUUAUAGAAUUAUACUUAUUUAUCUCUUAUAAGACUCAACAAACAACAUAAAAAAACUAAAAUACAAGGGAAUAACUAAUUAGCUGGAACUAUUGAAUAAGGUCAGACUGUUCUUUCACUCCAUAUACCAUGAGAAAAAACUAUUUUUGUUCUCAAAGUUUAGAGAAAUACAAAUAUGCCUGAUAUGGCUCACCUGCUAGAUGCAUUUAAUUAUUCAAACAACAAUCAAUAAGCCAACAUCAACAAGGUCACUCCUCUAAAAUGCAAAAUUGAUCAAAAACACAGGGAAGUCAAAAGGUAAGCCUCUUCAACAGAAGUAAAUUUAUCAGGGAAAAAAUAAGAGAGAUUUGACAGAAGUGCAAAGAAAAAAUUAUACCACAACAUGGACAGAGGGAAUUGUGUUCUGAAAGAGGACAUACAGAAAGAACAAACUUGUUGAAAUGCUGUAACUCCCUUGUCAGUGCGCCCAGCUACUACAACACAGCCUUCAAUUGGUAAGUUCUUUUCAUUUAGCAGCUGAGUUUUCUUCUCGUCGACAAACUUUCCAAGAGAUCUUUCAACUAUACUAUAGAUAGCAGAGCUCAGAAAUUACCAAACCAACAAAGAUAAAAAUAGCAGAGAUCAAGACAUGUAAAAUAGCAACAUAUCACCCUGAAUAAUUAAUAGAUAAGAUGUUGAAUAAAAAAACCAUUUGUAUGUAACCAGUAAAACAAGAUGAUGAUGGCGAGAAAUAUGUGUCUCUCUGUAUGAGAGAGAGAGAGAGAGGGGGGGGGGAGGGAGGUUAUCCACUAUGAGAUCUCAAAUACAAGGAUUUAGUUCAUCCACAUUCAUUGGCAACUUCAAGUCUUCAACCAGAUACGUAGAUCAAGAGAAGUGUGUUACUAUUUGUCUAUGUUUCUACUUAUCCUAGCUGGACAGAGCUUGAAGAUUUCCUACUCCCUUCAGUGUUCUUCUUGUGUUUUAUCAGCUACCCAUGUUGGCUAGACACAUUUUGAGGGGGUGUAUCAGACAAGAACUCAGUAGCCAUGUCAUCAGCCAUCAAAAGAAAGGCCGUAGCAUUGGAAUGCAUAACAGUCCACAAACUAGCUCUUACACAUUUAAAGCGAGCAAUAAUAUCAAAAGGUAAGAAUUUAAUGUCGCCAAAUGAAGGGACAUCUGCCAUGUCUAUGGAGCACUUCCACCUAGUCACUAAUCAUGUAGCAGAUGUAUAAUCAGCAAUGUGGAAUUGUAACACAAAAAUCAGAAGCCAUUGCAAGAAACAUACCCUUGUACAGUAUUCAAACCAGGUUGCUUCUGCCAGCCUUGAAACGAACCCCCGUGGUAUGAAAGGAGUACCUUGAAAGUUACUCUUGCCCACCUCCCAGUCCUAUCUUUUGCUGGAGCACUAUCAAUGUCAUUUUCAUGGAUAUCCUCUAUGAUUUCAGUAUCAUCAUGCACAGCACAUGUCUGCAGCAACUACAAGAAUUUCUUUUUAAUAAGUACAACAGAGCAAUACAAGGGGUAAAGUAGACAAAUAUUUAAGGCACCAUAAUAUCUAAAGCCUACCAAAAACCUUGCAGUUCUGAAAAUUAAAUCAAUCAUCUAGAAACUAAAAAGCCUGAUAACCUCUUAAAUAGAAAUCAGAUAGCUGACUGCAGUUGUUAUGCCCGCUAUCAAUGGGCAAGUGUGUAAAUGGGAUUGGUGUCUUGUUAAGAAUAGAAGUUCUGUAAUUUAUUUAACCCUUUCCCAUAGGUUAAGGACAGGGGUGUCUAGUUUGGGAAAUGUUGGCUCUCCUGACAUCCACCUUGUUUCAGAGGAGAAGUAGUCAUUUAGUCUUCCCUCUUUUUUCAUUCUAACCCUCCAGGAUAAUAAGGUGAUAUAGUUGAGUGAGACAAUUACUUCAAGGCAUCAGGACUAAGCCCAUGACUUUUUCACUUUAAUGACAUAACUAGCAAAAAGUAAAUGUACCAAAACAAUCAAAAACUGCAACACCAAGAACAUGAUUGGUCUCAAGAGAAGGUUAAAUAACAUAAGUUACCUUAAAGUUUUAACAGCCAUAAAAUACUUUAACAAGAUUUUAUGAGGGAUGCAAAAACUGCUAAGAAACCUAAACCAAGUCGAUAUCAGAACAAUAAAAAUUAAACAGAAGCAAUCCAUUUUUGUGUAAUCUCAAGCAUUCAUAGUAUACCGUUAACAAGGCGUCCAACAAUAUUAUUAAGGAUAAAGUCUAGAGAAAUCCAAUGCUGAGUCCCCAUAUCUGAGUUAAAACCCAACUCCAAAAAAAAGCUUAAGCCAAUAGGCCCUGGUCGCACCUAUAUAUCAAGUACCCCAUUUUGCUCUUUCAAGCCAAUUGGGACAACUCUGGGUUAUUUACAAACACUACAUCAUCUCCCUAUUCAACGAAAGACCAGCAUAGUGAACCAAUGGUACCCCUCAUGCCCCACAUAUGACAAUAAAUGCAAGCUAACCUCUUCCUCGACUAACACAAAGACCUCAGAUCAAAGGUCCAACACCAAAAAAAUUAUGAAUAAGUAGCUCAAAAAUAUAAAAUAUUAACCCAAAUUCUGAUACAACAUGUUCUGGAGGAAUUUUGGUGGAGUCCACCAAGGAGGCUGAAUACAUAAGUUGUAAUAUAAAUCUAUCUCAAAAGUGCAAGCCAAGUCCCAAGCCAUACUUUUUAUCUUUAGCUUAACCUACUUGCAAGACAAGAAGAACCCCAUGAACCUGAUGAAAGCCAUUCUAAUCUGCCCAAACGAUCAAGAGGACUGGACCAGGAGUAGCCUGCCACUCCUGCUCCAUGGCAUCCCUUAAGAUUUAUAAACAAAUAGCACUCCCAUGCUUGCAAUGUGGUGAGUCACCAAAGUUAUCUACCAUAACUCUAGCACAAGUAGCAAGAAAAAAGACUACAUUAUAUAUGAAACGAUAACUGGAGCUCAAUGUACAUAUGCGAGAUCCAGUUUAACCAAAAUUUUUUUUGCCAAAUAUUUUGUUUUGUAGAUUUACUCAAACAGAUGACAAGAAUAAUUUUCAGUCCAAACCAAACAAUAUAAAAAAAAACCAACAAAAGAAUAUUAAUUGUAAAACAAACACAUAAUCCUCCUCUGCAUGAAGGCUACCAAAUAAAUCUAAAAUGUUGCAAAAAGCACACCUCUUUUCUGAACAAAUCUGACAAUGAUACGCGUCCCUGCACCAUUUCUGCAUAAAAAUCAUUCACUUUUUGCCACGGCCUAGCAGACAUAUACUGGUAACAUUCCCUAACACAAGCAAACAUGAGUUCAUUCAAUUCUUUGACUAAAAAACUGAAAAACCAAAGAAAAGAAAAACUCCCUUAUAAUCAAAUGAAGAAACCAGGACAAGACCUCGUUUUAUGAUAAAAAACCAAAAAGACCCUUCAAUUUAACCACUGAACUGGACUAAUAUAGCUCCAUUAUCAAUCCAAUGGCAGUUUAAAGCUGUCAAACACAUUAACUACUAAAAAACGAAAGUGAAAAUUUCAAAUGGAAAAUAAAGGGUCUUUGGGGGACUUACUUAGCAGUCCAGCGGGAGAAUUUGCAGGAAUCAUUGUGGGCAUACUGAAAAUAGUCUUUGCGCGGGUUCGUCUCAGUAGUCUCCAUCCUUAGGAUUGUUGAUAUACGUCCCAACCUAGUACUACUGCUCAUAGCAUAAGCUAACAUAAUCCCCCUCAGUCACCGGCUUAUUCUGACGUCAUCGCCGACAAAUGACGCAUUUUUGCCCGCAGAUUUAGGAUAUGGGCUGCACUUAGGGAUGGCAAUCGGGCCCAAAUCGGAUUGGUGGAUCGGUUGAGAUAUAUCGAUAUAAUAGAAAAUCUAUUGAUUCGAAUUUGACCCGUCAAUUCAAAAUGGAGUCAGGAUAUUUGACCCGAACUCAAAAAUUUCGGGUUGACGGGUCAAUCCGAAUUAUCCGAAACUUAAUUUAAAUUUAGGGUUAAAAACAAAAAAACCCCCUGUGGUAUAGCUAUCAUACAGAAAAGCCCCCUGUGAUUUGAUAUCAUACGCGUCGGUACCUCAUAAUUUGAAUUAUUUUGAAAAGUGAACGGAAAUCGUCAAAUGUACGGCGUUUGUCUUAAACACACUGGAAAUGCGCGUGUUUCUUGUGGAAAAUAGAUUUCUACCACAAACUUGUUCCUAAUAUGCCUACUUUACCCUUCACACUUUAAAACAAGAGAACUUUACCUUUCGACACCUUUUCUUCUGCUUGAUUCCUCUUGGAUCCCAGUGUUUUCAACAAUCUGAUAUUCAAUCUUUUAUAUGCAUCUCUUUGGUAUACAAGAGCAGGCUAGACCUAACUCAACACGUCUUUUAACCUCAUCCAAAGCACAGCUAACAUCAUUUUGAAAUGCUUCUGAGUUACUUUGCUUCUCUAUCUGAGAGAAAUGUGGCCAGAAGGGCUUUAGGAGAGAUGCAUCAUUCCAAGCAAAAGUUCGGUCUCCAAAAUAUGCUACGAGAAAACAGUCCUUUUUGUAAUAUUUGACUGCCUUCUCUCAAGCAUCAGCAGGAUCAGAUAUUUGUCCAGGUCACCAAGGAUGGCUUCUGACUUUUCCCCAAACUAAAUAUGUUAUGGAGAAUUCAUUUUCAUUCUGUGGUGGCGAAACAUAUCCAGCUUGAUGUAUACUCAGCAAGCUUGGAAGCUUUUCUGUUUUCUCGUCCAUUCUUUCUGUUGGGUCCGUCUUAGAAGCAUUUUCUGGACUUGAUAAAUCUUGCUCUUUAUGGUUAACCUGUCCAUCAUGCUGGUACUAUUCUCCAACUCCUAUAUCUUUCUAGUCCUCUAAAGACUUAGUAUCUGGAAUAGCAAUCUGCAUCAGAUCAUUAGGAAUAUCAAUCUGCAUCACAUCAUUACCAUUGGUCUGGCAGCAUUCACUUUUGCUUUCAACCAACUGAGACACUACCCCAGAUUCUGCUGUUCUAUUGGUUUGAUCCCCAUUUGGUUGAAAAGUUUCAUGACUGCCAAUAUCAAUCUCGCCAUGGAGACAUUCAGAAACACCUGCACCUUCAGAUCGAUCAGAAUCUUGAGCAUUAGAGAGAGAAGCAUUAGUAUCGAUACCAGUACAAGAUACUUCUGCAAUUUUCGCUUAUAUUAAAAGGGUAUUUUCGUCGUUUCACUUAACCCCGUUACAUUUGACGAUUUCCGUCGAUUUUUCAGAAUAAUUCAAACCAUGGAGUACCGACACGUAUGAUAUGAAACCAUGGGGGAUUUUUCUGUAUAAUAGCUAUACCACAGGGGGCUUUUAUGUUGUUAACCCUUUAAUUUAUUAAUUUACUACUGUAAUUUUUAAUAAAAUCAAUUUCGCACAAGACUAAUUACAUAAUUAAGUAAUAAAAAUUUAAAUAAAUAAUUCCAAACCAAAUCUAAAAUAAAUUAAAAUAUCGUAAAAGUGUUUUAUCUCAAACCAAAUAUAAAAUAAAUUAAAGUUAUAUAAAAAUAAAAAAUAAUAUAAUACAUUAUUUGUCCAAAUAUAAUAAUUUCAACUUCACACAAGUUAAAUAAAUUCAUUUAGGAUUAAGUGAUUAAUGCCUUUGAAAAAAAAAGAAUAACUUAGUUUAAUUAGCUAAAAUAAUUUUUAUGUUUAUUAAAUUAUUUGUAAUUCGUAAACGGGUUAUUGGGUAAUAUUGAGUCACCACGGAUUGACCCGAAUUCGAUCCCGUUUUCUUUUCGGGUUCAUUGGGUUCGACCCGAUUCUGAUUCGAAUUCUCGAAAUCUCAAUCCAAAUCCAUUAAUUUCGUAUUAGAUUCGUGUCAUAUUUUCAGAUCAUGUCGAAAAUUGUCACCCCUAGCUGCACUGGUGCUCCCAAACUACAAACUCGGUAUGCUUUGCCCUCGUAAAAAAGAGAGGUAAAAGUAUAGGGAUAAAUUCAGAAACCUCCCUUCAGGUUUCCUAAAUUUCAAUGACCUCCCCUAUCAGAAUUUUAGAGUUCGAUGUUUGCAUUAGUCACAGUGAAAUGACUUUACUAACCUCACAACUUUUUAAAUACUAUUAUGCAAUUAAGCAGGCUUAUUAGUUAAAUCAUUCUUAACUGUUAUUAACUGAAUUUAACCAUAAGCUAUUCAAUUGGACAAUUGUACUUGUUUGCAAUUGGGCAUAAUUAAAAUCAUAAUUAUGAAACAAUAAAUUAUUCAGUUAGGCAACUAUACUUAUUCUUACCUUUAAAUACUAGUAUGUAGUUUUUCCUCUCUUUGUUGGCUAUUCAUCUCUUCAUCAGUAGGAUCUUCAUACCAUUCAAAAAAUCUGCACUUUGAACAAUAAAAGUGCAACUUGUGUGGAUUCUUUUCACUCUCAGAAUUUUUAAUUGUUUCCUUGUGUUUACAGGGGGGGAGGGUUGGGUUGGGUGGUACGGGGGGAGGGAGUGUAAGCAAGAGGUCUUGGGUUCGAGUCCUCUAUCUUACACUAAAAAAAAAAAAAACAUCUGCAAAAUCUAUUAUUGAUGUUGAAAGUAGUUGGUGAAUUCCAUGAUUCACCUCUAAAGCUUGAAGAGGCCAUAGUUUGUCUUUCCAAAUCUUGAACUAAUUCUUGCAAAUUCUAGCACUACUUAAUUCACUGAACCUCAAUUGUUAAAUGUUAACCAAUAACAUUCCCUUUAAAAUUCUAUGUUCCUGCUGUUAGAUGCAGUCUCAUGGAAAUAACUAUUGCAAAGAGCGUUGUAUAAGUCUGUAAAGUGUUGCUUACUUUUGAUUCCUGCCUUGCAAUUUCAUUGAAUUGCACUUAUACUUCUUCAAGUUUUAGUUUGAAAAAAUAAUUAUUCACUUUUCAUACUAGAUUAACUAGCUAAUGUAAUAGAUGAGGGAUAUGUGUGGAAUUAUAUUAUCUUCUCUCUCUUGAUAUGAUUUUUUUGAUUGUUGGUUGGGUUGACAUGUUACAAGAUAAUUAACCUCAAGAGAGGUUAGUGAAAUUUAUGAAAUCUAGAGGGAGACUAGUAAAACAGUUAGCAACCUUCAGGUUUCUGAAAUUAUCCCGAAAAUAUAUAUUGAAGUUUUUAUUAGGCAUGUAAAUGUGACUGCCUCUUUUUUUUAUGUGAUUAUACUUUUAAGAAAGUAUUAACUUUUUAUAUAUUGUUAGUGUAGUAAUUUUUUUACACUAACAACUAUAGAUAUAUGCCAUAUGUUCAUGAUUUAAAUUUUGAAUUUGAUUUCAUGUUAUAUGACAUGAUGUGAACCUGUUGGUGUGAAAGGUUUAUAUAUCUUUUGUUACAAUGAUAAAAUAGAAAAAUAUAAAAGAUGACAAAAAAAAAAUUAAGGCAAAAAUGGCUUGGGGUACACUAUUGAUUAUUGAUCAACUUCCUUCGCUAUUCUUACUCUUGCUCUCUAAUAUGGAUAUAAUAAAGAGCUUAAAGCAUUUUCCUAGGAGUUGGGGAUUCUCCAACAUCCGAUCUUUCAAUGACUCUUACUUGUGGCUCCUUGUUAAUUUUCCAUUCCAUUCACUCUCAGACCUUCAAAACAAUUCAGAUCAUCAGCUUUUAUGAGCAAUCUUCCCCCUAAACAAUUCUUAGGAAAUCUGCCAACACUUAACAAACAUGGUAGUAAUCCCUCAAGUAUAAUAAAGGGAAAAUCGUUCAAAAUACCAUUGAGUUUGUUUGGACAACAAGAAUUUGGAAUAAAAAUUUCAAAUUUUGUUUUGCUUGCAUCAUACACACAAUUUUCAAUCACCUUUUUAUCUCGCAUACAUCACAUCACAAAAAGUGCUACAGUAACUGGAUCAAAUAAAUCAUCCAAAUAAAUUUUUAUCCAAACAAACUCAUUCAUUUUUUACAAAAUGACUUUUUUGUCCCUCAUUUCUAAAAAUGUACUUUUACGUCCUUUACAAAUUCACAUUGGUCAAAUUUGAUCCCUAUCUAGGUUUCCAACUAAUUUUUGGUUUAAAUCCACCACAUGUCUUGCACAUGAUCAUUUUUUAAGGGCAAAAUUAUCCAAUCAAAAUUUAUAUAAUCCGAUCCAUAGUCCCUCAUAUUUCACAAACUGAAUUUUUUCAUCUCUCAUAUUUUACAAAAUAAAUUUUUUAUCUCUCAUUUAUCAUGUGUACGAAUAACUUUUUUUUAAACUCAUAUAUAUAUCUAUUUGAUUUUACCUGAACAAUACGAAUAGCAUGUAAUAUAUCUCUAUUUGAUUUCGUUUGAAUGUACUAUUCAAGUGAAAUUAAAGUAAAUAUAUAGGGUUUUAAAAAAUUUGUUAGUUUUUUACUCAUGUUCAUGGUGAAAUCAAAUAUAUAUAUAUAUAUAUAUCAAUUUAAAACAAAAUUUUAGAUUUAAACCCAUGUAUAUAUCUAUUGAAUAGCAUAUGUACAACUACAAUUAGUUUGUUUAAAUGAAAUCAAAUAGAGAUAUAUUACAUACUAUUCGUAUUGUUCAGGUGAAAUCAAAUAGAUAUAUACAUGGAUUUAAAAAAAAUUCAUUUGUACACAUGAUGAAUGAAGGAUGAAAAAAUUCAUUUUGUGAAAUGUGAGAGAUGAAAAAAUUUAUUUUAUGAAAUGUGAUUGAUGAAAUAAUUCAUUUUGUAAACUAUAAGGGACUAUAGAUAGAUUAUGUAAAUUCUGAUUUGACAAUUUUGCCCAUAUAAAACGAUCAUAUGCAAGACACGUGAUGAAUUCCGGCAAAAAAUCAGUCGAAAACUUAGAUAGGAAUCAAAUUUGAUCAAUGUGAAUUUUUAAAGGAUAUAAAAUUACAUUUUUAAAAAUGAGGAACGAAAAAAAUAAUUUUACAAAAUAUGAAGGACGUUUUGAAUGAUUUUUCCUUUAAUAAAGAGAGUGAUUGUUACUGUAGCAGCUUUAAUGGUUGGCACGUGACUUCCCCUUCUUCUAACACAUGGCACUUUUUCUUCAUUUUGGAUGAUUUUUUCUUCCCUUUUCUUCCUUCGUUUGGCCAUUUGGGCCUAAAGGCAAAAACAUCUUUUUUUUCUCACAAACACAACACAACACACAAACCCCAUUUCAUCUUCUCUUUCCUCUCGCCACUAGUGUUUUGCUUUCUUUUAUCUUUUUUUCUCCUUUUUUUUCCAUAACUAAUGGCACUAAGCCUCUUUCCUCUCUCACCAAUACCACCUUCCUCGCUUAUUCUCUUUUUUCUUUUUUCAUAACUAAUGCACCAAGAACGAUUGCUGCUUGCCUUUUUUUUUUCCAGGUGAUUAGUCGUUGAGCAAAUAGACAACUUUUCAGGUGAUUAGUCGUUGAGCAAAUAGACAACUUUAUCAAUCACUCAUUUUCUUUCAUGUAUGAAUCUCUGUUCUUGGACUUCAAAAUGUACCCAUCAAAGGGAAAAAAUUUUAUCAUUUGGAAUUCAGCGUUCUCUCACUUGACCAAUAAGAAACAAAAAAAUAAGGUCUUUUUUCUAAACUCUGAUAGUAUGUUUUUAAUCUGUUGUUUGUUGGAUCAUCUAAAUGAGUUUCCAUUUUUUUAAGAUAUUAGUUUAUUGUUAUUGCAGUGGGAAAACUAAAUAUUUGUCUAACUUUCAACAUCGCUUUUCUCAUAACUUAACUCUUCCUUCUGCCUGCAAAUUGGUAUUGGUCAUGUGGUUUGGUAAGUGAUCACAUCCUUUAUCUAUUUGUUUUUCAUAUGAUGGCAUAUUUACAUUUUUUUUCUUUUUACAAUGAUAAUUUGUUCUUUUUUUUUGUUUUUGUUUUCUUAAUUGUAAGAAUUUUAAUUUGUAAGAAUUGCAUGAGAUGUAAAUUUCAUUAAUCAAAAGUGUGAUGUAAAUUUCAUUAAUCAAAAGUGUAUCUUUCUUGUUGGGGUCUUGCAGCAAAUUGAGAUCACAACAUUUGAUUUCAUUUGGGUUCAGGCUGUAAUGAUACAUAUAAUUUAUUUUAGGUUUAAAGCUAAUAGCAACUAGAUAAAAUCUUAGUGGGGCAACUGCUUCAAUGCAAUUGCCUUAUUUCUAACAAAUUCUAACCUUUUAAUAAAUAAUAACUAAUGAAAUCAAUUUGUAAACUUAUAAUCCGGGAACAACUUCUCAAUUUCUAAAUGUUUGGGGGGUCUACGACAACAUCUCUGAUCUUUUUAAACACUUGGGACUUAAUAGUUGUAAAGUAUGAGAAGUUCAAACAUGAGUACAUAAGGUUUAAGUAUUGUUUUUCUUCUAAUCAUAUUUUGAGAAAUUUUUGUCCAAAUUAAUGUGCGACGAAAUCAUUUAACAACUAUUAACUUCAUAUUUGUAGCUGAUGUAGAAGUCCAUGAGAGAGCUUGGAGUCAUUCAAAACUUCAAUUCCUAUUGCUUAUCAAAGUGACACUUCCUAUACUUGAACUGUUGAACAUCGAAAAUUAGAGAUAAUAAAAACACUAUAUGUCAUUUUUACCUAUGAUGAAAUCAUGAUGUAUUAGGAUGUGCUUUGAGAAAUUUCUAUAUUUCUUAAAAGAUUACUACAAAUUUAAAUAAUGUAAAGAUUUGCUUUUUGUGAUUUUCGUAUUUUCUUCAUUUGUUGUGUGAGUUGUUGCCUAAUGUAGCAUGUAUUUAAUGUGACAUAUUCUGAUUUUUGCUAAGAAAAUUUAUAGUUUGUAUGCAUUGAAUAGCAUUUGUCAUGUGAAAGAUAUUUCAAAGUUCUAGGCCAUGGAAGGCACCCCAAUUGACUAAAGGCUAUGUUUUCAGACUCGAAUCGGGACUCGAUUCGGUCGAGGUCAGGGGUCAGGAGUCAAUGGGUUCGACCAGGGUCGAUAGGGGGUCGACCUAGAUGACGUCAUAUAUAUAUAUAUAUAUAUAUAUAUACCAGCAAAUCAAAUUUACAAAAUAUAACCAAAGAACCCAAUCAUCUAAAUUUAUAUCCAAUUCAUCAAACAAUUCACCAAAUUCACCUAUAAUAACAUAUUCAAAAGCCUGAAUAACAAUUUUAUAGCUCCAAAAGAUAAUAUGGUACAUGGUCUUCAACAUUGUCACAAUUCAACUUCGAUUCAAUUUUCCAAUUAAAAUGAUAAGUUAUAUAAAACCUUCCCCAACAGAGUUCAAACACAAUGGAAUAUCAAGUUUUCAAAAAAAAUUGACUCGGCAAGGGAGGGAGGAGGAGAAAUAUGGCAACGAACAGGACAACAUAAAAUGUCCUAUAUAAAUGAUUGUUUGCAAUUCAGACAAAUUCAUGUAAGUGACCUCAUAAAUAGCGAUACCUGAUAGCAGCAAGAAGUUUAUUAAGGUGUCUGAAAAGUUUUGAUUUAAUAGGAAUACAAAGCCAUUGACUGAGUAACCACAUAUACACCAAACAUAAAAAAAAAAUUAUUUAUAUUCACCAGUAUAACCCAAAAAACAAUACUAAUCAAAUAAGUUACCUCAAACAAAGGUUUUAGCUAAAUAUCAUGAAUGGCCAGAAUACUGGGUAAAUAAUCAAGCAUUGAAUUUAGUUGUCAAAUAAGCAUUAAAUAUUUAAAUUAAGCUCAAUAAUUUUCACAAAAUAACCACAAUCAAGUAACGAUGUAAUACAUGCAGAGGAUAAAAAGGUUAACAACAAAGUUUUACACAAAAAAAAAGGAAAUAGAUUUAUGAAAAGUGAAAAAGAAAAAAAAUGGAAUCUGGGUCGUGCAACCGAUGAACAAGGACUACCCACCUCAAACCAGAAACUAUGUGUCUUUGCCUCAACUGAACUAAUUCACUAGCUGCCACUGAAGGUGGUCUCUCUUCCUCAAAAGGCCUUUCAUUUUGCAGGAAUCUGCCCCUAAAUAGCGACUAAAGUAAAAUACAUAAAUUUCAGGUCUUCAAGAAUCUGCGGUCUCAACUGAACUAAUUCACUAGCUACCACUGAAGGUGGUCUCUCUUCCUCAACAAGCCUUUCAUUCCACAGGAAUCUGCGCCUGAGUAGCGACUGAAGUAAUAUACAUAAAUUUCAGGUCUUCAAGAAUCUGCGUCGAAACUCAAGUCCUUCAUAAGCGCUUUCCAGUUAACAGACAAACAUGUCCAUUACAUGGUGAAUCUCAAGUGACAACCGUGGAGGCUUUUAGAUUUAGGGUUAUUGGAGCUGAAGAAGAAAGAAAGAAAACGACGCAAAGAGAAGCAGAGGAGCUGACCCAAGAGUUUUGUUAAUUUCAUCUGAUUUUUUUAGUCGGUCACUCAAACUUUUGACUGAAAACAUAAGGCCAAAAAAGGUAAAAAAAAAAAUCGGGGUUGAUCAAAUUAUCUGGUUCACCAAGUUUUUAAUACCCGAGUUUCUUAACUAACUCGGAUCGGAUGCCUGGCCAAUUCUCGAUUCGACCGGCCGGUCCGGUCCGAGUCUGAAAACAUAGACUAAAGGGGUACACUAUUGUGCAUCUUUGGAUCUAAUUAUAUGUAAAAAGAAUUGAACCACCGGCUUUCUAGGGACAUUACCGUGCAUCAUGGGUUAGGUGGGUAAUUCCGUAACUUGAUGUAAUGGAAAGAUAGAUUGUAUCUAUUUGGAUAGAAAGAGUUUGGAUGAUUUAGAUUGAAAUUUUGAAUUGCAUGAUUUAUCUUAUUUGAAUAUGGUUUUGUGCUGGAUGUUUGCAAUUUGAAUUCUGGCGGAUUGGUGUAAUGAUAGAGGAAUGAUUACGUGACUUUUGUCAGGAAGGUGGUACAUUUCACUUCCUUUGCUAAAUCAUGCGCGGGUCCCACAGUUUGACCAAAAGGAUUCUUAUUCACUCAUUUUCUGGCACUUGAUAAAUUGGGAUGUAUGAGAAGCGAAUUAAUUAUCGGUAUUCCUUCCAUAUAACAUGCUUGAGAGCGUCAACAAUUUUUUUCACAUGACUAAUAACAAAUUAUUCGUUUCGAUUUUUUUUAAAGCGCAACCAAUUUUAUUGUUAAAUUUUAGGACAGAAUAAACCCUAAGUUUGCUAUUCCAGCUUGUCAAGCGACUAGCACUAAAAACUCAAGACUCAUGGUACAAAUAUUACACGACAUUAACGUUCCGAUUACAACGAAAGGCAACAACCAUAUUACUAAGAACGAAAAAUAUAUUUGGGCAUCACAAAUAUGGCAAUACUACAAAUAAUUAUGCGAGACUGUAGCGAAUAGCAAAUCAAAACUUUGACUGCUUCAUGCAUAGUUUUGUGUAUUUCUAUAGGUAUUGAACAUAUGUGUCGCUAUUGUAUCUCUCAUGAUAAUUCAUUGCUCAACAACUUCAGGUAGAGAAUGCAAUGGCUGUAUCUCGGGAUAUGAAGGUAUUGCACCAUGAAUAUCUGGAUCUCCGUCAUCCGAGUUAGCAAAGUACAUAUCAUUCGGCUGUUGAUCCCUAAUGAAAUUAUGCAUGGCACAACAAGCAAUAACUACAUUUAUCUGUGUUGUCAUCAUGUAGUUCAGUACGAUUCCCCUUAAAAUAGCAAAUCUCCUUUUAAGGACACCGAAACUUCACUCUAUGACAUUCCGUAGUGCAGAGUGUCGGUAAUUAAAAAGUUCUUUCGCAGUUGCAAAUCUUCCCUUUCUGUGACCACUUACAUCUGCUUGGCGUCUCCUAUAUGGUGGUAAGAAAUCGGGCAAGUUUCGAUAUGCGGAGUCAAUCAAAUAAUAUUUUCUUAUAACAAUUAGAAGAUAUGAUCGAAUUAGUUGCAUUUUGUACUUUUUGACUAUUUUUCAAAUUAUUCAAGGUCCGUACGAUUUGAUAUACAUAAAAGAUGAUUAUGGCCCAGGGUUUUCAAUUGAAAAAGGCAAAACAAAUAAGGGACAAAAUCAAAUUUUAACUAUUCACGGUAUUAGUGAAAAGAUAAAUAAUUAGAUUUCCUAAAAAUUGGGAUAAAAAGAUAUAAUUAAAUUCCGGACAUAUAUGCAUGGAGGGAUUACAAAUUAUAUCUGGAGGAGGCACAGGGAAGUGAUUUGAGCCGGUCAAAAUCUCAUCCAAGACUUGGGUAUCAUGUGUACUUCCCUCUCAACCGGCAUACACAUAUAUAAAUCGCAUAUUUUGGUCGCAUACAGUUAAAACAUUUUGUGAUUGCACACCGUGUCUAUUAGUGUAUGCCACUUGUUGUCCGCUUGAGACAGAAGUAGGUAUAUGUGUCCCAUCAAUAGUCCCGACGCAGUCCUUCAAAAAGAAAUUCUUAAAUGGAUGAGGUAUAAACCAGUAUAUGAAUGACACGUGAUCUAAGUACACUAUUAAUAUGGCCUAAAAAUAAUCCACUAAAUUUAUGUUAACGCCAAACAAGGAAAAACUAAAAAUUGGUAACUAAAACUUCAAUGUACAACAUUUUUUGCUACUUUUAAUGUCCCUGGUAUGAAUUCCUAUGGUGAAGUGUCAUCUUAUUGGAAGGCGGGACUACACCUGCAUUCACUGGUGUUAGAUGAAAUUUGAAAAGAAAGAAAUUUUUAUCCGAAAGCAAUUUUGAUUUAACUCUACUUCAAACCAAGGAUAAAACCUCCUGUCGUUCAGAAUUUUCGAAUGAAUUUCGUCCUGUCGUCUUGGAGUAAUGAUGAAUUGCACGAAUGUGCAUAGGCCCCGAAUGACUUCAUGAAUAUUACAAUGCACUGUCUCCGUCGAAUGGUUAAAUCGGUCAGCAAUCAUGUGCAUUCUCAUGUUGUGGCUCAUCAUGACCAAUGUCAUGGCGAGUGCCUCCUCUAUUGUAACCCGUUUAUGAUGAUUUUGGAGAACAAAUCCACAUUCGACCAAAAGCUGGCACAAUCUCAUAAAAGAAUCAACAUUUAAUCUUGUUGCAUCCAUAAUUCGGAUAUGGUGGCCUGACAUCAAUUCUUCAAUCCAGUGUCAUCCUGUUAAUGCAGAUGUCCUGCAUGGUAUCUUCUGGAUUGGAUCUCCGUAUGGUUCUGCAUGUGGUCCAAAUAAUAGCGCAGCACCAAGAGCAAAUAGAAGAUCAUCUUCGUCCGAAAACGAGCUCGUCUCCUGGACAUCACCAAAUGCGCUCAUUUGGAUUUUUCCACCAAAACAGAGAUAUAAUGGUGGUUUCUCCGACUAGAUUUCCUAAAUGAAAGUUGUAUGGUUAAAUGCGCUCAUAUGCUCUCUUUCCUUUUAUGCUAUCUGUAUGUUCGUGUUUUGAUACAAAUUUUUUACAUCCUUUUAAAAGCCAUGACCCUUCACAAGACAAUUUUUCUUUUUCAUGGGGUCCUUGGAGGUGUUUACAUAAAUAAUAGUCAGGUGUUAUUACCAUUAUUACUAGCUUCCAUGAGUCAUCUUUGGAUUCCAUUACGAAUGACUUGUAAGCAGCUUUUGCCUCACCAUGUGCGCAACCCUGUGAGCAUUUUAUUUGUAUGCUUACGAUAACAUCCAUUGAGAAGGCUGUAUGAGAGGUCAAAUCUCAUAAAAAAGAAAUCUGAAACCAGAUAUUUUUCCAAAUCACGUGGUACUUGUCUGAGCACGCCAAUACUCUGACAAUUUGAAAGGUUACGAAUAUAGGGUGUAUGUGUUGGUCACUGAUGGAUACUAUAUACCAUCAGACUACUGCUUUACUGUCUACUAUAGUUAUAUAUCUAGUAUUUUUUAAGAGAAUGCAUGAAUUGCCGCAAUCAAUCUACUAAUUUCUACUGAAUUUUUUAUUACUUUUGUACAGAAGCUACUUGGCAUAAUAAAUAGAAAGUCUGGAUAUGUAGAAAGCUACUUUAUUACUUUCUACUAAUUUCUACUAUUUCCUAAUCCAAGUACCCAUCGCUGGACUUUCUACUAUUUCUACUAUACAAUCAAUCUACUGAUUGGAAUUAUUUCUUAUUAUUUGUAUCCAGACUUUUGUAAACUCAAUUUCCUAAUUUUAACAUGGCUGGACCAUCCUGUCAUUCAUUAGACUUGCAUCAUGUAAAAUAAGGCAACAACACUUUAAAAUACAAAUCAAAACUGACAUCCGUAUAGCAAGAAAAAAUUUGCAAAUAAAAAAAUGCUACCAAUAUCCUGCAAGUUUAAGCGUAAUAUAUAUAUAUUAUGAUCAAUUCCUCCAAACAAGUGAAUUAACAAGCCAAAGUUUUAAAAGUAUAGGGCUGUCCAAACAUUUGCAGAAUAAGAAACUCAACAUCGACAAAUUAUCCAAACAAGUUUAUUCAAGGUAGUAGAUUUAAAAUCACAUACAAGGAACUAAAAGUUCCAACUCAAAUCGCAACUACAUGGGACUUCCACUCAAAUAACUGCAUAGGCUGAGCAGUCUAUCGUCCCAAAGUAGUUGCUCUGAAGCUUUCAUUAAAAUCUAAAGUCUCGACUACUUUCCAUCGGGUCCCCUCUGAAGGGCAAUCUCCAAAGAGUUCAACCAAUACUCUUGAAAAUUGCGACUGUCACUUAGGAAAGUUUUCCGCCACUUGUAGUCCUAGAGUUGAAAAAUUGCAAUGAGCUUCCUCCCUUUGUCCAGCGAUUCGAACGAUUCCACGACCUGAGCUGCCAUAUCCAUAUCAAAUUUCUCUUUUUUAGAUUCUCGGCAACCCUUGAUAUGUAGUUUAGAAUUUGCUAGGGUGGAGAGCGAGUUGGCACACUCGACGAAUGGAUUAUCCAUACUUCUACUUGACCUGUUUCUCCGGGAUCCAGUUGGGAGCGAGGUCGUGGCUCCCUGACUGCUCGAAUCUCGGUUAACCCCUACAUUUGGAGCUUCUUCGUUGAAGUCAGCAUCUUGGCUGAUGUUGUACAUUUCAUUACCAAAAGGUGAAGAGAAAAUCUGCCCACGACUGUGCCCAGCUCACUUGCGUGGAUUGUAAAUUGAAGGCGGUACUGAAGAGGCUUGAGCUUGACUCCCUGUGAUAGUUUCUUCUUUUAAGACCUCGGACAGGAUAGCAUAUUUGUCGACGCAUUGGCAAUAUCUGAAGUUCCUAUAAUCCCGAUUCUCCUGCUUGAAAGGCGCGAAAAGAAAGGUGAAACAUGAGUAUUCACAUCUGAUCUAAAGGGUUUGUGCAAGAACAAACCGAAACAAGAGACAGCAAAGGAUGUUUUACGGUCAAUAGAUUAAUAUUUAUGCACUUCCCUCCUCCAGAAGACAAAAUGUAAAAUGCACCUAAAAAUUCCAGCCCCUGAAUGUGCACAUCUGUUGUAACCAGCAGCAUAUAGUAAACGGAGCAAAAAUUAAUAACAAUUGGCAGAUUAGGUGACCAUGGAUAUGUCAAAAAUUCAUGGACAGGUCUUACUAUAACUAAUGUUUGAUAUAAAAGAUGUUAAGGCUUUAUAUGAAUAAACAAUUAAUCUUAUAUGCAGUCUUACAUAUACAGUACAGUCUCAAGAAAUAGAAAAAGUCAUUCCGAAGUACGUAAUCGGACGAAAUUAGAUAUAGCAAAGUUAAAUGGCUAGAAUUGAAUUAUAGUUAAUGGAGAGGUUACCAUUUGCAAAUUGUUCCAUUGAGACUCUUCAACCAAGAGGCACCUCCUAUUCUCGUCCCAACCAAUACCAGUUUUGAAAGUUUGUCACAGAUCCUUUAACUUGGCAAAGGCACGCCAAAUCUUCUUCAACCGUGCGUAUUUAGAAUGGUACACAAUCCAACCAUACUGCAUCCCCUAGGUCGAAUUCAGGUGCGCAGCAAGUUUCAUCCAAUUGUUUGAUGCAAUGUUUGGCUUCCCCUAAGUCGAAUUCAACGUAUGUCAUACAGAAAUGCAUCUCCAUGUUUUCAUCGCAAUGGGCCUUUGUAAUGGUGUGGUCUCAUGGUAUCUACAUAAGAAACCAAAAGGGCGGUCAGCAUUAAUAACAAUCUGGUUGAUGGAAGAAAAAUCAGAUUACAACAUUUAGACAACUUUGAACCGGAUAAAAUCUGGUUUAUCAAGCAUUUGCAGCCAAGAAAUUGCAAAUCUGAACUCUUUCAUAUGCCCAGCAAUCACAAAAUCUAGUUUAUCAAGCGUUUGCACCCCUGAAAUUAAGGACACCAAACUACUUUGAUGUUUUUUAAUUGGAACUAAGUGAUAAGAAUCAAAGGCUUCAAAAAUAUGUCACGAGUAUGCUAGCUACUUCUCAAAUUAGGUAUAGUGUCACUGCCAUAAAGUUCAGGGGAAAACACCAUAUUUCCCUAGUUAUCGAUAUACUAGCAUUGACAUUCAAAUCUGGUAUACAUCCCAAAUAUAAGUACGCAGGAAAUUAACUUCUCAUCAAGGAAUGUUUUUGUUUGAGACAGAUGCAUGGACUGACAAACAACAACGGCCAUUGUUAUGGAUACAGUCCAAACUUACUCUGAAGUAGUUGACAAGGGACUGGAUGUAGUCGUUCGAGUCUGUGACGGAGUGGACGGAUGAAGCUUCAGAAAGACUGGCAGGAGUAGUAAGGCCAGAUAGUGAUCUCCUCCACUUGUUAGGCAUUUACUGGUGCUCUUCAACCGACAGCAGGUCAUGCCGAGCCAGACCUCAAACCAGAUCCUACGGCAGCAAAUUUGAUUUGUGGCGGCCAGCCAAUUUCCUGUUUCAGUUUGCAGGUAAUAUUUGAGAAUGUCAAACGCCAUAAUUGUGGAUUUGCUACUACUGUGUUUCAAAUAUAAAUUAUGCAUACAGUGGAUAUUACAAAGCAGCAAGUCUAUUUUGUCCUUGUAGAAUUCUUAAUAUGGCCGGCAAUAGAAUUCAUGUUUUCUAAAAAUCUUGUUUUGAGGUUGAGUGUGAAAUCCAAUAAUUUAGCUGGCUGUAUGACAUAGAAGGGCUUUGAUUCCUAAGGCAGUUCAUAAAUUCUGUGAGUCUAGUGACCUAAGAAGAUAUGAGUAAGGCGGCAAAGCUACCAGAGUACAUUCCAUAACCUGUAAUAAAGGUAUCUGCAAUAGCAUUGAUGAUACAUUAAUAAUUGGAUUUCCUAAACGAACUGGAUUUAUUUCCUAGCUACAUGGCAGCCUUCUUUGAAUGCUAAGAUUGCAUGAUCUCAUGUAGAAAAUUUAGUUUGCAGUAGAUUAAUUUGCAUUGCAUCUUGCUAUUCUUUGAUUAUACUAAUUAAACUGGAGCCUCAUUUGUUGCAUGAAGGUUCCUGGAUUUUACUUAGAGGUUACUUAGUGGUUUGAUGAAAAAGUUUCAUAAGGGAUACAAGGAAGCUCCACCUUUGUCCAAGUUUUGCUACCAUAUUUUUGUCAAGAAGAAUUCUUCUAGUUUUGGAAUCAUGAUAAAUGGAUUACAUCAGGAACAAAGGAAUCAACAAGCAUGGCAGAUUAAGAUUCCAGCAGCUAUAACUUCUUGAAAUUCUCAUCUCUUUACUAUUUUUUUAUUGAAUUCAUCAUAAAAUCAAAUAAAAAAGAAGGAAAUGAAAGAAAAAGCAACUGAGGAAGUCUAGGGUGAAUGACAACGGCAUAAUAAAAGUUGUACUAGCAGUAAGGGUUAAAAAAAUAAGUAGUUUAGCAGUAGUGAAUGAUGUUUAUUGGUGCAAAACUGACAAAUGUAAACAAAUUAGAAAUUUAAAUUGUUAAAAAUCACGUCUAUACCAAGAAUAAAUAAACACAAAAGCAUGCACAACCAAAAUAAAACACAAUCUGCCAAUUAUAACAUGCAACAAUUGGAUUCUAGAUUCUCUUUACUUUUACAUGUAAAGAUCCAUCAGGAAACAUGGAACGCAAUCUAAUUGAGUUUAAGAUCCAGUUUAUGAAUUUUGUUCAAAUCCCUUUUCUGUACAAAUAAGAAUCUUGAAACAAAGCCAAUUUCAUAAUUCAAGAAAUGAAAUAGUACUAAGCCAUAUAUAAUAGGGAAAUAUGGCACCACCAAUAUCUUUUAGGCAACAUACUAAUGCUAAAUAAUCACCAAACACGUCUCAUAAUUAAACAUCUCAUCACAUAAGGAUGAAUCCUGGUUGGGGACAGAAUCAGAUGGGGAAUUAAUUUACAAAUAUGAAAUUUGACCAUUAUUAUUAGAAUAUGGCAAAGUUAAUUAUUAGAUCCAAUUUAUGGUGCAUUAUAUUUGGGCACCUUUUUGACAACAACCGCAGCAAUUAUACAUACAAUUUCACUACCAAUAUCCUAUAAUUUAACUGAUCUAAAGUAAAGAAACAAAAGCUGUCAAACGAAGAAAAACUUCUCAUUACAAUUACAUUAAUCUUAUAUUUUGCAAGAAUUGCUUCAUAUCAGACAGCUAAGCCAAAAACAUUAGAGUUGGAUCUACAAAGUGCGGUUGACCAAUUAUUUUUGCCGCGAAUAAAUCUCCCCCAUUGAUUUGAACAACCGCUAAAAUGAUAGGCAAAAAAAUGGGAUAUAGGCGUGUUAAGAAUCCUAGUCAAAUUAUAAUUGAAUCGAAAAUUAUUUUCCUUUUUCGGACAGGAAAUGAUAACACUAAGAUAAAUACCUGCCAGCAGUCAGUUAAUAGCUAGGAAUUUGGCCUUAACUGAGCUGCAAAUAAGGAAUUCUUAUUUCUGCGUUCGCUCUCUGUCUCCGUCGAGCCCGGCGCACAGCAAACCUAGAUGACAGCUUCUUCGUCGAAACCCGCUUUGACAAAAUCAGCGCUUAAUCAACCCAUUUUGACCGCCAACCCACUUUGCCUGUUGUUGCCAAUUUACUCGUUUGCAGCAGCCUGUUCGGGUGUUUGUGGAGUGAAUGCUUUGCAGGAGGAGAACGAGGUAUACGGAGGUUGUGGGGGAAAAAAAAUUAAACGAUGGAAUGGGUUUUCGUUUUGUUUUUUUUUUUUUUUGGUGAAAACGACAUAAUAUAUAAAAGCAAUCAAAAGUUCCCCUAGUUAUUACAGAAAUGUUCUAAUGCUACGGGGAUAACAGAUGCCCCUAGUGUCCUCAUCAAAAACAAAAAGGAGUUCUCGAGGACAUGAUUCAAAAACCACAAAGGUUUGAUCCAGCUUGCUGCCCAAUUUCGCUAAGACAUCUGCACAUCUGUUGGCCUCGCGAUAGACAUGUCUGAGUUUAACAUGCUAGAGUUGCGAAAGCAGGCAUCUGCAGUCCAUGAUAAUUGGAUGAAAAAGGUGAUCAGGGUUCACAGUAGAAUUUAGGAGAGAAAUUAAAUCAGCACAAUCAACUUCAACUUCUAAGCAGGGGAUUUUUAGCACAAUAGCAAGUUGAAGUCCAUCUCUAAUUCCCCAUAAUUCAGCUAGGAUGUUAGACGCGAUGCCUAACUUUCUACUGUAACCCUUAAUCCAACAGCCAGAGGAGUCACGAAAGAUCCCCCCUGCACCUGCUAUCCCAGGAUUAUUGAGGGCAGAGCCGUCAGAGUUGAGUUUAACCCAACCACAAGGUGGAGGAAUCCAUUGUACCAGCACUUGGGAUUUCUUGUGGGGAAUGGAAUGGGAUUGUGGGCCUAAAGUGGUGAUUCGACAGCCAGGUCUAUACACCACUUCAAAGGAUUUGAGACUAAUUUGUGAGGUUCAAAAAUUUUUUUGUUGCGAGUGUUCCAGAUAACCCAAAGAGCAAAAAUGCAUAAGACUCCCCAAGAGAUAGAGAGAAAAGGGGAUGGAGAAGGGUCGAUGCAGAUUUUUUUGAGCCAGCUUAUGAAAGGGAGAUGGUUUAUAUUGUGGAGCCAUGGUGGUUUAAGAGCUGUACAGAAGUGCACUGCUGAAAUACACUUCCUAAGGGUAUGAUCCGUGUCUUCACAGUGUAAGGAGCAAAGCUGACAGGUGUUGUCCGGGAGAAUAUUCCUUUGAUGGAGAAGAUGUCUGGUGGCUAGUCUAUCGUGGUUCACUAACCAGAUGAAGAACCUGAUUCUGUUUGGGACUUGGAGAGACCAAAUCCAGUUAAAGGAGAUAGUAGGAGGAAGUGGAGCAUAUACUUUGGCAUUGGAGGCUAGGUCAUAGGCUGAUUUUAGUUGGAAGUUACUGUCAAUGGAGGGACUCCAUUUGAGGCAGUCUUCUGAGACCACAUGGUGGGAUCUAGGUGUGGAAAGAAUUAAACUAGAGAUUUCAUGUGGAAGGCAAAAAGACAAGAAUUCUAAAUUCCAUCCUCCAUUGGAGUCAAAGAGAUCAGCCACUCUAAGAUCCUCUUCAUAACUGUGUAGGGGUCCUUGAAUGAGAGACCUAAGGCUAGAAAUUGUGAACCAGUUACUAGUCCAGACUUUUAGAGAUAGACCAUUACCAGCAUUCCAUCCCAGCCCCUAUUCAAUGAUGUCUUUUCCUACUUUAAGAUUUCUGAGGUUGAUAGAACCUUUAGAGGAAGUCAAGAGAAGCCUAUUUUGGGCCAGGGAUUGGGCUCUGUCAAGGUAGAGAUCCGAAAGAAUGUUAACCUAGGGUUUGGAAAAGCCUUUUAAUAAAUGCCACCCCAUUUUUGAAAGGCCAGCUUUGUUAAGGAGCAAAGUUUGCCGGAGACCCAAUCCCCCUUGGGAUUUGUUGAGGGUAACAGUGUCCCAAUUUAGCAGGUGGAUUUUCCUCUUGUCAGAGGUAGAUCCCCACAGAAAAUUACGUUGCUCCCUAUCAAUGGCCUGGAAAAUAUUUUUUGGGAUAGAAGCCGCCUGAAAGAAAUACAUUGGAAUGGAGGAAAUGCACUGUUGGAGAAUGGCUUUCCUUCCUGCGAAAGAUAGGAGGCUAGAUUUCCAUCCUUGCAAUUUUUUUUGCACUUUUUCAAGUAAGAACUGAAAGGACUUGGAGGGUGAUUUGCUAAGAGUGAUAGGAAACCCUAGGUAUUUGCCUAAGUCAUUUGUGGGGCUAAUACCAAGAGUAUUGGAAAUGGUGGUUUUGGUACGAGGGUCAGUGUUGGGAGAAAAAAGGACUUUAGACUUAAAGAGGUUGGUUUGGAGACCAGAAAUGGAGAAAAACUGGUCUAGCACACUCUUGACAGCAUUGAUGGAUUGAACAUCUGUACUAGAGAAAAGAAUUAUGUCAUCUGCGAAACGGCAAUGUGAUAAGGAGUGGCUAGUUCUGCCAAACUUCAGGGGUUUCCACCGUUUAUCUUCGACUUCCUGAUUGAUGGAGAGGGAAAGAUAUUCCAUGCAAAGGAUAAAGAUAUAGGGGGAGAGAGGGUCUCCUUAACGAAUACCCCUAGAAGGUACAAAGUAAGGGGAAGGAGUGCCAUUGUGAAGAAUGGCAAAUCUGGUUGAAAAAAUGCAAUGCAUAAUGAGGGAUAUGAUAGUUGUGGGGAAUUCAAAGAAAUGAAGGACUUGCUUAAUAAAAUCCCAUUCAAGGUGAUCAUAGGCUUUGUGGAGGUCUAGUUUAAUUGCACAGACCCCCCACUUACCUUUCUUCCUAUUGAUUCUGUGAAUAGCUUCUUGGACAAGAAUCACGUUGUCUGUCCCACUUCUUGAAGGAAUGAAGCUUGAUUGAAAGGGGGAAAUGAUAGAAGCAAGCGCGGGUCUAAGCUUGUUGACUAGGACCUUAGCUAGAAUCUUGUAGCUAGAGUUGCAAAGUCCUAUGGGUCGAAAUUGGUUUAAGGUAUUCGACUGAUCAGUUUUGGGGAUAAGGCAAAUACGCGUGUCAUUCACUCCCAUGGGAAGUGGAUUUAGAGCAUAAGCAUCAAGGAUGAACUUGGUGAUGGAGGGGGCAAGAGUAGUCCAGCAUUUUUGGAAGAAAAAAGGGUGGAAGCCAUCUGGUCCAGGACUCUUGAAAGGUUUCAAAUAAAAAACGGCUUGCUUGAUUUCUAAUUCAGUUGGAACAUUACUGAUGGAGGAUUUGAGUUCGUGAGACAGUACGGGGCCUGGGAAAGGGAACGGCUCUGGAUGCAAAGGCGAGUGAGAUUUUGAGGAAGUAAAAAUAUUUUGUAAAAAAGGAGAAGAUAUGGUUUUGAAUAUCCUGAGGAUUUAUGAGCCAAGUAUUAUCACUGGUUUUGAGAGAAAGAAUCUUGUUUCUCCUUCUUCUGAUGAGCGUAGAGGUUUGAAGAAAUUUAACAUUGAGGUCAUUUGCCAGAGAAUGAUCUAUCCUCGCUUUCAUGAGCCAAAGAAGUUUUUCUUGGUUAAGGAUUUCCAUGUAUUGACUGGAGAGAUCUUUCUCUGGGCUAACAAAGAAGGUUGAGGAGUGAGAUUGAAGCGAUCUCUAAAUCCCUAGGAGACGAGCUAAGAGGUUUUUCUUUUUCCAGAAAAUGUUGUCAAAAUUUUUUUUACUCCAGUUCUUUAAAAUAGAAGAGAGGGCUGAGAGAUCGCCUAAAAUAGGAGUAGGAGGACCUAACCAGGAUUCUCUAACCACAUUGGAAAAAUCAGGAUGGGCCAUCCAGAAUUUUUCGAGUCUAAAGGAGUAAAAAGGGUGAGGUGAUGAUUCAGGGUUCAAAUUGAUUAAGAUAAGACAAUGGUCAGAGUGUACCCUGGUUAGGUGAGACACUCUCGCUUCAGGGAAGAGAGUUUAUCAAUACAGAAAUCCCAACGGAAGGAUAUAUCCAGACAAAGCAUGGGUGUCUGGCCUUGAAGGGAUAUUAAUACCACUUUUCUGACCAUUUCAGGUGAUGGAGGAAUUGCACCAUAUUUUAAAACAUUUGUGGGUUCACCCAAUGAAUGCUGUCCUUUUUAACCCACGAACUAAAUUUCAAGUACUCUGAUGUGUCCAAAUAAUAAUUUCAAAAAUUGUUUUGCUGCAGUAAACUAAGUAAACCAAACCACCAGUCUAAAUAGACUCAUUUCUAUCAUAUGGUGCGUUAUUAGUGAGUAUUAGCUUUGAAUUGAAAAACAAAGAUUUCAAACUAAUAUAUGCAUCAGAAGAAAUAUUCAAGAUUAGAACUUUUUUUUUUCCCUUCCGAUAUCAAUCCUAAAUGUUCAGAUUUAACAUUUUGUAUAAUGGUGAAAAGAAUUUACUAUGUUUUAAAUUUACCACUGAAUAUAUUUAAUUUAUUUGAGCUUAUGGCGUUUGUUUGCAACAUAUUUUUUUUCGAAGUACUACAAAAGAGAUGAACCUCGAUUUACCAAAAUUGAAAAGGAAGCAAACUUGGCGGACCAUUACGUACCUACAUUAGAAUUUACCAUGAAACAUGCCUACAAAUCUGAUCUCUUACAUUGUCAGGAAAAGUUGUGAACCAGUUGUUUGAAAAUUGUUUCAGCAACUGGGAUACAACAUUUGCAUCUGAGAAAACAAUUGACAGAUGAAUGAGCCAAGAGCUUCAUUACCAUUUCUCCUGACAAAAAAUGUUUCGUCCUAUGAGUAUUCACUACUAACGUCCCAUUACAGGCUCCCACGAGUUGCAGCAGGAAGAGGUUGAACAGCUGCAAGAGGGUUCACCUGAUAAGAGAAUGCAAGUUGCCAUAAGUCCACCAAACCCUUUUUAACAGACAACGCUUGCUUCCUGAGAACCCUGUAACAGCAGAAAUUAGUCUUCUUUCCUGUCAUAUCAACAGAUACAUAACCAAAUUUUCAUAAAAAGAAGAACAUCGUACCUCUUUAAAGAAGCUUGUUUCCUCUUUAGAAAAUAGCACAUGAAUAACAAAAUGCAGCCCAGCAAGAUGUUUCCAUUUGAUAGAUUCAACCUAAAAUUUCCAAACUUCACAGUGGUAUUUCGGAACCACCAGAAGCAUGGUGCUCCCCGCCCAGACAAUUUCAGAAUUGUUUCUUUUACAGAGUUCUCUUUGCUGGCUACGUGUCCAGGUUCCAAAUUCUUCGAAAAGUUCUUUGAUUCAACUCCAUGUUUAUCUGCAUGCAGAGAUGAGACAGGAGCCUGUGAUGAACUGGUUGCCUUCGAAGCAUUCAUAGAGUUCAGUCGCCUCAAAAGUUCCUGUAAAAACAGUGAAGCAUUAUGCAAUGCAAGGAUGAAUGAGUGCACGUCUACAAAACAUGUCACAAACAACAUGCAGCCAGAUUAAUAAUUGCUUCCAAUCCCAACAAAUGAAGCACAUAUCUAAUGGAUAUUUAUAAUCAGAAGUAAACAGAUCAUCAAAGAAAGAAAAAUCUUGCAGAAAAAUAUGAUCUAACAAUACAAUUUUUCAGAGAAAUGACCAGGACCAACUAGGAGAAGGCAAAAUGGGUAAGAAGCAAUAUUCUCUAUACUUGGCAAUAAUAAUGGAGGGAGUUACUGCAAAUAAAAGAACUAUUCAUCAAGGUCAUGUCAGAAGCCCUUCACAUAAAAAACACAAUAUACAAACCAUCAAACACCAGAAUCCUCGUAGCAGUUUUAGAUAUCAAGACUUCUAUACCUGUCGCUUAUCCUCAGGUAGAGAAGCCUUCUCAACCCAAGAUAUUGCAGAGUCGAUGUCUCUCAAAACCAUCCCAAGACAUGUCAUCACAUAGAGGUCAACAACUUCCAGGUACUCAUCAACACCAAGAGAAAAUCGUCUGUCAGGUUCUUCACCAUCAGCUUCUACCAAAAAAUAAUACCCUUCAUCCUUGUAAAUCCAUUUGCUGAGGAACUCCUUAAGAUAUCCUUCAACAUCAGAAGAUGUGCCUUCUGAUAUCUGAAAACAAACACUAAAAACAACAUGUAGUUUGAAUAUAACUCAGUUUUCCAAAAUAGCUUUCUUGAAACGAGUGCAUCACCACAUGAAAAUUCAAAGAAGAUGAAGGGAGGGAUCUUUCAUAUGAGCUAAUUAAUAAACUUAGAGACAAGACAAAGACUGACUUGGUCAAAUUGACAAAUAAAGAAGAAAUCCACCAUUUCAAUCUCUUAUCCAAGGUGGCUAAGUUGGCAUUAUUCAACUAAACAGGCAAAGCAUACUAUGGAAGAGAGAAACAACAAGGUAGUUCAAAAAGUGUAUCUCCUGUUUUUAUUCGAGUUAAAGACAUCUGCACUAGAACUCAAGGAAUUCUUCCUCCAGAGAUAUUGACAGAAUAAGUAGAUUACAAUGCGCAACAGACUCAACCCAAAAAUAAAUAGCACAAAUGGUAAAGGCUUAAUUAGGGCUAUCAUUGAUUACAUGUUAAGCGUUGAAAAGAGGUUGCAUAUUAAGGAGUAACAAUAUGCAAUUUGCCUCCCAAUAGAAUGCCUAAACAAUCAAAAUCCUUAGAAAGAAAAAACUCUAAAUUAUCUGUUGGCAAAUAAGAAUUCUGAAAAAGAGAUAACUCUCAGGGAAUGUUGUAAUCAGAUAAUUCUACAACUUCAAGUCAUGAGCAAUGAAUAGACAAUCCAUUGCUUAAAAGAUUUUAAAACAUUUAUAAGGACAAACCAGCAUUAUGAUCCACAAAUUUUGCAGCAUGGAAUAUAGAGGAAAGCUACAAUUCUGCAAGCAUAAUGCUGUUAACUAUAGUGGUGAAUGUCUAACAUCUCAAUGGAACUAGUUAUGCCAAUCAUUUUUCAAAAAUUUGUGUAGAAACUCUAAUUUGCAACGAACUAACAUCUGAAGGUCAGAAAGGUUACCCAGUAACCAAAACUUGCACAGGGAUGGCAGCUACUGAACCAAAUAGAUGUUUGAGCUCCUUCAGAAUUUCGAAGGUCCUGCAAAUUACAUGAAAUUUCCAAAAACACACUCAGUAUUUAUUAAUGAGAAUACAAAUCCUAUUGAAUACAGCAUGAACUAAACACUUUGGUCAUUAGAGUGUUUCCUUUUUAUUUCUUGUUUUCUUUUCCCCUAACACAGGCAAAGGGAAACUGCCUUAAAGCAAAAACAAACAGAUGCAUGGACAAAUAAGUCAUGCACCUCCAUAAACAGCAUUCAGGUAGAAGAGAAACUGCCUUAAAGCCCCAAAAAAAAAGGAUGUAUGGACAAAUAAGUCAUGCACCUCUGUAAGCAGCAUUCAGGCAGAAGGGAAACUGCCUUAAAGCAAAAACAAACAGAUGUAUGGACAAAUAACUCAUGCACCUCCAUAAACAGUGUUCAGGCAGCUAAACUGAUGCAUCAGAAUAAGCAAUAAUGGCUCUAAAUUUGAAAAGUUAAACAAAAAAUUAUCCUACAAUUAUGCGAGUUUAAAUUACUUCCAGAUGUUAAAUAGCUAGUGCCUUGUUUUUUGUAUAAGUUCAAUUAUCAAUACUAUUAUGACAAUUACCAAAACAGUCAAGGAAUACUAGAAAUCUAGGGGCAACAAGCAUCAAUAUCCUGCCCCCUCCCCCCAAAAAAAAAAACCACACACAAAAAAAAAUCCCCAAUAUGUUUUGGUCAAGAUUAUGAGUGUUAACCAUAGCUUGAAAUGUACAACACCAAUAUCAUUCUUGCACUGUGCAAGCCCAGAUUAUAUUCUAAAGUAUAUAAUUCUCCUUUUAAAAGUCAUCAACUUCUGAUAAUAAAGACAAUAGCUCCAAUAGAAAUUGCACUUCUGGUAAUAAUAUGACUGAAACCCAAAUUCUUUCUCAAUACGUUUACCAAAUAGGUAACCCACUAUUCCAUCCCAUAUCUCAAGCAUUUUGCAUUGCCUAGAUCAUCUAAUACUCCUGUUUCUUUAGAUUCUAAUCGCGUUCUGUAUUCUAGUACUAAAUUUAACAACCAAACUCAUUAUUGUCUAUAAAGCAAUUAGGCAAUUUCAGAUUCUAAUCAAAACAAAUGCUUUUUUCCUUUUCAGGACAAGCUCAAGUGCCUUGACAAUUUUCUUCGCUGCCAUGAUGAAUCAAUUGAAUCAUCAUAGGCAUGCUUACAUUUGCCCUGUCACUAGUCGUCACUCCACAAGAAAACAUCCCUUUUCAAAUCUAUCAGAGAGGUCAAUCGCAACACCCAGAAUGACCUCAUAGCCUGAGAUUCAAAUGCAUCAAGUUUCUUGGCAGGUAGAACUACGAGAAAGGAAACGUUGCUUCAUAAUUAGUCCUCUAGCUCAAAGCAAAUCCUAAGAUCAUUCGUAAACUAAAUUGAAUCCAGAAGAUGCAUUUUCAAAGGAUUUAAUUUGUGAGAUCAAAGAGUAAAUCAAUGGCAUAAUCAUUAAGAUCAAUAAUAAGACAAACAACCCAGGAGAAAUUUCAGAAUUCACAUCGCACGUCACCUUGCAAGUUCCUUCAUGGACUGAACAAACACCAUACCAGAUGACUCCAACAUGUCAUGCAAUUCAUUCUCAUUACCAUCAUUGUCAACAUUUCCAUUUUGAUGAUUCUCACGCAUCAAGUUCCUGAUAAUUAAGGAAGCCAACGAAGCCGCUUCCUCGAACAUACAACUCACCAAGUAACUGCAAAAUUCGAUCAAAGACGUACAAAAACAGUUAUUCAAGAAAGCAACAUACAAGGGUAGUAAACAGCAUGCCCCUUUUCAAAUCCAAAAACAAAUGAAACAGAAUUAUACCUUUCCGAACGCUCAAUUCCUUCCCAAGUAGAUGCUUUUGCACCACAAACUACAGCCAUUUCUGUCUUUAUCUAGCUCUUUUUUGUAGUUCUACAAGCUGCAGACGCCUCAGGUAUCAUUACAUAAUUUGUUUAUAUGAUCGAAACAAUUGCAAAAUCAAUUCCAAAAUCAGAACUGAAAUAUUUGCAAUUGAAAACCCCAACUAAUGUUAUCAAUACUUAAAAUGAUAGGCCGAAAAAAACAGAGAUAAAUUGAGAAAUUCGAGAAAACUGAACAGCAAGAUAGAAAGAGAUUGAUUGAUCGAGAUAGAGAGAGAAAGAGAGGGCUUACCAAUUGGAGCUGCAAUCUCCAACAAGAUUGAAAUUGUUGUUGAGGAUGACAAUUACUGCAGAAGAAGACUUUUUCAACAAUGCUUGAAAAUCAACCAACUCAAGGGGGACUUGAUUUGAGGUUUUUACGAACGUUGAGAUAAAAUUUUGGGUUAAGAGCAAUUUGCACCCUAAACUAUUACCUAUUUGUAUUUUGUUCCCCAAACCAUUAAGUUUCGAAUGAGAAAGAUUUGAGUAGUCCUUAUUGAAUAAUUUUACGGACAUAGGUUAGGGAUAAUAGAAUUUUUUUUCAGCUAAAAAUAGUUAAUAGUUUUAUUCUUUUUUAACUAAUUAAACAAUGUUAUAUAAAUUGAUAUGCAUUUUAACUGGUUGAAUAAUGACACAAAUUGAUAGUAAGAAGUAAUAUUAGGGUGACAAAAUUGUUAAUUUUAGAAGAUAGUGUCUAGAUCAAUAAUAGUUCAAUAUGUACGAUAUUAUUAAUCUUAACUAUUUUUGUUUAUUAGUUAUGAGUUUUCUUUUUUUUUUUUUGUAAUUUUUUGCUUGAUAAUUUGUACAAGUAUUGCCUUGAAUUAAGAAGAAAAACUCUUUACUCCCUCACAUUUUUAAGCCAAUAGAAUUUGAAUUCUCAUAUAUUCAAUUCCCGCCAUCUUCUUAUAGAAAAUUUUACAUCAACGUAUUCGGAGAGUGAAUAAUAUUAGAACAGCGGAUGAAUAAAAUACAAAUUAAGUUUAAUUGGAUGAGUAGAAAAUAUAUAAUUUAGUUACUUUUUCUUGUCAUAAAUUAAUUAUCAUCUUAGACAAGCCAAUCUAAUUUUUUCCGUGAAAUUUUAAUCCUAAAUUAAUUUUGUUUUUCAAAUAAAAGAUUAUUUGUCACUAAAAAUAAUAAUAUCACUAUACAUAUAUUGCACAUUCUUCUAAAAAAGGAAAAUUGGACGAAGGAAGUAUUAUUUUGGUUAGUGUGAAUGGAAGUACUUGAAUUCGAAAUUUUUUACUUACAUUCCUUUCUUUUAAACCAUCAAAUUGUUCUUCCCCCACUAAGAAAAAAAAAACCUAUGGUAAAUGUUCAUUGGUGAGUAAAAAAAUUUUAAUAAAAUAAUAGCCACGAAUAAAUGAUGCAAAUUUUGAUGCAAAUAAAAUUAAUAAAAUUUGGGUCUAACAUCCCAAGAUUUGUUUAAAAAAAAAAAGUAAAUGAUGCAAAUAGUUUAAUUGGCAUAUCGCUUCUUUGCCACCUAAAAUACAAAAAGGAGUACUAAUUUCUGGCGGGAAUUCUCCUCUUCUUCCCACCAACUUAACGACUUCUUUCCACAAUGAAGACGGUCUUCAAAUCUGUCUUCGCCAUAAACUCGAGAAAAAGCUUCAAAGCUUACAUGCAGAGAAACCUUAACCUCUUGAAAGAAAUCUCAAACCAAAGAUUAAUCACUCAAGGAACUGCACUUCAUGGCCAUUUAAUUAAAAAGGGAAUUUCAUCAGAGAAGUAUGUAGCUGUAAAAUUGCUUGUUAUGUACUUAAAGUGUAGGAAAUAUGGUGAAAUAAAUCAUAUGUUGAAGGAGUUUAACGGGUUCAAUUUAGUUGUGUAUAACUGUUUGAUUGCUGCAAAUGUUGAGUGGGGAAAUUUGAAUGAAGCGCGCCGGUUGUUUGAAGAAAUGCCACAGAGAGGUGAGGUUACUUGGACUGCUUUGGUUUCUGGUUUGCUGAGAUAUGGAAGAGUGGAUGAAGCACUUUGGUAUUUCGAGAGGAACCCUUUUCGGGAUGGAUUUUCUUGGACUGCGAUGAUAAGUGGAUUGGUGCAAAAUGGUCUGGGUUUGCAGGCUAUGAAGCUUUUCUUGAGGAUGCUUGAUUCUGGAGUUAUGCCUAAUAAUGUUACGUUUACUACUUUUUUUAAAGCUUGUGCAGAUUCGGCUGACUUUGGGUUGGGAAUGAGUGCGUUGGCUUUGGUUGUGAAGGUUGGUUUUGAUGAGAGUUUGCCUGUGUGUAAUUCAUUGAUUUCAUUCAGUUUGAAGGUGGGAGAAAUUAACUUGGCUAGAAGAAUUUUUGAUGGCAUGAAAGAGAGGGACGUUGUUUCGUGGACUGCGAUUUUGGAUGCGUAUGUUGAGAUGGAUAGUUUGGAAGAGGCUCGUAGAAUCUUUGAUGAGAUGCCAGAAAGGAAUGAAAUUUCUUGGAGUGCCAUGAUUGCUAGGUAUAGUCAGAAUGGUUAUGCUGAAGAUGCAGUAAACUUGUUCCAUGAAAUGGUUCAGAGUGGGUUUAGGCCAAACAAAUCUUGCUUUUCUUGUGCUAUUAGUGCUUUGGCCAGCCUGGAAGCUUUGCAAGCAGGCAGGAAUAUCCAUGGACAUGUUAUAAAAAUUGGAAUUGAGACGGAUGUUUUCAUUAGUAGCUCACUAGUGGACUUGUAUUGCAAAUGCAAAGAAACUGGAGAUGGACGCAGAGUUUUUGACUUGACAAAGGUGAAAAAUGUUGCUUGUUGGAAUUCCAUGGUUGCUGGUUAUAGUUUAAAUUGCCAGCUUGAAGAAGCUAGGAAACUGUUUGACCUGAUACCUUGUAAAAAUAAUGUCUCCUGGAACUGCCUGAUUGUGGGUUACUUAGAAAAUGAACAAUUUGAUAAAGUUACUGACUUGUUCAAUGAGAUGCUUUUGUCUGGAGAAACACCAAACAAAUCCACUUUCUCAAGUGUUCUACGUGCUUGUUCAAGCUUAGCCUCGUUAGAAAGAGGCAAGGUUCUACAUGGAAAAAUUGUUAAACAUGGUUUCCAGUAUGAUAUUUAUGUCGGCACCGCACUCAUAAGUAUGUACUCAAAAUCUGGAGAUAUUGAAUGCUCUAAGCAAGUUUUUAGUAGAAUGCCAAGGAAAAAUGAAGUAUCUUGGGCAGCUAUGAUUCAGGCAUUUGCCGAAAAUGGUUUUGCUGAAGAGUCACUUGCCCUGUUUGAUGAAUUUGAACAUUCUUCAUCCUUUGCACCUAAUGAGCUCAUUCUUUUGGCAGUUCUGUUUUCUUGUUCUCAUUGUGGGCUGGUUGAUAAAGGACUGCAUUUUUUCAAUUCAAUGGAGAAGAUUUACGGCAUUAAACCAACUGGUAGGCACUACACCUGUGUAGUUGACAUGCUUUCUCGGUCAGGACGCCUAUCAGAGGCUGAAAAAUUUAUCACGGGCAUGUCAUGUGAACAUGAAGUUAAUGCCUGGGUAGCUUUAUUAAAUGGUUCUAGAAUAUACAGGGAUAAAAUUGUGGCAGAAAAGGCAGCAAAAAAGUUCUCAAAAAUGGUGGAGGAGAAGUCUGAAGUUUAUGUCAUGCUAUCAAACGUUUAUGCUUCAGCUGGUAGAUGGUUUGAUGUUCUUAACACUAGAAAGUUGAUGAUAGAGAAAGGAUUAUACAAAGGCGGAGGCUGUAGUUGGAUUGAGGAGAGAAAUCAUAUUCAUGUUUUCUAUUGCCAGGAUGGAACACAUAUUGGCUCAACAGAAAUUUAUGGGGUAUUGCAACUAUUGAAAUCUGAAAUGUGAAACGUGAAUGAUGAUGCUAUAAAAGCUUGGACCUUGAACAGAGGCGUCUUGGUGAAGAAAAGCCAAGGAGGGAAAAAAAAAGUUUUUCUUCCUCAGGUAUGGUAACUAACAAGACUACAUGUAGCAGCAGUGGAGAAAUUUUCUUGUCUUAUGGAAGCUAGCUAUACAGUUGUUGGAAUUGAUGUCUUCAUUGCUGAAAGUCAGGACCAUCUUGCAAGCAAAUGCAAGUUUGAGUUGUGGAAUAACCGGUUCAGCAGAAAAACCUUCCCAAGAAGCUCUGUUUCUCACAAAGUUCUUUUGCAAUACAACAGUCUAUUAGGAAAAAUGAAUUGCAGGUAAUGGUUUUUACUAAUCUCAAACUGGGGACAAUUGCCUCUUGGAAAGGAUAGCCAUUAUGGCUUUUGUCAUAUAAUGUGAAAAAGAUUCUUGAUCAAAGUUAUCUUGUGUAGCACUAUUCAUUUUCUGAGGCAAAUCCUGAUCAAGAUUGUGUCUCUCAGGUAAAAGUCUGUAUGCUGUCUUUUGUAUUGAAUAGUUCAUACCUUCUUGUAAUUAGACAAUAACAUUAUUUACUACAGUUGCAUUUUCUUUGUUAUUUACACUUCCAUGAAGUGGAGGUCAACUGGUCAGUGAAACAAAUCAAGUGACAGAUUGGAAGCAGAAGAGGAGUUCCAUUUACAAGCACCAAAAAAAAGAAAAACAAGUCAGUUAGUUUUCCUUCUCUCUUUUUUUUUUUUAAUUAUAUGGUUAUUUUCCUUGCGUCUUUUCUAUUUUGGUUAGAGAUGUUUAGGCCUAGACACCAUUUAAUGACAAGAAUUGCAGCAAAUGAAUUUUUAAUUUGCUUGAAAGUGUUUUUUAAUCUGGCUUCUGUAGUUAAUUUUAUGCUUCCGAUUCAUGAAUCGUCUGAACUGGUUUACUUCCAUUUGUUAGUUGAAAGGAGUGGGAAAAAGGAAAGAGAUUUAGGCUGUGGAGUGGCACUGCACAUUAGCUUUCUGAAACAACUACUCAAGUUAGCGGCUAAGAAACCAAAUAGUUCACAACUUCAAGCUGGUUUACCUUGUUAGGUUUUCUAACGUCCAAUUUCCCCAUCCUUUUCCAGUCCCUCAACUCUUUUUCUUUUUUAAUUUUGUGGAUGCUUACUUCAUACAACUUUCUUAUCAGUUGACGUGGAUCACAUGCAAAAAAGAGCAUUCAUGAAACUGAACUAUGGUGUCUAGUUAAAUUGUCACAGAAAACCAUAUAUACACACAUGUUCAGCACCUUUUGAUUUAUCUUUGGCUACUAUUGGAUAAUUGCUCUUUGAUGGAGAUUUAAACAUGUUUCUUGGGAAGAUGUAGUUUAUAAGUGACAUUACUUAUCCUUUUUCUGUAUUGUCAGUGAUUUCUCUUAGAAGCCUGCUACAAUGUUGCCACGGGGAUAAUCCUGUUGCUUUUUCACUGACAAAAAUGCGUCAGGUACACUAGUUUUUCUUUUUGCCUAUUUCAUCAUUCCACGAAAUAUUUUGUUACCAUAAAACCUGUGCAUGUAGGUGAUAAUCCAAGGGUUUUGCUGCUUGAUGUAACUUUUGUAGCUUAAGCAGGUACUCAUAAAAUAAAAUUCGUAAUGGAAAAGCAUAUUAAUAUUUGUAAACCUUAAUGUUGACCUUUUUAGAGCUAAUCUUUUGUACCUGUUGGCUAAGAUGGUUAUUUCUUGGUUUCGUCUCUUACCUGCUGUUGAACUAAUUUGCAUCAGCGGAAGAAGAAAAUUCAUCUAGAGCAAACUGCCAUCCUGGAGAAUAAUCAUUCAAUGAAUAUUAUUGGACGCCUGAAUGGGCACUAUACAUGUUACCAGAAGAUUGCUGAAAACCCAUACGGCAACUUUAAUAUCUAAGAAUGCUUAAAGAAUUCAAAUGGAACUGGUUAUUUAAGGUAAAGGCCCUCUUACAGAAUGAAGAAAACUAUUAGUAAAUUGUCAUACAUAAUUCUCUUUUGCAUUUAGUGUUGAAGAUAUGUGAUCUAAUAUUAGGAAAGAUAUGAUUAUAGUAUCAUGUAUUAAUUAGGUAUCAUAUGAUUAUAGUAUCAUGUAUUAAUUAGAUAUCAUAUGAUUAUAGUAUCAUAUAUUAAUUAGGUAGUAAAUUGAUUUAGAUUAGCAUGAUUUUAGGAUCUAAAUUAGGUUACACUUGUGUAUAUAUAUGUAUAUUGUGUAGUCCAAAUGAGAUGAAGGAAAAUAUUUUCUCUCCCUUUUUCUUAGUUUUCAUGGUAUCAGAGCUCUACCAUCAAGGUUAGGGUCUCUGUCCGCUGCCGGAAAAUUCAGUAGUCAUCAUUCGGUUCCUCUGGUUCUGUAUAGGACACAUUUGUGUUCUAUUCUUCACUCUUGUUUUAAAGAGUUCAGAUCUGUCCUUUUUUGUUUUUAUUCUGUUAAUUCUGAACCCAUGGCAGAAACGAAAUCUGUCGUUACGUCUGAUGUGGUUCCUGUGAUGUCUAAGAUCACGGACCACAAACUCAACAAUUCUAACUAUCUUGAUUGGAGCAAAACGGUUCGUCUUUAUCUGCAAAGCAUUGAUAAAGACAAUCAUCUGACUGAUGAUCCUCCAAAAGAUGGGUCAAGACAAACAUGGCUAAGGGAAGAUGCUAGAUUGUUCCUGCAAAUACGGAAUUCUAUUGACAGUGAGGUAAUUAGCUUAAUUAAUCACUGUGAAUUUGUUAAGGAGUUAAUGGAGUAUUUAGAAUUUUUGUAUUCUGGUAAAGGGAAUAUUUCUCGCAUAUAUGAGGUGUGUCAAGCCUUUUAUCGUGCAGAGAAACAAGAUAAGUCCAUCAUGACUUAUUUUAUGAAUUUUAAGAAAACUUAUGAGGAGCUUAAUCUAUUGUUACCGUUUAGUUCUGAUGUGAAAGUUCAGCAAACUCAACGGGAACAGAUGGCAAUUAUGAGUUUUUUGGCUGGUCUUUCACCUGAAUUUGAAGCUGCUAAAUCUCAGAUUCUUUCCAGUCCUGAGAUCUCAUCCUUGCAAGAUGUGUUUAGUAGGGUGUUUCGCACAGAGAAUACCCAGUCUGUUCAGUUCAGCAGCGCUCUUGUUGGUCUUGGAAAACAACAAUACAAAGGUGGUGGUAAAGGAAUUGACACUCGGGGUCAGAAUGCAGAAGUGGUUGUGUGUUACUAUUGUCAAAAGCCGGGCCAUAUGAAGCGUGAUUGUAAGAAAUUGUAUUAUAGGAACCAGAGAACUCAAUCCGCACAUAUUGCUUCUACCAAUGAUGCUAUUAACCAUGAAAAGUCUGUUACGAUCUCUGCAGAUGAAUUUGCUAAAUUUUCUCAGUAUCAAGAAUCAUUAAAGUCUUCAUCUACUCCCGUAACUGCCAUCACUGAGUCAGGUAAACCAAACACAUGCCUUCUGUCCUCGUCCUCCAAAUGGGUAAUUGAUUCUGGUGCCACAGAUCAUAUGACAGGUAAUUCUAGUCUAUUUUCUACCUUUCAGCCACACACAUCUGCACCUACAGUUACCUUAGUUGAUGGGUCAAAAUCUCGUGUUCUUGGAUCAGGCUCAGUUAACCCCACUCCAUUAAUCUCAUUGUCAUCUGUCUUAAGUUUGCCUGAGUUGUCUUUUAAUCUAAUUUCUGUGAGUAAACUUACUCGUGCCCUCAAUUGUUCUGCCCAAUUCUUUCCUGACUAUUGCUUGUUUCAGGAUCUUACGACGAAGCAGAUUAUUGGUAAAAGGCAUGAAUCUGGAGGUCUUUACAUUCUUGACACACAGAUACCAAAGUCCAUAGCUUGUUCUGGAAUUGUAACACCAUUUGAAGCACAUUGUAGGCUGGGUCAUCCUUCUCUCCCAUUGUUAAAGAUACUUUGUCCACAAUUUCAGAAUUUGUCUCUAUUAGAUUGUGAGUCUUGUCAAUUUGCCAAACAUCAUCGUGUUAAUCUGAGUCCUAGAGUCAAUAAACGAGCGGAUGCUCCUUUUGCAUUAAUUCAUUCAGAUGUCUGGGGACCUAGUCCAGUCAUUUCUAAAACUGGAUUCAAGUAUUUUGUUACUUUUGUUGAUGACCAUUCUCGUAUGACUUGGUUAUAUUUAAUGAAAAAUCGGUCAGAGUUGUUUUCUCAUUUUUGUGCUUUUUGUGCUGAGGUUAAGACUCAAUUUAAGCGUUCUGUACAAAUAUUGCGAAAUGACAAUGUCAAAGAAUAUUUAUUCGCACCUUUUCAAUCUUAUAUGGUGCAAAAUGGCAUUAUUCAUCAAACCUCUUGUGUGGAUACACCAUCCCAAAAUGGGGUCGCAGAACGAAAGAAUAGACAUUUGCUUGAAACUGCAAGAGCCUUAUCAUUUCAAAUGCAUGUUCCUAAACAUUUUUGGGCUGAUGCAGUGUCCACAGCUUGCUUUCUAAUUAAUCGUCUGCCUUCAUCUGUUCUGAAUGGUAGGACUCCUUAUAAUACUCUUUUUCCAAAUAAACUUUUGUUUCCCAUCGAACCUAAAAUCUUUGGAUAUACAUGUUUUGUCUGCGACUCUCGUCCCCAAGUCACUAAGUUAGACCCCAAAUCAUUGAAAUGUAUUUUUCUUGGUUAUUCCCGUGUCCAAAAAGGAUAUAGAUGUUAUUGUCCUAGUCUUGGCAGGUACAUUGUGUCAGUUGAUGUUACUUUUCUUGAAAAUACACCUUUUACCCCUUCCUCAUCUCAUUCAUGUCAGGAGGAGGAUGAUGAUUUGUUAAUCUAUACUGUCACAUCUUCAAGAUCUUCCCCUGCUAAACCUCCAAUUACUCAGGUAUAUUCUCGACGACAAAAGUCUCCUGAUGCAUGCCCUGAACCAGUUCCUUCGUUACUAGAUCCUGUCUCAAGUGAUGAUCUUCCUAUUGCUCUUCGCAAAGGUAAGCGUCAAUGCACUUAUCAUGUGUCUUCGUGUGUAUCUUAUAAUCAUUUACCCAUCUCUUCUUGUUCCUUUAUUACAUCUAUUGAUUCUAUCUCCCUUCCUAAAACUGUUCAUGAAGCCUUAUCCCAUCCCGGAUGGCGCAAUGCUAUGAUAGAGGAGAUGAAUGCUCUAGAUGGUAAUGAUACUUGGAACUUAGUAAAUUUACCUGCAGGGAAGAAGGCCAUUGGGAGUAAGUGGGUUUUUGCAGUUAAAUUCAAUCCUGAUGGGUCAGUUGCUCGAUUAAAAGCUCGCCUUGUUGCCAAAGGCUAUGCCCAAAUCUAUGGAGAGGAUUAUUCUGACACUUUUUUCCCUGUUGUUAAGUUAACAUCUGUCAGGUUAUUCAUUUCUGUGGCAGCCACUCAUAAUUGGCCUUUGCAUUAACUAGAUAUCAAGAAUGCCUUUUUUCAUGAAGACCUCCAAGAGAAAGUUUAUAUGGAGCAACCACCAGGGUUUGUUGCUCAGGGGGAGUCUGGGAAGGUUUGUCAUCUUCGGAAGUCCUUGUAUGGACUGAAACAAAGUCCUCGUGCUUGGUUUGGAAAUUUUAGUCUAGCAGUUGAGAGGUUUGGGAUGCAGAAAAGCAAAUCUGAUCACUCUGUUUUCUACAAACAGUCUGAAAUUGGUAUUAUUUUGUUGGUAGUAUAUGUGGAUGAUAAUGUUAUCACUGGAAAUGAUGCUGCAUGUAUUUCAUCUCUUAAAAUUUUUCUCCAUAGUCAAUUUCAGACAAAGGAUUUGGGACUGUUAAAGUAUUUUUUGGGUAUUGAGGUAGCAAAGAAUAGGAAGGGGAUAUUCCUGUCUCAAAGAAAAUAUGUUCUUGACUUACUAUCUGAAACGGAAAAAUUGGGGGCUAAACCAGCUAGUACCCCAAUGAUCCCUAACUUGCAGCUCACAAAAGAAGGUGAAUUAUUAGAAGAUCCUGGGAGGUAUAGAAGAUUGGUUGGAAAGUUUAAUUAUCUUACAGUGACUCGUCCAGAUAUCACGUAUUCAGUUAGUGUUGUUAGUCAAUAUAUGUCUAAUCCUACUGUUAAUCAUUGGGCAGUUGUGGAACAAAUUUUGUGUUAUUUAAAAGGAGCUCCUGGACGUGGUAUUCUGUAUAAAAAUCAUGGUCAUACUAGGAUUGAGUGUUUUUCAGAUGCUGAUUAGGCAGGAUCCAAGGCAGAUCGAAGAUCCACAACUGGAUUUUGUGUCUUUGUUAGAGGAAACUUGGUCUCAUGGAAGAAUAAGAAGCAGAAUGUUGUCUCGCGAUCGAGUGCAGAGUCAGAAUAUAGAGCUAUGGCACAAUCGACAUGUGAAAUCAUGUGGAUAAAUCAACUUCUAACUGAAGUAGGUCUCAAAACCUCAAUGCCUGCAAAGUUGUGGUGUGAUAACCAAGCGGUUCUUCAUAUUGCAUCCAAUCCCGUAUUUUAUGAGCGAACAAAACACAUCGAAAUAGAUUGUCAUUUUAUUCGUGAGAAAAUACAGCAGGGCUUGAUUUCAACAGGAUUUGUAAGGACUGGAGAACAAAUGGGAGAUCUCUUUACGAAGGCUCUAUAUGGGGUUCGAGUUGAUUACCUUUGUAACAAGUUGGGCAUGAGCAACAUCUAUGCUCCAGCUUGAGGGGGAGUGUUGAAAAUAUGUGAUCUGAUAUUAGGAAAGAUAUGAUUAUAAUAUCAUGUAUUAAUUAGGUAUCAUAUGAUUAUAGUAUCAUGUAUUAAUUAGGUAUCAUAUGAUUAUAGUAUCAUAUAUUAAUUAGGUAGUAAAUUGAUUUAGAUUAGCAUGAUUUUAGGAUCUAAAUUAGGUUACACUUGUGUAUAUAUAUAUGUAUAUUGUGUAGUCCAAAUGAGAUGAAGGAAAAUAUUUUCUCUCCCUUUUUCUUAGUUUUUAAGGACAAUAUGGUAAAGUUUGAAAAAGAUACUCGUUGAAAGUAAAUGGCAAAAGGAGCAAAUGGCAUAGGCUUAAGUGGUGCAAUGAGACUUACCCAGGCAAGAGGAUGGAAGACUUUGGAUUAUAUCUGGUUUCUCGAUUGAUCGGUAUUGUGCAUGAAAUGGUAUGCCUUGUACAUUUUGUAUGGUGGAUUCUGAUAAUCGUUGAACAAGUGUUCUGUGAAAUUAAAGGUGAAAGGAGGUUUUUCAUGUCAUUGGGGAUGCUGCUAAAACUAGGCCCUACAUUGCAGUUGACCAUAUUUCAACUACUUAGCGUCCAGUAAACUAAUAAAAGGCUCUUUUCUCUGGAUCUUUGUUGCAUAUACCAACAUCUUGGUUGUCUAGACAGUUAAUGCAAACAGCAAUCAGAUGACUCAGAAACCAGAAAUAUUUCAGUUUGAUUCAGUGAAAUAUAUCUUUUAGACAUCAACUAUAUCCUCAUUUUAAAGGUUUCAUGGUGAAAAAAAAAAUCACACUCUAGCGAAAUAUCUUAGUUCCAUAUCUUACCAUUAGGUCAAAAUUCUUAUAUUGUUUCGAUUUCAAAUAAAAUAAAAACUUACCUAAUGAAUUUGAGUUGAAUAAUAUAAUGCUCAAGUUAUAAAUUUUACCUAACUUCAAUUGUGCUUAAUCUUCUCUUUAUUAUUUUUUAAGUCAAGAUUUAAAUGAGUUGCUAUAUCUCUUCAGAUUGGCAAUUCUUAUUUAUUAUUAAUGCAAAUUAUCUGUUUGGCCCUUGAACUUUUAGUUUAGAUAAAACUUAACCCUCUAACUAUUAAUAGUCAAUUUUUAGCUUUCCAACUUGUAAAAUAGGGAACCUGUGGCUCUUUUGACUAAUUUAUCCGGUUUUGCAACCGGAAAGACAAAUCACGCGAAUGGUAGUUUGCUUUAUAGAAGGGUCUUUUUGUCUAUACAGAAACAAGCAAAAAUGAACGAAGUACAUCAUGUUCCCCAUCAACCCAAAUCCCUAAUAGAUCUCAACACACGAAUUGCAGAGGCAAGGGAGAGAAGUGUUUGUUGAGAGCAAGUAAGAAUGCGUAAAUCUUGCGUCCCUUCCUUUCAUAUUUGUCUCUGUGGUAAAAUCACAAAGAUGAUUGCUUCGUGAACCGAUAUAAACCCAAGGAGAAAGUACACUGUUUGCUCACAAGAAGUUGGUAGCUGUGGAUAUUGGUAUUGGAUUGACGAGGAGAUGUGCCGCCGCUCUGUUGAGUUGAUACCUGACCUUCCAAGAGGAUCAAUGCAGCAGAAAAGCAAAGAGAGGAAUUUGAAGCUGUAGCAUCAAGAUCCAAGGCAAAAGCUGCUAAGUUGAAGGCAAAAGUAAGAGAAAUAAAGAAGGACCGGAUCGAAGUAUUCAUUUUGCAACCUGGUUUGCCAUUCCAUUGUUGCUUCAAUGUCAAUGAUACCCAGCUAUUCUGAAGCUUGAGGGUGUAGAUCGUCUCGUGCUCUUCUCCAUCAACAAAGAUCCUCAAGAGAAGAUGAAGAGGGGCAAGGAAAAGGGGUUAGUUCAAGGGCUUAGUUUAGUUGGGUUAGGAAAAGGGAGGAUAAUGUACUUCAUAUGGUUUUGGCUUGUUUCUGUGUGGAAAAUAAUGCCUUUCUGCAAAGGAUAUUGUCAUUCCUCUUAUUUGACUUUCCAGUUGUAAAACCUGAUAAACUAGCCAAAAGGACCAUGGGUUCCCUAUUUUACAAGUUGCAGAACUAAAAGUUAACUAUAAUAGUUGGAGGAUUAAAUUUUAUCUAAACAAAAAGUUCGGCGGCCAAACCGAUAAUUUGCCCUUCUUAUCUAUAUCUAUAUCUAUGUGUAUUGUGGGAAGGAUUUUUAGGAUGGUUAAAUCAGAGUGUUUAUAACUCUUCAUUCUUUUGUUUAAUAGAAUUUUGAAUUUUUUAAAUUAUUAUAUAUCCUUUCGUGUCUUUUGAAUUUAAAAGUAAGAAGUGGCCCACUUAUUAUAUGAAUUUGAUUUGAAAUCUAUUAAUGUGAGGGAAAAUGAAGAGGAAAAAUCACCAACCCUACUAAAAGUAAAAAAGUAAAUAAUAAUAUUUUAUCCUUCAACUUAGUAAUCCUAACUGAAAGGCCAAAUUUUAUAGAAAACAAAAAGAAAAUAAUAUUCGUUGGUCAUGGAUUUAAAAUAUCAAUUAUGGUACCAUUUGUGAAUAUUAAAUUAUGAAAUCAUUGAACAAAAAACAAAGUACUACUAGCCUAAAAAAAUAAAUUAUGGAUUUAAAGGGUUUGGGAGAAUGGUGAAGGAAAAAUAAUAAAAAAUUGGAUGGCAACAAUGAAAAGCUAGAUGCUAACUAUAGGUGAGAGAAAGACAAUAACAAGGAGUUAAAAGAGUGGUAAGAAAAGUCGAAAAAGAAGGGUCAACUAUUACAAGAUUGGACGAAGAGAGGGGAGAAGAAAGGAUGAGAUUGUGGGGAUAUGACAGGAAGGAUGGUACCAUGGUAAAAAAAUCUAAAAGUUAUAGAAAGCAACAAAUAGCUAGUUAGCUGGUAAAAGCGAAUGAAAAGGGUGAUAGUAUUUAACAAUUUUCAAAAUUUUAAAAACACAUCUAACAAAGAUUGUGUUAAAUCUAUAUUAAAGUUGACGAAAGAACAUUAUUCUAUAAGCACUCAACAAUUUUAGAAUUGCAAGAUAGGAGAAAUAAUUUUCUAAAAUUGAGGAAAAUGAAUUGGUUAUACCUUAUUUUUAAUGUUAAAAAUUUUGAUAUAUGGGUAUAACAUGAUAUAUUGAUAAAUAAGUUUAUAAUUGCUCUGUCAUGUAAAUUGUUAUAAACUAAAUUAUUUUAUUCAAAUUGUUAUCAUAUAUUGACAAACAAUAGGUUAACAAAAUUUGGUUUCAACUUUUUUAAGAUAUUAAAAAUAAAAAGUCCAUUUUAUAUUUACAAAAUAAACGUUUUUUAAAUAUGUUAAACAUACACUUCCUUGAAUUUUUUCUGUCUUUUUCAUAUACUUUAUCGUAUACUAUAAUAUAUAAGUAGGGAUAAUUUCAGAAACCUCCCUUGAGGUUUUUAACAAUUUCAUUCAGCUCCCUUGAGAUUUUAAAAAUUACAUAUAGCUCCCUUGUCAUUUGAAAUGACAAUACUGCCCUUAACUAUUUUAAUAAAAUUCUCUUGUUUUGUAUACUUAUACUUAGAAUGACUUUUAAAAUUAUUUUUUCAUUUUUCCUUUUUUUUUUUACCAAUAAAACUAUAGAACUACCACUAUUAUCUCUAGUUUCUAUUGUAACCAAAUGUCGAACUAUUGAUUUUUUUAUGAGUUAACUUUAAAUGCAGUCUAAUGUUUUUACUAAUCUUUGUUUUCUAUUUUUUGGUAUUAAAAUUAAAAAUAAAUAAAAAAAAAGGUCCAAAAUCACUACUAAAUUAUGAUAAUCCCACCACUCAAAAAAUUCAUAAACUCUAAAUAAAUUAUUUCAACAUUUUCUUUUCUAUCUUAUAAAUCUAAAUCAUUAAUAAAAUACCAUAAAAAAUAUCCUAUCAUAGUGAUAAAUUUGUUAUUAUAGUUGUUUAUCAAAUAAUAGGUAUGAACAUGAAAAAUUUGGCACUUUUUUCUUAUAAUUAUACUAGAUAAUCUUAUAAUUGUAUAGAAAAGUAAGUUAAAACUCAUUACACAAGGGCAUUUUUGGAUAUUCAUUUAAAAAUUUGACCAAAUCAAUAUUAUUUUAAGGUUUUGUUACUAAAACUAUCACAUCAAGGGAGGUGGGUGUAAUUUUUCAAUUUCAGGGGAGCUCAGUGAAAUUGCCAGAAACCUUAGGGGAGAUUUCUGAAAUUAUCCCAUACACGGGUCAUAAUGCUAGUUAACUAGUAUUGAAAACACACUCAAUAUUUGUACAAUUUAGAAAUAAUUAUUAAUUUUUUUGAAUAUAUUAAUUUUGAUUCUUUCAAAAUGAAAUUCUAUAUAAAUUUUUCAAGAAAAAAAUUGCAAUUUAUUAGUAAUUUUUUUCUUUAAUACAGUUAUAAUUAAUUUGGUAAUUACAAUUGAAGUUAUGGGAGAAUCAGGCAGAUUGUAUUAGCAAAUGUGAUUAGGCAGUUAGAGUAAAAAUUAAUUCUUUUAAAAGCAAAAUUAAAAGUUCAAAAAAUGACAUAAAAUAUUUAACCCAACUACCGUCUCUUUGUCUUUAUUAUUGUAUAUAAACGGAUUAUAUAAUAACUCCUAAAGUUUAUGGAUAUCUACCAAAACUUCAAAUGUUUUAUUGGCCAACACUUUGGCUUUUAUUAUUAAUUAGUAUAUACUUAUAUGUCAAAAUGUCUUUAUUAGCCAAGAAAUUGGGAUUUAUUAUUAAUUAGUAUAUACUUAAAAGUCGAAAGCUUGAUUAGGCAGAUGGAAUUUAUUUUAAAUCUCUAUUAAGGUUUGGUCCAGAUUGUUCCUCUCAUCGCUUUGGGGUCUUCUUUCCUUAUUCCUUCUCGCUCUUCUGUCUUUCCUCAAACCCCCCAAACCCCUGCGUCUCAAUCAAAGCUCUUUAUUCUCAGGUAUCCAUGGCAGCUCGAAUAACCUUUCUUGAAUCUUCUAUUCUAGACGACCCCUUGUUGGAAUAUUUCUUCUCUUUGCCUAAAGAGGGCUGUAGGCAACUAAAAACUAGCCCUCUUCCUGAAUUUUUUUUUUGCUAUUGAGUAUUAGUAUUUGAUAUUCCUGUGAUACUUGAUUAAUUCUUUUGGUGGGUUUUUUUUAGCCUUUUUUUUCUUGUGGGCAUAGGUAUUAGAAGAAAAAGAAGCUCGUGAGGUUAGCAGAUUCAUGGGUUCUUCAGCUACAGAGGUUUUUCCUCACCUCCAGGUCAGCUCGAAUUCAUGUGCAUGGUUAAAAUUUUUUUUUUUUAGUAAAUGCGUUUUUGUUCUGCCUGAAUGUUGAUGGGCAACUCGGGAAUUUUUUUUAAUGAUUUGAUUCGAGUUUGAAGAAGGAACACAAUUCUUGCUAUUUUACUGUGACAAUGCUGUAUUUCAAUCGGGAAAAAUUAGAACUUUGUUCCUUUUUGUCCAAUCUGGUAAAGAUGAAUGAUUCUCGGUCAGAGCUCCGUUUUCGUCAAAAAGAAAGUUAAUACUCUCGGUUUUAAAUCUCUGCCUCCUCAAGUAUUAGGCACUUAUCUAGAGAUUUUUUUUUUGUUGGCCUCAUUGUCGAAGUUUCAAUUUUGGUUGUUUGAUUACCUGUGCGUGUGCAGAUGCUUACUCUGUUGAAUGGGCAAUCUGCUAGAUUGCAUAUCUGCUGAGACUAUUCCUCUUUGCUUCUAGAGUACAGAAUCUGAAGUAGCCUAUAGGGGGGAAUCGAUAUGUGUGGCGAUACAUGCUUGACAAUAUAUUAAAUAUAAUGGAAGCAUUUUUGGUAGAUUUUCCACAAAUGCCUGAUGACAAGGUUUCAAAUGUCAUUAGUAUGAAUAGUAUUACUUGUUAGCAGUUGUAAUAGUAUUUAUUAUUGCGGUGAUCAACAGUGCUUUUUUUUUUUCUGGGUGCUACACGUGUGUGUGGGGCUUGCAUUCUGUCAAAAUGAGGGAUCUGCUAGAUUGCUUGUCCAACGAGACUUUGCCUUCCUAAACUAGUAAUCUUUAAAGAGAAGCUGUGACAAUGAGUAUGAUGUUGUAUAUAAAAGCCCAAGACCAAUGAUUAUUAAUUUUGCAAGAUCAUGCAUAUGAAAAUAGCAUUAGGAAAAACGAGGAUAAGACUUGUCAACAGGUAUCUUGGGAGGAAAACAUCUAGUCACACUAUUAUGAGUGACCAACUAGUAUUUAUAGGAGUACAAACCUAACAGACUAUUUACAAGAAUACCCUUACUAAUUUAUUAUCUAUAAGAAUACUAAUAUUCUCCUAACACUCCCCCUCAAGUUGGAGCAUAUAUAUCAUAAGCACCCAACUUGUUACAAAUAUAUUUCACCCUAGAACCCCCUAAACUCUUAGUAAAUACAUCAGCCAAUUGAUCUACAGACGGUACAUGAGAUGUCUUGAUGACCCCGUCAAGCAAUUUCUCUCGAAUGAAAUGACAAUCAACUUCAAUAUGUUUUGUCCUUUCAUGAAACACUGGAUUAGACGCAAUAUGAACAGCCGCCUGAUUAUCACACACUAAAUUCAUAGGCUGUUUAUGUUCAAACCCAAGUUCCAGUAACAUGCUCUUCACCCAAACCAACUCACACACAGUGUGAGCCAUAGCGCGGUAUUCAGAUUCUGCACUUGAUCUGGAUACAACUGUUUGCUUCUUACUCUUCCACGACACUAAAUUACCACCAACAAACACACAAUAUCCUGUAGUCGAUCUUCGAUCUGAGGCAGAACCAGCCCAAUCUGCAUCACUAUAUCCUUCAAUAUCAUUGUGUCCAUGAUUUUGAUACAGCAACCCUUUUCCAGGAGCAUUUUUAAGAUACCUGAGAAUCCGUAUAACAGCAUCCCAAUGACUAGUACGAGGGGUAUCAAGAAAUUGACUCACAACACUCACUGCAAACGAAAUGUCAGGUCUCGUUACAGUGAGAUAAUUUAAUUUACCCACAAGUCUUCGAUAUUGCUUAGGAUCAUCAAGUAAUGCACCUUGAUCUCCUGCUAAUUUCACAUUGGGAUCCAUAGGAGUAUCCACAGGUCGGCAACCUAACAUCCCAACUUCACUCAACAUAUCGAGUACAUAUUUUCUUUGACAUAAAUAAAUCCCAUAUUUAGACCGAGCUACCUCAAUACCCAGAAAAUACUGUAGAUGACCUAAAUCCUUUGUCUGAAAGUUUGCCUGCAGAUUGGAUUUAAGUUUCUGAAUCCCCACAACAUCAUCACCUGUAAUCACAAUGUCAUCCACAUAAACAACUAAUAAAAUUUUACCAGCAUUAGAAUGCCGAUAAAAUACAGAGUGAUCUACUCCACAUCUUGUCAGACCGAACUCCAUGACAACACUACUAAACCGGCCAAACCAAGCCCUCGGGGACUGUUUCAAUCCAUAUAAGGAUUUUUUCAAACGACAAACCAACCGCGGAUUCUCCCCCUGAACAACAAAUCCAGGAGGUUGUUCCAUAUAUACCUCUUCUUCCAAAUCUCCAUGCAGAAAUGCAUUUUUCACAUCCAACUGAUGCAAUGGCCAAUUAUAAGUUGCUGCCAAAGAGAUAAGAAGACGGACAGAGGUAAUCUUUGCAACAGGAGAAAAUGUUUCUAAAUAGUCUACUCCAUACACCUGAGUAAAUCCUCUAGCUACCAACCGAGCCUUCAAUCUAUCAAUAGAACCAUUAGGCUGCACUUUUAUAGUGUACACCCAUUUACAACCAACAACAGGCUUACCUGAAGGACGAGGGACAAGAUCCCAAGUACCAUUUUGUUCCAAAGCAGACAUCUCUUCUUGCAUAGCUAAUCUCCAACCAGGAUGAUUAAGAGCAUAGGUAAUAGACUUAGGAAUAGAGAUAGAAUCAAGAGAAGCAACAAAAGAAGAAUAUGACAUAGAGAGACGAGAAUAAGAAACAAAAUUAGAAAUAGGAUGGGAAGUACAAUGUCUCUUACCUUUGCGUAAAGCAAUAGGAAGAUCUAACUCAGAGGAGGGCGUCAUACCUGGAUUUGAAGAUUGAGAGUUAAUUGGUGAAGUGCGUGGCAUAUCAGGAACUUUCUCAACCAUGGAACGACGAGAGUAAACUUGAAGAUGAGGACGAGAUAAUCGAGCUAUGGAAUCUGGUGGACUAGACAACUCAGGUAAUAAAGGGGAAGGGACUGGUAAAACAGGAGAGGAAAAAGAGGGACACUGGUCUAAUUCACAAGACAUACUUUGCUUGAUAAAAUACGGAGUGGAUUCAAAGAAAGUAACAUCAGCACAAGUAAAAAAUCGAUUUAAAACUGGACUGUAACAUCUAUACCCUUUUUGCGCUCGUGUAUAUCCUAAGAAAAUACACUUAAUAGCACGAGAAUCUAAUUUAUCCACCCCGGGAGCAAGCUGAUGAACAAAGCACACACAUCCAAAAAUACGAGGAGGCAAUUUAAACACAGAUUCAUGAGGAAAAAGAAUGGAGUGAGGUAAUUGACCUCCAAGAAUAUUAGAUGGCAUGCGAUUAAUUAAAUAACAUGCAGUUAGAAUUGCAUCACUCCAAAAUUGUUUGGGCACAUUCAUGUGCAACAAUAGUGUUCGAGCAAUUUCGAUUAAAUGCCCAAUUUUUCUUUCAGCAACUCCAUUCUGUUGUGGAGUGUGAGGACAAGAGGACUGAUGAAUAAUACCAGACUUAGUCAUAAAGGUAUUAAAAGGAGUGGAAAAAUAUUCUUUCGCAUUAUCACUGCGAAGUAUACGUACAGGCACACCAAAUUGAUUCUUUAUUUCUGUAACAAAUGCACAAAAAAUGGAAUAUAAUUCUGAACGAUCUUUCAUUAAAUAAAGCCAUGUAACUCUGGAAAAAUCAUCAACAAAGACUACAAAAUAUUUAAAACCUAACUUUGAAGUGACUCGACUAGGACCCCAAACAUCAGAAUGAACUAACAAAAAAGGUUCAGAAACCCGUUUAUUGACUCUAGGAGCAAAAGAAACACGAUGAUGCUUUCCUAACUGACAAGACUCACAUUCUAACGAAGAUAAUUGAUUCAAAGUAGGAACCAACUUUUUCAAAUUUUGUAAAGACGGAUGACCUAAACGACAGUGAAUUUCAAGAGGAGAAACAGUAGCAGGACAUGCUAUCGGACCAUUGAAGUUGAGAAAAUAAAGACCAUUAUGCUCAUGCCCUCCACCAAUCAUCCUCUUUGUCUUCAAAUCCUGAAUGACAACAGAAUCAGGAGAAAAAGUAACUGUACACUGUAGAAAUUUAGUGAGCUUACUAACAGACAUUAGAUUAAAUGGCAAAUUGGGUACGUAAAGAACAGAAGACAGCGGAAGUGAUGGAUUAAUUUCUACAGUGCCUAGUCCUUUAACUUUAGUAGUAGAUCCAUCAGCUAAAGUAACAUGAGGAAAGGGAGUUGACUCUUGAAAAUUAGAAAAAAUUUUAGAGGUACCUGACAUAUGAUCAGUAGCCCCGGAAUCAAUAAUCCAUGGGUCAUUACCUUUUUGUGCUAAAGAAGCAGAGGGAAGAGAUGCGUGAUUUGUAGCUUGGUACUGUAGGAAUUUAACAUAAUCUUCCUCAGAUAUAGUAACAGUUUUCUGGGACCCAUGUGUUGAAGAACUUGAUUCAACUUGGUCAGUGAUAACCGUAUUAACAAACCUUUCAACCAUAGCGAAUAGCACGUCAAACGAAAGAACGGGUCAAAACUUGAGACAAACGCGUAAACAGUAACGGCAUGAACAGUACUACGUGAACAGUAUCGGCGUGAACAGUGCCGUGAACAGUAUACGUGAACAGUGCCGCUAUGAACAGUGCGGCGUGAACAGUGAUUUGCUAGAUGUUUUACCCUAACCCUAGGACUUUUGCUCUGAUACCAUGUCAACAGGUAUCUUGGGAGGAAAACAUCUAGUCACACUAUUAUGAGUGACCAACUAGUAUUUAUAGGAGUACAAACCUAACAGACUAUUUACAAGAAUACCCUUACUAAUUUAUUAUCUAUAAGAAUACUAAUAUUCUCCUAACAAGACUAAAUAAAGGUCAAAAGGAGAAAGUUGAGGAAAGAUGAUGAUGCAUCUCUGGUCUUGGCUUUUUCAUUGUAGUUCAGUGCCACAUCAGAAGGGAAAAGUUAAAAUUUAAAGAUGAGGCAAACUAGAGGACCAUAGUUGAUUUAUGUAGAAAAGGGAAGUUAAAGCCUUGAUUUUGUCCUCCUUUAUGCUCGUAGAGUUGAUUUGAGAGAGAUAUUUGUCGUGUUCAAGAAUUAUUCAUUGCUGUGGACUCGUUGUAUCUUGAUGUCUGACUUGUCAAUUUAUCUAAAGUGAGGGAAUGCUAGGUAAUUUUAUUUGACUGGUACUUAAAUAUCUUUUCUUCUUCUUGUACAGGAUGUUCUGUUGCAAUUUCGAGCUGGCAAAAUGCGUAUGGAGGGAACACAGGUUGUUCCGGAUUCACGUAAAGGUCUUGUUUGCAUAGGAAGGGUAUGAAUCAAGGAACUGACUUAAGACUACUCUUGCUCUUUUCUUUUGUCUGGUUGAAUUUUAAAGCAUUGAUCCAUGAAGUCUGCAUUUUUGUGAGCCUAUGAUUUGAGCUGAUUUUACACUUGUUAACAUUUCAAGUUGUGGAUUUCCUUCUGAUACUGUUCUUAUGUGCCUGUUUUAGGGUGACGAGGGACUUAUUCACUUUCAAUGGGUUGAUCGAUCAAGCAAUGUUGUUGAAGAUGUAUCCUUUGUAAUUUUUUGUACUGUGAAGAGUACUGUUGUUGGUGAUCUUGUGGCUCAACUUUUCUUUGAUCAUGGUUGUGCUUUUCAUUUCCUUUAUUGAUAGGGUUGCUAUGACCUAAAUCAUAAAAAACAGUGUUGGGGCCAUCUUACAUGGCUUUCUUUGUCUUGGUCAUUAAUGUUGAAACUGGUUUGAUGUUGUUUUAACUCGAUGAAAUGCAAAGGGAAUAUAGCAGGCUUUGGCUUGGUAUAGUUUGUAAGAUAUGGUGUGACAAUGGCACACUAGGUUCCUUAUACUUGGAAAUAAUUGGGAAAUGUAUGCAACUCUUUCUCCUUUUAGCGCAUGUGUAGAAAACUUGGUUUUUGGCGAUGAAGGUUAGUCAUGUAUGUUUAGUGAGACUCAACUACUAUGGUACCAGCUGUGAUGCAAAGUCUGGAGCUUGACAAAGUUUGGAUAAUGUCUGCACUUUGCCAAGUUGAGUCCCUUUAGUACCACCUUCUUUUAUCAAAUGUGAAGCAUUACUUGAACAAGCCUCUUUGUAUGUAUACUAGAUGACGAGUUUGAACACUCAAUACCCUUGAAUGCUCUUUUCUAGCCUUGCACACUUGUGAUUUGCUGGAGCUUUAUUCUUUAACAGUCAUAAUUGUAGGAUCAGAUUGUCUUUCCGGAUGAAGCUGUUUUUGUAAAGGUACAUCUUUUUAAAUGUUUUAUUGUUUCUAAACAGAUUUGUGUGAGAUAAGAUCCUGAUUAUAUUACUUCACCCUUUGUUGGACUACCUAGGUCAGUCAAUCAUCAGGAAGGGUCUAUAUUUUGAAAUUUCAGACAGAUGAUAGGAAGUUAUUCUUCUGGAUGCAGGUUAGUUUUUUGUGCUUUUGGGGGAUGUUGUCAGUUUUAUAUUUUUGUAUCCUGAUCUUUUUUAUUGCUUGCUGUUGGUUCCAGGAACCAAAAGCUGACAAUGAUGCUCAACUAUGUAGCCAAGUGAAUCUGUACCUCAAUCAACCAUUAGGUACUGAAUUCUCUAUAUUUGUUUAUUUUUACUGCAAAUUCCAUGCUGGACGCAAAUUGUUUCGAAAUCUCCUUGACACUUACCAUGAUGAGAAUCAAUAUUUUGGCACAUGUCCGGCCAGCUUCUCUGUUUCAUGCACAGUAUGUGUUCUUCUUAAUGACUCGUCAGUUAUGACUUCAGUUUCAAUCCUUUGCAAUACCUUUCUGCUCUUCUGGUUGUGUCAAUUCCUUACUAUUUGUGUUCUUUGAACAAAUAACCUCAAUUACAAAGUCUCUUAUGAUCUUAUUUGCUCUCUUUCCAUGAGCUAUCACUUUGGUUCUACUCAGUGAACGCCUUUAAUGUCUUACCUUUUCUUCUUGAGCCAUGCCUGCUCUUUGUUGAUCCACUUGUUUUCCUCAUAGAGUACACCAGUAGAGCAGUGCAUAUCUCCAGGAUAGGCUAGCAAAUGGGAACAAUUUCUCUUCUAGUUACUUCUGGCUUGUUGAGCAACUGUACGAGGAAUUUGACGGGUUGAAUGGUGCUUGAAAUAUUAGACUUUAUCAUCACACUUAUGUUAUUUUAACUAUGCUAAUUAACCUUAAUCCAUUCAAAGUGCUCCUCCAUCCUUUUCUUUUGGUUUGGCUCUUUAAAUUGUUUGACAUCUCUUGGGUGACCGUAGUUGUUGCCUGUUUAUUAUUACAUUUCUAGCAUGACCUGGGUGGAAAUUUGAAUUUAUAUCUGUCAGAUUUUCCUGGUGAGGAGGAACCUGAUGCUUCAGUUCCCCAACCAUCUGAAGACAUGGCUGAAGAAGAAGAUAUUUCAUCUAGGUAAUGCUGGCAUCAAAAAAGACCAUUUAACGUUUUGGUUUGUGUAUAAAAUAUCUUUUUGUAUAAAAAAGAUUAGUAUCUUUGAAUAUUGAUACUAACAAGAAAGAUGAGAGAAAUUGGACCAUUGUGUGUUUUACCUGUAAACUUGAUUUUGAGGGGUUCCCCCCCCCCCCAACAAAAAAAAACCCCAUCCAAAUGGAAAAGUGUAGAAUGUGGUGGUGUAGUCAUAAGUCUGCUAAUUUAAGGAAGAUUUCUUGUUGUUACACUUUCUGGUGCCCCAGUCAUAAAGGACAAAAGGCAGGAUAGCUGAUUUAGUUCAUGCAACGGUUCAGAUGGAGGUCAAGGCACCUGGGGUGGUUGUUUAAUUCAACUAUUUGUCUAUAUCAGUGCUUUGGUUGCUGAGAGAUUGCUUUGGAAGAAAGUACUUUGAGUUCUUCUUUGCAUCAAGAUGAAGUGUGUUCUUCAAGUAACUUCUUGAAGAUGAGGAACAUGACAAAAAUCUGUUUGAAUUUUGAUUGCUAGGAGAAUUUCUACUGUUCUUGUUUUGUAACAAGCACUAAAAUGUUCAUCUUAUAGGUUAGCAUGGGGUUGAUGCCCUGUCUGUUUUUUGAAGCAGUUCGUUAGUUGAAGCAACAUGAGAAAAGUCUAGGAGUGAGAAAACAUGGACUCAUUGGAUUGAUUGUUGAGACACUUAAUGCUUUUCAUUUUGACUAUAACCUCAUUAUCUGUAUCAAUUUAGUGAGUAGAAAUCAGAAAUUCGUUCUAAUUGUGUGAACACUAAAACAAGUGUAUCCUUAUUCUUUAUUUCUGCACUUCUGUGUAUGUUAGUGAUCCUGUUAUGAACUGAUGUGUUAAAUACAUACAUCCAUAAAAGAGUCUUGGUUCAUCAAGCUGCAUUGUCGCUGCACAAAUGCUCACCUGUGUAAAGAGUACACAGAAAAAUUACCAUGUUCCUACACAAAAUGGACUAUUUUGUAAUUCUUGUGAGGCCAAGAUAUGAUGAUCUACAAAGAAGAAUUCUUGUCUGCUUAGAAAUUUUUGGUCUCCUUUAUUAGUACUACUAUUAUUGUGGCAUUUAUUUGUAAAGUUAUUUAUUAACAAGGAGCAAUGUUAAAAAUUUUUCUUGGGAUACAUGAAAUCUAAUGUUAUUACACUGAUGAAACAUUACUUUUUCCUGUCAUCUUGCAAUCUAAUGUGUACUUUCCAUGUACUUUUAUGUUAAUUUUGAUAGCUAUAAUUUUUUUGUAACAUUCCAAUAUGCAUUUUGGAUUUGCUAUUGGCUCAUGAUUAUUGUGAUAUUCUUGGUAGGGCUGGAAAUUUGGUUGGGCCAAGCAUGGGUGCAGAAGCAAGUGGUGAUGUAACCUCAUCGGGACCAGUAAAGUUGGCUGAUUUACAGAGAAUAUUGAGUAACAUAGGGUCUGCAGGUGAUACUCUCCUGCUUUUGUGCAGUUCUUUUGGCAUGGAACUUCUGCUUUUUAUUAGUAUUAACUCUUGUGUAAUGCUCCUCUGAUGGUUGAUGCAUAGGUGAAGCUGGAGAUCCAGAUGCAGGUAAGAACUUGUUUGUUUUUCUAUGCUAAGUAUGUAUCUGUAUGUGUUAAUGAUCUGUUAAAAGACCAAAGGAUCAAUAAUGCACUUGGUAACUGUGAUACGGUGGAAUAGAUUUUGGAAAUUUUUGCUCCAUUGAAGUUGUUAUGUGUAAUUGAAAUGUUAGCAUGUAAAGCAUUUGUAUUUAAAAUCACGUCUGGUUCAUGGAUUUUUUGCUGAGUCUUGGAAAAGGGCUUUUAUGCUACACGAGUUGUUUGAAAUCAUUUUGCUGUUUCUGUUAGAUUUCUCAAAGUUUGCUUUUUCAAAUUUCAAAUUUUUGGAGCAAAAAGGUGCUUUUGCUGUUUCUUGUUUUUUUGAGCAAAAAAGGGUUUUCUUUUCUUUUUUUUUUUAAUUUUCAUUUUGUUUGGUCUUUUAGCUUUAAAGAGAUUUACACCUUGUUUGAUAAGUCAGUUCAGUACUUAGCCUUGUUUGAUAAAUCAAUUCAGCACUUAAAAUUAAUCUUAAUGGAUUCAGAUCUUAAUAUAUUCAGACUGUUUGAUAACCAAAUAUAGAGUAUCUGAAUUAAUUAAGUGGCACGGAAUUUCCUAAAUAAAACUUGUUCCCAAAAUUAAGUAAUAAGCUAUUUACUUAUCACUGAAUGUGAUAUGCACUCAAAUGUAUUAGAUUUAAUGUUUAACAAUUCAAUAACUUAAUGAAUUCAGAUUUCAGAUUUUAAAUUUUAAACUUCAAUUUUAUCAAACACAUCUUUAAUGGAUUCCGAUCUUAACAUAUUCAAACCGUUUGAUAACCAAAAAUUGAACAUCUGAAUUAAUUAAGUGGCAUUGAAUUUUCUAAGCAAAACUUGCUUCCAAAAUUAAAUGAUAAAACUAUUCACUUAUCACUGAAUGUAAUAUUCAAUCAAAUGUAUUAGAUUUAAUAUUUAACAAUUCAAUAAGUUAAUGGAUUCAGAUUUUAGAUUUUAGACUUCAGUUUUAUCAAAUGCACCCUUAGUUUUCGUUUGAUAAAACUGAAUUUGAAUACUAAAACAAUUAAUUUACUGAAUUUUAAGUACUGAAAGAAAUAUAUAAAUGUCUGAAUUUUAAUGUUAAACCUAUUUAUACUGUUGGAUAAACAUUUAUAAUUGAAUGCUUAAUAAGUUAAAUUUGACAAUUUUGCCCUUAUAUCUUUUCAUCCAAAAAAGAAAUAAAACCUAUGAUUUAAUUAGCUUAAAGUUGUUAGGUAUGAAAAUGACAAUAUUUAUUUUUAAAUCAAAUUAAUAUGAAAGAUGAAAUAUAUUAUAUGAGGAGUAUGGAGAUGAUGUGAAAGUCAUUAAAAAGGGAGAAAAGAGAAAUAGAAAACCCUUGGAUAGAGAAUAACGAGUUGUUUAAUUAGAUAAGAAUUGUAAACAUAAUUAACAAAUAAGGGUAGUUUUGGUAAGGUAGUUGAAGUAAUUCAAUUAAUUCUUAUCAAAAUUAAGCACUCAGUUAGGAUUAUUGUGCUGAAAAAAAUACACACAACUUCAGCAUUGCAUAACAAGUUCAGCAGAUGGAUUUUUAUUUAUCAAACACUCAAAACAUCUGGAUGUCUGAAAAAGUUCAGUUUCAGCACUUUCUAAUGUUAUCAAACAAACCCUUAGUCUCAUAUGUAAAGCAAGUUUUUUUAAAACUGCUUAUUGCAAUAGUUGUAUCAUUAGUUUAAGACUGUAAUUUCUAUUAGUAGAUUGGGAUCUAUGGCAAAUGGGAAUAGUUGUCUUUUACUCUUGCUUUGUACUGUAUUUCAUUUUAGUGUCAGGGCUUUAUAGAGAAAAAGAUAAGAAAAUUCUAAAAAGGUCUUUUAAAUAUCAUGAAUCUAGUUAGAGUUUUUUAUCCCUUUUAUUUGUUUGAUUGCCAUGAACCUGUCUUCUAACUCAUUUUUCUUCUAGGCUUGGGAUUGGGAGAUAUUUUGAAGCCUGAAUUCAUUUUCCCGCUGAUAAAUGACCUGCCACUUGAACAACAACUAGCAUCUUAUUUACCUGAGGUUUGUUAAUAUGGCAUCCGCUGUCAAUAUUUAAUCCAAUCAAUGGUUUAUCUAUGAAACUAACUAUGACCUUGCAGGGCACCUGGACAGCAGAGGAUUUAAUGGAGUUGCUUCAGAGCGCUCCUUUCCGCCAGCAAGUAGAUUCGUUUACUUAUGUAAGAGGAAUUGUUCUUUUACUUAUUUUCUUUGCUUGGGCCUCCAUUUAUUCCCUCCGAUAUUUUUUGGAUAUUUAGAUGGACUUUAAUUCUUCCCCUUGCUCACUGUAGGUUCUUCGAACUGGCCAGGUAGACCUUUCUCAAUUUGGCAUUGAUGCAACUAAAUGUAAGCAAUCUGUGUUAUUUCUCAUCAAUAGCCCUUGUUAACAUUUUUCUAAAUGACAAAAGCUGAACUAGCCAAUUAGGAUGAAGUUAUUGAAUGAAAGCACAGGCAUUCUAUACGAACACUGAGAAAGUGUCUUAUGUUGUACACCACUUGUUGGAAUCUCUUUUCUCAUUUUUGCUGGUCAGAAUUUCAAAUAACGAAUUCUUUGAUGAUUAAAUUAACAUUCUCUUCUAGAAAAUUGUUUCCUUUGCAGUGUCAUGUCACGUGUCAAAUGUCAAAAAAAGUUUUGCAAAUUAAGACUUGACUAGUGAGAAAUUUUGACAGCUUUUUUUUUUUCCAUUACUCUUAUCAGACAUAAGAACCAGCUUUUAUUUUCUUAAUAUAGUAGCAGCUCCUGCUUCGGCUUUUGCAGCUUGAAAGCUUCCAUUCUGUGAAGAGUAUUGUUGCCUAACGGAUUUUCUUUCGGGUAAAAUACCAAAAAACUCACUGUGGUUUGACAAAUGUUCAAUUUAAUACCCUCUGAUUUGGAAAUCUACACUAUAACUCCCUGUGAUUUCGAUUAAAUUGAAAAUUGGACAGAAAUCAUCAAAUCUAACGGUUGUGUGUGAAAUGUCAAUAUUGCUCCUACCAUAUGUGAGAUGCUUUCUAUUCAAUAUUCAAUUUAGUCGAAAUCAUAGGGAAUUAUAAUGUAAUUUUUCAAACCAGAGGGAGUUAAAUUGAACAUUCGACAAAUCAUAGGGAGUUCAUUUAUAUAGGGGCAAUAUUGACAUAUCACAUAUAACCGUUAGAUUGGAUGUUUUCCGUCCAAUUUUCAAUUUAGUUGAAACCAUAGGGAGUUAUAGUGUAGGUUUUCAAAUCAGAGGGAGUUAAAUUGAACAUUUAGCAAACUAUAAGAAGUUUUUUGGUAUUUUAUCCUUUUCUUUUUGACAUGUCUUUGUACUUAAAUCCUAACUUUGUAGCUUUGGAAUUCCAGCAGUAAUAAAGUUACUAUGUAUUGAUGUUAGAUAAGUCUAGUGGUGUGAAGUUAAACCGCAUUAUGCUCAGACCUAUUGAUGUGCAGUUCUUGCCAUCUCUCUCUGCCUUUUUGAAACUUAUUCACUGCCCUUUGUUGCAGACAACUUCACUGUUCCAUCUUUCCUAGAGGCACUUGAAGAUUCUGUUACUAGAGUAGCAGAAGGCGAGGAGUCAAGGCGAGAUGGCAGUGAACUGAGAUCUCAAAUGCAUAAUCAAAGUGAGCCAAUGGACGAAGGUCAAUAAUGUUCAGAACACAUCCAUAAUUGGUACAUUCAUUCAAGCCUCUAGAAUUUUUGUGAUUCUUGGCCGAUAAUGCCUACCCUUUAGAAUAUGUUAGUACUGUUAAGAAGGUGGAGAGCUUGGAAAUUGCAACACAUUUAGAUGAAAGCUUGUGUGUAAAAUUUGAUCUGUCGAAUCUGGCUUUUUGUACUUCAAAAUUCUCUGACGUACUGUGAAGGGCAAUUCACAAUGGGUAUGGAUUUACUAUUGCAUACAAGACUACUCUCCGUUUCCUCAAAAUCUUUGGAUCCAAUAGGGCUCUAGCUUUGCAAGAACAUAUACGCCUAGAAGGAGAAUCAUGUUCAAGACAAGAAUCAAUGAGACGAGAUAUGAAGCUUGUAUCCUACUUUGCUGGUAACCUAUUAACAAGAAUCAGGACAAUUUUUGUACUUUUCUGUGGCCUAGUUUUAAUGGAAAGGUUAGAGAGUGCAGGUGAAAUUAAGCAUCUCUGCCACCCGCAAGCUAUGACAGCUGAAACCUUAAAUGUUUUCUUGAUCCAAAAUUUGAGGCAUAUAUUCAUGGCAAACUAUGUCCAAGUAUCCGAGGCCUGACUUUGGGUGCAGUGGUAUGGAAGGUAUACCGGAAAAAGAAGGCUAGGAUUUUUGCCAUUGGAUUUAUCUCCAUUGAUCUCUUCAUUUAUUUAUAUCUAAAUUAUUAUAAUUUAAAAAUUCAUUUGAUCAGGCCACUACUUUUUCUUUUUGAUUUCUUUGGCAUUCAAUUUGUACAAAUAUUUGAACAGUGAAAAAUGACUCAAUAAAAAUUUGAUAAAUCAGACGACAAAAGUUGGUUAAUUUCAUAUGAUAUUUUUUGUAUAACUAUAACACAAAUGAUGAAUCAUAUUAUAAAUCAAAAUUUCAUUCGACAUUUUUUGUAUAACUAACGCAAAUGAUGAAACGUAUUAUGAAUCGUGUUGAUUUUCAAAAAUAAUUUUCAAAUUAACUUUUUUAUAGUGUCAUGCAAAGAAGUUUUCUCCAAUUCAACAGGUAGGAGCCUAGUUUUUGUGAAGUAGCAGUAGAGGCUUUCCCCCUUUUGUCAAUCUUGAGAAGGCAAUUAAUGAGAUUGGAGAAAAAUAAAGAAUUGAUAUCCUAUCAGGAUUUAAAGAGAUAAGGCGACAAAGUGUUUUUCUCCAUCACAGUGUCAUGCUCAAAGCCAUUAAUCAUACAGUCAUUUCUUUGAUCCUUAAAGUUGAUUGUCCCACUGAAAUUAAGCAAUAUAGACCUAUUAACCUGUGCCAAGUGAUUUAUAAAGUUAUAGCCAAAAUUCUGGUCAAUAGGUUAAAGCCUUUCCUCAGUCAAUGUAUCAACAAAAAUCAAUCAGCAUUUGUUCUAGAUGGUAAAUACUAAAUAAUGUCAUCCUGUCUCAUGAGUUAAUGCAUUUUCUCAAAAAUAGAAGAUAUGUUCGAGUUGGAUUCAUGGCUGUGAAACUGGAUAUGUCUAAAGCGUACGACAGGAUGAAAUGGAAAUUCUUGAAAGCCAUAAUGAAAAAAAUGAGAUUUUGCUCCACUUGGAUAGGCCGGAUAUUAUUAGGGAUGACAAUGGAGCGGGACGGGGGACCAUUGUCAAAUAUCUCCCCCCGUCCCGCCCCCGUCCCGUUUCCCCACGGUCCCCUGUUGCCUCAAGUUUCUGCUUUCCUCCAUGUCAAACUCAAGACCUCGCUCCUCUUCUUCUUCUUCGAGUUCCCAUCUUCAGAAGGAUCUCAAUUUCAAGCUCAGAAAUAAACCCCUCCUUGCCAAGUCCGCCCCAAAAUCAGCUCCUAAUUCCUCCAAGCCUAGAUCUAAUAAAUCAAUUGCUAACGAAAAUGAUGUGCCCAAAAAAUCGUCUUCACAAAGUUUUAGAAAGAACCCUUCUUUCCUUUCCCAGUGGCAAUCCGCUAGAAGGCCCGCUUCAAAAACUUCUUCCCAAAGGUCGAAACUUUCUUCUGAUUUGAGGGCAAAUCUGAAGAGCCCAACAUCUGGAUGUUCUGGAAGAUUUGGUGCUGGUAAUCAACAACGAUUGAAGCAGAAAUAUCAACAAAGUUGCGGUGAGCCUAGUUUGCAUUUCAAUGUUGCUGAUGAUUUGGUAGACGCUGACAAUUUUACUCCUGUUGGCAAAGUAGCUAGUGGGCCUAGUUUAAAUUAUGCACUAGUUGUUGAUGAUGAUGAGAAGUCUGCGGGGGAAGACUCAAACUCUGGUCAUGGUUUGUUAUUAUGUGCAGAGAGGGUGUGAGAAGUAUGGAGGUUCGUUUCUUCGUUUGUUCUUUUGUUACUUUUGUGUGUGUGUAUAUAUAUGUAUAUUUUUUUGGCGGGGGACGGGAACCGGGGG
rnacentral:lncRNA from 1 species